rnacentral:lncRNA from 1 species
CGGAAAAUUUUCAAAGAUUGUUUUAGUUUGAGAACCGAAAUCUAACUUAUUAGCUCAUCUGAUUUGCAGUUUAAUGCUCAAAAAUAUUAAAUGCCGACGAAUAAAACAAAAACCAAAACUAGGACCAAAAACAUAUUACGGUCCAAAAAUAAUUAAAUCAUAAACCCACAAAUAUUUUAUCUGGUAACCGAUCCGAGUUCCCGCACGUCCUCCAGUCCUAAGUCAGAAGUUAACUUGAAACGUAUUAAACAAACAAAUGAGCUAGAAGCCCAGUGUGUGUCUCAACCCACAAGCAUAAUUUUUAUUUAACAAGCACAUACGUAAAUGUGAUCACAAAAUUUUACUCUAAUGUAUCAAUAACAUAUCAGAAUGUUGUAUUACCAGAAACAUAUAUAUUUCAGAUCAUAAUAUCAUAUAACCGGAACUUAUUUCGGUUUGGAAUAUCAUAAUUUCGUAUACAAAUAUAUCACACCAGAAUGUUAUGUUUUCAGAAGUACAUAUGUCAUACCAGACCAGAACAAAUGCAGACACAAAUCCUACCUUUAUCUGCUACACACCAACUCCAUCCAACAAAGCACACCAAUUCGAUUUUUAAGAGUCCAUCCAUCCAAAUCACACCGGAUCGUGGUGGUAUGCCACUCAUAAUAGUACAGCUCAGUUGCCAAACAUAUAUCGUGGUUUAACCGCCAAAAAUGCAGUAAUGCUACUAGAAAACACUUCCUCCAACAAAUCAGAACCUCCCCAAUGCAUAUGCUAAAUCACGUUGACAUACAAAGUAGAAACUGAAUACAAAAAGAAAGGAACUUGAAGAAAGGGGGAAAAAACAAAGUAUAAAUUGAAGUUUAUCUGCCUGGAAAAUUCAAGCACUUGGAAAAUUUUACUAUUUCAAUAUGACCCCUGAAUUUCUACGAUGCUCCUCCACUAGAAACUGAGUUUUCUUGUAGACAAAGGAUUUGUGUUUAUUAAUGAAGUUGGUACUGAUUGGUUUGCAUUGCAAUUAAGACCAACAAAGACAUGACAGGAUAGGAGAUAACUUAAAGUCUUUGGGUCAUAUUUUUACCCUGGUUUGCUCUAUUAGAAAAGAGUUAAUUGCAUCAACCAUCUCUAAAUUAUGACUACCAAUUUAAAUUGGUCCCCAAACUACAAAUUAUUCUAAUUACAUCUCUAAAUUAUCGAUGCUAUAUCAAUCAAGUCCUUUUGUUAUUAUAAUCGUUAAAGGACACAUCAAAUCUUAUGUUGCUAUAUUUAAAAUGAAAAAUUUAAAUAAAUAGAAUCAUGUUACAUAACUUUUAAAAUUAAAAACAAAAAUUAAGUAAAAUCAAACUACACUUAGUACUUAGAAGGUUCUUACUUUAAAACAAUCAAAAGGGAGGGAUUUGAAGGUUGUUUUUUUAUUUUUUUUUAUUUUAGCAAAAGUAAGUAAAACUGAAUACAAAAAGAAUGGAACUUGAAGAAAGGGGGAAAAAAGAAGAACAUAAAAAGAUCAGAUGAGAUCAAAAAUAUAUAUAACAAAUUUAAUUUAUAUAUAACACAAAUAUAAAUAGAUUUUCCUCACUUGGGAGCUUCAAAAUCAAACUACACUUAGUGUUGAGAAGAUUCUUAAUUACUACUUCAAUCACUCAAAAGGGAUUUGAAGGUUGGUUUUUUUUUUUCCUUUUUUUGAGCAAAAGUAAGUAAAACUUAAUACAAAAAGAAAGGAACUUGAAGAAAGGGAAAUAAAAAAAAAAGAACAAAAUUGAAAUCAAGGUUGAACUAAAAUAAGGAUAAACUUUCAAAAAGAAAUGGAAGUUUAUCUGCCUGGAAGAUUCAACCACACGGAAAUCAUAAACUCUAACACAACUGGGCUUUCUUGGUUUAGUAGCCAAAGGAUUUGUGUUAUGAGAUUAGUGCAGUAUAUUGGAUCUAAAUUAUGAGGAUUUGUUUUUCUCAGUUGUAUUUUAGUGGAUUGAAAAGGAAAGGGGAAUCUUCCUUUGCAACAAGUUGGUGCUAAUUGGUUUGCCAAUGACCCAUACAAUAUUUGUUUGGGAAUUAACAGCCACAUGACAUGAAAUGAUAGAGGACGACCUAGAAAAAAGUGAAAGUCUUUGGGUCAUAUAUUUUCCUUCAAGUUUCAAUAAUUGAUUUGUUUUAAUUAUUUAUAUGAUUUUCACUACAUUUAAAAUAUCUAAUUUUAAAAAGAAAGGGAACUAAAAAAAAAGAACAAAAUAGAAAUCAAGGUUGAAAUAAGGAGAAAAUUUCAAAAAGAAAUGGAAGUUUAUCUUCAAUUGGCCAUUCUACAUCACUACCAAUUGGCCAUGCAGUUUCUUGAGCUGUAGCAGAUUCUUCCACUAUAAUUUCAUCAACUGAUUGGCUUGCCUGCAAAGCAAAUUAAACCUUCACUUAUUACUGUUUGCUUUUGAUGAUUGAUGAUGAAGAAAGCAUAGCCAGUUUUCCAAAAUUGGACAAAGGACGACAUAUUAAGAACAAGAACUGUGAAUUGAAAAUAAUAAUGCAACAAGAAUAUCUAGAAAGAAAUAUUGACAGCCAGCAGAAACCAUAUACAGUUGAUGCAAUUUCAUUUAAUCAUUUAAAGCAUUAAAAAAAAUAAAUUUCUCUCAGGCAGCCAAAAUAAAAAUAUUGCAUGAAUGCAUAGAAAUUAAAGCUUAGUAUUGGGAGAAUACAUAGAGAAAAUAAUUGAAUGGAUGAAUUUCUGCUUUAAAGCUUAUUGUUGAGUUUGGAAGAGUAGUGUACCUGUGUUUUGGCAUGCACUGAUUUCUCUAAAUCAACACUAAAUCUUGUGGUUAUGUUGGGACAACCUUCUACAUGUAAACCCGUCAGAAAUGGGAAAACAAAAUGAUAACCCACAGGACUGAAGCUCACGAGGUUUGGUAGCUCAUAAAGCCUUAAGGAGCGGAGCUGAAGUAUGUGUAUCAGUUUCUCUUUGUCCUUACUCACAUUUCCCUCAUCUCCUUCAAACACCUGCUCUAAUUUGGAGACUCUACUAAGAUUUAGUAGUUCUAGGUUUUGAAGGCCGCCAUGAGCUAGAGUAAUGGGGAAGAGACAUUUCAAGUUUUCACAGUUAAUGAUUCUAAUCCACCUCAAAUUAGGGAAGCAAAUAGGUUGGAGAUGAUGUUGUGAUGGAGUUUGAUCCUUCUCAAUUAUUUGCUCCAAUUCCUCACAGUUAUUUAUAUCCAAGUUACACAAUUGUGGCAAAUUUCGAGCGAUGGUAGGUGAGAAGAUGUAUCUUAACCUUCUACACUUGAAGACUGUCAAUUCAGUGAGAUUUUGAAAGUGUUCAACUUGGAUGGGACCACUCCAUACCUCCCGCAAUUCAGUUAGUUUGGACAACGUUAGCCUCUCCAGACUUGAAAGAUUAUAUUUAGGAUAUUCAAAUAACUCUUCAAAAUUGGAAAUUGUUAAAUAUUCCGUACAUGUUGAUGAUCCUCCUGUCCUUUCAGGGACUGUCAGGUUGCUUAUUUGCUUCUUUUUUGUCAUCUCCGAGAAGGACAAUUCCUGUAAACAUAUCAUCAAUUUAAGAAUAAGCACAAGAUUUCUUUUUCAAUCUUUUAUAGUCAAAGAAGUCAAAGAACUCAAAUAAUCAUAAAUUACAAAAAAAAAUCAACAAAAAUAUGGUGCAAAAAUAUGGUGCAAAAACACAACAUAAAUAAUAUUACGUGGUACUAGAUAGUGUUUGCCAUAUAUAUAUAUAUAUAUAUAUAAGAAACUAAAAUGUCUUAACAAUAUAUUCUUUGUAAAUUAUAUAGAUUAUAAAAGUAUUCAGUUGAAAUGUUAUUUAUGUUACUAAUUGGUAUUUUAAUUAACUAAACUACUUAAAGGUUUAUUUAGAUUAGUUUUUAGACCAAAAUUCUACAAUGCAAACUAUUUUUUAAAGAGUUAUACAAGCAUUUAUUUCUUUUAUACAAAAAAAAUCAAAAGGUGAAAAUUUUAAUAAAUAAUAUAUAUAAGAAGGUCUUACUUGUAUAUUAGUUGGAACGAUAAAAGGUGUCAAUUGAGGACAAUCUCUCACGUAUAACACAUGUAAAGAUGGCGAUGUCAGCACGAUGUCGUUUCUAUCCCUUCCUUUCAAUUGAGGCAAAUUAAUCAACACAACUUCAUUCAAUCGUGCAAGACCUUGGGACAUUGAGAUUAACACUUCUGGUCCUUGGAUUAUUUCUUGCAAUUGGGAGCAGCUCAGUAUCCUCAGAGUUUUCAAUUGCCCAAGACUAUUAGCAACACACAUUGGGAAGAGAAAUUUCAACUGAUUGCAUUCUCUGACUAGUACUUCCCUUAGGCAUUGGAAGCUUAUGGUUGAUACUUGUGAGUCUUGGAUUAUUUCUUCCAUUCCAAAGCAGCUCUCUAUCUUCAGAGUUUGCAAUUUUCCAAGACUAUUAGCAACACAAAUUGGGAAGAGAAAUUUCAAUUUAUUGCAUUUUGUGACUUGUAAUUCCCUUAGGCAUCGCAAGCUUAUGGUUGAUACUUGUGAGUCUUGAAUUAUUUCUUCCAUUCCAAAGCAACUCUCUAUCUUCAGAGUUUGCAAUUGCCCAAGACUAUUAGCAACACACGUUGGGAAGAGAAAUUUCAAUUUAUUGCAUUCUGUGACUUGUACUUCCCUUAGGCAUUGGAAGCUUAUGGUUGAUACCUGUGAGUCUUGGAUUAUUUCUUCCAUUCCAAAGCACCUCUCUAUCUUCAGAGUUUGCAAAUUGGGCACAUUUAGUUGUUUAGAGCUACCUUGAGCAACAAUAAUUGGAAAGAGAGAUUUCAAGCUUUCACAUUCCAAGAUAUCAAUUCGAAUCAGAUUUGGAAAGCAAACAGGUAGCGGAUGAUGUUGUGAUGACGUUUGAUAUUGCUCCAAUUCCUCAUAUUUACAUGACAGCAAAUUGCUCAAUUGUUCAUUUGUCAUCUUCCCAAACACCAAUUCCUAUAACAUAUCAUCAAUUUUCAAUUUCAAAAUGUUCAAAGAUGCCAACAACUAAUUUAACAUUUCAUCAAUUAAUUUCCUUACAAAAAAUUUAUUUUACCUUAAAUCAAUAUUAUACUCCAAAAAUGUGGUACAAAAACAGUCAUAAAUAAUAUCACAUAAUCUGUACAACGCAAUUGGGAAUUACUUAAACUCAUUUUCAUAUAUUAAUACAAAAUAAAAAACCAACUGUGUAAAAGGCUAUAUUUUAAAAAAAUUAAAUCUAUUUUUUUUAGUUUAUUUUUUAAUACAAAUUCUAAAAUCAUUCAUAAUUCCUUCCAAUAUUUAAAUAGAAAGAUACACGUGAGUGCACUCGAACCCACAUCUUCCUAUUCAGACAAUAACAUCGAUACCAACCAAACUAAAACUUAUAUAUAAUUUUAUACAGCUUAUUUUUGUUUACCCAUAUAAUAGGUAUAAUAUUAUUUAGUAUUAGAAUUUGCAACAUCUAAAACAUAAAGUUUGAAUAAUUUUUAUUUUUGAAAAUUUUAUUAAUCUUAUUAUAUGGUAUUAUAAUCAACUAAUUUGUUUAAAAGGUUAUUUAGAUUAGUUUUAGACCAAAAUCAUAAAAUAAAAUAUAUCUUUUAAACAACUAUACAAACAAUGAAUUAUUAAAGAAAAAAUAGAAACAAAUAAAGAAAUAAUAUAAAACAAAAAGAAAAAUCUUACUUGUAUCGUAGUCGAAAUAAUAAAAUGUGUCAAUUGAGGACAAUUGUGUACUUUUAACUUCUGCAAAGACGAUUGUGUGAGCAAAAUGCCGUUCACAUCCGUUUUUUUCAAUUGACGCAAGUCAAUCAACGAAACCUAAAAUGAAAAGCAUAAUCAAAUUUCCCAAUCUUUGACCAUAGGACAAUAAGGAAAAGAAAUGUCAAGUUAUUGCAGUGAGAUACACAUACUUUCCUUAGACUUUGGAGUAGACAUUUGUAUUCCACUUGUCGGUCUUCGAUUAUAUCUUCCAAUUGCGAGCAACUCUUUAUCUUCAAAGUAUGCAAUUGCCCAAGGUUAUUAGCUACUGACAUUGGGAAGAUAUAUUUCAAAUUAUUGCAUCCCUCUAUUUCAACAAUCUUCAGACUUUGGAGGCUUAAAUGACGACUGGGCCCUUCUUGUUCUAUGCUCCUCAAUUCAGCAAUUGGGAAUAACACUUGCAUCUCACCACAAUCUGAAACUACAACCUCUUCAAGCUUUUGUAAAAAACCUUGCGGCUGGAGAGCAUUGCACAUCUCUUCCAAAUGAAACAUACGACUUAAUGAUAACUUUCUCAAAUUAGAGAGUGCAGUGAUUGGCACUUGCUGCUUUGGUGCAUCAAUUAGGCAUUGCAUAGAGUGGCACUGUCGAAGAUCUAGAGAAGUCAACUUUCUAAAUCCCAAGUCCAAGCUCGGAAUAAGGUUUGGGUGACCCUCCACAUCACCCAAUUCAAGAGAUUCUACAUCUUCAAGUAGUUGCUUGCAUGCAUCUACAGACUUAUUGAUUCUCAAAGAUCUUGAGAUUGGACAAGUUUCAAGGUCCCUCUUUCGGUACCACAGUUCUCUUUUCAUGCCAAUGCAAAAAUCAAAGCUCCAUAAUCUAUGAAACACAAAGCCAUCUGGAAGAUGUUCAGAAGAAAUAUCCAAUGAUAUUAUAACCAACUUUGGCAAUAAAUUCAACUCUGAUAGGCUGGAAUAGCUUUCCCUUUUAGUUGAAUUCUCAGUCGCCCAUUUUAAUGAACUACAACCAUGCAAAUAUAGUUCUUCUAAAUUGGACAAUCUUCGCAUUAAAUUAGGAGUGAUUCUUCGUAGUUCAUAGCAAUACGAUAAAUCCAACAGUCUUAGAUUUUCCAAAUCACCAGCUUCAGUCGGCAAUUCAGUGAUAUCAGAUCGACUUAAAGAGAGAAUAUGAAGUGUCUUCAGCUUCCCAAGCAUUGAGAUGUCAGAGAGUUUACAAUCAAUCAAACACAAAGUUCGAAGGUUCAUAUUAAACUUAAAUGCAGCUAGAGAUAUCAAUUGAUCUUUCAAAGCACAAACUUGUAAUGCCUUCAUACCCUCAAAGAAUUCGCUUGAAGUUUCCAUGAAACGAUUGCCACAAUGUAAAAGAAGUUUGAGGUAUGGAAAACCCACUCCUUUAGGAAGUUCAUCCGUUUGAUCAGUUUCGAAGGAGAUUGCUGUGUAAUGCUUGAAACUUUCAUCCAUCUGGAGUGUUUCAACAGUCCCAAAAGAAAUCUCCUUUCUUGAAGAUGCUAUCCACAAAGCAAAUUGGCGAACCACGUCAUGCAUUUUGACAUGCCUUUCUCCGCAAUCUAGCAACAAACCGGAGUUCUUGAGGGUCUCAAUUGAUGCAAGCACUUCACUUCUAACAUCUUUAAUUGAGUCCAUGCCUUUAUACAACUCUAGUCCCCAUGCAUAUCCUGCCAAGUUCUCCACAUAAAUCUCAUCAUCUUCAGGAAAUAAGGAGCACAACAAGAAACAUGUCUUGGUCUCCAUAUUCUUCAAGUAGUCGAAGCUCGCCUCAAGACAUACAUAGGCAUUUUAUUCAUUAACAUCCUCAAUUUCAGUCAAUCUACGAUCUUUGAGUCUCCGGUAUGCAGCUUGCCACUCAUGAUGGGUUUUACCUUUCAAGGCACUUCCCAGCGGAACUAUAGCUAUAGGCAAACCCCCGCAUUUUUUGACAAUUUGAUUUGCUAGGAUUGUAAUAGAAUCAUCAGAAAAGUCAUCUAGACCUGCUUUCUUUUCAAACAGAGUCUAAGCUUCAUCAUCAUUCAAACAGACAAGUUGUACCACGUUUUGACAAUCCAUAGCUUGACACACUGGUUGACGGCGUGUUGUUAAAAGAACUUUGCAGCCUUUAUGAUCAUCCCCAAUUGGAAUUCCUAUCUUCUCCUUUAAGUUGAUAGGUUCCCAAAUAUCAUCAAGGAUGAUAAGAAUCCUCUGUUCUUUCUUCAGCCUCAACCAUAAUUCUUUCUCGGAUCUUCUUCCUUGUUGUUGGAACAAUGGCAGCAGCAAACAUCAAACAAAGUUACAACACAGUGUUUGUAAGACUGAAACAAGAAGAAUCGAAGCAAAGAAAAAGUAAAGCAAUGAACAAAAAAUGAAUACUCAGCAAAGUUGUAACUGAACAUUACAAAAUUCAUUCAAAAUUUGAAAUAAAAGGAGUUACAAUUUGUUCAUUUGACAGUUACCUACUAAUCUAACUGCCUCCACUAAUUUACAACCAAUGUAAGCUUAAGUCAAAUACAAAAUGAGCUGACAUAUCAGCUUUUACAUCAGCUAUCUAAUCACUAACUUAAUCUUACUAACUAUUAAAGCUAGUUGCAAUUAAACUGAACUAAAUUACAACAAAACAAAACAGCAAUGUCAGUUGCUUCAUUUGGUCUGAAAACCAUUCGUGCGCACCAAGCAAAAUGAGCUGAGCUCGAUAGCUGCUGGUCUCGACAGUAGCAUGCUUCUGGCUCCUUGUUGCAUUGCAGUCCAGCUUUCAACACUCCUCCUUGGACUGUAUGCAACACAUUCCAAUUGCACUUCUCAAAGAUUCAAAUCGAGCAGCCCCCAAGGAUUUGGUCAUUAUGUCAGCCAAUUGUGCCCCUGAGCUGCAAUGCACAAGGCUGACUUCCUUUGCUUGUUCAGCCUCUCUAACAAAAUGAAAUUUGAUUUUAAAAUGCUUAGUCUUACCAUGGAACACAGGGUUCUUGGCUAUUGCAACUGCAGACUGAUUAUCCACCCAAAUUUCAGUUGCUUCAUCUUGAGUUUCAUUAAGGUCAUGAAGCAGCUUCCUUAGCCAAAUGGCAUGAUUAACUGCUCCUACUGCAGCAAUGUAUUCUGCUUCAGCUGUGGACUGAGCAACAGUUUGCUGCUUUUUUGAACUCCAGCAAAACAUCCCCGAUCCAAGUGUGAAGAAGUAUCCUGAGGUACUCUUCAUGUCAUCAAGGGAUCCUGCCCAGUCACUGUCAGAGUAGCCUUCUAGUUUUAGUUGGUUCCCACUUUCAAACAUUACACCAAAACUAGCAGUGCCCUUGAUGUAUCUAAGGACCCUCUUUGCUGCCUUCAAAUGUGCCUCAUUGCAACAAUGCAUAAAUCUCGACAAUAGGCUGACACCAAACAUGAUGUCUGGCCUGGUUGCUGUUAGAUACAACAGACAACCAACUAGGCUUCGAUAGUGCCUCUCAUCAACCCUCUGCUGAUCACCACUGCUAGUCAGCUUUUCUCCUUGGGCCACAGGUGUGCUGACUGCUUUACAGUUAUGCAUGCAGAAUUUGUCUAGGAUCUUCAAAGCAAAUGAGUGUUGGCUGAUGAAGAUACCUCGAUCAGACUGGUGAACUUCUAUGCCAAGGAAGUAAGUCAUGAUCCCCAAAUCUAUCAUUUCAAACACUUGCUGUAUUUGGACCUUGAACUCAUCAAUGAGCCCAACUUUGCUCCCUGUCAUAAGCAAAUCAUCCACAUACAAGGAGACAAUUAGCAAGGUUUCAUGUUCUGACCUUUUAACAUACAGAGUAGGCUCACUAAGGCUCUUCACAAAUCCAAGUUUGGUCAGGUAAGCAUCAACUCUGUCAUACCAGGCCCUUGGUGCCUGUUUCAGGCCAUAGAGGGCCUUUCUCAACUUAUACACUUUGUCUUCAUGUCCAACAACUUCAAAACCUUCAGGUUGCUCGAUGAAGAUCUCCUCCUUGAGAAAACCAUUCAGGAAUGCUGAUUUGACAUCCAAUUGGUGAACUCUCCACUGCUUCUGAGCUGCUAAAGCAAACAGCAGCUUAAUUGUAUCCAGUCUUGCCACUGGAGCAAAAGUUUCUAGGUAGUCCAUACCAUACUGCUGACUGUAGCCCUUCACCACAAGCCUGGCCUUGUGCUUGUUCAGUGAGCCAUCAGCAUUGUACUUGGCCCGGUACACCCAUUUUACUCCUAUGACCUUCUUGUGUUCUGGUCUGCUCACCAACACCCAAGUCUGAUUUUUAUUGAUCAUUUCCAACUCAGCUUCCAUAGCUUUCAUCCAGCUUCUGUCCUUGGCAGCCUCUUCAAAGUCUGAGGGCUCAAUCACAGCAACAUUGCACCUCUGAUAGACAUCAGCCAAAGUUCUGGUGCCCCUCACUGGUGUAUCAUCAACAGCAUCAUUACUUGGUCCUUCUUCUGCAGGUUCAGCAACCAAGUCUAACUGGUCCAAUUCAGACAAGUCAGUCUCAACACCAUUCCAAUUCCACACCUUUUCCUCAUCAAACUUUACAUCCCUGCUGACUAAAACCUUCUUUGCUAAGGAUCAUACACUCUAUAGCCCUUCUUGUUGCUGCUGUAGCCAACAAAGAUUCCUGGUGUUGCUCUGCUCUCAAGCUUGGUCCUUUUCUCUACUGGAAUAAGUGCAUAACAUACACAGCCAAACACUUUUAAGUGUGUUACCACAGGUUUGACUCCAUGCCAAGCCUCAAAAGGAGUCUUAUCCUUGACUGCUCUAGUUGGCAGCCUGUUGAGCAGAUACACUGAGGUGUUGACUGCCUCAGCCCAAAACUGACUUGGAAGCUUGCCUUAAAACAAGAGGCACCUGGCCAUGUUCAGUACAGUCCUAUUCUUUCUCUCACAGACUUCAUUCUGUUGAGGAGUAUAGACUGUUGUGAGCUGAUGGUGAAUCCCAGCACUGUCACAAAGCUUCUGAAAUCUCUCAGACACAUAUUCAGAGCCAUUAUCAGUCCUCAAGGCUCUAAUUUUACAGCCUGACUGAUUUUCAGCAUAAGCCUUGAAUUUGCAGAAGGCUUCAAACACUUCUGACUUUUGCUUCAAGAAGUAGACCCAGCACAACCUUGUUAAAUCAUCUAUAAACAGGGCAAAGUACCUGUUCUCACUGAUUGAAGGUGUUCUCAUAGGGCCACAAACAUCAGAGUAUACCAAUUCGAGCUUGUUUUGAGCUCUCCAAGCACUGUCAGCAGGAAAAGGCAGUCUAGCCUAUUUACCAAGCUGACAAACCUCACAAACAUUCCCACUAACUUCAAUUUUUGAAAUGUCAUCAACCAAAUUCAGCCUAUGUAACAGAUCGAUGGAUCUAAAAUUUGCAUGGCCUAGUCUCCUAUGCCACAAGUCAGUGCUUUCAACAAGGCUGGUGUAUGCCUUUCUUUCUAUUUGGCUAACAUCCAGCAUGAAGCACCUAUCAGUCAUAGAGACUGUGACUAACUCCAGACCAUUCAUGUCUUGAACAAUACAGCAACCAUCCUUAAAAACCAAUGUAUAGCCCUUUUCAACUAAUUGGCCUACACUAAGCAAAUUCUGGUCUAAGUCAGGUACAAAAAACACAUCUGAGAUCAGCUUGUUACCUGAACCAGUGCUAAUCAACACACUGCCCUUGCCUUUAGCCUCAAUCUGCCUGUCAUCUCCAAUUCUAAUCCUCGAGUGGAAGCUUCUGUCUAGGCCCUUGAACAGCUUCUCAUCUGCUGCCAUAUGGUGUGAGCAGCCACUGUCUAGUAGCCAAUCAUUGCUGGCCUUGGUUGUGCAAACAAAACAAGUUGCUGUGAACACUUGCUCCUCCUGAGCUUGAAUGUCCUCAGCAGGUCUAGCUUGUUGCAGAGCAGCCUCCCUUGGUUUGCCCUUGCAUACCUUCUCCACAUGGCCAAACUGCUUGCAUUUUUUACACUGAAUAUCUGGCCUAAACCAGCAAUACUUUUCUGAAUGUGUUGUCUUCUUGCAAUGAACACAUGGUGGGAACACCCUUUUUGCUUCAUCUCUUCCUGACUUGACCCUUCUAUUGUGCCAAGGCUUCUUGCCUUUUGCACUCACACUCGAGCCUUCACUGGCUUUAGCCUGGAAAGCAGCUUCAGGAUUCUCCUCCUGCCUAUUUGCCCUCCUUUGCUCAAGUGCAUACAGGGAGUUUAUCAGCUCAGACAAUGAAAUGGCUGAUAAGUCCCUCGAGUCCUCAAGUGAAGAGAUUUUUGACUCAAAUUUCUCAAGGAGAGUUGUAAUGACCUUUUCAACAACUCUGCUCUCUGUGAAGUCCACUCCCAGGAGCCUAAUGCUGUUGACAAUGGCCAUUAUCCUGUCUGAGUACUGCUUGAUGGUCUCAGACUCCUUCAUCCUCAAAUUUUCAAAGUCUCUCCUGAGGUUGAUCACCUGCUGUUGCCUUGUCUUGUCAGUCCCCAUGAACUCCUCCUUCAGCUUGUCCCAAGCCUGCUUAGGUGUGUCACAUGCCAUGGUGCGUGUGAAUAUCACAUCAGACACUCCAUUCUGCAGACAGGCCAUAGCCUUGUGCUUCUUGGCUUGCUCAUCAGCAUGCUGCCUCAUUUGUGCAAUGGUGGGGUUGGCUCUCAAUGGAGGUUGUUCAGCAUCAUUCUCGAUCACACUCCAGAGAUCAUGUGCCUGGAGGUAAGUCUUCAUUUUGACUAUCCAAAUGUGAUAUUUUUCUCCAGUGAACACAGAUAGAGGAGGUGGAGUGAAACUCAUCCUGCUAGACUGAAUCCAAAUGCUUCGAUCUUACCAAAUUUUGAACUUGUUGUUGGUUUUGAUUCGAACACAACAGAUUGCAUACAAAGGCCCCUCAAAGACUCGGGCUCAUGAUACCAUUUGUUGGAACAAUGGUAGCAGCAAACAUCAAACAAAGUUACAACACAGUGUUUGUAAGACUGAAGCAAGAAGAAUCGAAGCAAAGAAAAAGCAAAGCAAUGAACAAAAAAUGAAUACUCAGCAAAGUUGUAACUGAACAUUACAAAAUUCAUUCAAAAUUUGAAAUAAAAGGAGUUACAAUUUGUUCAUUUGACAGUUACCUACUAAUCUAACUGCCUCCACUAAUUUACAACCAAUGUAAGCUUAAGUCAAAUACAAAAUGAGCUGACAUAUCAGCUUUUACAUCAGCUAUCUAAUCACUAACUUAAUCUUACUAACUAUUAAAGCUAGUUGCAAUUAAACUGAACUAAAUUACAACAAAACAAAACAUCAAUGUCAGUUGCUUCAUUUGGUCUGAAAACCAUUCGUGUGCACCAAGCAAAAUGAGCUGAGCUUGAUAGCUGUUGGUCUCGACAGUAGCAUGCUUCUGGCUCCAUGUUGCAUUGCAGUCCAACUUUCAACACUUGUUCAUUCUUCAUAUCAAAGCCUAUGUAUUGUGCAAUUUGAUCUUGAAUUCUCUCAAAAUUAGGCUUUUGAGACACAGUCGUAAUCAUAACUUUAUCAAACGAAUUCAAUUUUUUAUCAACUAAAUUCAGCUUUUAAGCUUGACUUCCAACUUCACGAGCCAGGGUGGUCUUGCCCACCCCUCCCAUCCCCCACAACCCAAUCAUGUUGAUAUUCUCAUCUUUUAAGGCUUCAAUGAUUUGAUUGAAAGCAGGCUUCGAAGAUUCCGAAACCACAAAUUCCUUAGAACAUAGGAAGUCUAUAGUGGGAAGGGCAGUAGGAGCAGGGUAACCGACUGGUCCAAGUUGACCAAAUUUGUCCAAAAGCUCAGAGAUAUCCUGGAUUUUCUUCAUUGCUUUCUUGCUUAAUUGAUAUCUCCAACUCCAAUUAGGACACCAAUUGAGACACAUCUUAUUCAGUUGGAUUUCCUCCUCCAGAGUUCUCAUAUCUGACAGUGUUUCGUCUGCCCUUGAUUGCAAGUUCUGUACAUCAUUUUCAAUUAGUAGAAGCCGAUUUUUAGCAUCCUCAAUCUUAUGUAGUAGACGAUCUAGUGCAUCUGCAAGUUCACACUUUUUCUCUCGGAGCUUUUCAACAUUGUCAUGAAAGCGACGGACAUAAUCAAGUUGACGUCCUACCGGCUUCACCACGGAGUCCACAACCAGUGUUCCAACUGUGUUAGAAAGAGCAGCCGCACAAAAUCCGCAACCCAUGCUUGACAAGCUCAAAUUGAAGAAUAUGAUGUUCCAAGUUCAAACACUGUAGUGAAUCAUAAGUAAUUACCAUUAAAAAAAAUUAAAGAAUCAAAAAGUGCUUUGAAGAUUAAGACACUACUUCUUAUACAUACCAAGGAUGGUGAAAGACAACUCAACCUAUGAGAAUCAAUGGGCUGUUCUUUCAACUCAGUCCAGCUGAAAACACAACGAGAAAUUUAAUAAACAAAUAAAAUCAUAUACGAGUGUAAUGUCAUAUAAUUAUAACUAAAAAAGAGAGUUAAUUACUUAUAAAAAUAAUAAUUGAAAAUAUUUUAACCCUCACACUAAUAAUAUUAUAGAUAUAAUGCUGGAAAAUAUAAUAAACAUAUCCACUUACCAUUUCAAAAUCCAAACAGUCUUUUAGCGCUUACUUGCUUCAAGAAAAACAUUAAAAGAUGAGAUCAGAUCAAUUUAUAUAUAAAAAAAAACAGAAAUGAAGCAUAUAUAAAUAGAUUUAAUUUAUACGAAGAUUCUUACUUCAAAACAACAAAAGGAACUUGAAGAUGAGAUCAAAAAUAUAUAUAUAACAAAUUUAAUUUCUAUAUAACACAAAUAUAAAUAGAUUUUCCUCACUUGGGAACUUCAAAAUCAAACUACACUUAGGUGGGUUUAGAUGGGCGGUGCGUUUACCUGCGGUUAGUGUAAAAAUAACAAUGGCGGUGAAAUUAGAUACUGUUGAGAAGAUCCUUACUACUUCAAAUCAAUCAAAAGGGAUUUGAAAGUUGGUUUUUUUUUUUUGAGCAAAAGUAAGUAAAACUGAAUACAAAAAGAAAGGAACUUGAAGGAAGGGAAAUAAAAAGAAAAAACAACAAAGUAGAAAUCAAGGUUGAACUAAAAAAAAAGGAGAAACUUUCAGAAAGAAAUUGAAGUUGAUCAGCCUCGAAAAGUCAACCACUCGGAAAGCAUAAACUCUAACACAACUAGGUUUUCUUGGUUUAGUAGCCAAAGGAUUUGUGUUAUGAGAUUAGUGCAGUAUUGGAUCUAAAUUAUGAGGAUUUGUUUUUCUCAAUUGUAUUUUAGUGGAUUGAAAAGGAAAGAGGAAUCUUCAGUUUCUUUUUCUUAAUUUUCAUUUGUUAUUAGAAAUGAAAAUGGUUUUUCUUUAUUCAUUUGUAUACAUUUAAGGUGUAUUUUCUAUUAUUUACUUGUUAAAUUUUAUUUAUUUUUAUUAUAUAGAAAGCUCUUUUCCUCAAAAUUAACUAUAAAUAAGAAUAGAACUUUUGAAAUUUCAAACUCAUAUGAUAGACUUUCAAAAAUUCCAACGUUAAAAUUAUGGAUUUGUAUUAAAUUAUGGAUUUCGAAAACACAAAUUCCUUAGAACAUAGGAAAUCUAUAGUGGGAAGGGCAGUAGGAGCAGGGUAACCGACUGGUCCUAGUUGGCCAAAUUUGUCCAAAAGCUCAGAGAUAUCCUGGAUUUUCUUCAUUGCUUUCUUGCUUAAUUGCUACCUCCAACUCCAAUUAGGACACCAAUUGAGACACCUCUUAUUCAGUUGGAUUUCCUCCUCCAGAGUUCCCAUAUCCGACAGUGUUUCGGCUGCCCUUGAUUGCAAGUUCUGUACAUCAUUGUCAAUUAGUAGAAGCCGAUUUUUAGCAUCCUCAAUCUUAUGUAGUAGACGAUCUCGUUCAUCUGCAAGUUCACGCUUUUUCUCUCGGAGCUUUUCAACAUUGUCAUGAAAGCGACGGACAUAAUCAAGUUGACGUCCUACGUACCGGCUUCACCACACAGUCUACAACCAGUGUUUCAACUGUAUUAGAAAGAGCAGCCUCACAAAAUCCGCAACCCAUGCUUGACAAGCUCAAAUUGAAGAAUAUGAUGUUCCAAGUUCAAACACUGCAGUGAAUCAUAAGUAAUUACCAUUAAAAAAAAUUUUAAAGAAUCAAAAAGUGUUUUGAAGGUUAAGAUACUACUUCUUAUACAUACCAAGGAAGGUGAAAGACAACUCAAACUAUGAGAAUCAGUGGGCUGUUCUUUCAACUCGGUCCAGCUGAAAACACAACACAAAACGCGAAUAUUAAGAGAAAUUUAAAAAACAAAUAAAAUCAUAUACGAGUGUAAUGUCAUAUAAUUAUAACUAAAAAAGGCAGUUAAUUACUGAUAAAAAUAAUAAUUCAAAAUACUGUUACCCUCACACUAAUAAUAUUAUAGAUAUAAUGCUGGAAAAUAUAAUAAACAUAUCCACUUACCAUUUCAAAAUCCAAACAGUCUUUUAGCUCUUACUUGCUUCAAGAAAAACAUAAAAAGAUGAGAUGAGAUCAAAAAAAUAUAGAAAAGCUUCAAUUUAUAUAUAAAAAAACAGAAAUGAAGCAUAUAUAAAUAGGUUUACCUCACUUGGGAACUUCUAAAAUCAAACUACGCUUAGUGCUCAGAAGAUUGUUACUUCAAAACAAUCAAAAGGGAGGGAUUUGAAGGUUGGUUUUUUUUUUCUUUAGCAAAAGUAAGUAAAACUGAAUACAAAAAGAAAGGAACUUGAAGAAAGGGAGGGAAAAAAGAAGAACAUAAAAAGAUCAGAUGAGAUCAAAAAUAUAUAACACAAAUAUAAAUAGAUUUUUCUCACUUGGGAACUUCAAAAUCAAACUACAUGUUGCGCGGAAGCGUGUAAAAGAGUAAAAUUAUUGUACUAAAAAAUCACACUAAGUUCAAUUCCUAGGAAAGAGAGGUGGAUCACGAGGAUCGCUUAAAUACCAGGUCUUUCCUAGCAAGAAUAUCCCUCUAUCGUAAUUUAAUAGCACAAUAAAUGACUACAAUCACACUCGCAAAAUAUGCAAAAUAAACAAUAAAGAACACUAGAAUUUUAACGAGGUUCAGCAAAUUUUGCCUACGUCCUCAGGCAUUACCAAAUAUAUUUCACUCCAAAAUACAAGUGAAAAUUUAUAAAUAAGGAGCGAGAACAAUGCCUUAAGUAGAGAAUGGCAUUUGUGGGAUGUAGAAAAUGAGAAAUAGCUAGGCCUAUUUAUAGUUGAAGCUCAAGGAUCAACUUGCAAAGUCCCUAUACAAUUAGAGACCAAAAUUGCAAUUAUCACAAGACAAAUUUCAACCCAAAAAUCUAUGCCUUAAAUGCUUAGAUUUUUCGGUGCCAAAUUUCUGACACCAUUCAUCUUUGAAAAGUCAAGAUGGUUGCUAAUAAUCUCUACCUUGAAGAUUUGAUAAGGAUAAUCUUAUCUUCACACAUUUCUUUCUGCCUUUGACAACAAUACUUGAUAGUGCCUUCUUCAUCUGUUAAACUUGCAGGAUAUUGAUCAAGUUCAAACAAUGUUCGAACUUGAUUGUUGUUACCACCUUGGUCAUCAUAUCUGUGGGAUUGUCUACAGUCUUAAUCUUCUGAAGAGAAAUUUUCCCCUCAUCAAUAAUUUCCCGCACAAAAUGGAAUCGUACAUCGAUAUGCUUUGUAUGUGCAUGAUAGACUUGAUUCUUUGCUAGAUGAAUAGCACUUUGACUAUCACAAAACACGUUAAUAUGCUCCUGAACCAAUCCCAAGGUUUUAGCCAUACCUUGUAACCAAAUAGCUUCCUUUACAGCCUCUGUUACAGCCAUGUAUUCGGCUUCUGUGGUUGACAAUGCAACUGUAGACUGCAGUGUAGACUUCUAACUUAUUGGUCCUCCAGCAAGUGUAAACACAUAACCAGUGGUUGAUCUUCGUUUGCCCAAAUCAUCGGCAUAGUCAGAAUCAACGUACUCGAUAACACCUUUACCAAGUGUAGUAUCCUACUUGAAUAGUAAUCCAACAUCCACGGUCUUCAGAAUAUACCGUAGAAUCCAUUUCACAGCUUGCCAAUGUCCUUUUCCAGGAUUAUGCAUAUACCUGCUCACUAUACUAACUGCCUGUGAAAUGUCGGGUCUUGUACACACCAUUGCAUACAUCAAGCUACCCACUGUAUUAGAAUACGGAACUUGUAACAUGUAUUCUCGUUCCGUAUUCGUCGAAGGAGAUAGUUGUGCAGAAAGCUUGAAAUGAGAAGCCAACGGGGUACUUACAGGUUUUGUCUGCUCAUUCAUGCCAAACUGCUGUAGUACUUUCUUCAAAAACUGCUUCUGAGACAAACUAACUGUAGUACUUUCUUCAAAAACUGCUUCUGAGACAAACUAACUCUUCCAUGAGCUCUAUCUCUACAUAUUUCCAUGCCAAGAAUCUUCUUAGCUUCACCUAGAUCUUUCAUCUCAAAUUCAAGAUUGAGUUGAGUCUUCAAUUUCUCAAUCUCAACUUUGCUCUCAGAUACUAUUAGCAUAUCAUCAACAUAUAAGAGCAAGUAUAUGAAAUUUCCUACUUGUAGCUUUUGAAAAUACACGCAAUGAUCAAAUUUACUUCUUGUGUACCUUUGCCCUUUCAUGAACUGAUCAAAUCGCUUGUAUCACUGCCUCGGAGAUUGUUUCAAUCCAUAAAGUGACUUCGUCAGUUUGCAAACCCAAUUUUCUUUAUCAACAACCUUGAAUCCAUCAGGCUAAGUCAUAUAGAUUUCCUCUUCCAAAUCUCCGUGUAAAAAAGUCAUCUUCACAUCAAGCUGAACUAGUUCAAGGUCAUAUUGCGCAACAAGGCUAGCAAAAUCUGAAUAGACGAAUGCUUCACAAUUGGAGAAAACACUUCAUUGUAGUCUAUUCCUUCUUUUUGAGCAUAACCCUUUGCUACCAAUCUAGCCUUGUAUCGAAUUUCAUUUUUACCAGGAAAUCCUUCCUUCUUUGCAUAUACCCAUUUGCAUUAAAUUGCCUUCUUUCCCUUGGGCAGUGUCACCAACUCCCAAGUCCUAUUUUUAUGAAGAGACUGCAUUUCUUCAUUCAUAGCUUGCUUCCACUUUACACCAUCAGGGUUACAUAUUGCUUCUGUGUAAGAAGAAAGAACAUCAUCAUCUGCAAUUGGAAGUGCAUAGGCCACUAUAUCAUCAAAGCGAGCAGGCUUACGAAUCUCUCUUCUUGGCCUCCUAUAUGCAAUUGAAUCUUGUUGCUGUAGAAGUUCUUGGGUCAAAACUUCUUCAUCAUUUGUUCCUUCAAUAUUAGCUGGAUCAUUAUUAACCUUUUAAAGCUCCACCUGCUACAAAGUGCCACUGGUUUUAUCAUCCUUUUGUGAAUCCUUGUUCUUCAUCAUGGUUGAUUCAUCAAAAGUCACAUCUCUAAUGAAAACAAUCUUCCUUGUAUCAAGACAUCAGAGAUGGUAUCCUUUUACUCCACCAGUUAUACCCAUGAAUAAUGCUUUCUUUGCUCUUGGGUCUAACUUAGAUUCUUUUACAUGAUAAUAUGCAGUGGAACCAAAAACAUGUAAAGAAUCAUAAUCAGUAGCAGGUUUACCAGUCCACAUCUCUAUAGGAGUUUUUCCAUUUAUUGCAGCUGAUGGCAACCGGUUAAUCAGAUGGCACACAUAUGUAACUGCCUCAGCCCAAAAUUCCUUGCCCAAUCCAGCAUUGGAUAUCAUACAUCGAACUUUCUCCAGUAUAGUCUGAUUCAUACGUUCUGUCACCCCAUUCUGUUGUGGUGUAUCCCGAACAGUGAAGUGUCGCACAAUGCCCUUAUCUUGACAUACUUGUAGAAAUGGAUCAUUUUUGUACUCAGUACCAUUAUCUAAUCGAAGUCGUUUGACCUUUCGACCAGUCUGAGUCCCCACCAUCUUCUUCCAUUUCAGAAAUGCAUCCAAAACUUCACUUUUUCUUUUCAUUAGAUACACUCAUACUUUUCUUGAAUAAUCAUAAACAAAAGUAACAAAAUAGUGCAUACCUCCCAAAGAAGCCACUUUUGUAGGUCCUCACACGUCACUGUGAACAUAGUCCAAAAUUCCUUCCGUAUUGUGAAUUGAUGAACCAAAUUUUACCCUCGUCUGCUUGUCCAGAACAAAAUGUUCACAGAACUCCAAUUUGUAAGAAUUUACACCUUUCAACAAGUCUUGCUUCGCCAAAGUCUGCAAAGUUUUUUCACCAGCAUGUCCCAAUCGCAUAUGCCGUAACCUGGUAGCCUCUGAAUCUGCAUCUUUCGCAGAAACUAUUGAUGUUGAUCCAAUAACUGUACUUCCAUUUAAAUAGUACAAGUUAUUUCUUCUAGUGCCUUUUAUCACUGUCAAUACCCCAGCUACUACCUUUAGUAAUCCAUCUCUCAAAGUGAUUGUGAGCCCUUUAGAUUCUAGGGCCCUUAAUGAGAUGAGAUUUUUCUUCAAGCUAGGUAUAUAACGAACAUCCGUCAAGACUUGGAUUGAGCCCUCGUGAUUCUUUAAUUUGAUUGUACCUACUCCCAUUGUUUUAUAAGCACUGUCAUUGCCCAUAAAAACAACUCCACCUUCUAGUUCUUCAAGACUAGAAAACCAGUCCUUAUUAGACACAUAUGGUAAGUACAUCCCGAAUCCAAGAUCCACUCAUCCGUAUGACAUGUCAUUACCAUGCCAACCAAGCUAAAGUCUGACUCCUCAUCAUACUCCAUUACACAUGCAUCAGAAAUAGCCUUGCCCUUUUGUAACUUAGGACAAUUCUUUUUCCAAUGCCCUUUCUCACGACAAAAAGCACAUUCAUCUUUGGCGGGUCUCCCUUUAGACUUGCCCCUUCUACCAGGUUUGUUGCUGUGUGAACGACCUCUUACUGUUAAGACUUCUACAAUUGUAUCUCUGUGAUCUCUUUUAUCUUUCUUUUGAGUCUCAGAUCUGUACAACGCACUGCAGACUGCAUCAAAUGUGAUCGUAUCCUUUCCAUGAAGCAAUGUAGUGGUAAGAUGAUCAUAUUCAUCAGGAAGAGAAUUCAAAAACAAUAAUGCCUUGUCUUCAUCUUCAAAUUUCUCAUCCAAAUUUAGUAAGUCUGCUAAAAUUUUAUUGUAUGAGUUCACAUGGUCAUUCAUCGACAUACCGGGUGCAUAAGUGAAUCGAAAAAGUUUCUUUUUCAUAUAAAGCCUAUUUUCAAGACUUUUUGUUAGAAACUUUUCUUCCAGUGUAUCCCACAACUUCUUCGCUGAUGUCUCCCUCAUGACAGAGUACUUCUGCUCUUUGGCCAAACAUAGGCGGACUGUACCAUACGCCUGUCUAUUGAUCUUGGUCCACUCCUUGUCAUCCAUCUUGUUAGGUUUUUCUUCAAGGGCUAUAUCCAACUCUUGCUGACAUAAGACAUCCAAGAUCUCACAUUGCCACAUACCAAAAUUAUUGGUAUCAUCAAAUUUCUCUACUUCAAAUUUUGCAUUGGUCACGGUAGUCUUUGUUGAUGACGAUGUCUCUGCCAUUUUUCUCCUCGAUCCCAACUACUGUAUAUGUGAAUAGUAUCAUCUAUAUGAAUAGUACCGUGGAUGAACAAUACUGUAUACGUAAAUAGUAUCGUAAACAGUAGUAUUCCCCAAGUACGAAUCUAGCUCUGAUACCAAUUGUAGCACGGAAGCGUGUAAAAGAGUAAAAUUAUUGUACUAAAAAAUCACACUAAGUUCAAUUCCCAGGAAAGAGAGGUGGAUCACGAGGAUCACUUAAGUACCAGGUCUUUCCUAGCCAGAAUAUCCCUCUAUCGUAAUUUAAUAGCACAAUAAAUCACUACAAUCACACUCGCAAAAUAUGCAAAAUAAACCAUAAAGAACACUAGAAUUUUAACGAGGUUCAGCAAAUUUUGCCUACGUCCUCAGGCAUUACCAAAUAUAUUUCACUCCAAAAUACAAGUGAAAAUUUACAAAUAAGGAGAGAGAACAAUGCCUUAAGUAGAGAAUGGCAUUUGUGGGAUGUAGAAAAUGAGAAAUAGCUAGGCCUAUUUAUAGUUGAAGCUCAAGGAUCAACUUGUAAAGUCCCUAUAAAAUUAGGGACCAAAAUUGCAAUUAUCCCAAGCCAAAUUUCAACCCAAAAAUCUAUGCCUUAAAUGCUUAGAUUUUCGGUGUCAAAUUUCUGACACCAUUCAUCUUUGAAAAGUCAAGAUGGUUGCUAAUACUACACUUAGUGUUGAGAAGAUUCUUACUACUUAAAUACAAUCAAAAGGGAUUUGAAGGUUGGGUUUUUUUUUAGCAAAAGUAAGUAAAACUGAAUACAAAAAGAAAGGAACUUGAAAGAAGGGGAAACAAAGUAGAAAUCAAGGUUGAACUAAAAAAAAAAAGGAGAAACUUUCAGAAAGAAAUUGAAAUUGAUCUGCCUGGAAAAGUCAACCACUCGGAAAGCAUAAACUCUAACACAACUGGGUUUUCUUGGUUUAGUAGCCAAAGGAUCUGUGUUAUGAGAUUAGUGCAGUAUUGGAUUUAAAUUAUGAGGAUUUUUUUUUGAUUGGUACUGAUUGGUUUGCCACAUGACAUGAAAUGGUAGAGGAUGACUUAGAAAAAAGUGAAGUCUUUGUGUUAAUUAUUUAUAUGAUUUUCAAUACAUUUAAAAUAUCUACUUUUCUGCAGUUUCUUUUUCUUAAUUUUCAUUUGUUAUUAGAAAUGAAAAUGAUUUUUCUUUAUUCAUUUGUAUACAUUUAAUGUGUAUUUUCUAUUAUUUAUUUGUUUGCAAAUUUUAGAGACAAACGUAAGUAUACUUGUUAACAUUUAUUUAUUUUUAUUAUAUAGAAAACUCUUUUCCUCAAAAUUAACUAUAAAUAACAAUAUAGAGUUUUUGAAAUUUCGAACUCAUACGAGAGACUUUCAAAAAUUCCAAUGUUAAAAUUAUGAAUUUGGAUUAAAUUAUUUAAAAAUGUCGCAAAACAAAAUUACCAGAAUAGGCAAUCUUUUGUAAAAAGUAUAGAAAUAGGUCAAUUUUACAAAAACACUCCUAGUUAUAAACUUUUUUAGCUAAUUUGCAGAAAAACACUUCCAGUUUGAAGCAUUUUCAAUAUGUUGCCAAAAAAAUGCUUCUAGCUGAAAGCGCUUUCUACCAAAUCAGCCAAAAGCAUUUUCCUCCAACGAUAACUCCAAUGACUACUUUCUCCAACGAUUAUUUAAUUAGCCAUUGGACCCUCCACCCACUCUCUACGGUCCCAUUUUAUUAUAUAACCCUUCCCCAUUUCAUUUUUCUUCCAAUUCAAUCUCAAAUCUCUCUCAAAUUUCUCUAAAUUCCCUUUUAAAUCCCACUCAAAAUUUAUUUCUCUCUCAACUUUAUUUUUUUAUUAAAAUUAUCUCAACAUUUUCAUAAAUUAUUUUUUCUAUUACAAAUUAUUCGGUGUUUUUCAAAAUUAGCAAUGACAAAAUCUCUAACUCGUUUUGAUGACAACCACAUUUCCGUUGACCAAUUGCAAAUGGUAGGAAUAUUUUUAAUUAUAUUUCAAUGUUGUUUAAUUUUACUAUUUCCUUGUUAUAUUUGAAUUUAAUCUUUUGUAUAUUUUUACCUAAAUAGGAAGAAUUUCAAAUUUUUGAGACGUAUAUUCGUAAUCUAUCCACUCCUCCAUCACCCUUGAUCGAACCCUACAUGAGAGAUGUCGAUUUUCCCAUGUGGCCCUUGUAGGUAAGGGGUGUAAGUUGGACCCGACACUCGUAAGCGCGUUAGUGAAAAAGUGGAGACUCAAGACACACACAUUUCAUCUUCCAUGCGGCGUGUGUACUAUCACUUUAGAGGACAUGCAACUAUAGCUUAGGUUACCGGUGGAUGGACUGGAAGUGACUGGGUCAGUUCAAGCAGCCGAUUGGAAAACUUUUAAAGAAGGUUCCAGAGAUGAUUUUUGGAGCCCAGAUAGAUAUGAGUUUGUUAAGAAGAAAUUUUGGUGGGCUUGAGAAGGAUUCAACUGAAGUCUAAAAAGAACAACACGCUUGGGUUGUAACACCCCAAAACUCGGCCUAGAAGUUAUGACUAGAUACUAAGUGAUUAAAUCAACUCAUUCAAAGCUUCGGUUCAAAUCAAACUCAAUGCAUGCUUCGAAAACAUAAAAUUUUGGCAAAACACCCAUUGAUGGUUAGAAAAGCCGAGUUCGAAAACACUUACUUAAAAUCCAUAAUUCACAUUCAAAAUCGCGCGUUUUGAAAGUACUAAUGUGAGCAGAUCAUUUCUAGUAUUAAAACAAUCAUUCGUUACAAACCAUAUAUUUUAUUUUCAAAAAAUACUUAAAUGAUUAUUUAAUCUUGUAGCGAAAAAUUUUCAAAGUUUGUUUUAGUCUGAAAAGCAAAAUCUAACUUAUUAGCUCGUGUGAUUUGCAGUUUAAUGCUCAAAAAUAUUAAAUGUUAACAAAUAUAACAAAAACCAAAACUAGGACCAAAAACAUAUUACAGUCCAAAAAUAAUUAAAUUGUAAACCCAUAAAUAUUUUAUCUGGUAACCAAUCUAAGCUCCCGCAUGUCGUCCGGUCCUAAGUUAGAAGUUAACCUAAAACAUAUUAAACAAACAAAUGAGCUAGGAGCCCAGUGUGUAUCUCAACCAACAAGCAUAAUUUUUAUUUAACAAGCACAUGUGUAAAUGUGAUCACAAAAUUUUACUUUAAUGUAUCAAUAACAUAUCAGAAUGUUAUAUUACUAGAAACAUAUGUAUUUCAGAUCAUAAUAUCAUAUAGCCGAAACAUAUUUCGAUUGUGGAAUAUCAUAAUUUCAUAUACAAAUAUAUCAUACUAGAAUGUCAUGUUUUUAGAAGUACAUAUGCCAUACCAGACCAGAACAAAUGAAGAUACAAAUCCUACAUUCAUCUGCUACACACCACCUCCGUCCAACGAAUCACACCAAUUAGGACUUCAAGAGUCCAUCCAUCCAAAUCACACUGGGUCGUGGUGGCAUGCCACUCAUAAUAGUGCACCUCAGUUGCCAAACAUAUAUCAUAGUUUAACCGCCGAAAAUGCAGUAAUGCUACUGUUGACACCAUUUUACGGAUAAAACGAGGUCGACUUGGGUUUUGAAAAACAAAAAUGAUAACUGGAGUCUCCACCAAUCCUUUUUGAUAAGGUGUGAUCGGAUCACCUUAAAAAGUGGUUGUUUUUAAUAAACAAUUUAAUUUUAUUAAAACAACGAUUUUGGUCCACGAAAUUCAAAAAAAAGGGUUCGGGAGUCGGUUACGUACGAGGAAGGAUUAGCACCCUCAUAAUGCCCAAAAAUUGGUACCUAGUUGAUUAGUUAAUGUCUUAAUGUCGAAAAUUAAAAACUUUAAAGAGAUUUAAAAUACGACCCUAUAUUUUAAAACUUAUAUGGAACGAGAUACUCGUUAAGAUCUUCUCAUUUCGGAAAGGAAAAUGUCACACCCAAUGAAUUAGGACACGAUAUUUUGUCUCUUCGAAAAUGCGCUUAUCUAAGAGCUCGCACAAUAAAAGUUAAAAGGAUAUUCAAUUGUUUAAGUCGUAUAAAAAUUGCAACCCAAUACGUUAGGGCACAAUUUCUCAAAAUACAAAACAUUGAAUAUUGCCUUUAUUUAUUAUUUAGGAAAAUCCUCAUCUCGAGAAAACAACGUGUCAUAUCAAUACGUUAGGACACAAUGUGUUGAAUUCCCGAUGAUGAGCUUUUUAUUUAUUUAUUUUUAUUAAAAGUGUUGACGCCAUUUUUUGAUAAAAACGGGGUCGACUUGGGUUUUGAAAAAUGAAAACGGGAGUCGCCACCAAUCCUUUUUUAUGAGGUGUGAUUGGAUCACCUCGAAAAGUGGUUGUUUUUAAUAAACCAUUUGAUUUUAUUAAAACAACGGUUUUGGUCCACGAAAUUUAGAAAAAUAGGUUUGGGAGUCGGUUACGCACAAGGAAGGAUUAGCACCCUCGAUACGCCCAAAAUUGGUACCUAGUUGAUUACUUAAUAUCUUUAGUGUCGAAAAUUUAAAACCUUGAAGAAUUUCAAAAAUACGAUCCUUAUUUUGAAAGAAAAGUUAUAAAAAAGGAUCUGCUCAUUAAGACUUUAGCAUUUCAGAAAGAGAAAAUGUCAUACCCAAUACGUUAGGGUGCGAUAUCUUACCUCUUCAGAAAUGAACCAGUCUAAACUCGCAUAGGAAAAUUUAAAAGAAUGUUUGAUUGUUUAAGUCAUAAAAAAAAUUGCAACCCAAUCAUGUUAAGAUACAAUUUCUUCAAAUGUUAAACAUUAAAUAUUACAUUUAUUUCGAAAAAUUCUCGUCUCGAGGAAUCAACGUAUCAUGUCCAAUGCAUUAGGACACGGCGUACUGAAUUCUCAAUAAUGAGUUUUAUUUAUGUCCUUUUUAAAAAAAAAGUAACCUCGAUUAUUUAGAUUCAACGAAGAAAAUCAGAACCCAAUACGUUAGGGCUCGAUUCUUUCGAGGAUCUCAAAUACCGAUUGUUACUUUUAUUUUUGAAUUUUUCGUUUUUUGAUAAAUCCAAGUAGAAGUAGGUGUAAAAUAACAAUAAUAAUGCAACAUAAAAAUAAUACAAAUGAAAUAAGAAAAGAUAAAUAAAUAAGAUGGCAAACAUAUAAUAAAAAGAAAUCAAUAAAUAGUAAAUACAAUUAAAUGUAAAGAGAUAUAUAUAAGCAUAAGUUAAAAUAUGUGUGUAUAUGUACAUGUAUUUACAAAGGUUAAAAUGCAUACAUAUAUAUAUUAUAAGAAAGGUAUACAUAAAUAUUACAAAACAUAAGAAUAUAUGUAUAUAGAUGAAAAUAUAUGCAUAUGUGGAAAAUAAAAUAAAAUAAAAUGACAUAAUAUAUAUAAACAAUAUACAUAUUUUAAUAUAUAUAAAAAAAACAUAUAUAUACAUAUGCAUAUAAAAUUGAGUAAGUAUAUUAAAUAGGUUAGAAAAGAAAAAUAAAUAAAUACAUUAGAAAAGAAAAAUAAAUAAAUACAUUAGAAAAGAAAAAUAAAUAAAUACAUAUAUAUACACACGUAUAUGUAUACGAAAACGAUUGUAUAAUAGUAAUAUAUUAAAACAAAUAUAUCUAAGAAUUUCAUAAGUGAAUAUAAGAAAACAUAAUACUAAUAAUAAUGUUAAUGAAUAUAAUAAUAAUAAUAGUAAAGAUAAUAAUAAUAAUAACUGAAUAAUAAAAUUGCUCAAAUAUGGACUGAAUCGAAAUAAAAACUAAAGUAUUGGGCGAAAUCGAAAUAAAAAACGAAAAAAGGAUUAAAUUGUGACGCCCGCCGAAAGAGGGAGGACCAAAAUGGUAAAUACUCCAAAGUCCCAAAACGCUGCGCUUCGAUGGGACUAAAAUAAAUCAAAAAUAAAAUUUUAGGGCUAAAUCAAAAAGAGUGAAAACAACGAAAUAGGACCAGAUUGUAAUGUGCUGUAAAAUAGGAGGGACUACGUGCAUAAAUAACCCAUUUUGUGAAAACACGCGGAUCGGGGACGGGUCACCGCGCGGGUCAGGGCCAAAACGACGUCGUUUUGGGGCUUAAGGACGCCGAAAAAAACGGCGUCGUUUUUCUGAACUAUAAAAGCAGCAUUUUCAGGAAAAAAAAUUCAUUUCAAACAUUUUGUAAAGAAAAAAAAAGGAGGGGGCCUUAUAUUCUCUGGGCAAAGUCCAGAUACCGGCCAAAGGGCCGCCGUGUCUCCAUCGCACCUCCGCCGGUAGCCGGCGCCAUUGCCGCCAUAUGCGGCCGCCGGAGAGUUAAAAAAAGUUCCCUUCUUCGGCCGAUCUAAAAGCAGGUAUUUUUUUCCUUUCUUUUUUACUCUAUUUGUAUAUAUAUAUGUAUAUGCCGUGUAUAAAAAAACUUGUAAAUAGGUUAGUGUUUUCGAAAUAUAAAAGAAGGAAACCUUGGAUCUGCUUCUGCUUUCGCUUUUUCUGCUUGAAUCUAUCUCUUUUUCUUUGUAUUUCUAAGUGACGUUUUACAAAGGAAAAUCGGGGAAGCAGAACCCCUAAAACCGAUAUCCAAAUUCGGCUUUUAUACAUUUAUUUGCUAGUACUGUCGUUUCUUCUUAAUUGUUUGCAGGCACUCGAUGGCGCCAGUGGAGAGGCGGUGGUGGCAGAGGACGUGACAGAGGCGGUGGGUUGGUGGCAGCAGUCAAGUGGAGGCUGCAGUCAAGUGGGGCACUAGGGUUUCAGAGACUGAAACCCUAGUCUGACUCCUUGUUGGGUCUGGGGAAUUGGGCUUCUUGGGCCUUUUAUUUGUAAUGGGCCCGUAACAAAAAGCGUUUUCCAUUAUUUAGAUCCAAAGAAAUUGAAACCAAAUGCGUUAAGGAUCAAUUUUCUCGAAUAUAAACAUAAAAUUUUACUUGUUUGAAAGUCGAAACUUAUGCGUCGAGAUAAAUUAAUCUAAUUUGAAAUAGUAUAAAUGAAACACGAGGUUAAUAUGCGUACAAAGCAAUACUGAAUACGAUAGCAUAAAAGUAAUACAAGUAAUAAAAAUGAACGAAUAAAAGGGACAAUUUAAUAACAUGUAAAAUAGCAAGCAUAAGCAAAUAAAAUUAAAAUGUUCUUUUAAAAUAAAAAUAAAUAAAUAAAAGAUAUGAAUAAAAUUUAUAGAAAUAUAAAGUAUAUAUAUAGGUAUCAAAAUUAUGAAGUACAAAAUAUGUAUGUGGAUAUAUAUAUACGUUUUAAAAUUAUACAAUAUAACAAAAAUAUAUGUGUAUAUAUGUAAAUUAUAAAAUAUAUGUACAUAUAAGUAUUAUAAAAAUGUAUAGAUGUAUGCAUAUAUUUUAAGACUAUAAAAUAUAUGGAAGAAUAUAUGUAUGUAUACGUAGUUUUAAGUUACAAAAUAUAUGUAAGAAAAAUGUAGGUGUGUAUGAAUUAUAAUAUAUAUAUAUAUGUGUAUUAUAUUAGAUUUACAUAGAAAACACAUAAGAAGAUUUAUGAUGAAAUUAAAUAUUAAUAUAUGAAGAAACUUAAUAUAAUAAUGCAUAAUAAAUUUAUAAUGCUGAUAAUAAUACCUUAUGAUUUUAAAACAGAAUAAUAAUAAUAAUGAUAGUAAUAAUAAUAAUAUUUUGAAAAUAUAAAUGGGUAUAAAUAAAUAAUGAAAUGAUAUUAUAAGAUAAUAAUAUUAAAAAUCCACAUAAGUAAACAAAUACCAAUGCAAACGUAAUUAAUGUAACAAUGAAUAAAAGAAUAAUGACAGUUAAUAAGCUAAGGUUUUAUAAUUAUAAAUGAAAUAGAUAAUAAAAUAAAAUAUAUUAAAGUAUUUAAAUGUAUGAGUAAAAGAUGCAAUAGAAGUGAUGUAAAAUUGAUUAAUUAGCAAUGUGAAAACAAUAAUAAAAGGGUAAAAUAAUAAAGAUAGCAAGAAUAAUAUGAAAUCAAUUAAUUUAACAAUAAAAUAACUAAAAUAACAAAAAGAAGGAUUAAAUUGAACUUAAGGAUGAAAUUUCGGGGCAAAUUAGUAAUAAUAAAUAAAAGGAAGGACUACCCUGAACGUGCGAAUAAUAUGGAGGGACUGAAAGGGAAAUUUUCCCUUCUCCUCCAAAACGACGUCGUUCGAAUAGCGACUGAACUGAAAUCGCAGAAAAUUAUGGGGUAAAUUUAAAGAAAUAUAAAACUUGAUUAAAAAAUGUUAACAAAGCGGAAGGACUAGGGUAGUAAUUAUACCCUAGUCACAAAACACGCGGAUCCUCCUGGUAAUGGGUUGGGUCACGCAAAACGGUGCCAUUUUGGCGCUGAGACCCCUAGGUGAAACGGUGCCGUUUUAAAUGCUAUAAAAACUAAAAAAAAACUUAAAUUUCAUUCUAAUCAGCUUCAAAAAUAAAUAAAUAAAAACAGACAAACACUCUCUGCCUUUCCCCUCAGCCAUUCGAAUUCGACCUAGGGUUCCGCCCUCCGUCCACCGUGCAACUGCCAUGGUUGCGGCCGACGAGGAAAAGAAAUGGGCUUUUGGCCCUUAUCUCGCAGUGCCGUUUGAGGGUCAAACCCUCUAGACGGCCAAAACAGAGGAGAACCCCAGCCUCCUUUCAAAUCCGAUCCUAACGGCGAUGGAGACUCCCCUCUCUUCGAUGAUGUGAUCACGAAAGUUCACCGGUGAGUCCCUUUUGCCUUUGUUAUUUUCUAUUUAAUAUAAAAAAAUAAAAUGAAAAAGAAACGCGAAUCUGAGAUAAAAAAAUCACCUUUUUGUUUUUUAUUACUCAAUCUCGUGAAAAAGAAAAGGGCCCCCCUUUUACAGUGUAUUUGGCUUUUGCCGAAAGAAAAGAAGAAAAAACCUAAAAGAAAAAUCCCCCCUAUUUUUACAAUGUAUUUCAGCUUUUGUAGCCCUUAUUCUUGCUGUUGGUACUGAUUUUGACUUGUUUGCAGGUGUAAGUUGCGGUGAUUGAAGCAAGUAGCAAAGUUGGUGGCUGCCAGAGGAGUGAUGUGAUGGAAGCGUGUGAGGCGUGCGGCGCAAGGGUGGUGGCAGAGACUAGGGUUCUGAAACCCUAGUUUUCAUUGGGUUUGGGCCAUGUUUGGGCCUAUUUUUGUAAAUGGGUUUUGGGUUUAUUUAUUUUUUUGUAAAAUGGACUGUUUAGGUUGGUUGCCAGGCCCGGGUAAAAUUGGGCUUACACAGCUACUAGAAAACACUUCCUCCAGCAAAUCAGAACCACCCCAAUGCAUAUGCUAAAUCACAUUGACAUACAUAUUUAUCACAUAAGUUGUAUGCAUGCAUACAUAAACAGAUAUUAUACGGACCGUAACUUACACAUAAUUUAUAUAUAUCAUAGCAUAUCAUAUUCAUGGUCGAAUCGGAUAGCUUAUCAGAACAGAUAACAAAAUAUGUAUAACACAUGGUUUACAAAAUAGUCAUGCUUAACUCACGUACCUACUUAUAGCAAAUAAUAUUGCAUUAUUAUAUUUAUCAUAAUUUAUUUAACAUACUUCCUACACUUACCCAUGUUUGUUUUACUAAAAUUUAUGCUUUCUAGGCCUACCUAAUGCCAUCGGACCUAAAUUCUGAGUCCUUUAAUUGACCCUUUAUUGGCCCAAAAGACCUACUCAGCCCAAAAAGCUAGUCGUGUGGUCCAUAUGGUCUAUCCACACGAUCAACAUGGUCUCACACAGCAGUGUGUGGGAACAUAGCCUGCAUGACAAGCCACAUGGGUUGUAAAAACACACAUGGUCGUGUGCCCUACAUGGGCUACAAAAUCACACACGGUCCUGUGUCCCUCACGGCCUAUCACACGAUUAUGUGUCACUGGGCAGUUUUAGAAAACAACUUUGUUUUACAUAUUUUUUGAAUUUUCGAUGAGUUUUUUGAGUUAAAUCACACGCUUGAUUGUUGAUUUUGAUGUAGAUUCGCGAAAGAACACACAAGAACCUAAAAUCAAUAUUCCAAACGUAUUAGUAACAAAAUGCAACACUAAAUCAAGAUUGACUCACUAACAUAACAUUAAAGAACCUACCACAAAGAAAACAACAACAAUAUCUAAGUCAUCGAAGGAAUGCCCAACACCUAUUGUUCUUUUCUUAAAAACGCUUCGAACUCGUUAAGUACAAAAAAUACAUAUUAAUACAAUACUACUAAAGCUCUGAAACCCUAAACGCCCAAUAAAGUAAUUUUAAUACAUGGCUGAAAAAAUAAAGGAUGAAGCAACCUUACCCUUAAUGACAAACUUAUAGCACAAAGGACGGAUGAUACACAAAUUAACAAAAGAAUAAAAAAGAAGAAGAGAGAAAAAAAGCAUGAAAAAUUGGAAAACCUACCAUAAAGAAAAAAACUAACGAGAAAAUGAAGGGGGAGGGAGAGGGGAUGGUAAUAAUAAAAAGAAAAUUUGGAAGAAAAUCUCUCUUCACUACUUUUAAAACUACCCAACUAACUCCUAGUCGUAUCCACAUAAGAUUUUUCCCAAAGUUAAUAAUUUUUUUCCACUUUGCAUAUGUAAGGAUUUGAACAUAAGACCAAAGGGUAAGUUGAUACCUUACCAUCAAACCAAUAGGCUCAUUCUUGUCAAUAAAUGCACUCAAAUAUUUCUUAAACCAAAUGCCAAAAACUAGGGAUUUAGACAAAAUUUGCAAAAACAGAAGCGAAAGGAUUCGAACCUAAAACCUUUCUCACACAAGCACAACCCUUAACCACUUAACUAGAACAAAUUACUUAACAUAAUUUCAAAAUCUUAACUAAAAAAAUCACAAUAUGACCUCUCUAGGUUUCACUAACCCACUUUUUGCAUUUUUCCUUUUUAUUUUUCAACAAUUAAGGAUGAAAACUAAGUUAGUAUAAUAAAUAAAUGUGGUAGGAAAUAAUUAAGAAAUGUGUAAUAGACCAAUAGCCAAGCAUCACCCCAUUCUCCUUAUAGUCUUAAGUUCUAUCCAUGCCAAUUCCCUUCCUUUUGUUUUAAAUCUCAACAAGAAGGUUUAUUUGCCAAAACAACCCCAAAAUUUGCACAACUUGGCCUUUUAACUCAUUUCCUAAUUAUAUUAGGAUUUUGAUUAUUUUUUCAAACCUAAUUAGAAUUUAUUUCUCCCUCCUUUUUAAAUACAUUUUUUUAUUACUUCUCUUUUUCAUAAAAAUGUUCAUUAUCUUUUGUUGAAAAUGUUAUAUUCAAAUCUCGUACCCAACAUCAACCUCGUUCAAUCUAUUCUUCAUAAUGUUUUAGCGUAAUGUCGUCAAAAUCUGUUUCUAAUGUGCCAAGAUCGGUAAGGAUUCCUUUUUUUAAUUUUGUAGAACUCUAAAAAUCUAAUAUAAUAUCGUUCUUGAUAAAUUUUCUAAAAUUAAUUCUAAAUAUUUAAUGGGUUUUCUUGAAAUCUUGUUAAAACUCGAUAAAUCUUAAACAUCAAUAGUAAUUAUUACAUUUUCAUCGAUUAAAAGACCUAUUGUAAGUAUCCCAGAUCAAUUUUGGACAUAAAGAUCAUCAUACGAGACCCCAUAAGUUAUAUGUGUGUUCUUUUGCUAGAAAAUUGAGGCAAAAUCGAACCCAACCCAGACCACACGACCAUGUGACCCACAUGGCCUAGACCCUCCCACACAAUUGUGUGUCCCCUGUAACACAACUUUACAAUUUUAACCUAAAAAUUUUAGAAAUUACACAAAUUAGUCCCUAACUGGUUCCCAAAUUCUAGUGUUUUGAUGAAUCUGUAAAAUUUUUUUUGUUGUUUGACAGAUUUCCUGAAAAUAUUUUCCAGAAAAAUUGUUUUUACAUAUAUUAAUAUAUUUAUAUAUAUAUUAAAUUGUUUUUACAUAUAUAGUAAUGAUUUAUUUAUAAAUAAAUAAAUCUAAUUAAAUAUAUAAUAAUACUUAAUUAUUAAGUUAGAAUAUUAACCAUCAUAAAUUGAAAACAACCAAAGUCAAAUAAAUUAUUUGUAAUAUUUGUGCUAAAAUAUUUAGACAGAUAAUUUUGGAAGAGUGAAAAAUAUCUGAAAAUAUAUAUAAAAUUACACAAAUUAAACUAAGUUUAACAAUCAAAACUCCGAUGUUUUAAGUUUAAAAUUCAUUAUUUUAGAUUUAAAUUACUUUAUUAAAAAGAUUUAUCAUGUUGCAAUUGAAACCCAUCUACCUCUGGCUGCAAUUUUUUAAGGAUUAAAGACUUAACUAUUUGAUUAGUAGGGUGGUUAGGAAUUUGAUAUAUGAUAUAUGACAGAUAGAAUAGAAGACAAUGACACAUUCAGUAAUCUUAAAGCAUGGUGUUGAUGAAUACAAAGGAAUUUUAAUGAAUAUGAAAUCUCAGCAUUGGUGCGUGUAGCCUACGACUAUGGAACAAUUUCAUCAGUUACUGUGUUCAAAUCAAAAUGCAAGGGAUCAUUAUUUCCAAUUUCAACUCAAUAAACCUGAUUUUUCAUUGUUAAAACCAGCUUUGAACCUAAGCUUUACCAUCCCUUGCCUAUGAGCCAUAACCAGUCAAGUGUGACCCUUGCAAAGAUACCUCCUAGGAGAAACAAAACAAGCAAAUUCCCUAGGAGAAACAAUUGUCGAGAUAAUAAUGGAGGGGUGAUUUGAGGGCUUUGGAAUGUUUGGCUGAAAUUGGUGGAUUUUUAAGGGGUAAUUAAGAAAUGGCCCUAACUUGUCAUUUUGGUACAACCGCAAGGGACUCUUUGCAGUUGUAGCUGCAGUUUUUCUUUCACCACCUGCAAGAAUUUGCUGAAUGUUAUAUUUUUAAUAAACUGUAUGAACUAGAUAAAUGAAUCAUUGAAUCGUAAAUUGACAGCAAACUUUAUUCAAAAACAUUGAAAUUCAAUUUUAUCGUUCAAGAUUUUGAUGUUUGUAUAUAAUACUGUCAAUGUACACUUCUUAAUUUGAACAUCUAUGGAACUGUCAGGAUCUGCCUGCUGAACUUUUUGUGUAUGAAGAAAGGGUUGGAACUUGGAAGUUGCGAGUCGCUACAAAGAUGGAAGGAGCCAAAGAUUGAAGAGAGUUGAAGCAAAGGAUAGAAACCACGACAUGAAAGCCAUAGCUGCAGACAACUGAUAUCUACUGCAUAUCUUUGACGAGCAAUAUGUCGAGCUGACAUUGACCAAGAGACUUGUCACACUAGCAGUUGAGCAAGCCAUGGCUAGUGAGAGAAAUGACAAGGCCUGCAAUCAGAUAAAACACAUGUUUUUACAUCAAAUUAUGAUAAGGGAUAACACCAUGGUGAUGAUAUGCAUAAUAAGCCUCGUAACAUACCCAGUCUCCAACAAUGACAACUAACAGUACCCUUGGUUGUCGUGGUAAGCCUUUAACGAACACGAAAUAUGCAUCAACCAAUGCUAAUGACACACUCCAUGGAGUCACUAAACCCAUGACUGUCACCAAGUAGCUACGAAAAAAUUUAAAGGAAAAUUGGAGAUUGAUUUAUCACCCAACAAUUGGUGAGCAACAAUGAAAACACAAACAUUAUCUUCUAUAUCAUUAUAUCUAAUGAGCAAUUGAAAAUUAUAGUUUGUACCUGCAAUUGAUCGAACAACACCAUAGACAAGGCAAGUUUAGACAAUAGAAGACCUUAUCCUAUGGCAAUUUUUUAUCAUUCAAUAGCUUCUGUUACUAGUGAAAGGGCUUUGAAAUUGCAAGAACAGAUAAGGUAAGACGGCCAUGCCAGUCAUAGCAGAUUGGUACUUAUGGUCUUAUGUCCUAAGCACAUAGCAUCUCCAUCGAAGAAAAUUGGAGAUAAGAAGUUUCAAAUAACAAUUUUUCUGAAGUACAAAUAAAGUGGUUAUAUUCAUUGUCUUAAGAUUGAUCCAGAUGGUUUGUGCUAAUCCAUAGAAGUUAGAUAGCAGAUACAGACAGUGCCUCAUUAUCUAGUUUCAUCUUUCCAGAAACAUGCAAAACAGGAGGACCCAAGUCAAGGAAUAAAGUUCAAAUGCAAAAGCCAUACAAGACCACUAUCUACUUUUACAAUUCACCUUGUUAACUAUCUUGAUUCCCUUGACAUCUAGCUUAAUCAUCCUUGAUAUUAGCACUUGAUGAGCUACUUGACUCUGGCCAUUUUGUUAAUUGCUUAAAUUAAGGCCUUUUACUUGUACAAAUGCUCCCAACAUUGUGCAUUUUAUACACAAAAAAAGACGCAUUUUUUCCAUUUCCAUUCACCUGGUGAAAACUUUUAACAGAGGAAGAAAAAUAACAAAUAAUUUCAAUCUGAACAGAAUCGAAAAUAAGAAGUCUGGAAAUCCAGCCUUGGAUAACAAAUAUCAUCAGCAAAUAAGUUAUAUUCUAUGGUCUAGUUCAACAACUAGCCAAGUAACAGGUCAUGUACAUUGAGAAUGGUUUUGAUAACUCUAAUUGUUGAAAGUCCAAAUUCAGUCAUCCAUAAAAAAAAAGAAAAAGCAAUUGAUCUUUGCAUAUCCCUGAAUCAAAAAAGACUCUCAGAUAACUUUACCCUUUCAAUCAUUAAAUGGCAGCUUUCCCUGCAGUCAUCCGUAAGCAAGAAGCAAGAUUUCCUAAAAAUGGCUUUUUUUUAAAACCUUAAAUCCUUUUGUUUUCAUAAAAAAAAUUCACCUAAUUCACUUUCUGCCCAAGCCCAAAGCCCAUCCCUUCAAACAAUUUCCAUGAAGAUACCAGUAGGAACCAGAAUUACUUUUGCUCUCUCCAACAUGGUAAAGCUGCUAUUUUACAUGGCAAAAAGACACACGAAGCAUCCAAUUCCUUAAAAACCAAUCACUAAAAUGAUCACGAUUGUGAUAGUUUUUCCCUGGAGGUUCCCAAAGAAACAUCAGAACCAGCUUUUAAAAGUUGACAACGAAUUGAAUUCCGAGCAAAUAUCAGAAACAAAGAGGCAUGGGUAUUGAAGAUUAAAAGCCAAAGAGAGGAAGAAAGAUAAAAUAUGACCAAAUAAAUGGAAGAAUCUUAAAACGUUUUCAGUUACCUGAAAGAAGUAUAGCUAUAGAAUUCAACAUCCAAACACAUAAAGAGAAGUGAAGCAGCGGAGAAAACAGUUUGUCCCAAACGAAGAGCCAAGCUGGCGCUUGUUCCCAACGCCCCUGGCACUGCUUCCAUCGUCCCUCAUGUCAUCUUAUCUUUCUGUUUCUUCUUCUUUAGUGUAUUCCCCUAAAACCCAAUAAAAAAGCAGAGGCCAAACACUAGGAGAAGGGAUUGAAACAAUAGAAUUCAUGGCAGAUUUGCCUGAGAAAGAGAGAAAGAGAGGAAACGAAACAGAAUAUGCUGAGAAGAGAAGAUAUACGACGAACUUUUACCUGGAAGAGAAGAUGAAGAACGGAAGAAGGAAAAUGAACGAAGAACGGAAGAACGAGAAAGAACCUUACCUGAAUGAAGGAGGAACCGGAAAAUGUCUUACAGAAAUGAAAUCCAUAAGACAUUUUCCCCUAAAACCCAUUUAUUUUACUCGUGUCUUGGAAAAUCUGGAAAACAUUUUGCUGCAAACAAACAGACCCUUAAUUUAAAAACUCGCAAUGAUGAAUUUUGAAAUCAACUCUUUAAAUAGAAAUGACUUCAUUUAUUGCUCUAUUCAUUUUCUGUUGGGGAUCAACUCAAUUAAGGGCUUAUUUAGUAUUACUUAAAAAAAGUAUUUUUGAUUCUAAAAGUAUUUUUGAAAAAAAACUGUGCUAAACAAAUUGUUUAUGGUUGAAAUUUGUGUUGCAUAGUCAUCGACAAUACUUUGCUGCAUCGUUUUUCGCUCUGUUUCUCUUCGCUUCGCUUUCUCCAGUAAAACCACCUGCCAUUUAGUUUCUCAUCAUUCCUCUCUUUCUUCUUCUUCCUUCUUCCUUCUUUUUUUUUUUUUUGCAUACAUAAAUUUAUCCCUGCGCCAGACUGCUCUAUUAUGCUGCAACUGCUUUGACGUCUUUGCCUUGUACAAUAUAGUUUAAGUUUGAUCUUGUUUCUAUUUUUAUCUCUUCCUUUUCAUGUUCUUUGUACUUGUAAUAACCAUUUACCCUAGAUUCAAAAAAAAAAAAAACUUUGCUUAUUUUCUUUUAUAUAUGUGGGCUAGAAGACUUCAUUAAUUGAAGGAAGAGGGAGACUCCAUUUGAGAUUGAGGUGAGUUUUCUUGGCUUUUUUCGAAGCGUUCUGUCUUAGAAACUAAUGGAGCUGCAGUUGGCUUUAAAGGGUUUGGAAUUUGCCCAGAAGAAGAAGAAAUGGGUUGCUUUAAUGGCGGCUUUUGGUUUAAGCAGUUAUAAACCAGUUAUGGUUUCUAUAGAUUUUAUCACUUUCCUAUUAUAGCUCAAAAGCGAAACAGAGUUUUAAAGCUUUUACGAGCUUUGGUUUCCAUUACUGAAGCCGUCUCUGAUCGUCCUAAAGCAAUAAGAGUUGUUUCUAGUGAUUUGAAUGGUUUUCUCCAAUCAGAAUUAGACCAAAUUCCUAAUAGUUUGAAACAGGUUUCGAAAAUCACCAGGUCCAAUGAGUUUUCACAGUCCAUAGCAAUGUAAAGAACUGCAACCUGAAGGAGUUUUGAAGCCAAAUUCGACUCCGAGCUGGCUGAAUUGGGUGUGUGGUGAUGAGUUUAGGGAGCUGAUUGGUGAUUGUAUUCAAGUUUCUGUAGUAAAAUUUUAAAGAAGAAUCAAUAUGUUGAAUUCUGAAUCUAAGGGUUUUAACUUUGGAUUUGAACUCCAUAAAUCUCACUGUUUUUAAUCUCAAUUAUAAAAGUGAGUACUUAGCAGAGAACUUGUGUUCCUUAUACUUCAAUUCCUUGAUUUCGAGGAGAAAUUUAAAGAUACUGUUCAUAAUUAUGCUCUUAUCUCCGUAAUCUUUGUUUUUGUUGUUUUCUUUUAUUCUAUCUUUUUAUAAAAGCAUUUUUUGCGUAUUUAUUGAUUAAUAUAUUUAAAUUUAAUAGAUUGGAGCAAGAGUUGGGGUUCUAAAUAUCUCACCUGGAGGAGGACUACAAGCAGCUCAGUUUCAUUCUGGUAUUCAUUCUCCUACAAAGCAUUUUUAACUAAUCAAAUUUUCAUAUAUAGUUAAUUCUCAUUGUUUUGUGUUGAGGUUAAAUUUAAAAUAGGGUCAUGGUUGAUUAGAUUUAUGGGUGUUUAAGUUGAUUUAAUGUAACUAGUCAAGGCAUAAUUUUUGUGUCAAGGAGUUGGUAUUGGCAAAUGAUGAACACUAGUGCUGGUCUUCUUAGGAAAUUUGUUUAAGAUCUGAUGGUCUUUCUUAUUAAGUAUUGUUUUUCUUUGGCGAGGGGGCCUUCUCUAAAGUUAAAAAUCAAUAUUGUUUCAUUAGUACAUAAAUCUCGUUUUAUUGGGAGACUAAUGCUUCCAUUUAUAAAGUGCUUCCAGAAAUCAUUCUUCUGUUUUCACAAAUUUUGAGAUUUGUUUCCGUAAUUGGAAAAAAAAUAAAGGUUAAAUACUUUUUUUUUAAAUUAUUGUUUUUAUUAAAUUAGUGUUUUUUAUCAAAAUUUGUUAAAUAUUUUGUUUGUCCGAAAAAAUUACUUAAUAUAUACCAUAUGUUUAUUAAACUUAUAAUAAUUUGCUUCUAAAAUAGAGAUGGUUGAGUUUUAAUUAGUAUUAACGAUGGAAUGAAGUAUUAAUAUAAUAAGUAUAACCAUUUAUAUCUUUUAAGUAUAAAAAUUAAAAUCCCUAAAGUAUGAACCUUUUAAUGCAUUUUAUUUAUUUAUUAAUAUUACAUAAUCUCAUUACAAUGUAUAACCUUUGUUUAAGAAUGAAUAAAAAAAUCAAGGAAUACAAAUUAAGUAUUACAUAAUCACAUUACAAUGGCAUUGUAUUCAAAGUGUUUCUCAAAAUAACCACCUCAACUUUUAAUAUAAUAUCAGAUUUAAUUAUUUAUAUUUAUAUUCCCUUAUCAAUUUCACCUUUCUUUUUUUAAAACUAAAUUUAGCUGUUAAUUUAAAAAAAAGACUUAAAUUAUUUAUAAACUCCAUAUAUACUUUAUGUUAAUAUGUCAAUAUUUGUCUUAUAUAUCACAUCAAUAAAUAAUUUAAAAUUUUAAAAAAAUAACAUAAAAUACACGUAGAUAAAUACAAUAAUUUAUCUUAUCAUUUAUUUAUUACAUUUUUUUAUUGAAAUAGUGAAAUGGAUCCCUACAAAAGAAGUAUUCGAUAGGCUCAUUUGAAUUGUUACUCAAACAACUCCAUUUUAAGCUCUCCUUAAUUGCAUUUGUAUUACUUAUAUGUUUUAAUUUAAUACAACAUUUUUUUGAGAUAAAAUUCAUGUUAGUGAUUUGAAUUAAGGCAUAAUAUCUGACAUAUCUCAUUGUGAUAUUACUAUUUUAGGUUAAAUGUAUUCAUUUAAUUAUAUAAGUAACACGUUUCUUAUUUCUUUAAGAUAUAAAUAAACAAACAUAAAUAGUAAUAAACAGAUUAUAAAUAAAUAAAAGAAACACAUAAACAAUAAGAGUAUUAAUUAUAUAAUUAAACCAUAUUUGAUUUUAAAUGAUUUACUAAACCAGUUUUAAACUAGCAUGAAGAUAACCAAUUUGGAUAUGUUUCAUUUAUAUUAGGUUAAUUUAAUAAAUAAAUUUUAAAUUUUUAUUAAUGUUGAUUUAUUUAACUUAACGAACGAAUAUAAAUAAACAAAAAUCCAACUCAUAAACUAUUUAGUUACAGCUUUAAACUUAACUUAUAUAUAUUUAGAAUACUUAAAUAACGGUAAUUUAUUGUCAACUUUAGACUUCAAGAACUACGAAAUAGAUAAGAGUUGGAUGGAUUUGUCAACGGUAAGCAACGAAUAUUAAAAUGGAGUACAAACUUUUCUAAAUUAGUUUGCAUUUAAAUUCUUAUAUUUAAAUAAUUUAUUUGAAGUGACUGAUCUACAAAUUAACUCACGCAUUAACUUAUAUUUAUACUUUAUUUGAGAAUAUUUUAAUUUUUAUAAUUAAUAAAUUUUAAUUUACAAUUAAUUUUUACAUUAACUAACUAAACUUUUAUAAAGAAAAUUAGAAACCCAUCGGUUAAAAACUAGUUAUUUUUCCUUUUAAAAAAUCUAGUUAUUUUUUUUAAAAGUAAUGUUUUAUUAUUUUAUAUAUUUAAUAUAAAAUUAUAUAAAUAUUUUAUUUUAUUUUCUGUGAUUCUCUAUGUCCGUUUUAUGUUCAUGUUCGGGUUUAUUAAACUAAUAUUAAAAUUAUGCAUUUUAAUAUUUAUAUUAAUAUAUUAAUUUAAAAUAAAAACAUAUAUUUUAAUUUUUUUUAUUUAUAUACAUUAAUAUAUAAAUAUUUUAUAUUUUAUUUUAAACUAUAUAAAAAAAGAUGUUAAGGGUAAGAUGAUAAAUUAAUAAAUAACACUUAUGUUUUAACUCAUAGAAAAUACAUGAUAAGAAGAUUAACUGUUAGGCACAAGUGUAAGCCGUGUAAGCCGUGUUAUCCUAUCCCUUGCCCCUAAUAUUGUAUCGAAAAACGCUUGGUAAGAAGAGUGAUAUAUAUCCAAUUUUCAACAACCAAACAAUUUGAUGUAGUAGCAUCUGUCUUUUAUGCAUAAUUUGAAAGUUGAGUGUUAUUUAACAUAACACUCCUCUUUUACAUCAAGCCUACCAAAUGUGACCAGACUAUCAAUUUGGCUAUGAUUCUAUAUAAAACGAUAAAAAAAUUGAGUUUUUUAAAAUUAGAAAAUCUUGAAAAUACAUAAAUUUGAAAAUUAAAUAAAAAUAGAUAAAAUUUAAAAAAUGUAUAGAUAAGUGAGAGAAAAUUAGGGAAAAUUAUUUUUCAUUAUGAGAAAAUAAUGAGAAAAAAAGAUUAGAUUUGCUUUUUUCAAUUUGGAUUUUGAAUAAUGUUGAAAAUUUUGAAGUUGCCGCAAGGUGUUAUGGGAAUUGCCCACUACCCCAAUCACUAUGACAAAACAAUUUGCCAUAGUUGGAAGAUUGGCAAUUUAUUGAUCUGUAUCUUUAGGUUGAGCUUAUAUUGUAGAGCGAAUCAAGCUCAUCAAUAAAGAUCAUAUCACUUGGAGAAACUUAUUUAGAAGAUUGGAUCGGGUUGGAUUGGAUUGCUUAUAUCAAAUCCUAUGGAUAAAGGAAAUUGAAUCGGAUCAAAAAAGUAAAGAGUUAGCCGCCAACCGUCAAUGUUUAUUGUGGUUGUUAAUAUUAUAUUGUAUUUAGCUAUUUUAGUUGUUGUUUAGUAAGGAUUGUGAUAGAUCUUCAUUAUGUUAGCAAGUCUCAAAAUCUUUAUGUAAUUAAGAGACUUGUAUAGGUUGAUGCACAAAUUAUUAAGAGCAUUUAUAUGUUCAAGUGAGGAACAUUAUUUUGCAAGAGUGCAUUUAUGAUUGUAAAAUUCUGUAUUGUGUUGUGCAUUUGUGAGGAACAUUAUUUGUGAUUGUAUUAUUUAGUGGUGAGUGAUCUAGUCUUCGAAGGUAUAAGAGUGAGGAAUCAUCAUUGAGAUGUGAUACAUUUAGGUUCACUAGUUGUAAUUGUUUAAAUAUAGUGAUUCUUCUCAUUGACCAAGACUUCACAAAUGUAUUGAAACUGAACUGCAUAAACAAACUUUAAUGUUUCCUAUUUUGUUUUUGCUUAUCAUGGUGCUUGCAGAAGUGCAAACUUUUGUAGUCACUACUGCUCAUACAUUGCUUGUUACUUAGCAACUAUUUUAGAUCAACAAAAAACCAUUUAAAUGAAUUAAAUUUUAUUAAUAGAGUUUGAAAAAUAAUAUUUUCUUGUAUAUUUUGUAUUUUUUUACUAAAAGAAUGGGAUCAGAUUCAAUUUCACAAGUCUUAGUGAGAUUAGUUUGAAAGAAAUUCUUCAAUAGCAUGGAACUUGACCGGAAGGUAUUACUAAAUUUGUCCUAUUUUGUUUUAAAUUUGUUAUUGGAUUCUAUUGAAUAAUCUUUUUCUUUCUUAUGUCUCAGUAUUGAACAAUCUUGAGCUUUAUUACAAUACAAGAACAUUAGUUUCUAAUCACAUUUAAGCUUUGUGCAAAAUGAAUAUUAUACUAAAAUAUUGAAAUUGAUCUAUUUCUUUUAUCCAUUUUCAUGAUUUAUUGCAAUGUUGAAUAUUUUGUUGCAGAAAUCAUAAUUUUUAUAUAGAAUUUUCUAUUUUUAAAAAAUAAUAUUUAGUUUUUAAAAUUAAUUUUAUAUAGAAUUAGGGUUAAAUGGAGAGAAAGUAUAAAAGUUAAGGGUUAAAAUUGUCAUUAUACUAACUAAAAAAGUGUGGUUGUUAGCUAUUUAAUAGUUGGGUAAAAAAAUAAUUUCAAAAACGUUAGUGGCCAAAUUGUAACUCUUUUAAUUAAAAGACACAUAAUUGAGGGAUUAAUAGUGUAAUUUAACCUUAUCUUUUUUAAACAUAUGGAUUAAUUCACAUUUAUUUGGAAUGUGUUAUUAAUUCACAUAUGAAUUUAAGUAGCGGUGGAGCUAGAAAAUAUUUUGGGGCUAAAAUUAAAUUGUAUAUUUUUAUGAUAGCAAGAAUGCAAUUUCACUAUUUUAUGAUAUCUUUAUUAUUUUUAAAGGGUUAAAUCAAUUUUUUAUCAUUUUUGAGAUUAAAGUGUAAUUUUACUAUUAUUAAUUUAAAAUUUUAUAAAUUAUAAAGGACAUAAGUGAAAAAUUUUCCAUUAAUCAACACCCUUGGCUCUACCACUUGAUCGAACACAUAUCACGAGUCCUUUCCCGCGUGUGUCAGAUUUUUUUUAUAUGGUUGAAAUAUCAUCACAUGUAUUUAUGUUUGAAUACACAUCACAAAACCUUGAGUUGCUUCGGCAUGACCUAGAGAAAAAAAAAUGGAGAAACAUGAAGGUAGCUUAGAAGAAUCCAAAAGCAAUAAACGAAAGCUAGACAAAAGGUUGAAAUCAUCAUUAACCAAGCCUUUACUUUUUCUAACUCCAGGAAGAGUCCAUAUUCGUUGAGAAAAUCGGCAAAGACUUUGUUAUCUUUUGGAAGGACUUGUAAAGAAACAAUUUUUUAUAUUUACGUUCUGUAAUGUUUUUCAUAUUAACAUUAUUGAUGUUUCUAAAUUUACCUUCUGUAAUGUUAGAGUUAGUUGAAGAGUCGUCAGAUUCUGGAGAGGAAUCAAAUUUUAGUCAUCAGCAUAGGAUGGAAGAUGAGAAGUUGCUGUCGGCAGUGUUGGGAGAGCAAAGGAGAAGGUAAGAAGACUGCAACUCAAGAGGAUGAAGGCAAAUCAGAAAUGGGUAGAUGACAGAAUUGUGAAUAGGAUCUCAGAUUCUGGGUCCAACUUAUGCAAUAAUUCUAUGAUCUGGGAAGCGUGUAGAGAUCGACAAAUCAGUUUGCGGUGAUUGCUGCGGUCCUGUCCAACAAGGAGCCAAUUGUUUUGCAGACACAGGCUAUGGAUGGGAUGGAAAGUUUAUGGUUAAACUAUUCCCCUUAAAUUCACGUCAGUAUAAAAUAAAAUGUAAACUAAUUUAAAAUUUUAAAAUAAUUUUAUUUUAAUUUUUAAGUCUAAGAAUUUUGAUGAGUUAAAAUUAUAAGAUAAGUGCUUAUUUAAUUACAAAAAUAAUUUAAAAACUUGUUUAAACAAAAUGUAAUAAUUUAACGGAAUUUUUAAUAUAUUAGCCAAAGAAAUUCAUCUAGGUAAGAUAUGAGAUUCAAUUGAAGUUAAUAAUGAAGAAUGCUUUUAAUGUUCCCAACAUUAGACCAAUACAAAUAAUUGUAAGUUUUGUCAAAAUUCUUAGUUUUCUUUUUUUGAUUAAUGAGCAGAGUUCACAAGAAAAACAAAAAGUAAGUGGUACAUAAUAACGAAUAAAUAGCAUUCAAUUUAAACAUUCACAAUGAUUAAUCUUCAAUUGAAAAAUCAUUAUCUUAAUUCAAAAUGACUUUCAUCUUCCACCAUUCUAUAUCACUACCAAUUGGCCAUGCAGUUUCAUCUUCCACUAAAAUUUCAUCAACUGAUUAGCUUGCCUGCAAAGCAAAUUAAACCUUCACUUAUUACUGUUUGCUUUUGAUGAUUGAUGAUGAAAAAAGCUUAUUGUGAGUUUGGAAGAGUAGUGUACCUUUGUUUUGGCAUGCACUGAUUUCUCUGAAUCAACACUAAAUCUUGUGGUUAUGUUGGGACAACCUUCUACUUGUAAAUCAAUCAAAAAUGGGAAAACAAAAUGAUAACCCACAGGGCUGAAGCUCACGAGGUUUGGUAGCUCAUCAAGCCGUAAGUAAGUUAAUCGAGGUAGGUGCAUCACUUUCUCUUCGUCCUUACUCACAUUUGGCUCAUCUCCUUCAAACACUUGCUUUAAUUUGGAGACCCUUCUAAGGUAUAAUCGACCUAGGUUUGGAAGGCCGCCAUGAGCAAGAGUAAGGGGAAGAGACAUUUCAAGUUUUCACAGUUAAUGAUUCUAAUCAAAUUCAAAUUAGGGAAGCAAAUAGGAUGGAGAUGAUGUUGUGAUGAAGUUUGAUCCUUCUCAAUUAUUUGCUCCAAAUUCCUCACACUCAGAUUUAUCCAAAGUCCACAAUUGUGGAAAAUUUCGAGCGAUGGUAGGUGAGAAGAUGUAUCUUAGCCUUCUGCAAUCAUGGACUGUCAAUGAGUGAGAUUUUGAAAGUGUUCAACUUGGAUGGGACCACUCCAUAUCACCCGCGAUUCAGUUAGUUUGGACAACAUUAGGAUCUUUAGAGUUGAAAGAUUAUAUCCAGAAUAUUCAAAUAACUCUUCAAAAUUGGAAAUUGUUAAAUAUUCCGUACAUGUUGAUGUUCCUCCUCUCCUUUCAGGGACUGUCACGUUGCUUAUUUGCUUCUUUUCUGUCAUCUCUGACAACUCCAAUUCCUAUAAACAUAUCAUCAAUUUAAGAAUAAGCACAAGAUUUCUUUUUCAAUCUUUUAUAGUCAAAGAAUUCAAAUUUUUAAAAAGUUUACUGUUCAACUCAAAUAAUCAUAAAUUACAAAAAAAAAAUAUGGGAGGGUUUGGGUAAAAAUAUAGGCCCGAAAUAUGGGCUUGGACAAAAAAAUUAGGCCAGUUUAGAAAACGGGCCGAGCCUCAAGUACCACUUUUUUGGCCCAGGCCCGGCCCAGCCCGAAUAUAAUAAAUAUAUUUUUUAUUUUUAAAAAUAUUUUUAAAAUACUUUUUUUAAACUUUUUUUAUUUUUAAAAUACUUUUUUUAAUUUUUAAAAUUUUUUUGGUGUUUAUUUAAAAAAUGGGUCGGGCCGGGCCCAGGCUUAGGAAUUUUUCCCGGGCCGGGCCUGGACAAAAUUUUAGGCCCAUAUUUCGGGCCGGGCCGAGCCCGGGCCUAGGACAAUGGCUAAAAUUUUUUUUAUGGGCCCGGCCCGGCCCAUGAGUACCUCUAGUCGCCACCGAUAUUUUUUUGAGGUGUGAUCAGAUCACCUUAAAAUAAUUUUGGUCUACGAAUAAAAAUGGGUUCGGGAGCCAGUUACGCACGAGGAAGGAUUAGCACUCUUGUAACACCCAAAAUUGGUACCGAAUUGAUUAAUUAAUAUCUUAAAGUCGAAUGUCAAAAAUUUGAAAAGAUUAAAAAUGAUCCCCCUCUUAUUAAUAACAUAUUUUUAAACAAUAUUUGUAUAAAUUUGAACAUAUGUAGAAAGACCCUCUCAUCUCGAGGCAAUAAAAUAUCGUAUCUCGUAAGUUAGGAUGCAACAUUUGAAUACUCAAGCAUAAGCUAACCUUUAAAAACCUUUAUUGAAACUUUAUAUAUUUGAAAACUAAAAAUAUUUGACCAUCUUGGUUCAAUGAGGAAAUCGAAACCCUGUAAGUUAGGGCACAGUUCCUUGAAGUUCCAAAGACGACAUAUAAGUUUGCCUUUAUUAAGAAAAACAUCAUCUCGAGAUAUUGAAAUGUCAUAUCCAAUGAGUUAGGACACAACGUUUCGAAUUCCCGAGAUAAGUUUUGAUUUGAAAUUUUUACAUUUGAAUUGAAAAAGGGAUACUCAGUUACUUAAAUUCAACGAGGAAAAUUGAAGCCCAGUAAGUUAGGGCACAAUCUUCUCGAAAAUCUUGGAUACCGAGUAUUGCUUUAUUUUGAAAACUUUUGAAUAAAACGAUUUUAAUGCUUUAAUGAAUCGUAAUCUUUUUGACAAAUGAAACGCAAUGGGAUGACAAUGUAUAACGCGAAAUGAUAGUAAACUAAAAUGUACGCUAAUGAGCGGCAAAGAAUCAAUAAAUACGAAUAAAAAACACCAUACAUAUAAGAGCAAUAAUCUCACAUCACAUGUAAAUAUCAACAUUUAAAAGCUAAUGAACUAAAAGCUAAUCUUAAAAGAAGUACCAAGCAAAUUAACACAAAUAAAAUGUAACAAGUUAUUAAAAUAACUAAAAAAAACAAAUAACAUGAAAGAAGGGAAAUUAUAUAUUAAAAUAAAAAUUUUAUAAUAACUAAAAAAACAAAUAACAUGAAAUAAGUAAUACAUAUAGAAUGAAAAACUUCAUAUAAAUAAUAGUAUAUAGUAGUAUAUGUAAAAGGUUAGAAUGGGCAAAAUAUAAUAAAAUAAUAUUUUUUAAAUGAAAAUAAAUCAUAGAUAUAGAGACAGAUAAAAAAAAAGAUGUAUAGUAAUAUGAAAUCACAAUAUAUUGUGUAUGUAUGUAUGUAUAAUAAAAAUAAUUUAAUAUAAAUUGUGUACAUAUAUAAAAAAUAGUAUUGUAUAAGAAUAUUAUUGUAUAAAUCUUUAAAGAUGAAAUAUAUAAAAGUGGAUUUUAAAAGUAUAUUAUAAAAUAAAAGUUAUUAAAAAUAUAUAUUAUAUUGGAUUAAUAGGAAGAAAAUAAAAUAAUUCAUUAUAAAAUUAAAUAAUAAUGAAUGAUAAUAAUAUAAAAAAAUUUAAAAUAAUAGUACUUAAUAGGAUAAUAUAUAUAUAAUAAGUAAAGGAAAAUAUAACCAAAUAUAAUAAUAAUAUAAAUAAUAAUAAAAUUAAUAAUAAAUUAAAAUUAAACUAAUUAAUUUAAUAGCAAAAAUAACAAGACAAAGGACUAAUUUGGAAUUAAAACAGAAAUGUAGGGGCAAAUCUGAAAUAAAUAAAAAGGAAAGAACCACAAUGAACGCGCGAAUAAAAGCGAAGGGCCAAAAGGAAAAUUAAUCCUUGCCUUCCAAAACGACGUCGUUCGAUUUUGGACCUAAUUGAAAUAAAAAUAAAUAAUGGGGUACAAAUUAAAGAUAAGAAAGACUUGAUUGCAAACACACAAAAAAGAGGAAGGGCUAAAGGUGCAACUAGCCCCUCCAUUAGAAUACACGCGGAUCGUAGGUCCGGAUCGGGUCGCGGGUUGGCCCCCAAAACGACGUCAUUUUGGGCGUCUGGGGGUCCUAAUGAAACGGCGCCGUAUUGUAUUAUUAUUUAAAAAACAUUUUGUAGCCCAUUUGUUUUUUAAAAACUACUGUUUUCUUCCUCCUCUAGGGUUUCGCCCACAGCCCCUAUGGUGCCACCAUAUCCGCCGCUCCUUCGCCAUGGCUCCGCCAAGGACGGCGAUCUAUGCCGGCGAGGAGAUCACGGACCCUUGGUAAGUCCCCUCUCUUCCCCUCUCUAUUAUUCUUUUUUUUUUGUAUUUAAAAAAAAAAGCAAAUCGAAACUAAAAGGAAAAAACAAAAAGAAAAAAAACAGAAUACUACCUUCUCUCUAUUUUCGUAUUUGAAAUUUUCUACUUGUGAUAAAUAUUCUUUUGCUUUUUUUUAUUUCCUUCGUGAAUCCCUUUACAGAUGCAAAAAUCGGCUUUAUAUAGCCGAAUGAAAAUACAAAAAUUAUUUAUUUUUUCUUUUAUAUUUUCUCUACUAUUUGCUGUCACUGUUUGUUGUGAUUUGCGUUCGUUGCAGGUUCGACCAGCCUAGAGUAGAGGUGCUCAUGGGCCGGACGGUUCGACCCGGCCCGACGGCCCGCCCGAAAAAUGGGAGGGUUCGGGUAAAAAUAUAGGCCCGAAAUAUGGGUUUGGGUAAGAAAUGAGGCCCGUUUUAAAAACGGGCCGGGCCUCGGGUAAAAUUUUUUUGGCCGCCCGAAUUUAAUUAAUAUAUCUUUUUAUUUUUAAAAUUGAUUAUUAGUUAUUAGUAAUAACUUAUUAGUGUCAGUUUUCAUUAAUACAUUUCCCAUUUCCUUUCCCUUCCCUUCCCCAUUUCCCCGACCCCAGAUAAAUCCCUAACCCCUUCCCUUCCUUUUUUUUCCCCCAAAUUGGAAAUCCACCUCCACCUCCACCUCCACCGAUCCACGACUCCACGACCACGACUCCACGACUCCACGACUCAACGGUGCUUCUAGCCUUCUUCGUCUUCUCAAAGGUGAGUUUGUUGUUAACCUUUGAAUUAGUUUUUUGCUUUGUGCUUUUCGAUUUUUAUUUUUAUUCGAAUCAGUUCCCUCAUUCUCUUUCAAUUACAGAGGAAUAGGAAGGUCUAACAGACUAACACAAACAGUAGAUGUAUAAUUUCAUUUGAUGUAUAAUUUCUUUUGGUUGGAUUAUUUUUCAUUUGAUGUAUAAUUUCAGAUAUUUGUUGAAAGCCCAGAUGCUAAAACUUCAAUUUCGAUUUUUUUAUUAUUGUUAUUUUUUGGUUUUGGAUUUAUAGGUACUUUCAAUUCUGGGAUUAUUUUACUUUCUGAAUCACUGAAUUGAUUUUAGCUCCUAAAAAGCAUAUAUUUUUAAGAACCGGGAUAGUGCUUGAUUUUGACUUUGAUCCUUUACUUGAAGAUUCAUUUUAGAUCUUUAUUUAGUUGGAAUACUGCUGAGAGAUUGAGUUACUUAAAUCUCCCUUGCAAACCCUUUUUUCUCUUCUAUUUGACGCAUAAGUUUUGCUUUAUUUGGAUGUGAAAUCUAUUUGAAGAUCUAACUAAAACUCAUGUUUUUGAGUAUUUUUUUGUUUUUUUGUUUGUUUUGUCACAGAACUUUUUUCACUACUGGGAAAGAAUACUUGGGCAAUGAUUUCAAUUCCAUGUCAACUUUAUUUUUUCACUACUGGGAAAGAAUACUCGGAAACACCUUCACAGUUCACACCCUAGCAUUUAACUCUAAUGAUUUGCCUCCUUAUCGUGAUAUUACCCCUUAACAACAGUAUACGUGCAUUCAUUCACUGGAGCCUUGAUCAUCAAUUUGUUUCUGUACUUUUCAAUGCUUGAUUAAUUAAUUCUGCACUUUUCAAUGCUUGAUUUUGUUGUGAUUAUUAUGAUUAACAACAAACAUAUGGCUAAAACUUUGUACUAACAUUUAAACAGUGGCAUUCAAAUUUUUUUAGAUUUAUUCUGAUUGGUUAUCAUAUUCUUUCUUGAUAUGCUAUGCUAGAUUUGGACAUUCAUUUGAUACAUUCUAGUUGAUCUCAUUUUCAUCUAGUAACUUUGAUCUUUGGAUUAAAACUUUUAAAAAAGAAAAAAAGUUGAGCUUUACCAUUUUAAGUAUAGAGUACAGAUUACAGAAUAAGAACUGAGACUGACUCCAUAUUUUAAAAUUUAUGUAAUAAGUAAUUUUUGACUACUUUUGUCUUAUUAAAUUGAGUAUGGAACUAUGGAUCAAAGAUCCAUGAGAGUAAUAGUAUGGAUCAAUUUUGAUAUUGUUCUCCUUUAAAAACAUAAAAAUGUAAUGAAAUGAUAAACUUUAAAAUGUUAUAUACAAAAAAAAAUGCAAUUUGAUAUUUGAUAUAAAUUCAAUAACAACCUUUUAAGUCAAAAAAAAAAAUGGGCCGGGCCUGGCCCAGGCUUCAUAUGUUUUUCACGGGCCGGGCCUGGGCAAAAUCUCAGGCCCGUAUUUCGGGCCGGGCCUGGGGGACUAAGAAAUGGGCUGAAAUUUUUAUGGGCCUGGCCCAAAAUUGGCCCGGCUCAUGAGCACCUCUAGCCUAGAGUGGAGGCUGUUGUGUUGACGUGGUGGCGCACGUGGCUGCUGUGCGAGGGAGGAGCAGCGCGUGAACAGCUUGCUGGGGCAUGCGGCGGCUGAGUCAUUAGCUGGCUAAGGUUUUCUAAUUUUUUAAUUUUGUUUUGGGCUGAUUCAGGGAUUGGGUUUAGUAUUUUGGAUUGGGCCUUUAGAUUUUAUUUUUUUGGUUUUGUAAUCUCGACUGUUUAAUUGGACAUUUUAUUGUUUAUUGGUUUUGUUUAUUUAUACACGGGGCCCGGGCAAAUAUUGAGCUAUUAAAGGUACAUAAUAACGAAUAAAUGGCAUUCAAUUUAAACAUUUACAAUGAUUAAUCUUCAAUCGAAAAAUCACUAUCUUCAAUUCAAAAAUCACUAUCUUCAAUUGUCCGCCUAUAUAUAUCACUACCAAUUGGCCAUGCAGUUUCUUGAGCUGUAACAGAAUCUUCCACUAUAAUUUCAUCAACUGAUUGGCUUGCCUGCAAAGCAAAUUAAACCUUCACUCGUUACUGUUUGCUUUUGAUGAUUGAUGAUGAAGAAAGCAAAGCUUGUUUUCCAAAAUUGGACAAAGGAUGACAUAUUAAGAACAAGAACUGUGAAUUGAAAAUAAUAAUGCAACAAGGAUAUUUAGAAAGAAUAUUGACAGCGGCAGAAACCAUAUGCAGUUGAUGCAAUUUCAUUUAGUCAUUUAAAGCAUUAAAAAAAAGAAUUUAUCUCAGACAACCAAAAUAAAAAUAGGGAGAAUACAUAAAGAAAAUAAUUGAAUGGAUGAAUUUCUGUUUUAAAGCUUAUUGUUGAGUUUGGAAGAGUGGUGUACCUGUGUUUUGGCAUGCACUGAUUUCUCUGAAUCAACACUAAAUCUUGUGGUUAUGUUGGGACAACCUUUUACUCGUAAAUCCGUCAAAGAUGGGAAAAUAAAAUGAUAACCUACAGGGCUGAAGCUCACGAGGUUUGGUAGCUCAAUAAGCUCUAAGGAGCAAAGCUGAGGUAGGCGUAUCACUUUCUCUUCUUCCUUAUUCAGAUUUGACUCAUCUCCUUCAAACACCUGCUCUAAUUUGGAGACCCAUUCAAGGCAUAAUCUCAAUAGGUUUGGAAGGCCGCCAUGAGCAAGAGUAAUGGGGAAGAGACAUUUCAAGUUUUCACAAUUCCUUAUUGAAAUAUAACUCAAAUUAGGGAAGCAAAUGGGUUGGAGAUGAUGUUGUGAUGAAGUUUGAUCCUUCUCAAUCAUUUGCUCCAAUUCCUCACAGUUAGAUAUAACCAAAGUCCACAAUUGUGGCAAAUUUCGAGCGAUGGUAGGUGAGAAGAUGUAUCUUAACCUUCUGCAAUCUUGGACUGUCAAUUGAGCGAGAUUUUGAAAGUGUUCAACUUGGAUGGGACCACUCCAAAUCACCCGCAAUUCAGUCAGUUUGUACAACCGUAGGAAGUAUAGAGUUGAAAGAUUAUAUCCAGAAUAUUCAAAUAACUCUUCAAAAUUAGAAAUUGUUAAAUAUUCCGUACAUGUUGAUGUUUCUCCUCUUCUUUCAGGGACUGUCACGUUGCUUAUUUGCUUCUUUUCUGUCAUCUCCGAUAACUCCAAUUUCUAUAAACAUAUCAUCAAUUUAAGAAUAAGCACAAGAUUUCCUUUUCAAUCUUUUAUAGUCAAAGAAUUCAAAUUUUUAAAAAGUUUACUGCUCAACUCAUAUAAUCAUAAAUUACCCAAAAAAAAAAUCUCCAAAAAUAUGGUGCAAAGACACAACAGAAAUAAUAUUACGUAGUACUAGAUAGUGUUUGCAAUAUAUAUAUAAGAAACUAAAAUGUCUUAACAAUUAUAAAAGUAUUCAGUUGAAAUGUUAUUUAUGUUACUAAUUGGUAUUGUAAUUAACUAAACUACUUAAAGGUUUAUUUAGAUUAGUUUUUAGACUAAAAUGAAAACUAUUUUUUAAAGAUUUAUACAUGCAUUUACUUAUUUUAGACCACAAAAAACAAAAAAAUCAAAAGGUGAAAAUUUUAAUAAAUAAUAUAUAUAAGAAGGUCUUACUUGUAUAUUAGUUGGAACGAUAAAAGGUGUCAAUUGAGGACAAUCUCUCACUUUUAACACGCGUAAAGAUGGCGAUGUUAGCACGAUGUUGUUUCUAUCCCUUCCUUUCAAUUGAGGCAAAUUAAUCAACUCAACUUCAUUCAAUCUUGCAAGACCUUGAGACAUUGAGAUUAACACUUCUGGUCCUUGGAUUAUUUCUUGCAAUUGGAAACAGUUCUUUAUCCUCAGAGUUUGCAAUUGCCCAAGACUAUUAGCAACACACAUUGGCAAGAGAAAUUUCAACUUAUUACAUUCUGUGACUUGUACUUCCCUUAGGCAUUGGAAGCUUAUGGUUGAUGAUACUUGUGAGUCUUGAAUUAUUUCUUUCAUUCCAAAGCAUCUCUCUAUCUUUAGGGUUUGCAAUUUCCCAAGACUAUUAGCAAUACACAUUGGGAAGAGAAAUUUCAAAUCAUUACUUUCUGUGACUUGUAUUUCCCUCAGGCAUUGAAAGCUUAUGGUUGAUACUCGUGAGUCUUGGAUUAUUUCUUCCAUUACAAAGCACCUCUCUAUCUUCAGAGUUUGCAAAUUGGGCACAUUUAGUUUUUUAGAGCUACCUUUAUCAACAAUAAUUGGAAAGAGAGAUUUCAAGCUUUCACAUUCCAAGAUAUCAAUUAGAAUCAGAUUUGGAAAGCAAAUAGGUAAGGUAUGCUGUUGUGAUGACGUUUGAUCUUGCUCCAAUUCCUCAUAUUUACAUAAAUGCAAAUUGCUCAAUUGUUCAUUUGUCAUCUUCCCAAACACCAAUUCCUAUAAACAUAUCAUCAAUUCUCAAUUUCAAACUGUUCAAAGAUGUCAACAAUUAACUUAACAUUUCAUCAAUUAAUUUCCUUACAAAAAAUUUAUUUUACCUUAAAUCAAUAUUAUACUCCAAAACUGUGGUACAAAAACAGUCAUAAAUAAUAUCACAUAAUCUGUACAUAUAAAUUAUUGGGAAUUACUUAAACUCAUUUUCAUUUAUUAACACAAAAAUAAAAAACCAACUGCGUAAAAGGCUACAUUUAAAAAAAAUUAAAUAUAUAUUUUUUUAGUUUAUUUUUAAUACAAAUUCUAAAAUCAUCCAAUAAUUCCUUCUCACAUUAAAAAAAAAAAGAUAAAAGUGAUUCAGGGCACUUGAACCAACAUUCUCUUAUUUAGACAACAAUAUCGAUACCAACCAAACUAAAACUUAUAUAUAAUUUUAUAUAGCUUAUUUUUGUUUACCCACAUAAUAGGUAUAAUAUAAUUUAGUAUUAGAUAAAUAGUUUGCAACAUAUCUAAAACAUAAAGUUUGGAUUUUUUUUUUGAAUCUUUUAUUAAUCUUAUUAUAUGGUAUUAUAAUCAACUAAUUUGUUUAAAAGGUUAUUUAGAUUAGUUUUAGACCAAAAUUAUAAAAUAAACAACAAUUCAAACAACGAACUAUAAAGAAAAAAAAAGAAACAAAUAAAUAAAUAAUAUAAAACAAAAAGAAAAAUCUUACUUGUAUCGUAGUCGAAAUAAAAAAAUGUGUCAAUUGAGGACAGUUGUGCACUUUUAACUUUUGCAAAGACGAUUGUGUGAGCAUAAUGUCGUUCACAUCCCUUCCUUUCAAUUGAGGCAAAUCAAUCAACGAAACCUAAAAUGAAAAGCAUAAUCAAAUUUCUCAAUCUUUGACCAUAGGACAAUAAGGAAAAGAAAUGUCAAGUUAUUGCAAUGAGAUACACAUACUUCCCUUAGACUUUGGAGUAGACAUACGUAUGCCACUUGUGGAUCUUGGAUUAUGUCUUCCAAUUGCAAGCAACUCUUUAUCUUCAAAGUAUGCAAUUGGCCAAGGCUAUUAGCAACUGACAUUGGGAAGAUAUAUUUCAAAUUAUUGCAUCCCUCUAUUUCAACAAUCUUCAGACUUUGGAGGCUUAAAUGACGACCGGGCCCUUCUUGUUCUAUGCUCCUUAAUUCAGCAAUCGGGAAUAACACUUUCAUACUAUGGCAACUUUCAACUUUAAACUCUUCAAGCUUUUGUAAAAACCCUUGCGGUUGGGGACCAUUGCACAACUCUUCCAAAAAGGAUAAAUCAUUUAAUGAUAACUUUCUCAAAUUAGAGAGUGUAGUGAUUGGCACUUGCUGCUUUGAUGCAUCAAUUAGGCAUUGCAUAGAGUCGCAACAACGAAGAUCUAGAGAAGUCAACUUACUAAAUCCCAAGUCCAAGCUUGGAACAAGGUUUCGGUGACCCUCCACAUGAUUCAAUUGAAGAGAUUCUACAUCUUCAAAUAGUUGCUUGCAUGCAUCUACAGAGUUAUCGAUUCUCAAAGAUCUUGAGAUUGGAUAAGUUUCCCUCUUUUGAAACCACAUAUCCCUCUUUUGGUACCACAUUUUUCUUUCUAUGCCAAUGCAAAAAUCAAAGCUCCAUAAUCUUCGAAACACAAAGCCAUCUGGAAGAUGUUCAGAAGAAAUAUCCAAUGAUAUUACAACCAACUUUGGCAAUGAAUUCAACUCUGAUAGGCUGGAAUAGCUUUCCCUUUUAGUUGAAUUAUCAGUCGCCCAUUUUAAUGAACUACAACCAUGCAAGUAUAGUUCUUCUAAAUUGGGCAAUCUUCGUAUUAAAUUAGGAGGGAUACUUCGUAGUUUAUAGCAAUACGAUAAAACCAACAGUCUUAGAUUUUCUAGAUCACCAGCUUCAGUCGGCAAUUCAAUGAUAUCAGAUCCACUUAAAGAGAGAAUAUGAAGUGACUUCAGCUUCCCAAGCAUCGAGAUGUCAGAGAGUUGACAAUCAAUCAAACACAAAGUUCGAAGGUUCAUAUGAAACUUAAAUGCAGCUAGAGAUAUCAAUUGAUCUUUCAAAGCACAAACUUGUAAUGCCUUCAUACCCUCAAAGAAUUCGCUUGAAGUUUCCAUUAAACGAUUGCCACCAAGUAAAAGAAGUUUGAGGUAUGGAAAAACCACUCCUUUAGGAAGUUCAUCCGUUUGACCAGUUUCAAAGGAGAUUGCCCUGUAAUGCUUGGAACUUUCAUCCAUCGGGAGUGUUUCAACAGUCCCAAAAGAAAUCUCCUUUCUUGAAGAUGCUAUCCACAAAGCAAAUUGGCGAACCACGUCAUGCAUUUUGACAUGCCUUUCUCCGCAAUCUAGCAACAAACCGGAGUUCUUGAGGGUCUCAAUUGAUGCAAGCACUUCACUGCUAACAUCUUUAAUUGAGUCCAUGCCUUUAUACAACUCCAGUCCCCAUGCAUAUCCUACCAAGUUCUCCACAUAAAUCUCAUCAUCUUCAGGAAAUAAAGAGCACAACAAGAAACAUGUCUUGGUCUCCAUAGUCUUCAAGUAGUCGAAGCUCGCCUCAAGACAUACAUAGGCAUUUUCUUCAUUAACAUCCUCAAUUUCAGUCAACCUACGAUCUUUGAGUCUCCGGUAUGCAGCUUGCCACUCGUGAUGGGUUUUACCUUUCAAGGCACUUCCCAGAGGAACUAUAGCUAUAGGCAAACCCUUGCAUUUUUUGACAAUUUGAUUUGCUAGGAUUUUAAUAGAAUCAUCAGAAAAGUCAUCUAGACCUGCUUUCUUUUCAAACAGAGUCCAAGCUUCAUCAUCAUCCAAACAGUCAAGUUGUACCACGUUUUGACAAUCCAUAGCUCGACAUACUUGUUGACGGCGUGUUGUUAAAAGAACUUUGCAGCCUUUAUGAUCAUCCCCAAUUGGAAUUCCUAUCUUCUCCUUUAAGUUGAUAGAUUCCCAAAUAUCAUCAAGGAUGAUAAGAAUCCUCGGUUCAUUCUUCAGCCUUAACCAUAAUUCUUGCUCGGAUCUUCUUCCUUGUUCAUUCUUCAUAGCAAAGCCUAUGUAUUGUGCAAUUUGAUCUUGAAUUCUCUCAAGAUUUGGCUUUUGAGACACAGUCGUAAUCACAACUUUGUCAAACAAGUUCAGUUUUUGAGCUUGACUUCCAACUUCACGAGCCAGGGUGGUCUUGCCCACCCCUCCCAUCCCCCACAACCCAAUCAUGUUGAUAUUCUCAUCUUUUAAGGCUUCAAUGAUUUGAUAGAAUGCAGUCUCUGAAGAUUUCGAAAACACAAAUUCUUUAGAACAUAGGAAAUCUAUAGUGGGAAGGGCAGUAGGAGCAGGGUAACCGACUGGUCCAAGUUGACCAAAUUUGUCCAAAAGCUCAGAGAUAUCCUGGAUUUUCUUCAUUGCUUUCUUGCUUAAUUGAUAUCGCCAACUCCAAUUAGGACACCAAUUGAGACACCUCUUAUUCAGUUGGAUUUCCUCCUCCAGAGUUCCCAUAUCAGACAGUGUUUCGUCUGCCCUUGAUUGCAAGUUCUGUACAUCAUCUUCAAUUAGUAGAAGCCGGUUUUUAGCUUCCUCAAUCUUAAGUAGUAGACGCUUUCGUGCAUCUGCAAGUUCACGCUUUUUCUCUCGGAGCUUUUCAACAUUGUCAUGAAAGCGACGGACAUAAUCAAGUUGACGUCCUACCGGCUUCACCACACAGUCUACAACCAGUGUUCCAACUGUGUUAGAAAGAGCAGCCUCACAAAAUCCGCAACCCAUGCUUGACAAGCUCAAAUUGAAGAAUAUGAUGUUCCAAGUUCAAACACUGCAGUGAAUCAUAAGUAAUUAUCUUAAAAAAAUAAAAUUUAAAGAAUCAAAAAGUGUUUUGAAGAUUAAGACACUACUUCUCAUACAUACCAAGGAUGGUGAAAGACAACUCAACCUAUGAGAAUCAAUGUGCUGUUCUUUCAACUGAGUCCAGCUGAAAAUACAACGAGAAAUUUAAUAAACAAAUCACAUCAUAUACGAGUGUAAUGUCAUAUAAUUAUAACUAAAAAAGACAGUUAAUUACUCAUAAAAAUAAAAAUUCAAAAUCCAAACAGUCUUUUAUAAUAUUAUAGAUAUAAUGCUGGAAAAUAUAAUAAACAUAUCCACUUACCAUUUCAAAAUCCAAACAGUCUUUUAUCUCUUACUUGCUUCAAGAAAAACAUAAAAAGAUGAGAUGAGAUCAAAGAAAUAUAGAACAACUUCAAUUUAUAUAAAAAAAAAAACAGAAAUGAAGCAUAUAUAAAUAGAUUUACCUCACUUGGGAACUUUUAAAAUCAAACUACACUUAGUGCUCAGAAGGUUCUUACUUCAAAACAAUCAAAAGGGCGAGGGAUUUCAAGGUUGUUUUUUUUUUUUAGCAAAAGUAAGUAAAAUUGAAUACAGAAAGAAAGGAACUUGAAGAAAGGGGGGGGGGGGAAAGAAUAUAAAAAGAUCAGAUGAGAUCAAAAAAAUAUAUAACAAAUUUAAUUUAUAUAUAACACUUAGUGUUGAGAAGAUUCUUACUACUUCAAUACAAUCAAAAGGGAUUUGAAGGUUGGGUUUUUUUUUUUUUUUUUGAGCAAAGGUAAGUAAAACUGAAUACAAAAAGAAAGGAACUUGAAGGAAGGGAAAUAAAAAGAAAAAACAACAAAGUAGAAAUCAAGGUUGAACUGAAAAAAGGAGAAACUUUCAGAAAGAAAUUGAAGUUGAUCUGCCUCGAAAAGUCAACAACUCGGAAAGCAUAAACUCUAACACAACUAGGUUUUGUUGGUUUAGUAGCCAAAGGAUUGGAUCUAAAUUAUGAGGAUUUGUUUUUCUCAAUUGUAUUUUAGUGGAUUGAAAAGGAAAGAGGAAUCUUCCUUUGCAACAAGUUGGUACUGAUUGGUUUGCCAAUGACGCCCACAUGACAUGAAAUGGUAGAGGACGACUUGGAAGAAAGUGAAAGUCUUUGUGUUAAUUAUUUAUAUGAUUUUCAAUACAUUUAAAAUAUCUACCUUUCUUCAGUUUCUUUUUCUUAAUUUCCAUUUGUUAUUAGAAAUGAAAAUGGUUUUUCUUUAUUCAUUUUUAUACUUAAUAUUUUGUAUAUUUUUUACCUAAAUAAGAAGAAUCUCAAAUUUUGAAGAUGUAUAUUCAUAAUCUAUUCGCUCCUCCAUCACCCUUGAUCGAACCCUACUUGAGAGAUGUUAAUUUUUGCAUAUGGCCUUUGUAGGUAAAGGGUGUAAGUUGGACUCGACACUCGUAAACGCGUUAGUGGAAAAAUGGAGACUUGAGACGCACACAUUUCAUCUUCUGUGAGGCAUGUGUACAAUCACUUUAGAGGAAGUGCAACUAUAGCGUAGGUUAUCGGUGGAUGGACUGAAAGUGACUAGGUCAGUUCAAGCAGUCGAUUAGGGAGACGUAUGCAAUGAACUUUUAAGGAGGGUUCUAAAAAUCAUUUUUGGAGCCUAGAUAGAUAUGAGUUGGUUAAGAAGAAAUUUUGGUGGGCUUAAUGAAGAUUCAGCUGAAGUCUAAAAGAACAACACGCUUGGGUUGUAACACCCUAAAACUUGGCCUAGAAGUUAUGACUAAAUAUUCAAGGAUUAAAUCAACUCGUUCAAAGCUUCAGUUCAAAUCAAACUCAAUGCAUGCUUUGAAAACAUAAAAUUUUGGCAAAACACCCAUAGAUGGUUAGAAAAGCCGAGUUCGAAAACACUUAUUUAAAACCCAUAAUUCACAUUCAAAAUUGCGCGUUUUAAAACUACUAAUGUGAGCAAAUCAUUUCCAGUAUUAAAACAACCAUUUGUUACAAACCAUAUAUUUUAUUUUCAAAAAAUACUUAAAUGAUUACUUAACCUUGUAGCAAAAAUUUUUCAAAGUUUGUUUUAGUUUGAAAACUGAAAUCUAACUUGUCAGCUCGUGUGAUUUGUAGUUUAAUGCUCAAAAAUAUUAAAUGCCGACGAAUAAAACAAAAACCAAAACUAGGACCAAAAACACAUUACAGUCCAAGAAUAAUUAAAUUGUAAACCCAAAAAUAUUUUAUCUGGUAACCAAUCUGAGCUCCUGUAAGUUGUCCGGUCCUAAGUCAGAAGUUAACCUAAAAUGUAUUGAACAAACAAAUAAGCUAGGAGCCUAGUGUGUGUCUCAACCCACAAGCAUAAUUUUUAUUUAACUAGCACAUACGUAAAUGUGAUCACAAAAUUUUACUUUAAUGUAUCAAUAACAUAUCAGAAUGUUGUAUUACCAGAAACAUAUAUAUUUUAGAUCAUAAUAUCAUAUAACCGGAACAUAUUUUGGUUUGGAAUAUCAUAAUUUCAUAGAAAAAUAUAUCAUACUAGAAUGUCAUGUUUUCAGAAGUGCAUAUGUCAUACCAGACUAGAACAAAUGCAUACACAAAUCCUACCUUCAUCUGCUACACACCAACUCUGUCCAACGAAUGACACCAAUUAGGACUUCAAGAGUCCAUCCAUCCAAAUCACACCGGAUCGUGGUGGUAUGCCACUAUAAUAGAGCAACUCAGUUGCCAAACAUAUAGAGUGGUUUAACCGCUGAAAAUGCAAUAAUGCUAUUAAAAAACACUUCCUCCAACAAAACAGAACCACCCCAAUGCAUAUGCUAAAUCACGUUGACAUACAUACCACAUAGUUUUUAUGCACGUACAUAAACAGAUAUCAUACGGAAUGUAAUGUAACACCCCUAACCCGUAUCCAUCGCCAGAAUAGGGUUAUAGAGCACUACCAGAGUUUACUAAUUAAUUUUUGAACUUUUAAUUUCAUCAAGCAUUCAUAUUUAUAACCAAUUAAAAUCAAAACAUUAAUAAGCUAACGUUAACCAAUUUAACUUGUACAUGCCAUUAUAACCAAAAUCAAAUCAUCCAAAAAUUAUCGAUAGAACCAAUGGAUAAUGUGAUAUAUCUCCAACAAGCUUCCAACUCAAUCGAGCUUCCGAUAAUCAUUUCAAUGCAUCAAAUAAUUAUACAUAUUACCAAUAAUAAUUCAAUUCCAAUAAUGAAACACACAUAUAUAUAAUAUUCAUUACCAAAUAGAAUUCACUUCAAUUAAAAUUAUACAGAUAUAGUUCAUACGAACUUACCAGGCUAAAUUGCAGAAAUAACAAAAUUCAGAGACAUUUUAAAAAUUUUCUAUUUUUCUCAAAUUUCCACCCAAUCUUGAUCUAAAUUAAUAUUUCAUUCAAUUUAAUAAUUUAAAUAAUAAAACAAUUCAUUUCAUGCAAUUUGGUCACUUUUUGACAUUUUUACAAAUUUACCCUUAAAGUUUUACUUUUAUUCAAUUUAGUCCAUGAGCCUAAAACGUGCAAAUUAUCCAUGCUAGCUGAAUAUUCAUAUAUAUAUAUUCCUCCUCCUCUCCUUUCCACAUCCUUAAUUUAUAUAAUAUGCUUAUAAGUAACAUUAUCUAUGAAUUCACUAUUUACUUUAAAUAUAUUCAAAACUGUCCAUUUGAGUCAUAGCCACUAAAUUAAUUUUAUAUUGAGCUACAAAACUCUAAAUUAGGAUCAGCUAAUUUUCCCUGAAACUAGAUUCACAUAUCUUCUUACCAUAAAAUUUUCAGAAUUUUUGGUUUAGCCAAUAAGUACAGUUUAUUCUUUAAAGUCACCUCUGUUCUGCUGUCUGACAGUUCUGACCCUUCUUCACUAAAACUUAAUUAUCUCCUUGUACAGAAUUUGGAUGAUAUCUCUGUUUGUUUCUAUUUAAAAUAAAUUCUUUAAGGCUUUUAAACAUAUAAAUUCUAACCCAUAAUUAUUUGUGUACAUUUUUUUAUGAUUUUCCAAAUCCAGAACAAGGGAACCCGAAAUCAUUCUGACAUUGUCUCACAAAAUCUAUUAUAUCUCAUGAUUUACAAUUUCAUUACUUACACCAUUUCUUCUAUAAAAAACUAGACUCAUUAAGCUUUAAUUACAUAUUUUUUUCAUCCUUUUAUUUCAUUUUCACAAUUUAUGAUGAUUUUUCAAAUUUAACCUACUGCUGCUAUCCAAAUCUGUUUUAGUUCAAGAUGUUGAUUACUAAGUUUAUAACUUCCUUAUUCCCUUUCUCUAUAAUAUUUCUCAUCACUUUCACUUAUUUCUCUUCACUAAUAUAUCAAGAACAUAAGAAUUUAUAUAAGAAAACUCCACUAUAACAUCUUUUCCAUGCUAUUUCAAUAAUAUCAAACUUAAAAAUAUAUUGAAAUCUCAAUGUUCUUACCUUGCCCUAUUGAUUUCAACCUUUAACUUGAUUUUCUCUCUCCUCCAACUUUAAUUUCUUGAAUCCAACUUGAUAUUCUAGCUCCCCAUAGUCUCCUUGCUAUCUUUCUCUCUUGAUGACUAUGGAGAUUCUUUUGAUUUCUAAGUGAAAAUGGUGAAUUUUUUUGGUGGAAGGACCAAAUUGUAAAGAAAGCAAAAAUUUCUUUCUUCUCUUCUCUUCUAACGUGAAUUGCAUGGAAAAGAUGGUGGCUGGGUUGCUUUUCAUCUUUCUUUCCACAUAUAUAUACUAAAUAAUAAAAUAAUAAAAUAUCAUUUAAAAAAUCAAAUUAAAAUAUUAAUAAACUAUUAUUUAUUUAUUUAUUUAAUCUAAAAUAUCUCCAACAUCAUCAUUAUCUUCUAGAUUUCUAUCUCUUCUAAAUGACCAUUUUGCCCUUUAUGAUCUUUUAAAAAUCCAUCCUUGAGUCAUUAUUUAAUUUGGGAAAAUUACGAUUUAGUCCCUCAUAAUUCUUCACCUAUUCGAUUUGGUCCUAAUUCAUCCAUUUUCCUUAGUUUUUAGAUUAUUCCACCCUUAAAAUAUUUGUACUAUUGGUCCUUCAACUUUUUUAUUUACACUUUAACCCCUCAAAUUUUGAGUAUUUACCCUUGGGCAACAAAACUUUUCUCACUUUUGCAAUUUAAUCAUUUCUUGAACUAAUAUGUCAUAAUAUACUUCUCAAUGUUGACAUAACUCAAAAUUAUCCUUUUUAUCACUUUAUUUCCUUAUUUUACUAUAUCAGGAAUAUUAUCUUACUUUUUUUUACUGUAGUAAUUUUCGAGGUAUUACAUGUAACUUACACAUAAUUUAUAUAGAUCAUAGCAUAUCAUAUUCAUGGUCGAAUCAGAUAACUUAUCAGAACGGAUAACAAAAUAUGUAUAACACACAUGAUUUACAAAAUAGUUAUGCUUAACUCACGUACCUACUUAUAGCAAAUAAUAUCACAUUAUUAUAUUUAUCAAAAUUUAUUUAACAUGCUUCCUACACUUACCCAUGUUUGUUUUCCUUAAAUUUAUGCUUUCUAGGCCUACAUAAUGCACCCAAACCCAAAUUCUGAGUCCUUUAGUCGACCCCUAAUUGGCCCAAAAGACCCACUCAACCCAAAAAGCUAGCCUGCGUGGUCCACAUAGUCUAUCCAUACGAUUUGCAUGAUCUUACACAGCAGUGUGGGAACAUAGCCUACAUGACAAGCCACAUGGGUUGUAAAAACACACAUCGUCGUGUGCCCCACACAGGCUACAAAAUCACACACGGUUGUGUUCCCCUCAUGGUCUACCACACGGUUAUGUGUCACUGGACAACUUUGUUUUGCAUAAUUUCUAAAUUUUUGAUGAGUUUUUCGAGUUAGAUCACACGUCAGAUUGCUGAUUUUGAUGUAGAUUCACGAAAGAACACACUAGAACCUAAAAUCAAUAUUCCAAACGUAUCAAAUUAGUAACAAAAUGCAACACUAAAUCAAGAUUGACUCACUAACAUAACACUAAAGACCUAGCACAAAGAAAACAACAACAAUAAUAUCUAAGUCGUCGAAGGAACGCCCAACACUUCUCGUUCUUCUCCUAAAAAUGCACCGAACUCAUUAAGCAUACAAAAUACACAUUAAUACCACACUACUAAAGCUCUGAAACCCUGAACGCCCAAUGAAGUAAUUUCAAUACAUGGCUGAAAAAAUGGAGGAUGAAGCAACCUUACCAUUAAUGACUAAAACUGAUAGCACAAAGGACAAAUGAUACACAAAUUAACAAAAGAAUAAAAAACAAGAAGAGAGAAAAAAAAACAUGAAAAACUGAAAAACCAACCAUAAAGAAAGAAACUAACGAGAAAGUGAAGAGGGAGGGAGAGAGUGAGAGGAUGGUAUCUCUGUGGCAGAAAGUUCUACGGUUUGGACAUAAGGGCAAGUUGGUAAUGAAGAAUGCUUAAGAAAUGAGAUUCAAUUGAAUUUAACAAUGAAGAAUGCUUUUAAUGUGCCUAACAUUAGACCAAGACAAAUAAUUAUAAGUUUUGUCAAAAUCUUAGUUUUCUUUUUUAAUCUUUGAUUAAUGAGCUGAAUUCACAUACUUUGUUUUUUUUCUUAUAGCUUAAUAAAUCUUUCUUCGCUCAUAAGAACAAAAAAAGUAAGUGGUACAUAAUAACGAAUAAAUGGCAUGUAGUUUUCCAAAUUAACUCCUUAAAUAGAAAUAACUUCAUUUACUGUUCCAUUCAUUUUAAAAUUCCUCUUUGACCCACCAUUUUAUAUCACUACCAAUUGACCAUGCAAUUUCUUGAGUUGUAGCAGAUUCUUCCACUAUAACCGAUUUUGUUGCUUGUUGUCUGACGUGCCAGCAAGUUAAGAUUCCCUUUGUACUGAUGGGCUUCGUUAGUGGGUUGCCUUCAACACCUACUAAAAACGAUUCUGUAUGGGUCAUCGUGGAUCGGUUGACCAAGUCUGCCCAUUUUAUUCUAGUUUGGACAGAUUAUUCUUUGCAGAAGUUAGCUAAGCUCUAUAUUUCUAAGAUUGUGAGACUUCAUGGAGUUCUGAUUUUGAUAAUUUCAGAUAGAGAUCCUCAAUUCACGUCUCGAUUUUGAAAAAAAACUUUAUGAGGCUUUGGGAUCGAGAUUGAACUUCAGUACUGCAUUCUAUCCUUAGGCCGAUGAUCAACCUGAGAGGGUGAUUCAGAUACUGGAGGGUAUGCUUUGAAGUUGUGUAAUUGAUUUUCGAGGUAGUUGAGAGGAUUUCCUACCUUUGCCUGAGUUCGCCUAUAACAAUAGUUUUCAGUCUAGUUGUAACACCCUCUAACCCUAAACAGUCGUCGAAACAAGAUUACAAGGCAUUACUGGACCUAUCAGACGAUCUACAAAUAAUUCCUAAAUAAAUAUAAAAUAUAUUAUAAUAUAAUCAUAAAUUCAUAUAAAGUUUUACUAAUUGACUUCAUUCAUUUUUCAUUUUUAAAAAAAAUUCAAUAUAACCCAUUUAUAAAUAUUUAACCUUCCUUGCUAAUUUCAAAUCCCAACCAAACCAAUUCCAGUAUUUCAACCAAUGCAUUUAUAUACUCAAAUAUACUUAAAUAAUACUUGAGAUAUUUGACUUAACAACUUAAUUAAUGAAAACCCUAUUAUCGUUUCUAAUUAGCUCAUAAAACUAUUCAAACCAUUUCAAUUCAAUACUAAUGUCAUAAACAAUUUCUACCAUCUCACUAAUUUAAUCAUCAAAACACCAAAUAUCUUUCUUUACAACAAAAUCAUAUAACAUACCAAAAUAACCAUUAUAAUCCCUAUGUACAUGUCACUUUCAUUUAAAGGAAGAAAACAUCACUAAAAUCUUUAUGCUGGAGUCGGGAUCAUUUGGAUGCUGGACUGGGGCACUAUACUCCUAUCAACCUGCAGACAUAAACAACCGUAUGCUGAGUAUUCCAUACUCAGUGGUAUUAUAAUAAUAAUAAUAAUAAUAAUAAUAAUAAUAAUAAUAAUAAUAAAAUAUAAUUAUCAAGCAUUUAACUAUCUAAUUUUUCAAAUAUCAAUUCAUUCUUAAACUUUCAUUAAUUACCAAUAACAGUACAAUUUUUAGCUAUUCUUCAAUUUCAACCACAUUUCACAUAUAAUAUUUUCAAUCACUACAUGAACAUUAAGUUCAUGCCUUUCAUUUUCAAUCUCAGUUUCAAUCCAUAAUUUUAAAUUUUCUCAUAUUCAAUACUACAAUUGAUCAAAUUCAUUUGAUUUUCUCAUUUUAAUUUUUCACCCUAUUAACAAUCCGGACUUUGACGGAUACAAGGAUUCCAACCCAAACACACCAGUAUGGCACAUUGGGCCUAAAACGAUACAUAGUAUCUGAUCAGUAUACAACACAUAAGCAAAUAAAAUGACACACGAGGUGCUUAAAAUGCGACACAUAAAGUGUCUGAUAUACUACAUAUAAAGUGUCUGAUCGGCAAAGUCGAUAAAUCCCGUACUCUUCCAAAUCCUAUGGCAUGCCAACUAUAUCCAACUUAGCCCAACUAGUUCAUAGGGUAUUCCGUAUUACUUUCGAAUUUCAAUUUCAUUCUCAAUUUAAUUACAACUCAAUUCAAUAUACUUUUCCAUUUCAAUCCACAUACAAUUCAAUUUCAAUUCAUAUUCAUUGUUCAACUCAAUUUUCAUUUAAUUCAACAAAAACACUUACCUUAUAAUUUACUUACCAUAUACAUAAAUUAAUUUAACAUUUAAUGAAUAAAUAAAUAAUUUGAAUUAUAGUAAUACAAACCUGAAUUUCGUAGUUACUCCUCGAUGACUUUUUCCUUUCCUUUCGGUACUGAUGCCCCGUGUUCUUUACUAGCUUUUAAAGCUUUAAAACCUUAAACCCUAGUUUUUCCUUUUCUUUUCUUUUUCUCCUUUCCCUUGCUCUGUUUCGAAAUGGUUCUGCUAUUCUUUUUUUCCUUUUCAUUUCUUUCAUUUCUUUUAUAUAUAUAUACUAAUUAAUAAUAAUAAAUAUCUAAUUUUUAACUAAUACAUAUAUUACAAAUGUAUACAUAUAUUCUUUUACACUUGUACUUGAUCUAUACCCUACACUUGUCACAAAUUAAUUUAUUAAUCACAUAAAAAUAUUAUAAUUUAAUUAUUUAUCUAAUAAAUAUCUUUUAAAUAAUAAAUAUCUACUUAAUAUACAAAUAUAAAUAUUACAACAGUAUAUAUUUAUCUUUUUAUACAUGUACUAUUUAAUCAUCAUACAUUUGGGAUAAAUAUAAUAUAAAUAUAAUAUAUAUUUAUCUUUUUACUUAAAUUUUAAGUAAAUAAAUAAUUUAAUACAAGUGUAUAUAUAUUCACAUAUUACACACGUACCACUUAUCACCCUACAUUUGUCAUGUCUUAAUUUAUUUAUUUCAUAAUAUAAUAAUUAAUAUAAUUUAUAAUUUAAUAUAAAACAUUAAUAAUAGUUAAUAUUAAGAUUUUUAAAAAAAUCAUAUAAAAAUCUUAGAUUUUAACGGCUUAUGCCACCACCUCACUUAUGUUAAUUGGCAUAAUUGCCAUUUUGACCUCUUUCUAUUUUUUAAUCUAAUAUUAAACUUUUACCCUUUAUUCAAUUUAAUCCUUUUUCGCAAUUACUCUUAAUUAAGCUAAAUUCACCUAAUUAAAAUUUAAUUAGACACACUACUAGACUCAUAAAUAUUUUUAAUAAUUAUUUUUGAACUCGAUUUACUAAGAUGGAUGCCCAAUAGUACACUUUUUCGAUGCCCGUGAAUUUUGGGUCAUUACACUAGCAUCCAGAUGGCACCUUACAAAGCUCUGUAUAGUUGUAAGUGUCGUACCCCACUAUGUUGGACUGAGUUGGGGGAGCGACGGGUUUUGGGUCCUGAGUUGGUUUCCAAGAUUGAGGGCAAGGUCAAAUUAAUUCAGGAUCGUCUUAAGGCAGCUUUUGAUAGACAGAAGUCAUAUGCAGAUUUGAAAAGGAGGGAUAUCGAUUACUCUGGGGGUGACUCUAUUUUCCGUAAGAUAUCUUUGUGGAAGAAAGUUCUGGGUUUGGACGUAAGGGCAAGUUGAGCACUAAGUUCAUUGGGCCAUAUCAGAUUCUAAAGCGUGUGAGACCGGUCGCUUAUCAGUUAGAGUUACCUCCAAAGUUAGACCGCAUUCAUAACGUAUUUCACGUCUCUAUGUUAAGGAGGUAUCGAUUUGACCCAUCUCAUGUUGUUUCUGUUGAGGAGAUCGAAGUUAGACCGAAUUUGACAUUUAAGGAUGAACCGAUUUAAAUUUUAGAUCGCCAUGUAAAUGCUUUGAGAAGGAAGUCUAUUCCAUUAGUUAAGGUUCUGUGGCAGAAUCAUGGCAUUAAGGAAGCCACGUGGGAACUUGAGGACUUGAUGCUUCAGUAAUAUCCUCAUUUGUUCGGAUCAGGUAAAUUUCGAGGCUAAAAUUUCUUUUAAGGGGUAGAGUUCUAAUGCCCUGACUAAUUUUACUUUAUUUAUGUGAAUUUUAUCAUAAAUGUGUAUCUAAUUCAGUGGCUAAGUGUUUUGGGUGUGUGUUUGAGGUCUUGGGUUUAAGCCCCACUUUUGGGAAAAUAAGUUAUUUUUUAUCCUAGCCUAUUCAUUGGCGAUUGGGUUUACGUCUUAUCUUCAGUAAACUCAUAUCAGAAUGAGCUUGUUGGUUCGAGUGGUAAGGAGUUAGCUUGCCUUGAGGUCUUGUGUUUGAGUUCUUGUGAGAAUUGGAGUGAUAAUUUUUGCUUCGGUUGUCAGAUAGAGAUUCGAUGAAAUUGAAACUUUAAGGUAGUUGGAUGUGGUUAGUUGGUAGGAUUCUAAGGGAUAAGGUAAUUAGUGGGGGAGUUAAGAUUUUAUGUUACCUUUGAUUUAGUUGUUAUUUAAUUUUAAUUUUUAAAUUUUAUUUUUGAUUUUCCUAAAACUCCUCCUCCUUCUCUCAUUUUUUUUCCUUUCCUUUCUUCUCUCUAUUUUUUUCUCUUUCAUUGAAAAAAAAUUCCUCCCUUUCCACUCUACAGUCUUUCGUUCCAACUAAACCAUGUGCCAUUGUUAUUUGACCGGUAUUGUAGUUUGUUUAUCACUCUCUUUUGUCUCAAAUUCUGAUUGUAAUUCUAUUUAGCAAGUUUGGGUAGGUGUAGUUAUUACUUUUGGUUGGUGUUUCUUUAUUGCUAGUGUUUUUGUUAAUGCCAUGUAGGGGAAGACCAAGGGGUUCGGGAUUGUCCGUCGGUGACUUAGUUGUACGUAACUACCAUCAUUCGAUUAAAGGUAAGGGUUUAGUUGAAUAAUGGGUUGAAUGGAUCGUUUUGGUUUCAAUUUUAGUAUCAAUUUAAUCGACUAAUUCAGUGAUUUAUUGGUUAAUUGUAGGUUCUGGUUAUCUCAUGGGAGCGUUCACAUCAAAUCCGAAUUAGAUGUGUAAUAAAAACACGAGAAAACGAGGUUCGACGAAAGUUAAAAAGCGGCCAAUCGACGCCAGAUGACGAAAGCGAUGUGGUAUUUCUAUAAAUCGAACAUAAAAAUAAAAUUACAACAAUUAUAUGCCAAUACUAUGCGAUAUUAUCACAUUCAUAGUUUGAUUCAUAUCAUACGUAAUUUAAUAUUAUUCCUUCAUUACAAAACCAUUCACUACUUUAAUUUCCAAAUCACAUUUCGUUAUAUAAUUCAUUCCAUUAUAUCGCAUUUGCUAUUUAAUAAAAUUUUCAUUUCAAAACUAUUAUCAUCUCAAGUCAUGAUUUCAGUUUUAUCAAUUACUUCCCCUAUUAACAUGACUCAAACUCGGAUAUGCGGAUCCAACCAACACAUCAAAGUUUGUCACCAAGUGCCUAAUAGAUAAACCAUAGAAAUUGAUUGCACCUUGCGCUAGCCAGUAAGAUAAAAAAAUAUAUGUGCCCAUCACUGGUCAGUAUAACUGACGAAUGGGGUGCCCAACACUCCCUGACACAUAGUUGUAAAACCUUAAACUCUUCCUAUCCUACCCAAACUGUUAAUAGGGUAAAAAUUUUCUCAAUUUAAUUUAUAACAAAUUACAUAAUCAUACAUCACCAAUUAUCAAUUCAAUCAUUCAUUUACCAACAUAACAAAACAUCUCAUUUCCAUAUAGAAUAUAAUCUCACAUGCAUCUCAUUCCGGAAUGUAAUCUCGCAUACAAUAUAUGCUAUUAUUAUAGCUAUACAAUUUAAUCAUUUAUCACCAAUAAUUAUUUGAUCAUAACAAUUCAAUUCGAAUUUAUCAUUUUGCAACAUUACUCUAGCAAUUAACUUACCUUAUAUACUUACCUAAUAAUACAAUGUGUAAUAGGAGUAAAUACAAAAGUUUAGAUGAUAAAAACACCAACAAUAGAUUUCAAGCUAUUCAACAUCGACUUUAUUUUUCCCUUUCUUACUCGAGGAUUCCGAAACGAUAUUAGCUACGGAAUAAAACAAACCACACAUCUCAUCAAUACACAAACAAUUUCACAUUUAAUUAUCAAAUUACGUAACUUUUGUACUUUAUUCAAUUUAGUCCCUAAAAUUGGGACUAGCCUAACUUUCACAUUAAACCCUAAAUUUUUAUACUAAUUUCACUACAAGCCUAAUUUAAUUCCCUAUUUCUCAAUGUCAUCCCCUAAUUUUGAGUUUUUUACAAUUUGGUCCAUAUUACUCAAAAUCAACCAUUAACUUCACAUUUAACCCAUUUUCACUUCUAACCUAAAAAUCUAUCAAAUUAGUCUCUAUGGCUUUAACUACUCAAUAAUCGUAACAUCUAAAAUCUUAAACAAUACUAAAAAAGAAGGCAUGGGUUGAAUGAAAAAAUAAGACAUCAGAAUUUCGAAAACAUAAAAAUUACAAGAAAAUAAAUUGAAGCUUGAAUGCUUAAACCUCUAAUGCCGAAUACUUCUUCUUCUCCCUUUAAUUUCGGCUUGCAUCAAGAAAGAAUGAAAAUGUUUUUAUUUUAUGUUCCACUAACUUGUUUUAAGUUAUUUUAUUAUAUUAUGUUUUAUGUUAUUAAUUUAUUUAUUUUAAGUAAAAAUUUACAACAUUUUUAACAUUUAAAACCAUGAUGCCAUCCACUUAUAAACCAUAGGUAUAAUUACCUUUUAAGUCCCCUUAAAUAAAUUCUAAUUAGAAUUCUUUAGUAACUCAUAUGUUUACCACUUACGCGAUUUAGUCCCUAUACUAAAAUUAAGCCUUAAUUCAAUUAAAUUUCUUAACCAAAAUUCAACUCGCUUCUAAUAAAACUCUAUAAAUAUUUAAUAAAAAUAUUUAUGAGUCUGGUUCAUGGAAACGGAGUCCCAAAACCUCACUUUUCGACACCAUUGACUUUUGAAUCAUUACAAGGAUGUUUUUCAAUUAAGCACUAACACAAAGAAAAUACUUGAACUGAUAGAAAACAAUACAUGCUCACAAGUGUAUACAAAAAGAUAAAGAAUUGAAGCACAGAGGUUGAAAAAAAGAGUUGUUGAUCUUUCUUGAUAACUCUUAAUCUUUUGUAAUCUUUUUGUUGUUGUUGAACAUUUGAAAGCUGGUAUUUAUAGUCCCAAAUUGAUUUCCACCCAUUUUGAUUGUUGUGGAAUUGAAUAGAAUCAUUGGGAUGUAAAAACCAAUGCAUUAAUGUCACCUACAACAACAAGUAUCGAUACCUUUGGAGGGCUAUCGAUACUUUGGGCAUUUAAUGCCUCAAUUUAGUGAUCAUUAAAGCCUGUAGUAUCGAUACAAUAGGGUAUGUAUUGAUACUUGCUAUGAGGUAUCGAUACUCGGAUAAUUUAUUGUUUUAAUUUUCAAAACAUUGAACCUUAAAACAGUAUCAUUACUAGGAGGAGGUAUCAAAAUAUUUGGUAAGGUAUAGAUACUUUGUAUUUGUCCUCAAUAUUUUUUUAGAAACAGAAGCUCAAUUUGGUAUCGAUACUAUGAAAGAGUAUCAAUACUUUGGUCAAGAUAUCGAUUCUCUUUUAUUCGUGCUCCUUUUUUGAAUUUCGAAGCUCAAUUCGGUAUCAAUACUUGGGGUUAAGGUAUCAAUACCUUGUUUAGGGUAUCAAUACUUUGAUCCCUGUGAGUAUUUUAACUUGUUUAAAAAUGUUAGAAAAAUUGUUUAUUGUUUUAAAAAACUUCCAAAAUAAUUUUCAAGUAUUUGAAAGAUUAGAUUUAAAAUUUCUCUCUCAAAAUAUUUUGAAACAAAUUUUUACUUUCAAAUUUAUCAAGUUUUAUUUCAAAAACAAGUUUUCCUCAAAAACAUUAUAUUUGUUAUAUCAAAACUCUUAUCAAAUUAAAGCUCGACUUAACAAAAUAUAAUCUUUAAACAUUACAUCUAAAUAUUAAAAAUAAAAUGUAAACAUAUAAUAUACAAUUUAUUAUUAUAAACUAAUAAAUAAUUCAUUAAAAUUAAUGUUUUAAAAUUAAAGUUUAAUAACCAAAUUUAGAUUAAAAAACAAGAGUCAAAUUUAAUAAAAAUAUAUCAACGUUGAGGGCUAAAAUUGUUAUUAUACUUUUAAUUAAUUAUUUUUCUUUCACCUAUGCAGUUCUAUAAUUACAUUACAAAGCUAUUCCAUCCAAAACAAAAAGAAGUAAAUAUUUGGUUGAGCCAGAAGAUAGCAUAAAUAGAAAACUUGAUGCCUGUGAAGCUAAAACUCUCCCUAUGUAGCAACUUCGUAAACAUCACUUCUCUAGUUGUUGCGAUUGCCACCAUAUUAAUUUUUCCACUCCUCAAUUACAACACUAAAUACAAUUAUAAGUAAACAACAUUAUUGAAAGGUGAACUAUUAGUAGAUGAAGUCUGUGAGUGUUGGGGAGAAGCAAAAAGAAAAUUUAGGGGAUAAAAUUAAAUUGUAAUUUUUAUGAUAGUAAAAAUGUAAUUCCGUAAUUUUAAUAGUUUAUAUCUUUAUAAAUUUUAAAAGAUUAAAUUAAUUUUUUAUCAUUUUUAAGAGGGACCAAAGUUUAAUUUUACCUUUACUAUUUAAAAUUUAAAAAAAAAUUUAAAGAGCUUUUGCCAUAUUUGAACCUCCAAAAAAAUUUGACUAUAAAUAUCAUGCAGAGGAAUAAAUGAAUGUCUUUGUUACAUGGUAUGGUUGUAAAUGUAGUAUCGUUCACUUUUCUUUCAAUAUUCUUAUAGAUUAUGAAGGGUGUUAGAGAGUUGUAUAUCUACAUUUAUAUUUAGAUAUUCGUCGUGAAUUAAAAGUGUAAUACUUGAAUUUGUAAGUUAUUUAAGUUUGAAAAAAAUUCGAUUCAAUAAUUAUCAAUCGAACUCAAAUUCAAACAAUUUAAAUUAUCGAUUAAGUUAAAGUCAAACAUUUUAAUAUUUGAUUAAAGUAUCUUGCGAGCAAUCGACCUUCUUAUAUAUUCUUUAAUUAAUUUUCGGGUAAACUUUAAAAUUAGUCACUUUUGUUUGUCUUAGAUUACAUUUUAAUCAUUUAUGUUUGAAAUGUUAAGUUUUAGUCACUUACGUUAUCGUUUUGUUACAAAGUGGUCACUCUAUCUUUAAGCUCUGUUACCUCCCUAAUGGCGGUCCUACGUGGCAGUCCAAACGGGUUUUAAAUGCCAACUUUGAUGUCCUAUGUGGCAAUCCAAAUUGAAUUUAUUUAAUUAAAAACCUAUUUUCAUUCCAGCAACUGGACAUCCAAGUUGGCAUUUAAAACCCAUUUGGACUGCCACGUAGGAUUACCGUUAGGGAGGUAAUGGAGUUCAAUGGUAGAGUGACCACUUUGUAACAAAAUAAUAACGUAAGUGACUAAAACGUAACAUUUCAAACAUAAGUGACUAAAAUAUAAUCUGAGGCAAACAAAAGUGACUAUUUUUAUAGUUUACCCUUAAUUUUGUGCAAUGUAUAGAUUUAUUGCAUGUAAUUAUAAAAAAAAAGUUAAUAUAAAAUAAUUUAAAAUAUUUGUAUUUAAAUAUCAUGGAAAAAAUUAAAAUGCACGUAACUUCUAUACAAUAAAUUAAGAGCUAAAUUAGAGAUAUGAUUGAAUGACUGAAAACAUGAAUAUAACUUACAUUUGAUUUGUGCCAGUAGAGUAACGUGUUAGAAACAUAAAAAUUUUGGCACGUUACUAUAGUAAAUACAGAAAAUAAUCUUGGAAAAUUUAUAAUCUUAGAGGCUCAUAUAAAUUUUUUAAGAAUAUCAAAUUAUAGAUUGAUUUUGAUCUUGACUUCUGAUAUAAAUUAAAUUGUACUAUUGAAUCUGAAGGAGCUAAACUAUAAAUAGAGACCUUCCCAUUUGUAAGCAUCCCAUUGUAGCUCAUUCUUGAUUAAUAUCACACUUUUACAAGUAUUUACUCAAACACUUAGUAUGCUAUUGCUUUUUUGCAACUUGUUUUGUUCUCUCGUUUCUUCUUUAUUUUUUCGGUGCCCACUUUCGAGAAUAAGAUUGACUUAGGCGACUUUGAAGCAAAAGAAUCGCCUAAUACCACGCAAUUUGCAAGACUAUAAAGUUCUAGGCGCAUGACAAUAUUUUGUGGUUGUAAUUUGCUCCAAUAUUACAUUUGCUCUACUAGUUUAAAGUGUAAAGAUUAAGGACACAGAUUUCAUUUACUUCUAUGAUUGUUAUCAUUUAUUUAAGGGAAAUGUAGGCUUAAUGGAAAGCCACUUUAUAUUCAAUAGACGGUUAUUGUUAAGAUAUUAUUUACUUCGAAACCAAGACUGUUCAAACAUGGAUGGAGAGUGAAGAGAUCAAUCUAUUUUUUGUUUUCCUUGGUGAAAAUCUAUGGGUUUUUUUUUUUCAAAAAAAUUUAUCUAGUGCAAAUAACUUCCCAUCCUCAAUUUGCAGCAAUGACGUUAGCAACAAUUAUAUUAAUAUGUUAUUGCUUAUACUUGUCCUUUGAAGGUGGAAUUAUGAGUUCCAGACCUUAAAAUUCCUGGCAUUGUACUUGAUUUAUGAUCGGCUAUCACUUCUGUAUUUUGCAGAGAAAACUGAUGCGAAACAGAGUUUUAAAGCUUUUACGAGCUUUGGUUUCCAUUACUGAAGCCGUCUCUGAUUGUCCUAAAACAAUAAGAGUUGUUUCUAAGGAUUUGAAUGGUUUUCUCCAAUCAGAAAUAGACCAAAUUCCUAAUAGUUGGAAACAAGUUUCGAAAAUCACCAGGUCCAAGGAGUUUUCACAGUCCAUAGCAAUGUAAAGAACUGCAACCUGAAGGAGAUUUGAAGUCAAAUUCAACUCCGAGCUGGCUGAAUUGGUGUGUGGUGAUGAGUUUAGGGAGCUGAUUGGUGAUUGUAUUCAAGUUUCUGUAGUAAAAUUUUAAAGAAGAAUCAAUUUGUUGAAUUCUGAAUCAAAGGGUUUUAACUUUAGAUUUGAACUCCAUAAAUCUCACUGUUUUUAAUCUCAAUUAUAAAAGUGAGUACUUUUGGAUCGGGUUGUACUUAGCAGAGACAGGGUAUAAAAACCCUAGCAGAAAACAAAAAAAAAGAGUUUAGGGUUUUUUUUUUUUGGCUGCAAAUGAUUUUUCUGCCAAAAAAAAAUUAAUAAAGACACAAAAACGGUGUCGUUUUACUAAGGCAGAUCCGCGCGUCGACCCGACCCGCAAGCAGGGUCCUCGCGUUCAGGCCUUGAAUGGGAAAUUUUCGAAAUUAGGCCUCCCUUUUUGCGGCGCGCUUUAAUCAAACCCGUUGUUCCUCUUUUAAUUUGGCCCAAAUAUUUUACCUUCAUGACAUUUUAAUCCAGGUCGCUGCGCAGCGUUUUGGGGAGGUGGAUUAUUUCUGAUUUGGCCCCCCACGUAAUUCACGUGUUGCAAUUUACUCCUCCAUUUUGCUGAAAUUUCAUUAUUUCCUGUUGUUUUAGUUUUAUUGACUAUUUAGUCAUUUUUGUAAUUUUGUAAUUAUAAUUAUUAUUGUCUAUUAUUAUAAUUAUUAGUGUAAGUACCCCUUUUCACAUGGCAAUUUAUUUAUUUAUUUUUAUUCUACUAUGUAUUAUUAUUCUAGUUUUUUAUCAAGUGUUACUAUUAAAUUUUAUAAUGUACUAUUUUAUUUUUUUUUAAAAAUCUAUAUAAUACUUUUAAUGAUUUUUAUUUUUCAUAAAUUCACUCUUUUUUUAUGCUUUAAAGGAUUUUAUAUGAUAAUAUUCUUGUAUAAUAUUUUUAAUACACACGAGGGUUAUAUUUUUUUUCCUUUUUAUCUUGAUUUCAUAUUUUUAUAUUUAGUAACUAUAAGUUUCCACUUAAAAAUGUCUUUGGUUUUAAUAAAAAUCCAUUUCUCAAGACCCCAUUUUAUUAUAUGUUUUCUUCAUUUAAACUUUUAUAGCUAUAUGUAGGCAUUAUCGUUUUUAUAAAGUUUUCAAGCAUUAUUUCGUUAAGAUCAAUGAAUAUGUAUAUUAUUUUGUAUGGAUGUUUUUAAAUCUCCUUUUGUGAAUAUUCUUUUAAAUUUUUAUAAAUCCACGAGUGUUAAUUUGUUUAAUGCUUGGAUUGACUUUUAAUGCAUCAGUCUUUGAAUAUGAGCAUAAUAUAUGAUGUGUGGCUAUGGUUAUAUAUGUAUAUAUCAAUUUGCUCUUUUGCAUUUUUAUAUUAUUUUAUAUUCUAGAUAUGUAUUAUUAUGCCAUGCAUACAAUUACACUCUUAUUUCUCAUUAUUGCAUUGUGAGCCAAAUUUUAAUGUAUGUGAUCAUUACUGAUUUUCUUCCUUUCUUUAUGUCAAGCUAAUCAAUUAAAUAUGUUUUGAGUCGGCUUUAUAAUGCGUUUCAAAGUUUCGAGAAAUCGUACCCUAACUUACAGGGUCUCGAUUUUCUUGUUAAUUCGAAAUGUCCCUUUAUUUUCAAAAAUGUAUGCUUUUUGAUAAAAUUAAAAGCAAGUUACAUAUCAUCUUUGGAACUGUGAAGAAUCGUACUCUAACUUACGGGGUUUCGAUUUUCUCGCUGAGCUAAAACGGCUAAAUAUUUUUUAUCUUUCAAAGUCGUUAAAUUUCAAUAAAUUUUUUAAAGGUUAAGCUUUUUCUUGAGAAUUUGAAUGUUGUAUCUAACUUACGGGGUACGACAUUUUGUUGGCUUGAGGUGGGAAAGCCUUUUACCCUCGAUCAAAUUUAUUCAAAUGUUUUUCUAAAAUUUGUGGUAUUAAUCAAAGGGGAAUCAUUUUUUAAAAAUCUUGGAUUUUCAUUAUUCGACUAUAAGACAUCUGUUAAUUAAUUAGGUACCAAUUUUGGGCGUUAUGAGGGUGCUAACCCUUCCUCAUACGUAACCGACUCCCGAACCCAUUGUUUUAAUUCGUAGACCAAAUUUAUUUUUAGGUGAUCCGAUCACACCUUAAUAAAGGAUCGGUGGCGACUCCAUUUUCAUUUUCAAAGUCAAUUCCUGUUUUUCAAAAAAAAAAACGGUUUCGACAAGUAUGUUACUAAUUGGUAUUGUAAUUAACUAAACUACUUAAAAGGUUUAUUGAAGUUAGUUUUUAAACUAAAAUUCUAAAUUGAAAACUAUCUUUUAAAGUGUUAUACAAACAUUUACUUAUUUUAGACAACAAAUUAUGAAAAGGUGAAGAUUUCAAUAAAUUAUAAAGUAAAAUAUAUCUUUUAAAAUGUGUCAAUUGAGGACAAUUGUGCACUUCUAACUUCUGCAAAUACGAUUGUGUGUGCAAAAUGUCGUCCAUAUCCUUUCCUUUCAAUUGAGGCAAAUCAAUCAACGAAACCUAAAAUGAAAAGCAUAAUAAAAUUUCCCAAUCUUUGACCAUAGGACAAUAAGGAAAAGAGAUGUCAAGUUAUUGCAAUGAGAUACACACACUUCCCUUAGACUCGCACUUGUGGAUCUUGGAUUAUUUGUUUCAACUGCGAGCAACUCUUUAUCGUCAAAGUAUACAAUUGCCCAAGGGUAGUAGCAACAGACAGUGGGAAGAGAUACUUUGAGUUAUCGCAAUUUUCAACUUCUAUUUCCCUUAAACUCUGGAGGCUUAUAUAUGGCACUUGUGAGUCUUCGAUUAUACCUUCCAAGCUCCGGUAAUUCUUCAUCUCCAAAGUAUGCAAUUGCCAAAGGCUAUAGCAACAGACAUUAGGAGGAUAUAUUUCAAAUUAUUGUAACUCUCUGUUUCAAUAAUCUUCAAACUUUGGAGGCUAAAAUGACGAUGGAACAAAGUGUUAAUAUAAUAAGUAUAACCAUUUAUAUUUUUUAAGUAUAAAAAUUAAAAUCCCUGAAGUAUGAACUUUUAAUGCAUAUCUUUAAUUUAUUUAGGUAAAGAUAUAUUUGAUUUUAUUUAAGAAUGAAUAAAAAAAUUAACUAUUACAUAAUCACAUUACAAUGGCAUUGUAUUCAAAGUGUUUCUCAAAAUAACCAUCUCAACUUUUAAUAUAAUAUUAGAUUUAGUUAUUAGUAUUUAUAUAUUAAUUUGACUUUUAUUUUUUAAAAACUAAAUUUAGUUAUUAAUUUUUUUAAAAAAAACUUAAAUUAUUUUUAAGCUCCAUGUAUACUUCAUGUUUAUAUGACAAUAUUUAUCUUAUAUAUCACGUCAAUAAAUAAUUUAAAAAUUAAAAAAUAACAUGAAAUACACAUAGAUAAAUACAAUAAUUUAUCUUAUCAUUUAUUUAUUAUUUUUUAUUGAAACAGUGAAUUGGAUCCCUACCAAAGAAGUAUUCGAUAGGCUCAUUUGAAUUGUUACUCAAACAACUCCAUUUUAAGUUCUCCUUAAUUGCAUUUGUAAGUAGCUCGUCUUACUUACAUGUUUUAAUUUAAUACAACAUUUUUUUGAGAUAAAAUCCAUGUUAGUGAUUUGAAUUAAGGCAUAAUAUCUAACAUAUCUCAUUGUGAUAUUACUAUUUUAGGUUAAAUGUAUUCACUUAAUUAUAUAAGUAACACGUUUCUUAUUUUUUUAAGAUAUAAAUGAACAAACAUAAAUAGUAAUAAACAAAUUAUAAAUAAAUAAAAGAAACACAUAAACAAUAAUAGUAUUAAUUAUAUAAUUAAACAAUAGUUGAUUUUAAAUGAUUUACUAAACUAGUUUUAAACUAGCAUGAAGAUAAUUAGUUUGGAUAUGUUUCAAUUAUAUUACGUUAAUUUAAUAAAUAAAUUUUAAAAUUUUAUUAAUGUUGAUUUAUUUAACUUAACGAACGAAUAUAAAUAAAUAAAGAUCCAACUCAUAAACUAUUUAUUUACAGCCUUAAACUUGACUUAUAUCUAUUUAGAACACUUAAGUAACCGUAAUUUAUUGUCAACUUUAGACUUCAAGAACUAGAAAUGAAUAAGAGUUGGAUGGAUUUGUUAACGGUAAGCAACGAAUAUCAAAAUGGAGUACAAACUCUUCUAAAUUAGUUUACAUUUAAAUUUUUAUAUUUAAAUAAUUUAUUUAAAGUGAUUGAUCUACAAGUUAACUCACGCAUUAACUUAUAUUUAUACCUUAUCUGAGAAAAUUUUAAUUUUUAUAAUUAAUAAAAUUUAAUUUACAAUUAACUUACUAAACUUUUAUGAAGAAAAUUAGAAACCCCGUCGGUUAAAACUAGUUAUUUUUCCUUUUAAAAAAUCUAGUUCUUUUUUUUUAAAAGUAAUGUUUUAUUAUUUUAUAUAUUUAAUAAAAACUUUUAUAAAGAAAAUUAGAAACCCCAUCGGUUCAUGUUCAGCUUUAUUAAACUAAGAUUAAAAUUAUGCAUUUUAAUAUUUAUAUUAAUAUAUUAAUACAAAAAACAUAUAUUUUAAUAUUUUUAUUUACAUACAUUAAUAUAUAAUUAUUUUAUUAUUUUAAAAAAUUAAUAAUAUUAAUAUGUUAUUUUAAAAAAUAAUAAUUUUAUUUAUUGUUUUAAUAUUUCAUAAAAAUUAAAUGUUAUAAUAUUUUAUUUUGUUAUUUUAUUAUAUUUUAGUGUAAAUAUUUUUUAAAUACUAAUAUUUUAUAUUUUAUUUUAAACUAUAUAAAAAAAGAUGUUAAGGGUAAGAUGAUAAAUUAGUAAAUAACACUUGUGUUUUAACUCAUAGAAAAUACAUGAUAAGAAGAUUAACUAUUUGGCACAAGUGUAAACCGUGUUAUCCUAUCUCCUACCCCUAAUAUUGUAUCGAAAAACGCUUGUAAGAAGAGUGAUAUAUAUCCAAAUUUCAACAACCAUACAAUUUGAUGUAGUAGCAUCUAUCUUUUAUCCAUCAUUUAAAAGUUGAGUGUUAUUUAACAUAACACUCCUCUUUUACAUCAAGCCUACCAAAUAUAGUCACGGUGCUUGCAGAAGUACACACUUUUGUAGUCACUUCUGCUCAUACAUUGCUUGUUAAUUAGCAACUAUUUUAGAUCAACAAAAAAUCAUUUAAAUGAAUUAAAUUUUAUUAAUGGAGUUUGAAAAAGGAUUUUUUAUUGUAUAUUUUGUAUUUUUUUUUACAAAAAGAAUGGGAUCAAAUUCAAUUUCACAAGUCUUAGUGAGAUUAGUUUGAAAGAAGUUAUUCAAUAGCAUGGAACUUGAAUGGAAGGUAUUACUAAAUUUGUCCUAUUUUGUUUUAAAUUUGUUAUUGGAUUCUAUUGAAUAAUUUUUUUUUCUUUUUUAUGUCUCAGUAUUGAACAAUCUUGAGCUUUAUUGCAAUAUAAUAUUAAGUUUUCUUGUAUGAACAUUAGUUUCUAAUCACAUUUAAGCUUUGUGCAAAAUGAAUAUUAUAUUAAGAUAUUGAAAUUGAUCUAUUUUUUUUAUCCAUUUUCAUGAUUUAUGGCAAUGUUGAAUAUUUUGUUGUUGCAGAAAUCAUAAUUUUUAUAUAGAAUUUUCUAUUUUUAAAAAAUAAUGUUGAGUUUUUAAAAUUAAUUUUAUAUAGAAUUAGGGUUAAAUGGAGAGAAAGUAUAAAAGUUAAGGGUUAAAAUUGUAAUUAUAGUAACUAAAAAAGUGUGGUUGUUAGCUAUUUAAUAGUUGGGCAAAAAAAUAUUUUUAAAAACGUUAGUGGCCAAAUUGUAACUCUUUUAAUUAAAUGACACAUAAUUGAGGGAUUAAUAGUGUAAUUUAACCUUAUCUUUUUUAAACAUAUGGAUUAAUUCACAUUUAUUUGGAAUAUGUUAUUAGUUCACAUAUGGAUUUAACUAGUGGUGGAGCUAGAAAAUUUUUUGGAGGUCAAAAUUAAAUUGUAUAUUUUUAUGAUAGCAAGAAUGCAAUUUCACUAUUUUAUAGUCUAUAUCUUUAUAAUUUUUAAAUGAUUAAAUCAAUUUUUUUAUCAUUUUUGAGAUUAAAGUGUAAUUUUACUAUUAUUAAUUUAAAAUUUUAUAAAUUAUAAAGGAGAUAAGUGAAAAAUUAUCCAUUAAUCAACUCAUGGCUCUACCACUUGAUCGAACACAUAUCACGAGUCCUUUCCCGCGUGUGUCAAAUUUUUUUUAUAUGGUUGAAAUAUCAUCACAUGUAUUUAUGUUUGAAUACACAUCGCAAAACCUUGAGUUGUUUCGGCAUGACCUAGAGAAAAAAAAAUGGAGAAACAUGAAGGUAGCUUAGAAGAAUCCAAAAGCAAUAAACGAAAGCUAGACCAAAGGUUGAAAUCAUCAUUAACCAAGCCUUUACUUUUUCUAACGCCGGGAAGAUUCUAUAUUCGUUGAGAAAAUCGGCAAAGACUUUGUUAUCUUUUGGAAGGACUUGUAAAGAAACAAUUUUUUAUAUUUACGUUCUGAUGUUUUUCAUAUUAACAUUAUUGAUGUUUCUAAAUUUACCUUCUGUAAUGUUGGAACUAGUUGAAGAGUCCUCAGAUUCUGAAGAGGAAUCAAAUUUUAGUCAUCAGCAUAGGAUGGAAGAUGAGAAGUUGCUGUCGGCAGUGUUGGAGAGCAAAGGAGAAGGUAAGAAGACUGCAACUCAAGAGGAUGGAGGCAAAUCAGAAAUGGGUAGAUGACAGAAUUGUGAAUAGGACUCUCAUAUUCUGGGUCCAACUUAUGCAAUACUUCUAUGAUCUGGGAAGCGUGUAGAGAUCCACAAAUGAGUUUGCAGUGAUUGCUGCGGUCCUCUCCAACAAGGAGCCAAUUGUUUUGUAGACACAAUGGCUAUGGAUGGGAUGGAAAGUUUAUGGUUAAACUAUUCCCCUUAAAUUCACGUCAGUAUAAAAUAAAAUGUAAAUUAAUUUAAAAUUUUAAAAUAAUUUUAUUUUAAUUUUUAAGUCAAGAAUUUUGAUGAGUUAAAAUUAUAAGAUAAAGGCUUAUUUAUUACAAAAAUAAUUCAAAAACUUGUUUAAAUAAAGUGUAAUAAUUUAACGGAAUUUUUAAUAUGUUGGCCAAAGAAAUUCAUCUAAGUAAGAAAUGAGAUUCAAUUGAAGUUAACAAUGAAGAAUGCUUUUAAUGUGCCCAACAUUAGACCAAUACAAAUAAUUGUAAGUUUUGUAAAAAAAUCUUAGUUUUAUUUUUUAAUCUUUUUUGUAAUAGUUAGUCCAUUCUUUUUUUAAUCUUUGAUUUUUGUUUAUAGCUCAGUAAAUCAGUAAAUCUGUCUUCAAUUUAACGAAUAAACGGUACAUAAUAACGAAUAAAUGGCAUUCAAUUUAAACGUUCACAAUGCUUAAUUUUUAAAUAGAAAUUACUUCAUUUACUGCCAAUUGGCCAUUCUAUAUGCUUAAUUUUCAAAUAGAAAUUAAUUCAAAAAGAAAUUACUAAAAUCAAAAUGUAUGUCAUCUUCCUCUUUGGUCCAUUCUAUAUUACUACCAAUUGGCCAUGCAGUUUCUUGAGCUGUAGCAGAUUCUUCCACUAUAAUUUCAUCAACUGAUUGGCUUGCCUGCAAAGCAAAUUAAACCUUCACUUAUUACUGUUUGCUUUUGAUGAUUGAUGAUGACAAAAGCAAAGCCAGUUUUCCAAAAUUGGACAAAGGAUGACAUAUUUAAAAUAUUGAAAAUAAUAAUGCAACAAGGAUAUAAAUCUAGAAAGAAAUAUUGACAGCCAGCAAAAACCAAUUACUGUUGAUGCAAUUUUAUUUAGUCAUUUAAAGCAUAAAAAAGAAAAAGAAAGAAUUUCUCUCAAGCAGCCAAAAUAAAAAUAUUGCAUUAAUGCAUAGAAAUUAAAGCUUAGUAUUGGAAGGCUACAUAGAGAAAAUAAAUGAAUGGAUGAAUUUCUGUUUUAAAGCUUAUUGUUGAGUUUGGAAGAGUAGUGUACCUGUGUUUUCGCAUGCACUGAUUUCUCUGAAUCAACAUUAAAUCUUGUGGUUAUGUUGGGACAACUUUUUACAUGAAACCCAUCAAAAAUGGGAAAUCAAAAUGAUAACCCACAGGACUGAAGCUCACGAGAUUUGGUAGCUCAUAAAGCUCUAAGAUGCGGAGCUGAGGAAGGCGUAUCACUUUCUCUUCUUCCUUAUUCAGAUUUGACUCAUCUCCUUCAAACACCUGCUCUAAUUUGGAGACCCAUUUAAGGCAUAAUCUCAAUAGGUUUGGAAGGCCGCCAUGAGCAAGAGUAAUGGCAUUCGGUUGAAGUUCACAAUGAAGAAUGGUUAUGUCAGUCUAUAUGGCUACCACUUUUCUUUUCUACUACUUUGAAUAAAGCUCAUAUUUAUUUCUAGACAAGCAUAUCUUAUACAUGUGCAGAGGAUAAGUUGUUAAACUAAAAACUAUUCUUUUUUUAAACUCAGAUUAAUCAAUAGAAUUCACAUUAGUUCAACAUAUGGUUCACUUUGUUUUUUUCCUUAUAACUCACUAAAAUUUGUCUUCUCUCUCAAGGAAAAGAAAAAGUAGGCGGUAUAUACUAACAAAUAAAUGACAUUCAAUUUAAACACUCGCAAUGAUGAAUUUUCAAAAUGAACUCCUUAAAUAGAAAUGAAAUCAUUUAUUGCUCCAUUCAUUCAUUUUCUAGUUGGUUACCGACUUGAUUAAGUAAUGAACAAGUAAAAAUAGUGAAAGAAAUUGAAAAAUUGGACACAUAAAUUUAACGUGGAAAAACUCUUCCAAAGAGGAUAAAAAAUCACGGACAAAAAUAAUUUUACUAUAAUGGCAAAAGAACGAAGAAUACAAGAGAUGGAGAUAAAAACUAAACCCCGAAACUCGAAAACAAAGAACCAUCAAAAUAUAAAUAAAAAUUUCUUCAAAAGUGUUAUGAGAUCUAUUCUUUUUGGGUGUAUUUUCUAAGUUUGUAAAAGAACUUAUUUAUAAGAUAAAUUCGUAGGUCAAAUAAUAAUAAAAUAAUCUAGACUAAUCAGGGUUCGAAUGAAAUGAAUAAAUAGAGUUUAAUUAUCUCUCAAAUUUGACUGAAAUAUGAGGCAUACUCAACAAGUCUCCACCUUAACUCAAUUUUCCACAAUGUCAUCAUUUCCAAAACCUACCACAGGCCUAUCUUGAACUAUGCAGGGAAUUAAUUGAGUCGAAUCUGUGCUUAGAAGCUGCAAGACUUCUAGUCUUCGAUGUAACACCCCAAACCCGUCCUAGACAUUAUGGGCGAAUCUGGAGUUACAAAAAAGGGUUUUGAAAAUAGUGAUAUUUCGACCAUCCAUGUUUAUUGUGGUUGUUAAUACUAUAUUGUUUUUAGCUAUUUUAGUUGUUUAGUAAGGAUUGUAAUAAAUCUUCAUUAUGUUAGCAAGUCUCGAAAUCUCUAUGUAAUUAAGAGACUUGUAUAAGUUGAUGCACAAAUUAUUAAGAGCAUUUAUAUGUUCAAGUGAAGAACAUUAUUUUGCAAGAGUGCAUUUGUGAUUGUAAAAUUUUGUAUUGUGGUUUUGCAAACUAAGUUCUCUGAGGGAGAAUUUAGUGGUGAGUGAUCUAAUAUUCAAAGGUACAAGAGUGAGGAAUCGUCAUUGGGGUGUGAUACAUUUAGGUUCAUUGGUUGUAAUUGUUUAAAUAUAGUAAUUCUUCUCACUAAGCAAGGCUUCACAAACGUAGGGAAACUAAACUGCAUAAACAAACUUUGAUGCUUCCUAUUUUGUUUUUGCUUAUCACAGUGCUUGUAGAAGUACACACUUUUGUAGUCACUUUCAACACGGAGCCAAUUGUUUUGCAAACACAAUGGCUAUGACUGGAUGGAAAGUUUAUCGUUAAACUAUUCUCUUUAAAUUCCCAUUAGUAUAAAAUAAAAUAUAAAUUAAUUUAAAAUUUUAAAAUGAUUUUAUUUUAAUUUUUAAAUCAAGGAAUUUGAUAGGUUAAAAUUAACUAUAAAAUAAUUUAACUCUUUUAAUUAAAUGACACAUAAUUGAGGGAUUAAUAGUGUAAUUUAACCUUAUCUUUUUUAGCAUUAUGGAUUAAUUCACAUUUAUUUGGAAUGUGUUAUUAAUUCACAUAUGGAUUUAACUAGUGGUGGAGCUAGAAAAUAUUUUGGGGUCCAAAAUUAAAUUGUAUAUUUUUAUGAUAGCAAGAAUACAAUUUCACCAUUUUAAUAGUCUAUAUAUUUAUAAUUUUUAAAGGAUCUGAUAAUUUUUUUAUCAUUUUUGGGAUUAAAAUGUAAUUUUCUUAUUAUUAAUUUUAAAUUUUAUAAAUUAUAAAGGACCGAAGUAAAAAAAUUCCCAUUAAUCAACACCCUUGGCUCUACCACUUGAUCGAACACAUAUCAUGAGUCCCUUCCCACGUGUAUGGCUGAAAUAACAUCACAUGUAUUUAUGUUUGAAUACACAUCACAAAACCUUGAGUUGUUUCGGCAUGACCUAGAGAAAAAAAAAUGGAGAAACAUGAAGGUAGCUUAGAAGAAUCCAAAAGCAAUAAACGAAAGCUAGACAAAAGGUUGAAAUCAUCACUAACCAAGCCUUUACUUGUUCUAACUCCAGGAAGAGUCCAUAUUCGUUGAGAAAAUCGGCAAAGACUUUGGUAUCUUUUGGAAGGACUUGUAAAGAAACAAUUUUUUAUAUUUACGUUCUGUAAUGUUUUUCAUAUUAACAUUAUUGAUGUUUCUAAAUUUACCUUCUGUAAUGUUAGAGUUAGUUGAAGAGUCGUCAGAUUCUGGAGAGGAAUCAAUUUUUAGUCAUCAGCAUAGGAUGGAAGAUGAGAAGUUGCUGUCGGCAGUGUUGGGAGAGCAAAGGAGAAGGUAAUAAGGCUGCAACUCAAGAGGAUGAAGGCAAAUCAGAAAUUGGUAGAUGACAGAAUUGUGAAUAGGACUCUCAGAUUCUGGGUCCAACUUAUGCAAUAAUUCUAUGAUCUGGGAAGCGUGUAGAGAUCGACAAAUGAGUUUGCCGUGAUUGCUGCGGUCCUCUCCAACAAGAAGCCAAUUGUUUUGCAGACACAGUGGCAAUGGAUGGGAUGGAAAGUUUAUGGUUAAACUGUUCCCCUUAAAUUCACGUAAGUAUAAAAUAAAAUGUAAAUUAAUUUAAAAUUUUAAAAUAAUUUUAUUUUAAUUUUUAAGUCAAGAAUUUUGAUGAGUUAAAAUUAUAGGCUAAGGGCUUAUUUAAUUACAAAUAUAAUUUAAAAACUUGUUUAAACAAAGUGUAAUAAUUUAACGGAAUUUUUAAUAUAUUAGCCAAAGAAAUUCAUCUAAGUAACAAUGAAGAAUGCUUUUAAUGUGCCCAACAUUAGACCAAUACAAUAAUUGUAAGUUUUUGUAAAAAAUCUUAAUUUCAUUUUUUAAUCUUUUUUCUAAUAGUUAGUCCAUUCUUUUUUUAACCUUUGAUUAAUGAGCAGAAUUCACAUACUUUGUUUUUGGUUAUAGCUCAGUAAAUCUAUCUUCAAUUUAACGGAUAAAUGGUACAUAAUAACGAAUAAAUGGCAUUCAAUUUAAACAUUGACAAUGCUUAAUUUUCAAAUAGAAAUUUCUUCAUUUACUGCUCCAUUCAUUUUAAAAUUCAAAAUGUCUUUCAUCUUCCUCUUCGGUCCAACAUAUAUCACUACCAAUUGGCCAUGCAGUUUCUUGAGCUGUAGCAGAUUCUUCCACUAUAAUUUCAUCAACUGAUUGGCUUGCCUGCAAAGCAAAUUAAACCUUCACUUAUUACUGUUUGCUUUUAAUCAUUGAUGCUGAAGAAAGCAAAUCCAGUUUUCCAAAAUUGGACAAAGGAUGUCAUAUUGAAAAUAAUAAUGCAACAAUGAUAUCUAGAAAGAAAUAUUUGUUAACAUUAAUGGGAGACAACAUUAAUGGCAAACAAUACAAAGUGGUGCAAGUUUAGCACCCUAAAGUUGACUUUGAAAAAGUGGCAUGGGAUAAUUUUUUUGGUCCUUGAGAUAAUGGGCUAUUUAUUGUUUGGUCCUUAAACCUCAACUAUAAAUAGGCCUUCUCAUUUCUCAUUUCAAUCAUCCCAACCAAUCUUUCUCUCUUAGUUUUCUCUCUUCUCCCAUUUGAGAAUUCUCAAGGAAUUCUAUUUGUUUGUAAUAUUGUGAAGAUAGUAAAGUUAUCAUCUGGUGUUAGUGCCCGAGGACGUAGGUAUAAUUUACCGAACCUCGUUAAAACUCUUGUGUUCUUUCUUGUCCUAUUUUUCUUUCAAUAUUUGAGGGUAUAAUAGUAGUAUUUAAUUGUGCUAUUAAAUUACUAUAGAAGGGAUAUUCUGACUAAGGAAAGACUUGGUAUUUAAGAGAUCCAUGUGAUCCACCUCUCUUCCCUGGGAAUUGAACUUUGUGUGAUUUUUUAGUACAAUAAUUUACACGCUUCCGACCCUAUUGGAAAAACAAGUGGUAUCAAGAGCCGAAGGUUAAUCGUAGUAUGCUCUGUGGUUGCAGUUUGAACUGAUCUUCCACAUCAGAAAAGAUUUCCUUAGGUAUAUUGAAAGAUUAUGGAGAAAACGGUCGGUGUAGGAGCUUCAACAUCGUCCAUGUGGACAAGACCGACAAUUGCAAAUGCAAGAUUGGCCGUGGAGAUCUUUGAUGGCACGGGCCAUUUUGGUAUGUGGCAAAGUGAGGUUCUAGAUGCCCUUUUUCAGCAGGGUCUAGACAUUGCCAUUGAUGAAGAGAAACCAGAUGGUGUACAGGAGAAAGAUUGGAAGGCGAUCAAUCGGUUGGCAUGUGGCACAAUUCGAUCAUGCCUUUCUCGAGAGUAGAGGUAUGUUUUUUCAAAGGAGACUUCUGCAAAUAAGUUGUGGGUGGCACUUGAAGAAAAUUUUUUGAAGAAAAACAGUCAAAAUAAGCUCCACUUUAAGAAAAGACUGUUUCGCUUCACAUACGUCCCAAGUACCACAAUGAAUGAUCACAUCACCAAAUUUAAUCAGUUAGUCACUAAUUUGCUGAAUAUGGAUGAGACAUUCAAAGAUGAAGAUUUGGCUUUGAUGCUGUUGGGGUCACUUCCUGAGGAGUUUGAGUUCCUAGAAACUACUCUACUUCAUGGCAGGAGUGAUAUAUCUUUGAGCGAAGUCUGUGCGGCCUUAUACAGUUAUGAACAGAGAAAGAAGGACAAACAGAAAAACUCAAUCAGAGAUACAGAAGCUUUAGUAGUCCGAGGUCGUUCAUACACUCGGAAGAAAACUCAAAAGGGGAGAUCAAAGUCAAAGUCCAGACUCGGGAAAGAUGAAUGUGCUUUUUGUCAUGAGAAAGGCCACUGGAAGAAAAAUUGUCCAAAGCUGAAGAAUAAGGGAAAAGCUGCUGUAGAUGCUUGUGUUGCUAAGCAUGAUACUAGUGACUCUGAACUAUCACUGGUUGCAUCAUCAUCGUCGUUCCAUUCAGAUGAGUGGAUAUUGGAUUCGGGUUGUACCUAUCAUAUGUCCCCUAACCGGGAGUGGUUCUCUGAUUUAGUAGAACUAAAUGGAGGAGUUGUUUAUAUGGGCAAUGACAAUGCUUGUAAAACUGUUGGGAUAGGUUCAAUCCAAUUAAAGAAUAAAGAUGGAUCAACCAGAGUUCUGACUGAUGUUCGGUACGUGCCCAGUUUGAAGAAAAAUCUCAUCUCAUUGGGAGCCUUGGAAUCCAAUGGUUCAGUUGUUACUAUGAGAGAUGGGGUUUUGAAAGUGACAUCUGGCGCACUUGUGAUAUUGAAGGGCAUCAGGAAAAAUAACUUGUAUUACUACCAAGGUAGUACAGUUAUUGGAGCAGUCGCUGCAGCUUCCGGUAACAAAGACUUGGACUCAAUGCAGUUGUGGCAUAUGAAGUUGGGACAUGCCAGCGAAAAAUCCUUGCAAAUUCUGGCAAAGCAAGGAUUGUUGAAAGGUGCAAAGGCUUGCAAAUUAAAAUUUUGUGAGCACUGUGUUCUGGGAAAGCAAAAGAGAGUGAAAUUCGGCACUGCUAUCCAUAAUACAAAAGGUAUUUUGGAAUAUAUUCACUCAGAUGUGUGGGGGCCUUCCAAAACACCUUCGUUGGGAGGAAAACACUACUUUGUUACUUUUGUUGAUGACUUUUCCAGAAGAGUUUGGGUGUAUACCAUGAAAACUAAAGAUGAAGUGCUUGGAGUUUUUCUUAAAUGGAAAACUAUGAUCGAAAACCAGACUGGCAAGAAAAUCAAGCGGCUUAGGACGGAAAUGGAGGGGAAUAUAAAAGUGAUCCGUUCUUCGAUGUGUGCCAAGAGUAUGGUAUUGUUCGACACUUCACAGUUAGGGAUACACCACAACAGAAUGGAGUGGCAGAGCGUAUGAAUCGAACAUUGCUAGAGAAAGUUCGAUGUAUGUUGUCCAAUGCUGGGUUGGGCAAGCAAUUUUGGGCUGAGGCUGUGACAUACGCUGGCCAUCUUGUUAAUCGUUUGCCAUCAUCUGCAUUAGAAAGAAAAACUCCUAUGGAGGUAUGGUCUGGAAAACCGGCUACAGAUUAUGAUUCCUUACAUGUGUUUGGAACCACUGCAUAUUACCAUGUGAAGGAGUCAAAGUUAGAUCCGAGGGCAAAGAAAGCUCUCUUUAUAGGAAUCACUUCUGGAGUGAAGGGAUUUCGUCUUUGGUGCUUAAGCACAAAGAAAAUGAUCUGUAGCAGAGAUGUUACCUUUGAUGAAUCUGCCACAUUGAAAAAGGUAGCAGAUAAAGAUAUUCAGACGAGCAAUACUCCACAGCAGGUGGAGUGUACUCCAAAACAGGUGGAGUUUGAGCAGAUGGGGAUUUGCCCAGUUAAUAAGUCUAAUUCUCCAGCCACAAUGGAGGAAUUAGAGGUUGAAGAGGUUCUGACCCAAGAACCACUAAGUACACCAGAACCAGUUGUAGUUGUAAGGCCACGGAGAGAAAUUCGUAAACCUGCUCGAUUUACUGAUAUGGUGGCCUACGCCCUUCCCGUUGUUGAUGAUAUUCCUAUCACUUAUCAAGAAGCAAUGCAAAGCUUAGAAAGUGAUAAAUGGAAAAGCGCCAUGGAUGAAGAAAUGCAGUCUCUCCGGAAGAAUAAUACUUGGGAGUUGGCGCAAUUACCGAAAGGUAAAAGGGCAAUCGGAUGCAAGUGGGUAUUCGCAAAGAAAGAUGGAUCUCCUAGCAAGAAGGAUAUUCGCUACAAGGCAAGAUUGGUAGCUAAAGGCUACGCUCAGAAGGAGGGAAUUGACUACAAUGAUGUAUUUUCCCCUGUUGUGAAGCAUUCCUCUAUUAGAAUUUUGUUGGCCUUGGUAGCACAGUUGAAUUUGGAGCUAGCUCAACUUGAUGUUAAGACGGCUUUCUUGCAUGGUGAGUUAGAAGAGGAGAUCUAUAUGACUCAGCCAGAAGGAUACACAGAUGCUGGUGGUAGAAAUUGGGUUUGUAAGCUUAACAAAUCGCUAUAUGGAUUGAAGCAAUCCCCGAGGCAGUGGUACAAGCGAUUUGAUAGCUUUAUGAGAAGGCAGAAGUACACAAGAAGCAAAUAUGACAAUUGUGUAUAUUUGCAGAAGCUGCAUGACGGAUCUUUCAUUUAUCUACUCUUGUAUGUUGAUGAUAUGUUAAUCGCUUCGAAGAGCCAAAAUGAGAUAGAUAAGCUGAAGGCUCAGUUGAAUCAAGAGUUUGAGAUGAAAGAUCUAGGUGAGGCCAAGAAGAUUCUCGGCAUGGAGAUAAGUAGAGAUAGACCGAGAGGCAAGCUCUGUUUAAAUCAGAAGCAAUAUCUGAAAAAGGUAUUACAAUGUUUUGGUGUAAAUGAAAACACAAAACAUGUAAGUACCCCACUUGCUUCUCAUUUGAAACUUAGUGCUCAAUUAUCUCCGAAAACUGAAGAAGAAAGAGAAUAUAUGGCGAAAGUCCCAUAUGCUAAUGCAGUUGGGAGUUUGAUGUAUGCGAUGGUAUGUACGAGGCCUGACAUUUCACAAGCUAUUGGAGUUGUGAGCAGGUAUAUGCAUGAUCCUGGAAAAGGACAUUGGCAAGCUGUGAAAUGGAUUCUACGGUAUCUUCGAAAAACCGUAGAUGUUGGUUUAAUUUUUGAACAGGAUGAAGCACUUGGUCAGUUUGUAGUUGGAUAUGUUGAUUCCGACUUUGCUGGUGAUUUAGAUAAACGUCGUUCAACUACGGGGUAUCUGUUUACUCUUGCGAAAGCCCCAGUGAGUUGGAAGUCUACCUUACAGUCUACAGUAGCUGUGUCUACUACAGAGGCAGAAUAUAUGGCAGUUACAGAAGCUGUUAAGGAGGCUAUUUGGCUUAAUGGAUUGUUGAAAGACUUAGGAGUUGUUCAAAGUCACAUAAGUUUAUAUUGUGACAGUCAGAGCGCUAUUCAUUUAGCGAAAAAUCAAGUCUAUCAUUCAAGAACCAAGCAUAUCGACGUAAGAUAUCACUUUGUGCGGGAAGUCUUUGAAAAAGGAAAAAUUCUACUUCAGAAGAUUCCGACAGCAGAUAAUCUCGCAGAUAUGAUGACCAAGGUGGUAACAACAAUCAAGUUUAAUCAUUGUUUGAACUUGAUUAACAUCCUGAGAAUUUGAGCACCUUCAGGUGUAUGGCGCUCGAGAGUGCAUUUGUAGGCACUACAAAAGACAGCUUUAUCGAAUUUGGGGAGUUGAAGGAAGUGUGUGAAGAUGUGAUUAUCCUAAUCAAAUCUUCAAGGUGGAGAUUGUUAACAUUAAUGGGAGACAACAUUAAUGGCAAACAAUACAAAGUGGUGCAAGUUUAGCACCUUAAAGUUGACUUUGAAAAAGUGGCAUGGGAUAAUUUUUUUUGGUCCUUGAGAUAAUGGGCUAUUUAUUGUUUGGUCCUUAAACCUCAACUAUAAAUAGGCCUUCUCAUUUCUCAUUUCAAUCAUCCCAACCAAUCUUUCUCUCUUAGUUUUCUCUCUUCUCCCAUUUGAGAAUUCUCAAGGAAUUCUAUUUGUUUGUAAUAUUGUGAAGAUAGUAAAGUUAUCAUCUGGUGUUAGUGCCCGAGGACGUAGGUAUAAUUUACCGAACCUCGUUAAAACUCUUGUGUUCUUUCUUGUCCUAUUUUUCUUUCAAUAUUUGAGGGUAUAAUAGUAGUAUUUAAUUGUGCUAUUAAAUUACUAUAGAAGGGAUAUUCUGACUAAGGAAAGACUUGGUAUUUAAGAGAUCCAUGUGAUCCACCUCUCUUCCCUGGGAAUUGAACUUUGUGUGAUUUUUUAGUACAAUAAUUUACACGCUUCCGACCCUAUUGGAACAACAAUAUUGACAGCCAGCAGAAACUAAUUACUACUGAUGCAAUUUCAUUUAGUCAUUUAAAGCAUUAAAAGAAAAAAAAAUUUCUCUGAGGCAACCAAAAUAAAAACAUUGCAUUAAUGCAUAGAAAUUAAAGCUUAGUAAAUAUAGAGUUUGGGAGAAUACAUAAAGAAAAUAAUUCAAUGGAUGAAAUUUGUUUUAAAGCUUAUAAUUGAGUUUGGAAGGAUAGUGUACUUGUGUUUUGGCAUGCACUGAUUGCUUUGAAUCAACACUAAAUCUUGUGGUUACGUUGGGACAACAAAAAAAGACACAUUUUUUCCAUUUCCAUUCACCUAGUGAAAACUUUUAACAGAGGAAGAAGAAUAACAAAUAAUUUCAAAACAGAGUCGAAAAUAAGAAGUCUGGAAAUCCAGCCUUGGAUAACAAAUAUCAUCAGCAAAUAAGUUAUAUUCUAUGGUCUAGUUCAACAACUAGCCAAGUAACAGGUCAUGUACAUUGAGAAUGGUUUUGAUAACUCUAAUUGUUGAAAGUCCAAAUUCAGUCAUCCAUAAAAAAAAAGCAAUUGAUCUUUGCAUAUCCCUGAAUCAAAAUAGACUCUCAGAUAACUUUACCCUUUCAAUCAUUAAAUGGCACCUUUCCCUGCAGUCAUCCAUAAGCAAGAAGAAAGAAUUCCUAAAAAUGGCUUCUUUUUUUUUUUUAAACCUUAAAUCCUUUUGUUUUCAUUAAAAAAAUUCACCUAAUUCAUUUUCUGCCCAAGCCCAAAGGCCCUUCCCUUCAAACAAUUUCCAUGAAGAUACCAGUAGGAACCAGAAUUACUUUUGCUCUCUCCAACAUGGUAAAGCUGCUAUUUUACAUGGUAAAAAGACACGCAAAGCAUCCAAAUCCUUAAAAACCAACCACUAAAAUGAUCACGAUUGUGAUAGUUUUUCCCCGGAGGUUCCCAAAGAAACAUCAGAACCAGCUAUUAAAAGUUGACAACGAAUUGAAUUCCGAGCAAAUAUCAGAAACAAAGAGGCAUGGGUAUUGAAGAUUAAAAGCCAAAGAGAGGAAGAAAGAUAAAAUAUGACCAAAUAAAUGGAAGAAUCUUAAAACGUUGACAGUUACCUGAAAGAAGUAUAGCUAUAGAAUUCAACAUCCAAACACAUAAAGAGAAGUGAAGCAGCGGAGAAAACAGUCUGUCCCAAACGAAGAGCCAAGCUGGCGCUUGUUCCCAACGCCCCUGGCACUGCUUCCAUCGUCCCUCAUGUCAUCUUAUCUUUCUGUUUCUUCUUCUUUAGUGUAUUCCCCUAAAACCCAAUAAAAAAGCAGAGGCCAAACACUAGGAGAAGGGAUUGAAACAAUAGAAUUCAUGGCAGAUUUGCCUGAGAAAGAGAGAAAGAGAGGAAACGAAACAGAACAUGCUGAGAAGAGAAGAUAUACGACGGACUUUUACCUGGAAGAGAAGAUGAAGAACGGAAGAAGGAAAAUGAAUGAAGAACGGAAAAAGGAGAAGGAGCCUUACCUGGAUGAAGGAGGAACCGGAAAAUGUCUUGCAGAAAUGAAAUCCAUAAGACAUUUUCCCCUAAAACCCAUUUAUUUUACUCGCGUCUUGGAAAAUCAGGAAAACAUUUUCCUGCAAACAAACAGACCUUCAAUUUAAACACUCGCAAUGAUGAAUUUUGAAAUCAACUCUUUAAAUAGAAAUGACUUCAUUUAUUGCUCUAUUCAUUUUCUGUUGGGGAUCAACUCAAUUAAGGGCCUAUUUAGUAUUACUUAAAAAAAGUAUUUUUGAAAAAAAUACUGUGCUAAACAAAUUGUUUUUGGUUGAAAUUUGUGUUGCAUAGUCAUCGACAAUCCUUUGCUGCAUCGUUUUUCAUUCUGUUUCUCUUCGCUUCGCUUUCUCCAGUAAAACCACCUGCCAUUUAGUUUCUCAUCAUUCCUCUCUUUCUUCUACUUCUUCUUCUUCUUCUUCUUCUUUUUUUUUUUUUUUUGCAUACAUAAAUUUAUCCCUGCGCCAGACUACUCUAUCAUGCUGCAACUGCUUUGACGUCUUUGCCUUGUACAAUAUAGUUUAAGUUUGAUCUUGUUUCUAUUUUUAUCUCUUCCUUUUCAUGUUCUUUGUACUUGUAAUAACCAUUUACCCUAGAUUCAAAAAAAAAAAAAAAAACUUUGCUUAUUUUCUUUUAUAUAUGUGGGCUAGAAGACUUCAUUAAUUGAAGGAAGAGGGAGACUUCAUUUGAGAUUGAGGUGAGUUUUCUUGGCUUUUUUCGAAGAGUUGUGUCUUAGAAACAAAUGGAGCUGUUCUUUCAACUCAGUCCAACUGAAAACACAACGAGAAAUUUAAUAAACAAAUAAAAUCAUAUACGAGUGUAAUGUCAUAUAAUUAUAACUAAAAAUAAGAAUUCAAAAUAUUUUCACCCUCACACUAAUAAUAUUACAGAUAUAAUGCUGGAAAAUAUAAUAAACAAAUCCACUUACCAUUUCAAAAUCCAAACAGUCUUUUAGCUCUUACUUGCUUCAAGAAAAACAUAAAAGAUCAAAAAAAAAUAUAGAGCAACUUCAAUUUAUAUAUAAAAAACAGAAAUGAAGCAUAUAUAAAUAGAUUUACCUCACUUGGGAACUUUUUAUUUUUAUUUUUUUAAUCUUUUUUCUAAUAGUUAGUCCAUUCUUUUUUAAUCUUUGAUUAAUGAGCAGAAUUCACAUACCUUGUUUUUCCUUAUAGCUCAAUAAAUCUGUCUUCGAUUUAACGAAUAAAUGGCAUUCAAUUUAAACAUUCACAAUACUAAAUUUUCAAAUAGAAAUUUCUUCAUUUACUGCUCCAUUCAUUUUAAAAUUCAAAAUGUCUUUCAUCUUCCUCUUUGGUCCAUUCUAUAUCACUACCAAUUGGCCAUGCAAUUUCUUGAGCUGUAGCAGAUUCUUCCACUAUAAUUUCAUCAACUGAUUGGCUUGCCUGCAAAGCAAAUUAAACCUUCACUUAUUACUGUUUGCUUUUAAUCAUUGAUGCUGAAGAAAGCAAAUCCAGUUUUCCAAAAUUGGACAAAGGAUGUCAUAUUGAAAAUAAUAAUGCAACAAUGAUAUCUAGAAAGAAAUAUUGACAGCCAGCAGAAACUAAUUACUGCUGAUGCAAUUUCAUUUAGUCAUUUAAAGCAUUAAAAGAAAAAAAAAAGAAUUUCUCUGAGGCAACCAAAAUAAAAACAUUGCAUUAAUGCAUAGAAAUUAAAGCUUAGUAAAUAUAGAGUUUGGGAGAAUACAUAAAGAAAAUAAUUCAAUGGAUGAAAUUUGUUUUAAAGCUUAUAAUUGAGUUUGGAAGGAUAGUGUACCUGUGUUUUGGCAUGCACUGAUUGCUUUGAAUCAACACUAAAUCUUGUGGUUACGUUGGGACAACCUUUUACUUUUAAACGCCUAAAAGAUUGGAAAACAAAAUGAUAACCCACAGGGCUGAAGCUCACGAGGUUUGGUAGAUCAUCAAGCUGUAAGUAGGUUAAUCGAGGUAGGUGCAUCACUUUCUCUUUGUCCCUACUCACAUUUGACUCAUCUCCUUCAAACACCUGCUCUAAUUUGGAGACCCAUUUAAGGUAUAACCCAUUUAGGUUUGGAAGGCCGCCAUGAGCAAGAGUAAUGGGGAAGAGACAUUUCAAGUUUUCACAGUUAAUGAUGUUAAUCCAACUCAAUUUAGGGAAGCAAAUAGGUUGGAGAUGAUGUUGUGAUGGAGUUUGAUCCUUCUCAAUUAUUUGCUCCAAUUCCUCACAGUUAGAUAUAACCAACAAAUACAAUUGUGGCAAAUUUCGAGCGAUGGCAGGUGAGAAGAUGUAUCUUAACCUUUUGCAGUCAUUGACUGUCAAUUGAGUGAGAUUUUGAAAGUAUUCAACUUGGAUGGGACCACUCCAUAUCACCCGCAAUUCAGUUAGUUCGGACAACGUUAGGAUCUUUAGACUUGAAAGAUUAUAUAUAGGAUAUUCAAAUAACUCUUCAAAAUUGGAAAUUGUUAAAUAUUCCGUACAUGUUGAUGUUCCUCCUCUCCUUUCAGGGACUGUCACGUUGCUUAUUUGCUUCUUUUCUGUCAUCUCUGAGAACUCCAAUUCCUAUAAACAUAUCAUCAAUUUAAGAAUACACACAAGAUUUCUUUUUCAAUCUUUUAUAGUGAAAGAAUUCAAUUUUUUAAAAAGUUUACUGUACAACUCAAAUAAUCAUAAAUUACAAAAAAAAAAAAAACUCCAAAAAUAUGGUGCAAAAACACAACAUAAAUAAUAUUACGUAGUACUGGAUAGUAUUUGCAAUAUAUAUAUAAGAAACAUAAAUAAUAUAUAUUUCUCAUAUAGAUUAUAAAAGUAUUCAGUUGAAAUGUUACUUAUGUUACUAAUUGGUAUUGUAAUUAACUAAACUACUUAAAGGUUUAUUUAGAUUAGUUUUUAGACCAAAAUUCUACAAUGCAAACUAUUUUUUAAAGAGUUAUACAAGCAUUUAUUUAUUUUAUACAAAAAAAAAAUUAAAAGGUGAAAAUUUUAAUAAAUAAUAUAUAUAUAUAUAAGGUGGUCUUACUUGUAUAUUAGUUGGAACGAUAAAAGGUGUCAAUUGAGGACAAUCUCUCACUUUUAACACGUGUAAAGAUGACGAUAUCAGCACGAUAUCGUUUCUAUCCCUUCCUUUCAAUUGAGGCAAAUUAAUUAACUCAACUUCAUUCAAUCGUUCAAGACCUUGAGACAUUGAGGUUAACACGUCUGGUCUUUGGACUAUUUCUUGCAAUUGGAAACAGCUCUCUAUCCUCAGAGUUUGCAAUUGCCCAAGACUAUUAGCAACACAUAUUGGGAAGAGAAAUUUCAACUGAUUGCAUUCUCUGACUUGUACUUCCCUUAGGCAUUGGAAGCUUAUGGUUGAUACUUGUGAGUCUUGAAUUAUUUCUUCCAUUCCAAAGCACCUCUCUAUCUUCAGAGUUUGCAAUUUCCCAAGACUAUUAGCAACACACAUUGGGAAGAGAAAUUUCAACUUAUUGCAUUUUGUGACUUGUACUUCCCUUAGGCAUUGGAAGCUUAUGGUUGGCAGUUGUGAGUCUUGGAUUAUUUCUUCCAUUCCAAAGCACCUCUCUAUCUUCAGAGUUUGCAAAUUAGGCGCAUUUAGUGUUUUAGAGUUACCUUGAGCAACAAUAAUUGGAAAGAGAGAUUUCAAGCUUUCACAUUCCAAGAUAUCAAUUCGAAUCAGAUUUGGAAAGCAAAGAGGUAGGGGAUGAUGUUGUGAUGACGUUUGAUCUUGCUCCAAUUCCUCAUAUUUACAUGAAUGCAAAUUGCUCAAUUGUUCAUUUGUCAUCUUCCCAAUCACCAAUUCCUAUAAACAUAUCAUCAAUUCUCAAUUUCAAAAUGUUCAAAGAUGUCAACAACUAACUUAACAUUUCAUCAAUUAAUUUCCUUACAAAAAAAAUAUUUUACAUUAAAUCAAUAUUAUACUCCAAAAAUGUGGUACAAAAACAGUCAUAAAUAAUAUCACAUAAUCAAUAUCAAACAACAAUAUAAUUUUAUACAGCUUAUUUUUGUUUACCCAUAUAAUUGGUAUAAUAUAAUUUAGAUAAAUAGUUUGCAACAUAUCUAAAACAUAAAGUUUGGAUAAUUUUUUUUUUUUGAAAAUUUUAUUAAUCAUAGUAUAUGGUAUUAUAAUUAACUAAUUUGUUUAAAAGGUUAUUUAGAUUAGUUUUAGACCAAAAUCAUAAAAUAAAAUCUUUCUUUUAAACAACUAUUCAAACAACGAAUUAUUAAAGAAAAAAUAGAAACAAAUAAAUAAAUAAUAUAAAACAAAAACAAAAAUCUUACUUGUAUCGUAGUUGAAAUAAUAAAAUGUGUCAAUUGAAGACAAUUGUGUACUAUUAACUUCUGCAAAGACGAUUGUGUGAGCAAAAUGCCGUUCACAUCCGUUUUUUUCAAUUGAGGCAAGUCAAUCAACGAAACCUGAAAUGAAAAGCAUAAUCAAAUUUCCCAACCUUUGACCAUAGGACAAUAAGGAAAAGAAAUGUAAAGUUAUUGCAGUGAGAUACACAUACUUCCCUUAGACUUUGGAGUAGACACUUGUAUGCCACUUGUCGGUCUUGGAUUAUAUCUUCCAAUUGCGAGCAACUCUUUAUCUUCAAAGUAUGCAAUUGCCCAAGGCUAUUAGCAACUGACAUUGGGAAGAUAUAUUUCAAAUUAUUGCACCCCUCUAUUUCAACAAUCUUCAGACUUUGGAGGCUUAAAUGACAACUGGGCCCUUCUUGUUCUAUGCUCCUCAAUUCAGCAAUUGGGAAUAACACUUGCAUCUCACCACAAUCUGAAACUAUAACCUCUUCAAGCUUUUGUAAAAAACCUUGCGGCUGGGGAGCAUUGCACAUCUCUUCCAAAUGAAACAUGCGACUUAAUGAUAACUUUCUCAAAUUAGAGAGAGCAGUGAUUGGCAGUUGCAGCUUUGAUGCAUCAAUUAGGCAUUGCAUAGAGUGGCACCGUCGAAGAUCUAGAGAAGUCAACUUUCUAAAUCCCAAGUCCAAGCUCGGAAUAAGGUUUGGGUGACCCUCCACAUCACCCAAUUCAAGAGAUUCUACAUCUUCAAAUAGUUGCUUGCAUGCAUCUACAGACUUAUUGAUUCUCAAAGAUCUUGAGAUUGGACAAGUUUCGCUCUUUUGGUACGACGUUUCUCUGCCUAUGCCAAUGGAAAAAUCAAAGCUCCAUAAUCUACGAAACACAAAGCCAUCUGGAAGAUGUUUAGAAGAAAUAUCCAAUGAUAUUACAACCAACUUUGGCAAUGAAUUCAACUCUGAUAAGCUGGAAUAGCUUUCCUUUUUAGUUGAAUCCUCAGUCGCCCAUUUUAAUGAACUACAACCAUGCAAGUAUAGUUCUUCUAAAUCGGACAAUCUUUGUAUUAAAUUAGGAGGGAAUCCUUCAAGGUUAUAACAAUACGAUAAAUCCAACAGUCUUAGCUUUUCUAGAUCACCAGCUUCAGUCGGCAAUUCAAUGAUAUCAGAUCCACUUAAAGAGAGAAUAUGAAGUGACUUCAGCUUCCCAAGCAUCGAGAUGUCAGAGAGUACACAAUCAAUCAAACACAAAGUUCGAAGGUUCAUAUUAAACUUAAAUGCAGCUAGAGAUAUCAAUUGAUCUUUCAAAGCACAGACUUGUAAUGCCUUCAUACCCUCGAAGAAUUCGCUUGAAUUUUCCAUGAAACUACCAAGUAAAAGAAGUUUGAGGCAUGGAAAACCCACUCCUUUAGGCAGUUCAUCCAUUUGAUCAGUUUCGAAGGAGAUUGCUGUGUAAUGCUUGAAACUUUCAUCCAUCGGGAGUGUUUCAACAGUCCCAAAACAAAUCUCCUUUCUUGAAGAUGCUAUCCACAAAGCAAAUUGGCGAACCAUGUCAUGCAUUUUGACAUGCCUUUCUCCGCAAUCUAGCAACAAACCGGAGUUCUUGAGGGUCUCAAUUGAUGCAAGCACUUCACUUCUAACAUCUUUAAUUGAGUCUAUGCCUUUAUACAACUCCAGUCCCCAUGCAUAUCCUACCAAGUUCUCCACAUAAAUCUCAUCAUCUUCAGGAAAUAAAGAGCACAACAAGAAACAUGUCUUGGUCUCCAUAUUCUUCAAGUAGUCGAAGCUCGCCUCAAUACAUACAUAGGCAUUUUCUUCAUUAACAUCCUCAAUUUCAGUCAAUCUACGAUCUUUGAGUCUCCGGUUUGCAGCUUGCCACUCAUGAUGGGUUUUACCUUUCAAGGCACUUCCCAGCGGAACUAUAGCUAUAGGCAAACCCCCGCAUUUUUUGACAAUUUGAUUUGCUAGGAUUUUAAUAGAAUCAUUAGAAAAGUCAUCUAGACCUGCUUUCUUUUCAAACAGAGUCCAGGCUUCAUCAUCAUUCAAACAGCCAAGUUGUACCACGUUUUGACAAUCCAUAGCUUGACAUACUUGUUGACGGCGUGUUGUUAAAAGAACUUUGCAGCCUUUAUGAUCAUCCCCAAUUGGAAUUCCCAUCUUCUCCUUUAAGUUGAUAGAUUCCCAAAUAUCAUCAAUAAUGAUAAGAAUCCUCGGUUCAUUCUUCAGCCUUAACCAUAAUUCUUGCUCGGAUCUUCUUCCUUGUUCAUUCUUCAUAUCAAAGCCUAUGUAUUGUGCAAUUUGAUCUUGAAUUCUCUCAAAAUUUGGCUUUUGAGACACAACCGUAAUCACAAUUUUGUCAACCAAAUUCAGUUUUUGAGCUUGACUUCCAACUUCACGAGCCAGGGUGGUCUUGCCCACCCCUCCCAUCCCCCACAACCCAAUCAUGUUGAUAUUCUCAUCUUUUAAGGCUUCAAUGAUUUGAUAGAAUGCAGUCUCUGAAGAUUUCGAAAACACAAAUUCCUUGGAACAUAGGAAAUCUAUAGUGGGAAGGGCAGUAGGAGCAGGGUAACCGACUGGUCCAAGUUGACCAAAUUUUUCCAAAAUCUCAGAGAUAUCCUGGAUUUUCUUCAUUGCUUUCUUGCUUAAUUGAUAUCUCCAACUCCAAUUAGGACAUCAAUUGAGACACCUCUUAUUCAGUUGGAUUUCGUCCUCUAAAGUUCCCAUAUCCGAUAGUGUUUCGUCUACCCUUGAUUGCAAGUUCUGUACAUCAUCUUCAAUUAGUAGAAGCCGGUUUUUAGCUUCCUCAAUCUUAAGUAGUAGACGCUUUCGUGCAUCUGCAAGUUAACGCAUUUUCUCUCGGAGCUUUUCAACAUUUUCAUGAAAGCGACAGACAUAAUCAAGUUGACGUCCUACCGGCUUCACCACACAGUUCACAACCAGUGUUCCAACCGUGUUAGAAAGAGCAGCCUCGCAAAAUCCGCAACCCAUCCUUGACAAGCUCAAAUUGAAGAAUAUAAACACUGCAGUGAAUCAUAAGUAAUUACCAUAAAAAAAAAAUUAAAGAAUCAAAAAGUGUUUUAAAGGUUAAGACACUACUUCUUAUACAUACCAAGGAAGGUGAAAGACAACUCAAACUAUGAGAAUCAAUGGGCUGUUCUUUCAACUCGGUCCAGCUGAAAACACAAAACAAAACGCGAAUAUUAUGAGAAAUUUAAUAAAUAAAAUCAUAUACAGUGUAAUGUCAUAUAAUUAUAACUAAAAAAGACAUUUAAUUAUUUAUAAAAAUAAGAAUUCAAAAUAUUGUUACCCUCAGACUAAUAAUAUUAUAGAUAUAAUGCUGGAAAAUAUAAUAAACAUAUCCACUUACCAUUUCAAAAUCCAAACAGUCUUUUAGCUCUUACUUGCUUCAAGAAAAAUAUAGAACAACUUCAAUUUAUAUAUAAAAAAACAGAAAUGAAGCAUAUAUAAAUAGGUUUACCUCACUUGGGAACUUCUAAAAUCAAACUACACUUAGUGCUCAGAAGAUUCUUACUUCAAAACAAUCAAAAGGGAGGGAUUUGAAGGUUGGUUUUUUCAUUUUUUUUUUAGCAAAAGUAAGUAAAACUGAAUACAAAAAGAAGGAACUUGAAGAAAGGGGGGGAAAAAACAAAGUAGAAAUUGAAGUUUAUCCGCCUGGAAAAUUCAACCGCUCGGAAAAUUUUACUAUUUCAGUAUGACCCCUGAAUUUCUACGAUGCUCCGCCACUAAAAACUGAGUUUUCUUGUAGACAAAGGAUUUGUGUUUAUUAAUGAAAUUGGUACUGAUUGGUUUGCAUUUAUUUUGCAAUUAAGACCAACAAAGACAUGACAGGAUAGGAGAUGACUUCCAAAAAGGUGAGUCUUUGGGUCAUAUUUUUACCCUGGUUUUCUCUAUUAGAAAUUAUGACUACCAAUUUAAAUUCGUCCCCAAACUUCAAAUUAUUUUAGUUACACAUUUAAAUUAUCGAUAUCAUAUUAAUCAAGUCCUUUUAUUAUUAUAAUCGUUAAAUAACAUAUCAAAUCUUAUGUAGUUAAAUUUAAAAUAAAAAAUUUAAGAAAUAGAAUCAUGUUACAUAACUUUUAAAAUUAAAAAUAAAAAUUAAGUAAAAUUGAAAUUAAAAAAAAAAGUGAACGAUAAAACUUUCAUAAAAACUUCCAAAACCUUAAAACUAGAGUUUUUAAAAUAUUUAUGUUUACAAUAUUCAUUUUUUAAAAUUUUCAUUUUAAAUUAUUAUGUCACAUUAGAUGAACAUGUCAUUUAAUAAUUAAACUCGGUAGAACGACCUCUCUAGGCUCUCUCUCAAUUUUGAUAUUGAGCAAAUUGGUCAUCUAAAAAGUCAAAUCAAUUUCGUAAGUGAGCAACUAAAGCAUUCUAUUAAUUUGAUCAUGAUUUAACAAAUUUAAUCCGCACUAUUUUUGUAAAUGCGUAAAUGUUGAGACUAAAUUUGUAGAUUUUCUUUUCAAGUAAGACAAAACUAACAAAAUAUGCAAAUGCCAAUGACUAAAUUUAUUAUUAUACCAAUCAAAACCAUGCAUAUAUAAUUGAGAAGGAUUUAGUUACUAACAUUAAAUUGUUCCUCUUUCUUUAGGGAGACGAAUUUACUCAAAUUCAAAAUUGAAAGGGAUUAGAGAGAUUUUUUUACUAUAAUAAUAAUCAAAACCCUUAUUAUUUUCUUAAUAAUAAUUUGUUUAUAAAUAUAAUUUUAAUGUAAAAUAUUUUCAUUCACUCGAGUAGUGUGAUAAAAUCUAAUAGAUAUAGAAUUGAUUUCUCUAUUUUAUUUAAAUACAAGUAUUGCAUAGAAUUGGGUAGAAAAGUAUAAAUGAAAGCAAGACUCGAUUGAGAAGCUGUUAUUUCAUUUUAUCAAUUCAUAUUAGUUGAUAAAAUCAUAUAUACAAUUCGAGUGUAAAGUCAUAUAAUUAUAAAUUGGAAGGAUAUAUUUCAUUACACAGAUAAAUAUAAUUCUAGUGAUUAAAAUUAAUUAAACUAAGUCUAUGUACUUUUUAUUAAUUUAUUUAAAUUUGAAAAAAAAAAUUAAAACUAAAAACUACCCAGUAGUAAUUGUUGAGUUUUUAUCUCUACUAAAUUUGGUUUAUUGAGUUGAGAGUGACACCAUGACUCGCUGUCAUAUUUAUAGAUUAUAGACGAUAGAUUAUAUAUAUUAUAUAUAACAUGUUUGACUAAAUUUGUGUCACGAGUCAAUUAGACACUAACUCGAUCGUAAAAUAAUUAAAAUACCCCUACUUUAAAAAGUAAUUAAUAUUAUUUUAACAUUAAUAUAAGAGUAUCUUCAUGUUUUCAUACUUUUAUUUAAUAUUCAAAUAAAACAACUCAAAAAUAAUAUUUAAGAAUCAAACACAAAACCAGUUGAAAUAUUUUUAUAAAUAUAUUUUUAAUAUAAAAUAUUUAUGUUUGUGAUAAAAUCUAGUAGAUAUAGACUAUAUAGAAUUGGUUUCUCUAUUUUAUUUAAUGAAAUGAACUUUAUAACUUUUAUUUCAUUUUGUUUGUUUUAUUUUUGUCAAUUCAUUUAAAUUUAUAAAAUUAAGAAUGAGCAAAAAUCGAUUUGGUUCGAAAAAAUUAAAUUUUAAGUUAAUUGAAUCGAUUUGACAAUUCGAAUAAUAGAUUAGUGUAAAUAUCUCUUUAAUCUCUAUCAAUUUUGAAAAUGAACAAAUUAGUUUUUUUCAACAAAAAUUACAAAAAAAUUUAAAAUAAUUUUCAAAAAUAAAAAAUAUUUAUAAAAAUUCCAAUUUUUUAAUAGUUUUAAAAAAUUCCUAAAAUAAGAAUUUUGGAACCUAAAUAAGUUAAUUAAUGAUUGAAGUUUAUUUAUUUUUAUUUAAAAAGUUUUCAAAUACAUAUGGUUUCAAAUUUAAGUGGUUUAACAUGUAAUUAGUUAUACGGUAACAAUAUUUUAAUUUGACAUGUUUAAUUUUUUAUUUAACUCUAAUAAUUUCACUCGAUUCGAAUUUUAUUUCACUUGACUCAAUUCGAAAAAAUUUCAAAUCGAAUUAGGAUGAUAAAAUAGGACUCAUCAACUCGAUCGACUCGAUUUGAUCCAACGUUCAUCCUAAAUAAAAUCGUAUACAUGUGUGUAAUGUGAUACAAUUAUAAAUAAAAAAGACAGAUAAUUUACCACUUCAAAAUGAAGUUGUAACUCCAAGAAUUUGAUCGUUAAAAUAAAAAGUCCAAACACUCUUUUAGCUCUGAUUUGCUUCAAGAAGGACAUAAAAAGAUGAGAUGAGAUGAGAUGAAAAAAAUAUAUAACAAAUUUAAUUUAUAUAUAUAAACACAAAUAUAAAUGGAUUUACCUCACUUGGGAACUUCAAAAUCAAACUACACUUGGUGUCGAGAAGAUUCUUAAUUACUACUUCAAAUCAAUCAAAAGGGAUUUGAAGUUGGGUUUUUUCUUUGUUUCUUUUUUUGAGCAAAAGAACUUGAAGAUAUUUUUUAUCUUUAAGGAAAGGGAAAUAGAAAUAGAAAUCAAGGUUGAAGUAAAAUAAGGAGAAACCUUCACAAAGAAAUUGAACUUGAUCUGCCUGGAAAUUUCAACAAACUGGGUUUUCUUGAUUUAGUAGCCAAAUGAAUUGUGCUAUGAGAUUACUGCAAUUUUGGGAUCUAAAUUAAUGAAGUUGGUACUGUUUGGUUUGCUAAUGGCCCCAUGCAUUUAUUUUCCAAUUAAGACCAACAAAAACAUGAUAUGAUAGGAGAUUACUUACAAAAACGUGAGUCUUUGGGUCAUAUUUUUACCCUGGUUUGCUCUAUUAGAAAAGAGUUAAUUACAUCAAGCAUCCUUAAAUUAUGACGAUCAAUUUAAAUUGGUCGCUGAACUUUAGAUUAUUCUAAUUACAUCCCCAAUUUAUCGGUGCUAUAUCAAUUGAGUCCUUUUGUUAUUACAAUCAUUAAGUGACAUGUCAAAAUCUUACAUAGCUAAAUUUAAAAUGAAAUUUUUAAAUAAAUAGAAUCAUGUUACAUAACUUUUUAAAUUAAAAACAAAAAUUAACUAAAACAUUUUUUUUUUAAAGUGAACAUAAAACUUCCAUAAAAACUUCGAAAACCUCAAAACUAAGGUUUUUAAAACAGUUAUUUUUAUAAUAUUAAUUUUUUAAAAUUUUCAUUUUAAACUAUUAUGUCAUAUUAGAUGUAACAUGUCAUUUAAUGAUUAAACUGGGUAAAACGACCUUUCUAGUACAUCUCAAUUUUGAUAUUGAGCAAAUUUGUCUCUCUAAAAAAAUCAAACCAAUCUAAUACCUAUCAAUUUCAAAAGUGACCGAAUAAGGACAAUUUUCAUAAAUUUGACAGGUAAAUAACAAAUUUAGCUCUCAAAGUUGACACAUUCUAUCAAUUUAGUCAUGAUUUAACAAAUUCAGCUCGCAAUAUUUUUAUAAACAUGUAAAUAUUAAGACUAAUUUUUUUUUAUUUUUUAGAAUCAAAACGAAACUAACAAAAUUACAAUUUAAUCAUAGAUAUUUUCAAAAUUUUUUGUUGAAGAUAUAUUUUACUAAUUCAUAGAUAUACAAACUAAAAAUAUAGUCCCGCCUGAAAAUCAAUAAAUCUUGAUUAAUAUAUUUUAUUAAUUCAUAUAUCUUCAAAAAUCAUGGAUUUCAAUUUAAUCAUAGAUAUCUUCAUCUAUUCUUUGGUUGUGGCCCAAGUAAAUGGAAAGUUUACCCACUUACCACUUCAAAAUGAAGUUAUGAUUCCAAGAAUUUGAGUGUGGAUGAGAAAAUUCCAAACAGUCUUUUUAUCUCUGUUUUAGUUUCAAGAAAAACAUAAAAAGAUAAUAUUAGAUGAGGAAAUAUAUAACAAAAUUAAACUUGGCGGUUGGUUUGCAAAUUCUAGAGAUAAAUUUCCAAUGUUUAUGCUAUAUAACAAGUUUUUUUCCUUCAAAAUUAAAAAUGAAUAAGAAUAUGCUUUUAUGAAAUUUCAUACCAAAUCACGGGUUUGGGUAUCUUCAACAAAAAGUUGAGUUUUACAUAACAUGUUCUAUUGUCAUUUUGGUAUUUUUUUUUUCCGUAAUCAAAAUAAUGUAUGAAAGAUAAAAUAUAAAAUUAAUGCAUCACUUUUUAGAAAAUUUUAAACAAUCAUCAUUAACGGUCUCAAUAGUUUUAUAGGUAAAUUACAAUCAAAUCAUUAAAUUAUUAAUAAUGUCGAAAUCUUUUUGAAAUCAACUUUCUAUUUUUAAAAUGACGAGAAUGAGAGUCGUCACCAAUCCUUUUUUAUUAGGUAUAAUCAGAUCACAUCGUAAUUUAAUCAUUUUUGGUUUACAAAAUCUAAGAAAUGGGUUCGGGAGUCAGUUACGCACGAUGAAUGGUUAGUAUCCUCGUAACGUCCAAAAUUGGUACUUAAGUGAUUAAUUGGUGUCUUAAGGUCGAAAGUUAAAAAUUCGAAAAUAGUUUAAAAUACGAUCCCUCUUUGUAUUAAUGUAUUUUUGAAGUAAAAUCCCUUGAAUAAAUCAAAAGUGUAUAAAAGGUCCUCUUAUCUUGAGGUAACAAAAAGGCCAUAUCCCGUAAGUUAGGACAUGUCAUCUCGCAUACUCGAAAAUAACCUUUCUCUUUAUUUAAUUACUAUUCAAAUCUCAGGUGUUUUAAUUUUGAAAGAGAUGUUUAGCUAUCUAGGUUCAAAGAGAAAGUCUCAUAAGUUAAGGUACGACAUCUCGAAUCUCCAAAUGCGGAACAUUGCCAUAAUUUUAAAAAUUUUCUUUUUAUGCACCGAGUAAAAAUUAAUGUAACACUUAAAAUAGUAUAUACUUAAUUUAUUCAGGCAUUAUAUGAAAAACGGACAAAUCUGUUCAAACAAGGUUCGUGACAUGAUUGCGGUCACAAUAAAAUUAAAUGAAGUAUAUAUAAAAAAUAUUGGUAUAUGGAAAACAAAAUGUCGUGCUAGUAAGUGACAGUGCGAUUUCAAUUUGUAAUAAUAAUAACAUGAUAAUGAUACACAUAAUAAAAUAUGAAUGUAUAAUAAUAUCAAUAUGAACAAUAAAUGUGCAAGUAAAACGUAAAUAAUCUAAUUUUGAAAAUAUAUUUUAAAAAAUAAAUAAUGACGAUAAUAAAGGCAAAAGAAGAAGAGAUAAAAAUAAAAAUAAAAUAAUAAAAAAUGCACAUUAAAUAAAAAAAACAAGUAAACUUUAAAUAAAAAUUAAAUAAUAAGUAAAUAAAUCAAAUCAAAUCAAAUAAUAAUAAAUAAUAAUAAUACAUAAAAAUGAAUAAUCUAGAAAGGGUCGAAACUAAAUAAAUAAGGAUUAAAUCGACAUUGAAAUGAAAUUAAGAGUCUAAAUUUUAAUAAAAUAAAAUAAGUGCAUAAACAUAAGGAUUAAGUUGAAACUAAAGUAAAAUUUUAGGGGGGAAAUUAGGAUAAAAAUAAAAUAAGGGACUAAAUUGUAACAUGCAAAGAAAAGAGAGUGGUAGAAUUGAAACAAAAUCAAAAUCAUUUUUGGGUCGGGUCAUCAAGUUGGCCUCAAAAUGACGUCGUUUUGGGGCGUUUUGGAACACCUCGAAACAGUACCGUUUAUCACCCUAUUUAGCUAAAAAAAACUUCAAAAAAUCAUUUUUAAAACAGUUUUAAAAAAAACUUUGUUCUUUUUUUUUUCUCUCCAUCCCUCCCAAUCCGGCCUAGGCAGCCGCCAAGCUCCGCCGUGAUGGCCACCAGUCGCCGACGAUGUAUUCGUCUUCCACGGUGGUCGAAAAACGAAAAAGGUGCAUUUUUUCGGCCUUUUGACUUCCAAAGCCCAGAUCUGAGGACUAAGAGCCUAAAAAGGUAGAAAAAAAACAAGAAAGUUUUGAUAUUUUUUUCUAUUCGCCUUUUUUUUAAAAAUAUAUAUGUGUUUUUUUUCCUUUCGAAAAAAAUAAAUAAACAAAAAAAAUGAAAUCACCUUCUGUAUUGAUUUCUUUUUUCGAUUGAUCUCAUUUUUUUAAAUUUUUUUGUCUCCAAAAAUACUUUUUAAUCCAGCCUUUAUAGUCGAUUUUUACAUAUUAUUUUUUAUGUUUUUCUACUAUUUCAUAAUGUUCAUUGCGUGUGUUGCUUUUUCUUGGCAGGGGUUGUCGUCGGUGGCAGAGGUUAGGGUACAACGCUGACAUGGGAGGAGCAGCGGCGCUAGGGGCUAGGGGGCUAGGGUUUUUUUUUUUGAAAAGAUGUUUUGGAUUAGGUUUUUUUUUAUUUGGGCGAUGUUGGGCCAUAUUGUAAAUGAACUAUUAUUUAUUUUUUAUUGGACUUUAAUAUUAUUCUUUGGUUUGGUUUGUUUGGGCCCAGGCUAAAUUGGCCUAUUACAGCUGCCCCUCUUUGCUUAUUUCGUGUAACGGGAAUGGAGCAAAAUUUUCCUGGUAUUAUCGAAUCUCGACUUCUUUGGUGCUUCUCUUCUUCAAGUAGUCUCAUUCUAACCCACUGCAACUUUAGGGAUAUGAAAAUUGUAAUUUUAAUCUACUUUGCUGCAACCUCGGAGAGAUGAGAUUUGUAGCUUCAAUUUGCUUCACUGUAACUUUAGGAAGAUAAGAUUUGCUAUCUUCAAUCUACUCCACUGCCACUUCAAGAAAAUAAGAUUUGUAGUUCUAAUUUGCUCCACUGCAACUUCAGGGAGAUAAGAUUUGUAGCUUUAAUCUACUCCACUGCAACUUCAGAGAGAUAAGAUUUAUGGUUUUAAUCUGCUCUACUACAACUUUAGAGAGAUAAGAUUUGCUAUCUUCAAUCUGCUCCACUGCAACUUCAAAGAGAUAAGAUUUGUGAGUUUAAUUUGCUUUACUGCAACUUUAGAGAGAUAAGAUUUGAUAUCUUUAAUCUGCUCAACUGCAACUUCAAGAAGAUAAGAUUUGCUAUAUUCAAUCUGCUCCACUGCAACUUCAGGAAGAUAAGAUUUACUAUCUUCAAUCUGCUCCACUGUGAUUUCAUGGAGAUAAGAUUUGCUAUCCUCAACCUGCUCUACUGUGACUUCAAGGAGAUAAGAUUUGUGAUUUUAAUCUGCUCCACUACAACUUCAGAGAGAUAUGAUUUGUGGCUUUAAUUUGCUCCACCGUAACUUUAGGGAGAUAAGAUUUUCCAUGAAAACUUCAAACUGUCCCACUGCAACUUCAGGGGUAUAGGAUUUGUGGUUCCACUAAUCUAUUACACCGUUCUCUAGGGAACAUGACCAGUAGAAACCAUUUCAUGGGCCUAUAUUUAUGCCAAGCGAUUAGGAUGCUAUGAUCAAAAUGAAUCAAAUGCUCCUAACUAGAUGUGUAUGAAUGAUAUUUGCAUGAAUGCAUAAUGUCAUUUUUUAAGAAUGAUCCCCUUUUAAUGCUUAGGUUGACAUUGCUAUUUUUCAUUAAGGUUUUAUUACUAGCACAUUACCUUGCUUCUUGUUUAACUGGUAUAUUUGACAGAAAAAUCAAAAAAAAAUCACAAUUUAAACUAUUUGUUUCCAAACAUUUCCAACUCUCAGAUUUGGCCAGUUCUGAUUAGUGGUCCAGUUUCAAGUCCUUGUAUUAUUUAGAAAACCUUUUAGAGCAAUAUACAAAAUUCCUUUUACUUGAAUAUUAUUAGUACAUUAAUCAUUAUUUCAAUGAAAAAUGCUUGAAAAAGAUCGUAAUAAUGGACAAGAUUGAAAUUUAUUCGGAGCAGAGCUCGAAAUGAAUAGAUUAAUCAAAGAUAGCAAAUGUUACUAAAAUACAAAAAGAGUAAGAUAAAAAUAGAUGCUGCACAUAUCGUAGUAUGAGCUUUUCUAUACUAACUUCACGAGGACCUUUUUUAAGCUUGAUAUGUGUUUAGGAUAUCCAGAGUACAUUAUUGAUGCCCCAAUAUGUAACGUUUUUCUUUCCAAGAAGACCUGACCAUCACAUGUUCAAUCUUCAAUCCAAAUUUGAGUUUCCCUUUUCUUGGGUUUUCAACUCAAAAACCCUUUUGGUAUCAAUGCACCCUUUGCGGGUUUUUGCCUUGGCUUCUCCAUCUCGGUCAAAAUCAAUGCUCCUCCAAAAAAAGGCCUCAUUUACCAUAUAAGGUCAUUCCCAGUUUGGCAUCCACUUUCCUAUGAAAUCCUUUUGUAUGGAAAGGAUCUAUUUCAAUACCAGGUACCCCUUAUAGAACUCUAUGGGGCGAACCUUUUUUCCAUAAGCUCGCAUCUUUUAUUUUUAGUACAUCUGACCAUGACGGAUAACUUUCAACCUUUUUUUCAAUCAAAUUCAGCUGAUCAUAUCGAGAUUGGAUCUAUUCUACUUCAUCUAACUUCAACUCUAACAAAACUUGGAGAGAAGGAAUCUCGACUUCAAUAGGCAAAACCACCCCUAUUCCAUAAACCAAUGAGAAAGGUGUUGCCCCAGUGGAGGUCUUGCCAAGUGUUCAAUAAGCAUAGAGGGCAAAUGGUAACUUCUCAGGCCAAUCUUUAUAAGUCUCAGUCAUUUUCGCUACGAUAUUCUUAAUGUUCUUGUUGGCUACCUUCACCGCACCAUUCAUUUUUGGGCGAUAUGGUGAUGAGUUGUGGUGUUUGAUCUUGAAUUAACUACAGACCUCUAUUAUUGUGCUGCUGUUCAAGUUCAAUGCAUUAUCGGAUAUAAUUCUUUCUGCCAUCUUAUACUAGCAUAUGAUCUUUUUCUUCAAGAAUUUGUUGAUUACCGACUUCGUGAAAUUGGCAUAAGAAGUGACUUCUACCCAGUUGGUGAAGUAAUCAAUGACCACAAUGAUGAAUCGAUGUCUGCUUAAAGAUUUUGGCGAGAUCGACCCAAUGACAUCCAUGCCCCACAUAGAGAAAGGCCAUGAAGAAGCCAUAACAUGAAGAGGUGGAUGAGGCAUAUGAAUUUUAUCUUCGUAAAUUUGACGCUAAUAACAUCUCUUGGCAUAACUGAUACAAUAUCAUUUUAUAGUGGACCAAUUAUACCCAAAUCUCAUUAUUUGCCUGGCUAUUGUAAAGCCAUUAGCAUGUGUUCCGCAGACACCCUCAUGGACUUCUUCUAAGAUUUUCUUAUACUCAACAGUGUCUACACAUCUUAGCCACACUUGAUCUUUUCUUCUUUUGUAUAGGAUCUCUCCAUCUAAGACAUAGUCAUUGGCCAGUCUUCUCAAUGUCCUUUUAUCAUUCUCGAUUGUUUGAUCGGGAUAUUCAUGGUUCGUCAUAUAUCGUAGUAUAUCGUGGUACCAAGGGUAAUCAUCCAUUUCUUCUUCGAUGAUGAUGUAACAAUGAGCCAGAGCCUCAUAAAUACUUAUCUAGAUAGGUUUUACAUCCUCUUGUUUGUUCACUUUGAUCAUAGAAGCUAAAGUAGCUAGGGCAUCAGCCAUCUGAUUUUCAUAUCGCGGGAGGUAGUAGAAAGUGAUGUCAUCAAACUCCUCAGUUAACUCAAGAACCAACCUGCGAUAACUAAUCAAUUUAGGGCCUCUCGUUUCCUAUUCACCUUUGAGUUAAUAGAUCAUGAGUGCAGAAUUCUCAUAUACUCUAGUACUUUGAUAUUACGUUUUGUGGCUGCAUGGAUACCCAUGAUGCAUACUUCGUAUUCUGCCAUAUUUUUUGUACAAUCAAUAUCCAAUUAACUAGUAAAUGAAUAAUGAUCUCCGUUUGGGGAUACCAAGACUACCCCGAUUUUGUUACCUAUAAUGUUUGAAGUUCCGUCAAAAUUUAGCUUCCAAGGAUGUAUGUAUUGAGAAUCUUCUUCAGUGGUUGCAACAUACAUAAGAUUUUCAUUUGGGAAAUCAAAGUUCAAAGGCUCAUAAUCUUCUAUGGCUCUACUGGCUAGAAAAUCUACUAUUACACUCCUUUUUAUUGCCUUCUAGUUCAUAUAAAUUAUAUCAAAUUCAGAAAGUAGAAUCUGUCAUUAGGCCGUUCUGCCAUUUAAAGCAGUUGACUCCAUCAUGUACUUUAGAGGGUUUAUUUUUUAGAUGAGCCAAGUUGUGUGGUACAACAUGUACUGUCUCAGUCUUCGGGUUAUCCAGAUUAAGGUGCAACAAAACUUUUCAAUUUGUGAGUAUCGUGUCUCACAUUUAGUGAACUUUUUACUAAGGUGGUAUAUUGCUUUUUCUUUCCUUCCUGACUCAUCGUGUUGGCCAAUCACACAUUUAAUAAAAUUCUCAAAUACGACCAAAUACAGUAUCAGUGGCUUAUUUGGACUAGGUGGCAUCAGUACUAGAGCAUUGGACAAGUAAUGUUUGACCUUGUUGAAAGUCUUUUGGCAUUCUUCAUCCCACACACUUGGAUUAAGUUUCUUAAGGAGACAAAAUAUGGUGUCACGUUUCUCAGUUAAUUGUUAAAUGAACCUGGCGAUGUAAUUUAAUCUCCCUAAGAAACCCCGAACUUCUUUUUGAGUGAACGACAGAGGCAACUCCUAUAUAGCUUUGACUUUGUCUGGGUCGAUUUCAAUUGCCUUUUCGCUGACUAUAAAACCUAGCAAUUUUCCUGACCUAGCCCCGAAGGUUCAUUUUGUUGGAUUGAGCUUUAGCUGAAAUUUUCUCAACCUCAAGAAUAAUUUCCUCAAGACUUGUACAUGCUCUUUUUCUAUUUGGGAUUUUACAAUCAUAUUGUCGACGUAAACAUUGAUUUCUUUCUACAUCAUAUCAUGAAACAGGGUUACCAUGGCUCUUUAAUACGUCACUCCUGCACGUUUUUUUCUAAAUGGCAUCACUUUAUAGCAAAAGGUUCCCUACAUAGUUCUGAAUUUGGUAUUUUCCAUGUCUUUAGGGUGUAUCUUUAUCUGGUUGUAACCGGAGAAGUCAUUCAUAAAGGAGAACAGUGAAUAACCUGUCGUGUUGUCCACUAAGGUGUCAAUAUAAGGCAAUGAAAAAUUAUCUUUCGGGUUAGCCUUGUUUAAAUCCUUGUAGUCUACACAUAUUCGUACUUUCCCAUCUUUCUUAGGGAUGGAGACUAUAUUGGCUACCCACUCGAAGUAUUUAAUCACUUGUAGGAAAACAACGUCAAAUUACUUCUUGACCUAUUCUUUUAUUUUUAACAAGAUGUCGAGCCUCAUCCUUCAAAGUUUUUAUAGAAUCGACUUGCAUUCUUCUUUUAAAGGAAACCUAUAAACCAUGAUAUCAGUACUUAGACCAUACUGUUGGAACGCCGGCACCCCCAUGGCGCAGUAAAAAUUAAUACUUCCGACAAUCCAACCCAUGGAUCCAUAUGCGAGGAACGAAUCGGGGUGAAAUAAAGGUUUCGUAAUUACCAAAACUUUAAACUGAGUAGGCAGUGACGCUAUUAGAAACAAGUAUUCUGAUCUACUAUUGAACCAAGCCGCAACCUUUCAGAUUUUGACCUCUACGUAAUCCACCCGGUUUGACAACGAACGGAAGAAAUCCCCAAAACUAUUUUGGAGAAGUCUUUGCUUGACGACUGCUAGACCUCACAAGCCAAAAAAAAACAAGAUUUUAUUUUCGGAGUUUUUUACACACAAACCCUCUUAUAAUUGGUAUAUAUAUAAUAAAUAAAUAUAAUAAUGUUUUAACUAAAAAUUAUAAUUAUGUUAAUUAUAAUAAGGAUUUCGAUAAACUAUAUUUAUUUAAAUUCAUAUACGAAGCAAAUUCAUAUAUUAAUAGAACUAUUUUCUCAUUAUGUGUACAACAUCCUUGCACACAUCAUAUGCUCGAUAUUUGAUUGCCCAAUUAAAUUAAUUCUAUAAUUAAUUUAAUUCAUGUGACAACCAAAACCAAUACCAACUAUGUUUUAUUCCGUCCAUUUCAACCAUAGGGUGUGACCCUGUAGGUUCUUGUAACGUUAGCAGUAAUACCAGAACGAUUCUAAUGUUACAAACAAUGAGUUGCAUCUAGCAAUGCAUCAUUGCUACCGAAGUUACAAGAAAAUAUGAUUCGACAUAACCUUUUUGUGAUUAACCUUUCAUGCAUUAAUCCUUAAGUCCUUUAUCUCUGGAAUGGACACAAGUCAUGGAAUAGUCACACUUGCAUAGUCCAUCCCUUGUUCCUCGAUAUUUUGAGUAGACUAUGAUAUACAAAUAAGUAUGACAUCUCAUAUCAACUUAUUUGAGCAUGGCCAUGCAUUUCUAGUCUCACUCAAUUAAGUGUCCUAAGAUAUUACUCCCAUUAUAUAGGAGGGACUUAUCCUAUAUGGAUCAACUAUAUCCCUCUACAUAGAUUGUGGUAUAUCCAACAUCAGCCUUUAUAGGACAACCAAUUACGGUGUACGUUUGACUAUAUCAAAAUAUACAACUCACGAUGUUAGGAUAAUGAUGAUCUCAAGUCUGAGGAUCAUAUACAUAUUAAUCACUAUGACUAAUGUUGUGACAAUUACAUAAUAAUCCAAGAAACAUACUCAUAGCGGGUCAGUCCAAUAUGUUGUUCUCUAACACACAUAUUCUUGCAUUGAUUUUGACACUCCAUAUCAAUGACAACUCUUUAUCAUCAAUCCACUACAUGUUAGUCUUAAUGCAUUAUUGUUGUCCUAGUUGACAAUAAUACUUGACUAAGGACCUUUUAAGAAUAAUCAAAUUAUUCUCAGGAUAUUAUUAUAAAACAAUUUAUUUAUACACAUAGAAAAGAAACUAAAAUAAUAAUGACAACGCCUUACAUUAAUAAACAUGAUAAAUCAAGUAUGUUAUUACAACCAUCUCAUGAUUAAUCUUUGGGCAUACUCUUACACAUACAUGUCUUGAUACCAUGCGAAGACAUCUUUGAAUUCUUAGAGUAACUCAAUGAGGUCUCACUUUGUCUCUACGGUGAUGCAAGCUCCGAUCUUCACUUCUUUCAUUUCUUGUCCAUCUCCUAAGUUCACAAUUUUUACUGACUUUUUCUUAGGUAGAAUCUGUUUCUCCUCUUGUUCUACCAUCCUUAACAAAUCAGGGGAUAGGUUACAAUCUCGAUCAUCUUCAAAGUCCUAAGUUUCCUCUAAACACAUAUCUUACUCAAAAGGAGAUUCUGAGUCAGUAGCAGUGUCGCUCAUAUCAUUGAUAUCCAGAAACCUGUUCUAGGAAUGAAGGAAGACCUAAAGAACAAAUGAAUCUAAGAAUAAUUAUUUGCGUGGUAUGAGUAUGAAUGAAAUGGAAAGAAUAAAAGAAUGUUUGCCAAAAUGAGACACAAAUAUGCAUUUUAUUGAAAUAAAAAUAAUGGAAAUAUGCCUUUUUCACAAAAGGUCUUAUUGCUCCCUGGCUUAGUGCAAUAAAUGUAUUUUGAACAUUACUCUGAAUUAGUUCUAAAAUUUAUAGAGAUCUUGGCAUGAAUAAUUUUCUAUUGAUUUAUAAAAAUAUAAAAGACAAAAACAUACUCAAAUAAUCAUAUAACUUACUUUGAAAAUAAAAUGGAUUUUUGUUGAUUUCCCAAGUGAGUUGGAACCCAAUUAAUGAGUGACACCAACUCAAUAAAAAGCUUAAUAAAUAAUGUAGACAAAUUAUAUCAUUAGUCUCUCAACUAUGAGUAAACUUUUGUUUUGAUUGCUUAACUAAAAAAUAUUACAAUUUAAUUAUAGACAUUUUCAUUUUUUAUUUUGGCUUUCUUCUACUUUUCUUGAGCUGAAAGACUAAUGGUGACACUUUUUUAAUUAGUAUAAUAAUAAUUUUAAGCUGAAUUUUAACCCUCAACUUUUAUACUUUCUAAGCACAAUUGAUUUGCUUGAAACUGGCAUGAUAGUUUAUUUAUUACAUAAUUUUCCCAUGGCCAUUGCACAAAAGUUAUCCCAAAGAAAGUCUUUAUAUUAAAGGAGGCUCAUUUGAUCUAUAAGAAUUGGCUCAAUUUGAAGAACAAGUGACAAAGCCUACAAAAUAUUUUGAUUUUAAUUUAUAAUUUAAUAUUCCAUUUUUUCAAUUAAGUAGUUAUAUUUGAUUUCCAUUACACAUCAACAUUUGAAAAUUAAAAAAUAUAUAAAAUUUUCAGAAAACAGUAUAGAGCAAACUACACUCAACUCAACUAAUUAUGGGUGAUUGUGUUUGGUCACCCAAUUAUGAAUUUGUUUAAUUUUUGAUCAUCCAAUUAUAUAUAUUUUUUAAAUUUGCUCACUCAAUUAAUUGAGAUUGUAUUUUUUUGUCCAUUUCCAUUAAUUGCACUAAUAGGAGGGUGUGAAAAAUAAAUAUAAUAAUAAAUUUAGCCCUCAACCUUUUACAUAUUAUAUCGAUUUAGUCACAAUUUAAAAAAAAAACCUUCAAAAUUUACAAAUAGUCUUAAUUUGAUUCUAUAUUUUUUAAAAAAAUCAAGGGAAUAUAUAGAAAUACAUAAAUAUUUAAAAAAAUUGUAUAAUAAUAUUGAUAUUAAAUAAAAAUAACUAUAUUAAUAUUAAAGAAAAAUACAUUAAUAUUUUCAACUUAUUUAAUAUAGAAUUUUUUAUUUUAAAAAACAAUUUUUAUAAAGAAUUAGGGUUAAAUUGACAGAAAAUUUAAAAGUUGAGGACUGAAAUUGUUAUUAUACUAACUACAAAAGUGUCACUUUUAGCCAUUGAAUGGUUGGGUGAAAAAAAAACAAUUUGCAAAUGUCAGUGGCCAAAUUGUAACUUUUUUAAUUAAAUGAGACAUAAUUGAGGGACUAAUAGUGUAAUUUGUCCUUUGUUUUUAAAGAUAUGAAUUAAUUCACAUUUUUUAGGUUAAUAUGUUAUUAAAAGAUUAAAAUCCAAAUGUCAUUUUUCUUCUUUUCUUUCUCGCGACUGGUUCCGCUUUUAUUGUCACGCAUCUUUGGUUUUUUUCCUUUUUGCUUUUCUAGUGCUUUUCUUUUUAUCGGCGACCGCCAUAGCCGCCACCACCAUCACCACUUAUUCCUCUCUUUUUUGGUGAAAUCUUCUUCUUUUUCCUUCAAAAGCCAAUAGUAGUGUCAGAAGGAUCGGACACAUAUCACAUGUCCUUACCCGCGUUGCGUCGGAAUUUUUUUCAUAUGUUUGAAAGAUCAGCACAAGUAUUUAUGUUUAAUACACAUCAUAAAACCUUGAGUUGUUUCUGCAAGAUCUAGAGAACAAAAUUGGAGAAACUUGAAGGUAGCUUAGAAGAACCUAAAAGCAAUAAACGAAAGCUAGAUGAAAGGUUGAAAUUAGCAUUAACCAAGCCUUCUUUUCUUCUAACUCUGGGGAGAGUCCAUAUUCGAUGGGAAAAUUGGCAAAAAGUUUAGUGGAGUAUUAAGCUUGUUGCUUAACGGUACUUCCAACAUUGGGUUGAGGGAGACCAAUUGUUUUGCAAACGCAACAGCUAUGGAUGGGAUAGAAAGCUCAUGUAUGCUUAAAGGUAGGUGAUUGUAAUAGAUUAACCAUUGGAAUUCAUCUAAUAAGAUAGAAAUGGCAUUCAGUUGAAGUUCACAAUGAAGAAUGGUUAUGUCAGUGUAUAUGGCUGCCACUUUUCUUUUCUACUACUUUGAAUAAAGCUCAUAUUUAUUUCUAGACAAGCAUAUCUUAUACAUAUGCGGAGGAUAAGUUAUUAAACUAAAAACUAUUCUUUUUUUAAACUCAGAUUAAUCAAUAGAAUUCGCAUAAGUUCAACAUAUGCUUCACUUUGUUUUUUUCCUUAUAACUCACUAAAAUUUGUCUUCUCUCUCAAGGAAAAGAAAAAGUAGGAUGUAUAUACUAACGAAUAAAUGACAUUCAAUUUAAACACUCGCAACGAUGAAUUUUGAAAUGAACUCCUUAAAUAGAAAUGAAUUCAUUUAUUGCUCCAUUCAUUCAUUUUCUGUUGGUUACAGACCUGAUUAAGUUAUGAACAAGUAAAAAUAUCGAAAGAAAUUGGGAAACUGGACACAUAAAUUUAACAUGGAAAAACUCUUCCAAAGAGGAUAAAAAAUCACGGACAAAGAUAAUUUUACUAUAAUGGCAAAAGAAUGAAAGUAUAAAAAUGGAGAUAAAAACUAAACCCCGAAACUCGAAAACAAAGAACCUUCAAAACGUAAAUACAAAAUUCUCCAAAAAUUUUAUGAGAUAUAAUCUUUUUGGGUGUAUUUUCUAAGUUUGUAAAAGAACUUAUUUAUAAGACAAAUUCGUAGGUCAAAUAAUAAUAAAAUAAUCUAGACUAAUCAGAGUUCGAAUGAAACGAAUAAAUAGAGUUUAAUUAUCUUUCAAAUUUGAUUGAAAUAUGAGGCAUACUCAACAAGUUUCCACCUUAACUCGUAUUUCCACGUCAUUUUUUCCAAAACCUACCACGGGCCUAUCUUGAACUAUGCAGGGAAUUAACUGAGUCGAAUCUGUGCUUAGAAGCUGGAAGACUUCUAGCCUUUGAUGUAACACCCCAAACCCGUCCUAGACGUUAUGGCCGAAUCCGGAGAUGUUACAAAAAAGGAUUUUGAAAAUAGUGAUAUUUCGACCAUCCAUGUUUAUUGUGGUUGUGUUAAUACUAUAUUGUAUUUAGCUAUUUUAGUUGUUUAGUAAGGAUUGUAAUAAAUCUUCAUUACGUUAGCAAUCUCGAAAUCUCUAUGCAAUUAAGAGACUUGUAUAGGUUGAUGCACAAAUUAUUAAGAGCAUUUAUAUGUUCAAGUGAGGAACGUUAUUUUGCAAGAGCGCAUUUGUGAUUGUAAGAUUUUGUAUUGUGGUUUUGCAAACUAAGUUCUCUAAGGGAGAAUUUAGUGGUGAGUGAUCUAGUCUUUGAAGGUACAAGAGUGAGGAAUCGUCAUUGGGGUGUGAUACAUUUAGGUUCAUUGGUUGUAAUUGUUUAAAUAUAGUGAUUCUUCUUACUAAGCAAGGCUUAACAAACGUAGGAAACUGAACUGCGUAAACAAACUUUGAUGCUUCCUAUUUUGUUUUUGCUUAUCACAGUGCUUGUAGAAGUACACACUUUUGUAGUAACUUUCAAUACGGAGCCAAUUGUUUUGUAGACACAAUGGCUAUGACUGGAUGGAAAGUUUAUGGUUAAACUAUUCUCUUUAAAUUCACAUUAGUAUAAAAUAAAAUUUAAAUUAAUUUAAAAUUUUAAAAUAAUUUUAUUUUAAUUUUUAAAUCAAGCAAUUUGAUAGGUUAAAAUUAACUAUAAAAUAAUUUAGGAAUUUAUUAACCACAAAAAUAAUUUAAAAACUUAUGUAAACAAAUGAAGAGUUCUUUUAAUAAAGGUAAUAUUUAUUUCUAGACAAGUGGCUAAGGGUAUGACAUUAGGCUAAAACGAAUAAUUGCAAGUUUUGUCAAAAAUCAUAGUUCUAUUUUUCAAUUUUUUUCUAAUAGUCGGUCCAUUCUUUUUUAAUCUUUGAUUAAUGAGCAGAAUUCACAUACUUUGUUUUUGCUUAUAGCUCAAUAAAUCUGUCUUCAAUUUAACGAAUAAAUGAUACAUAAUAACGAAUAAAUGGCAUUCAAUUUAAACAUUAACAGUGAUUAAUCUUCAAUUGGCCAUUCUAUAUCACUACCAAUUGACCAUGCAGUUUCUUGAGCUGUAGCAGACUCUUCCACUACGAUUUCAUCAACUGAUUGGCUUGCCUGCAAAGCAAAUUAAACCUUCACUUAUUACUGUUUGCUUUUGAUGAUUGAUGAUGAAGAAAGUAAAGCCAGUUUUCCAAAAUUGAACAAAGGAUGUCAUAUUAAGAACAAGAACUGUGAAUUGAAAAUAAUAAUGCAACAAUGAUAUCUAGAAAGAAAUAUUGACAGCCAACGGAAACCGAUUACAGUUGAUGCAAUUUCAUUUAAAGGAUUAGAAAAAAAGAAUUUCUCUCAGGCUACCAAAAUAAAAAUAUUGCAUUAGUGCAUAGAAAUUAAAGCUUAGUAAAAAUAUAGAGUUUGGGAGAAUAAUGUACCUGUGUUUUGGCAUGCACUGAUUGCUUUGAAUCAACACUAAAUCUUGUGGUUACAUUGGGACAACCUUUUACUUUUAAACACCUCAAAGAUUGGAAAACAAAAUGAUAACCCACAGGGCUGAAGCGCACGAGGUUUGGUAGCUCCUCAAGCACUAAGUAACGGAGCUGAGGUAGGCGUAUCACUUUCUCUUCUUCCUUACUCACAUUUGACUCAUCUCCUUCAAACACCUGCUCUAAUUUGGAGACCCUUUUAAGGUGUAAUCGAUCUAGGUUUGGAAGGCCGCCAUGAGCAAGAGUAAUGGGGAAGAGACAUUUCAAGUUUUCACAGUUAAAGAUUUUAUCCAGAAUAUUCAAAUAACUCUUCAAAAUUGGAAAUUGUCAAAUAUUUAUUACAUGUUGAUGUUCCUCCUCUCCUUUCAGGGACUGCCACAUUGCUUAUUUGCUUCUUUUCUGUCAUCUCCGAGAAGUACAAUUCCUAUAAACAUAUCACCAAUUUAAGAAUAAGCAGAAGAUUUCUUUUUCAAUCUUUUAUAGUCAAAGAAUUUAAAUUUUUAAAAAGUUUACCGUUCAACUCAAAUAAUCAUAAAUUGCAAAAAAAAAAUGUCCAAAAAUAUGGUGCAAAAACACAACAUAAAUAAUAUUACGUAGUACUAGAUAGUGUUUGCAAUAUACAUAUAAGAAACAUAAAUAAUAUAUAAUUCUCAUAUAGAUUAUAAAAGUAUUCAGAUGAAAUGUUAUUUAUGUUACUAAUUGGUAUUGUAAUUAACUAAACUACUUAAAAGGUUUAUUUAGAUUAGUUUUUAGACAAAAAUUCUAAAUGAAAACUUUUUUUUUAAAGAGUUAUACAAGCAUUUAUUUUAUAAAAAAAAAAUCAAAAGGUGAAUAUUUUAAUAAAUAAUAUAUAUAAGAAGGUCUUACUUGCAUAUUAGUUGGAACGAUAAAAGGUGUCAAUUAAGGACAAUCUCUCACUAUUAGCACGUGUAAAGAUGACGAUGUCAGCACGAUGUCGUUUCUAUCCCUUCCUUUCAAUUGAGGCAAAUUAAUCAAUUGAACUUUAUUCAAUCAAGCAAGACCUUGUGACAUUGAGAUUAACACUUCUGGUCCUUGGAUUAUUUCUUGUAAUUGGGAACAGCUCUCUAUCCUCAGAGUUUGCAAUUGCCCAAGACUUUUAGCAACACACAUUGGGAAGAGAAAUUUCAACUUAUUGCAUUCUGUGACUUGUACUUCCCUUAGGCAUUUGAAGCUUAUGGUUGACAGUUGUGAGUGUUGGAUUAUUUAAUCCAUUCCAAAGCACCUCUUUAUCUUAAGAGUUUGCAAAUUGGGCGCAUUUAGUUUUUUAGAGAUACCUUGAGCAACAAUAAUUGGAAAGUGAGAUUUCAGGCUUUCACAUUCCAAGAUAUCAAUUCGAAUCAGAUUUGGAAAGCAAAUAGGUAGGGGAUGAUGUUGUGAUGACGUUUGAUCUUGCUCCGAUUCCUCGUAUUUACAUGAAUGCAAAUUGCUCAAUUGUUCAUUUGUCAUCUUCCCAAUCACCAAUUCCUAUAAACAUAUCAUCAAUUUUCAAUUUCAAAAUGUUCAAAGUUGUCAACAACUAACUUAACAUUUCAUCAAUUAAUUUCCUUACAAAAAAAUUAUUUUACCUUAAAUCAAUAUUAUACUCCAAAAAUAGGUACAAAAACAGUCAUAAAUAAUAUCACAUAAUCUAUACAUAUAAAUUAUUGGACAGGUGUAACAAUGUAAUUGAGAAUUACUUAAACUCAUUUUCAUAUAUUAAUACAAAAAAAAAACCACUUGUGUAAAAGGCUAUAUUUAAAAAAAUAUAUAUAUAUUUUUUCUAGUUUAUUUUUUAAUACAAAUUCUAAAAUCAUCUAUAAUUCCUUCCCACAUUUAAAUAGAAAGAUACAAACACUUGAGUGUACUCGAACCUAUAUCCUCCUAUUCAGACAAUAAUAUUGAUACCAACUAAACUAAAACUUAUAUAUAAUUUUAUAUAGCUUAUUUUUGUUUACCCACAUAAUAGGUAUAAUAUAAUUUAGUAUUAGAUAAAUAGUUUGCAACAUAACAAAAUAUAAAGUUUGGAUAAUUUUUUUUUUUUUGAAAAUUUCAAAAUCCAAAUAGUCUUUUAGUUCUUACUUGCUUCAAGAAAAACAUAAAGAACUUCAAUUAGGUUGGGUUUUUUUUUUCCUUUUUUUGAGCAAAAGUAAGUAAAACUUAAUACAAAAAGAAAGGAACUUGAAGAAAGGGAAAAAAAAACAAAAUAGAAAUCAAGGUUGAACUAAAAUAAGGAGAAACUUUCAGAAAGAAAUUGAAGUUGAUCUGCCUUGGUUUUCUUGGUUUAGUAGCCGAAGGAUUUGGGUUUUCCUUUGCAACAAGUUGGUGCUAAUUGGUUUGCCAAUGACCCAUACAUUUGUUUGGGAAUUAACAGCCACAUGACAUGAAAUAUCUACUUUUAAAAUAUCAACUUAGAAAAAAGUGAAAGUCUUUGUGUUAAUUAUUUAUAUGAUUUUCACAACAUUUAAAAUAUCUACUUUUCUUCAGUUUCUUUUUCUUAAUUUUCAUUUGUUAUUAGAAAUGAAAAUGUUUUUUCUUUAUUCAUUUUUAUACAUUUAAGGUGUAUUUUCUUUUAUUUAUUUGUUUCCAAAUUUUAGAGACAAACGUAAGUAUACUUGUUAAAUUUUAUUUAUUUUUAUUAUAUAUAAAGCUCUUUUCCUCAAAAUUAACUAUAAAUAACAAUAGAGUUUUUGAAAUUUCAAACUCAUACGAGAGAUUUUCAAAAAUUCCAAUGUUAAAAUUAUGGAUUUGGAUUAAAUUAUCCAAAAAUGCCGAAAAAUAAAAUUUACCAGAAUAGGUAAUCUUUUGUAAAAAUUAUAGGAGUAGGCCAAUUUUACAAAAACACUCCUAGUUAUAAGCGUUAUAGCUAAUUUGCAGAAAAACCCUUCCAGUUGGAAGCGUUUUUAAUGUGUUGCCAAAAAAAAAAACGCUUCCAGCUGAAAGCGCUUUCUACCAAAUCAACUGAAAACGCUUCUACCUAAAAGCGUUUUUCCCCAACGAUAACUCCAAUGACUACUUUCUCCAAUGACUAUUUAAUUAGCCAUUGGACUUGGACCCCCACCCACCCUUUAUGGUUCCAUUUUAUUUCCUAUAUAACCCUUUCCCAUUUCAUUUUUCUUCUAAUUCAAUCUCAAAUCUCUCUCAAAUUUCUCUAAAUUCCCUCUUAAAUUCCCGCUCAAAAUUUAUUUCUCUCUCAACUUUAUUUUUUAUUAAAAUUAUCUCAACAUUUUUAUAAAUUAUUUUUUAUUACAAAUUAUUCGGCAUUUUUCAAAAUUAGCAAUGACAAAAUCUCUAAUUCGUUUUGAUGACAACUGCAUUUCCGUUGACCAAUUGCAAAUGGUAAGAAUAUUUUUUAUCAUAUUUCAAUGUUGUUUCUUUUUACUAUUUUCUUGUUAUAUUUGAAUUUAAUAUUUUGUAUAUUUUUUUACCUAAAUAGGAAGAAUAUCAAAUUUUGGAGACGUAUAUUCAUAAUCUAUCCACUCCUCCAUCACCCUUGAUCGAACCCACUUGAGAUCUUGAUUUUCGUAUGUGACCCUUGUAGGUAAGGGGUGUAAGUUAGACUCGACACUCGUAAACGCGUUAGUGGAAAAGUGGAAACCCGAGACGUACACAUUUCAUCUUCCAUGAGGCGUGUGUACUAUCACUUUGGAGGACAUGCAACUAUAGCUUAGGUUACCGGUGGAUGGACUGGAAGUGACUGGGUCAGUUCAAGCAGCCGAUUGGAAAGACGUAUGCAAGGAACUUUUAAUGAGGGUUCUAGAGAUGGUUUUUGGAGCCCAGAUAGAUAUGAGUUGGUUAAGAAGAAAUUUUGGUGGGCUUGAUGAGGAUUCAACUGAAGUCUAAAAUAAUAACACGCUUGGGUUGUAACACCCCAAAACCCGGCCUAGAAGUUAUGACUAGAUACUCAGGGAUUAAAUCAACUCGUUCAAAGCUUCGAUUCAAAUCAAACUCAAUGUAUGCUUCGAAAACAUAAAAUUUUGGCAAAACACCCAUAGAUGGUUAGAAAAGCCGAGUUCGAAAACACUUAUUUAAAACCCGUAAUUCAUAUUCAAAAUCACGCGUUUUGAAAGUACUAACGUGAGCAGAUCAUUUCCAAUAUUAAAAAAAUCAUUCGUUACAAACCAUAUAUUUUAUUUUCAAAAAAUACUUAAAUGAUUACUUAACCUUGUAGCGAAAAAUUUUCGAAGUUUGUUUUAGUUUGAAAACUGAAAUCUAACUUGUUAGCUCGUGUGAUUUGCAGUUUAAUGCUCAAAAAUAUUAAUGUCGACGAAUAAAACAAAAACCAAAACUAGGACAAAAAACAUAUUACAGUCCAAAAAUAAUUAAAUCAUAAACCCACAAAUAUUUUAUUUGGUAACCAAUCCGAGCUCUCGCACAUCGUUCGGUCCUAAGUCAGAAGUUAACCUAAAACGAAUUAAACAAACAAAAGAGAUAGGAGCCCAGUGUGUGUCUCAACCCACUAGCAUAAUUUUUAUUUAACAAGCACAUGCGUAAAUGUGAUCACAAAAUUUUACUUUAAUGUAUCAAUAACAUAUCAGAAUGUUGUAUUACCAUAAACAUAUAUAUUUCAGAUCAUAAUAUCAUAAAACCGGAACAUAUUUUGGUUUGGAAUAUCAUAAUUUCAUAUACAAAUAUAUCAUAACAGAAUGUCAUGUUUUCAAAAGUGCAUAUGUCAUACCAGACCAGAACAAAUGCAGAGACAAAUCCUACCUUCAUCUGCUACACACCAACUCCGUCCAACGAAUCACACCAUUUAGGACUUCAAGAGUCCAUCCAUCCAAAUCACACCGGAUCGUGGUGGUAUGCCACUCAUAAUAGUGCAGCUCAGUUCCCAAACAUAUAUCACGGUUUAACCGCCGAAAAUGCAAUAAUGCUACUAGAAAACACUUCUUUCAACAAAUCAGAACCACCCAAUACAUAUGCUAAAUCACGUUGACAUACAUAUCACAUAGUUUGUAUGCACGCAUACAUAAACAAAUAUUAUACGAAACGUAACUUACAUAUAAUUCAUAUAGAUCAUAGCAUAUCAUAUUCAUGGUCGAAUUGGAUAGCUUAUCAGAACAGAUAAAAAAAUAUGUAUAACACACAUGGUUUACAAAAUAGUCAUGCUUAAUCACAUACCUACUUAUAGCAGAUAAUAUCGCAUUAUUAUAUUUAUCAAAAUUUAUUUAACAUACUUCCUACACUUACCCAUGUUUGUUUUACUAAAAAUUAUGCUUUCUAGGCUUACAUAAUGCCCCCAGAUCCAAAUUCUGAGUCCUUUAGUCGACCCCUAAUUGGCCUAAAAGACCCACUUAGCCCAAAAAGCUAGCCCGUAUGGUCCACAUGGUUUAUCCACAUGAUUUGUAUGAUAUCACACGGCAGUGUGAGAACACAACCUGCAUGACAAGCCAUAUGAAUUGUAAAAACACACAUGGUUGUGUGCCCCACACGGGCUACAAAAUCACUCACGGUUGUAUAUCUCUCACGACCUACCACACGGUUAUGUGUCACUAGGCAGUUUCAGAAAACAACUUUGUUUUGCAUAUUUUUUGAAUUUUUGAUGAGUUUUUCGAGUUAGAUCACACGCCUGAUUGCUGAUUUUGAUGUAGAUUCAUGAAAGAACACACCAGAACCUAAAAUCAAUAUUCCAAAUGUAUCAAAUUAGCAACAAAAUGCAACACUAAAUCAAGAUUGACUCACUAACAUAACAUUAAAGCACCUAGCACAAAGAAAACAACAACAACAAUAUCUAAGUCGUCGAAGGAGUGCCCAACACCUCUCGUUCUUCUUCUAAAAAUGCUUCGAACUCAUUAAGUACACAAAAUACACAUUAAUACCACACUAUUAAAGCUUUAAAACCCUAAAUGCCCAAUAAAGUAAUUUUAAAACAUGGCUGGAAAAAUGGAGGAUGAAGCAACCUUACCCUUAAUGACUAAAACUAAUAGCACAAAGGACGAAUGAUACACAAAUUAACAAAAGAAUAAAAAAAGAAGAGAGAAAAAAAGCAUGAAAAACUGAAAAACCAACCAUAAAGAAAUAAACUAAAGAGAAAGUGAAGAGGGAGGGAGAGAGUAAGGGGAUGGUAUCUUUAUGGAAGAAAGUUCUGCAGUUUGGAUAUAAGGGCAAGUUAACAAUGAAGAAUGCUUAAGAAAUGAGAUUCAAUUGAAGUUAACAAUGAAGAAUGCUUAAGAAAUGAGAUUCAAUUGAAGUUAACAAUGAAGAAUGCUUUUAAUGUGCCCAACAUUAGACCAAGACAAAUAAUUGUAAGUUUUGUCAAAAAUCUUAAUUUUCUUUUUUAAUCUUUCAUUAAUGAGCAGAAUUCUCAUACUUUGUUUUUUCUUAUAGCUCAAUAAAUCUUUCUUCACUCACAAGAAAAACAAAAAGUAAGUGGUACAUAAUAACAAAUAAAUGGCAUGUAGUUUUCUAAAUUAACUUCUUAAAUAGAAAUAACUUCUUUUACUGCUCUAUUCAUUUUAAAAUUCCUCUUUGGCCCACCAUUCUAUAUCACUACCAAUUGGCCAUGCAGUUUGUUGAGCUGUAGCGGAUUCUUCCACUAUAACCGAUUUCGUUGCUCAUUAUCUGACGUGCCAGGAAGUUAAGAUUCCCUUAUAAAAAUGGGAGUGUGUAAUGAUGGGCUUCAUUAGUGGGUUGCCUUCAACACUUACUAAGAAGGAUUCUGUAUAGGUCAUCGUGGAUCGAUUGAUCAAGUCUGCCCAUUUUAUUCCAGUUUGGACAGAUUAUUCUUUGCAGAAGUUGGCCAAGCUCUAUAUUUCUAAGAUUGUGAGACUUCAUGGGGUUCUAGUUUCGAUAAUUUUAGAUAGAGAUUCUUGAUUCACGUCUCGAUUUUAAAAAACUUCAUGAGACUCUGGUUUCGAGAUUGAACUUUAGUACUGCAUUUCAUCCUUAGGCCGAUGGUCAAUCUGGGUGGGUAAUUCAGAUACUGGAGGAUAUACUUUGGAGUUGUGUAAUUGAUUUUCGAGGUAGUUAAGAGGAUUUCCUGCCUUUGGUUGAGUUCGCCUACAACAAUAGUUUUCAGUCUAGCAUCCAGAUGGCAUCUUACGAAGCUGUGUAUGGUCGUAAGUGUCGUACUCCACUAUGUUGGACUGAGCUGGGGGAGCGACGUGUUUUGGGUCCUAAGUUGGUUUUUGAAACUGAGGGCAAUGUCAGAUUAAUUCGGGAUCAUCUUAAGACAGCUUUUGAUAGAUAGAAGUCAUAUGCAGAUCUGAAAAGGAAGGAUAUCUAUUACUCUAGGGGUGACUUCAUUUUUCAUAAGGUAUCUUUGUGGAAGAAAGUUCUAGGUUUAGAAGUAAGGGCAAGUUGAGCCCUAAGUUCAUUGGGCUGUAUCGGAUUCUGAAGCUUGUGAGACUGGUCACUUAUCAGUUAGAGUUACCUCUGAAGUUAGACCGUAUCCUUAACGUAUUUCAUGUCUCUAUGUUGAGGAGGUAUCGGUCUAACCCAUAUCAUGUUGUUUCUGUUGAGGAGAUUAAGGUUAGACCGGGUUUGACAUUUAAGGAUGAGCUAGUUUAAAUUUUAGAUCGACAUGUAAAGGCUUUGAGGAGGAAGUCUAUUCCGUUAGUUAAGGUUUUAUGGUGAAAUCAUGGCAUUGAGGAAGCCACGUGGGAACUUGAGGACUCGAUGCGUCAGUAGUAUCCUCAUCUGUUCGGAUCAGAUAAAUUUCGAGGCUGAAAUUUCUUUUAGGGGGUAGAGUUGUAAUGCCCUGACUAAUUUUACUUUGUUUUUGAGAAUUUUAUCAUAAAUGUGUAUCUACUUUAGUGGCUAACUGUUCUGGGUGUGUGUUUGAGGUCUUGGGUUUAAGCCCUACUGUUGGGAAAAUAAGUUAUUUUUUAUCCUAGCCUAUUCCUUGACGAUUGGGUUUAUAUCUUAUCUUCAGUAAACUUAUAUCAGAAUGAGCUUGCUGGUUCGAGUGGUAAGGUGUUAGCUUGUCUUGAGGUCUUGUGUUUGAGUCCUUGUGUGAAUUGGAAUGAUAAUUUUUGCUUCGGUUGUCAGAUAGAGAUUCGGUGAAACUAAAACUUUAAGGUAGUUGGAUGUGGUUAGUUGGUAGGAUUCUAAGAGAUAAGGUAGGUAGUGGGGGGAGUUAGGAUUUUCUGUUACCUUUGAUUUAGUUUUUAUUUUUUAAAUUUUAUUUUUGAUUUUUCCCAAAACUCCUCCCCAUUUUCUCAUUUUUUUCCUUUCCUUUCUUCUCUCUAUUUUUUUUCUCUUUCUCUAAAAAAAUUCCUCCCUUUCCACUCUACAGUCUUUCGUUCCAACUAAACCAUGUGCCAUUGUUAUUUGACCGAUAUUGUGGUUUGCUCAUCACUCUCUUUUGUCUUAAAUUCCGAUUGUAAUUCGAUUUAGUAAGUUUGGGUAGGUGUAGUUAUUGCUUUUGGUUGGUGUUUCUUUAUUGACGGUGUUUUUGUUAAUGCCAUUUAGGGGAAGACCAAGGGGCUCAGGAUUGUCCGUCGGUGACUUAGUUGCAAUGUAACUACCAUCGUUCGAUUGAAGGUAAUGGUUUGGUUGAAUAAUGGGUUGAAUGGAUCAUUUUGGUUUCGAUUUUAGUAUUGAUUUAAUCAACUAAUUCGGUGAUUUAUUGGUUAAUUGUAGGUUUUGGUUAUCUCGUGGGAGCAUUCGCAUCAAAUUUGAAUCAGAUGUGUAAUGAAAAUACGAGAAAACGAGGUUCGGUGAAAGUAAAAAAAGUGGCCAGUCGACGCCAAAUGACGAAAGCCGUGUGGUAUUUCUAUAAAUCGAACAUAAAAAUAAAAUUACAAUACAAUUAUAUGCUAAUGCUAUGCGAUAUUAUCACAUUCAUACUUUGAUUCAUAUCAUACUUAAUUUAAUAUUAUUCCUUCAUUACAUAACCAUUCACUACUUUAAUUUCCAAAUCACAUUUCGUUAUAUAAUUCAUUCCAUUACAUCAAAUUGCUAUUUAAUAACAUUUUCAUUUCCAAACCAUUAUCAUCUCAAGUCAUGAUUUUAGUUUUAUCAAUUACUUCCCCUAUUAACAUGCCUCAAACUCGGAUACGCGAAUCCAACCAACACAUCAAAGUUUGUCACCAAGUGCCUAACAAAUAAACCAUAGAAAUUAAUUGCACCCUGCGCUAGCCAGUAAAAUCAAAAAAUAAAUGUGCCCAGCACUGGUCAGUAUAAUUGACAAAUGGGGUGCCCAACACUCCAUGACACAUAGUUGUAAAACCUUAAACUCUUCCUAUCCUGUCGCAUGCCAAUUAUACCCAACCCUACCCGAACAGUUAAUAGGGUAAUAAUUUUCUCAAUUCAAUUUCUAACAAAUUACACAAUCAUACAUCACCAAUUAUCAAUUCAAUCAUUCAUUUACCAACAUAACAAAACAUCUCAUUUCCAUAUAGAAUAUAAUCUCACAUGCAUCUCAUUUCAGAAUAUAAUCUCACAUACAAUAUAUGCUAUUAUUACAGCUAUACAAUUUAAUCAUUUAUCACCAAUAAUUAUUUGAUCAUAACAAUUCAAUUCGAAUUUAUCAUUUUGCAACAUUACUCUAGUAAUUAACUUACCUUAUAUACUUACCUAAUAAUACAAUGUGUAAUAGUAAUAAAUACAAUAGUUUAGAUUAUAAAAACACCAACAAUAGAUUUCAAGCUAUUCGACAUUGACUUUAUCUUUCCCUUUCUUACUCGAGGAUUCCGAAACGACAUUUGCUAUGGAAUAAAACAAACCACACAUUUCAUCAAUACACAAACAAUUUCACAUUUAAAUAUCAAAUUAUGUAACUUUUGUACUUUAUUCAAUUUAGUCCCUAAAAUCGGGAAUAGCCUAACUUUCACAUUAAACCCUAAAUUUUUAUACUAAUUUCACUACAAGCCUAAUUUAAUUCCCUAUUUCUCAAUUUCAUCCCCUAAUUUUGAGUUUCUCACAAUUUAACCCAUUUCACUUCUAAUCUAAAAAUCUAUCAAAUUAGUCCCUAAAGCUUUAACUACUCAACAAUGGUAACAUCUAAAGUCUUAAGCAGCAUUGAAAAAUAAGACAUGGGUUGAAUGGAAAAAUAAAACACCGAAAUUCCAAAAACAUAAAAAUUACAAGAAAAUAAAUUGAAGCUUGAAUGCUUAAACCUCUAAUGCCGAAUACUUCUUCUUCUCCCUUUAAUUUCGGCUUGCAUGAAGAAAGAAUAAAAAUGUUUUUAUUUUAUGUUCCACUAACUUGUUUUAUGUUUUCUAUUAUAUUAUGUUUUAUGUUAUUAAUUUAUUUAUUCUAAUUAAAAAUUUACAACAUUUUUAACAUUUAAAACCAUGUUGCCGUCCACUUAUAAACCACAGGUAUAAUUACCUUUUAAGUCCCCUUAAAUAAUUUCUAAUUAGAAUUCUUUAGUAAUUCAUACGUUUAUCACUUACGCGAUUUAGUCUCUAUACUAAAAUUAAGCCUUAAUUCAAUUAAAUUUCUUAAUCGAAAUUCAAUUCGCUACUAAUAAAACUCUAUAAAUAUUUCAUAAAAAUAUUUACGAGUCCGGUUUAUGGAAACAGAGUCCCAAAACCUCACUUUCCGACACCACUGACUUUUAGAUUAUUUCAAGGAUGUUUGUCAAUUAAGCACUAACACAAAGAAAAUACUUGAGCUGAUAGAAAACAAUACAUGCUCACAAGUGUAUACAAGAAAAAGAUAAAUAAUUGAAGCACAAAGGUUGAGAAAAAGAGUUGUUGAUCUUUCUUGAUAGCUCUUAAUCUUUUGUAAUCUUUUUGUUGUUGUUGAACAUUUGAAAGCUGGUAUUGAUAGUCCCAAAUUGAUUUCCAACCAUUGUGGUUGUUGUGGAAUUGAAUAGAAUCAUUGGGUUGUAAAAACCAAUGCAUUAAUGUCACCUACAACAACAAGUAUCGAUACCUUUGGAGGGGUAUCGAUACUUUGGGCAUUUAAUGUCUCAAUUUAGUGAUCAUUAAAGCCUAUAGUAUCGAUACAAUAGGGUAUGUAUUGAUACUCGGACAAUUUAUUGUUUAAUUUUCAAAACAUUGAACCUUAAAACAGUAUCAUUACCAGGAGAAGGUAUCAAUAUAUUUGGUAAGGUAUCGAUACUUUGUAUUUUUCCUCAAUAUUUUUUUAGAAAUAGAAGCUCAAUUCGGUAUCGAUACUAUGAAAGAGUUUCGAUACUUUGGUCAAGGUAUUGAUACUCUUUUAUUCGUGCUCCUUUUUUUGAAUUUCGAAACUUAAUUCGGUAUCAAUACUAGAAAGGGGUGUCGAUACUUGAGGCUAAGGUAUCAAUAUCUUAUUUAGGGUAUCAACACUUUGAUCCCUGUGAGCAUUUUAACUUGUUUAAAAAUGUUAGAAAAAUUGUUUAUUGUAUUGAAGAACUUCCAAAAUAUUUUUCAAGUACUUGAAAGAUAUUUCUCUCUCAAAAUAUUUUGAAACAAAUUUUUACUUUCAAAUUUAUCAAGUUUUAUUUCAAAAACAAGUUUUACUCAAAAACAUUAUAUUUUUUAUAUCAAAACUCUUAUCAAAUUAAGGCUUGACUUAACAAAAUAUAAUCUUUAAACAUUACAUCUAAAUAUUAAAUAUUAAAAAUAAAUUUAUAAACAUAUAAUAUACAAUUUAUUGUUAUAAACUAAUAAAUAAUUCAUUAAAAUUAAUGUUUUAAUUAACAUCUCUAUGAGAAAAAUGACAAUUUAAUUCUUUUUAAAAGUUUAAUAACCAAAUUUAGAUUAAAAAACAAGAGUCAAAUUUAAUAAAAAUAUAUAAAAAUUGAGGGCUAAAAUUGUCAUUAUACUUUUAAUUAAUUCUUUUUCUUUCACCUAUGCAAUUCUAUAAUUACAUUACAAAGCUAUUCCAUCCAAAACCAAAAGAAGUAAAUUUGUGGUUGAGCCGGAAGAUAGCAUAAAUAGAAAACUUGAUGCCUGUGAAGCUAAAACUCUCCCUAUGUAUAGAUAAGCAACUUCGUACACAUCACUUCUCUAGUUGUUGCGGUUGCCACUAUAUUAAUUUUUUCACUCCUCAAUUACAACACUAAAUACUAUUAUAAGUAAACAACAUUAUUGAAAAGUGAACUAUUAGUUAAUGAAGUCCUUGAGUGUUGGGGAGAAGCAAAAAAAUAAAAAUUAAAACUAGGGGAUAAAUUUAAAUUGUAAUUUUUACAAUAAUAAAAAUGCAAUUCCGCAAUUUUAAUACUUUAAUUUAUAAGGAUUAAAUCAAUUUUUUUUAUCAUUUUUAAGAGGGACCAAAAUGUAAUUUUACCUUUACUAUUUAAAAUUUAAAAAAAAAUUAAAGAGCUUCAAUAAAAAAAAUCAUUUUUGGGGUCGGACCUACAAGCCCCUAAUUAUGCUACUACUUGGGUGGAUGCAAUACAAAAAGUUUUUGAUAUUUGAAACUCCAAAAAAAAAAAAUUGACUAUAAAUAUCAUGCAGAGGAUUAAAUGAAUGUCUUUGUUACAUGGUAUGGUUGUAAAUGUAGUAUCGUUUACUGUUUUUCAAUAUUCUUAAAUAUUUUGAAGGGUGUUAGAGAGUUGUAUUUCUACAUUUAUAUUUGGAUAUUCGUCGUAAAUUAUGAGUGUAAUACUUGAAUUUGUAAGUUAUUCAAGUUUGAAAAAAGUUCGAUUUGAUAAUUAUCAAUCGAGUUUAAAUUCAAACAAUUCGAAUUAUGAAUUAAGUUAAAAGUCAAACAUCUUAAUAUUUGAUUAAAGUAUCUUGCGAGCAAUCGACCUUCUUAUAUAUUCUUUAAUUAAUUUUCAUACUGUGCAAUGUAUAGAUUUAUUGUAUGUAUUUAUAUAAAAAAAAGUUAAUAUAAAAUUUGUAUUUAAAUAUCAUGGAAAAAAAAAUUAAAAUGCACGUAACUUCUAUACAAUAAAUUAAGUGCUAAAUUAGAGAUAUGAUUGAAUGACUGAAAACAUGAAUAUAACUUACAUUUGAUUUGUGCCAGUAGAGUAACGUGUUAGAAACAUAAAAGUUUUGGCUCCUUACUAAGGUUACUAUAGUAAAUACAGAAAAUAAUCUUGGAAAAUUUAUAAUCUUAGAGGCUCAUAUAAUUUUUUUAAAAAUAUAUUGAUUUUGAUCUUGACUGUUGAUAUAAAUUAAAUUGUACUAUUGAAUCUGAAGAAGCUCAACUAUAAAUAGAGACCGUCCCAUUUGUAAUCACCCCAUUGUAGCUCAUAUUCUUGAUUAAGAUCAUACUUUUACGAGUAUUAAAUCGAACAUUCGGCAUGGUUAUUGCUUUUUUGUAGCUUUUUUUGUUCUCUCGUUGUUUCUUUAUUUUUUCGGUGCCCACUUUCGAGAGUAAGAUUGAUUUAGGCGAAUUUGAAGCAAAAGAAUCACCCAAUACCACGCGAUUUGCAAGACUAUAAAGUUUUAGGCGCGUGACAAAAUUUUGUGGUUGUAAUUUGCUCCAAUAUUACAUUUGCUUUACUAGUUUAAAGUGUAAAGAUUAAGGACACAGAUUUGAAUUACUUCUAUGAUUGUCAUCAUUUAUUUCAGGGAAAUGUAGGCUUAAUGGAAAGCCACUUUAUAUUCAAUAGAUGGUUAUUGUUAAGGUAUUAUUUACUUCGAAACCAAGACUGUUCAAACAUGGAUGAAGAGUGAAGAGAUCAAUCUAUUUUUUGUUUUCCUUGAUGAAAAUCUAUGGUUUUUUUUAAAAAAAAAUUUAUCUAGUAAAAAUAACUUUCCAUCCUCAAUUUGCAGCUAUGUCAUUAGCAACAAUUAUAUUAAUAUGUUAUUGCUUAUACUUGUUCUUUGAAGGUGGAAUUAUGUGUUCCAAACCUUGAAAUUCCUGGCGUUGUACUUGAUUUAUGAUCGGCUAUCACUUCUGCAUUUUGCAAAGAAAACUGAUGCGAAGCAGAGUUUUAAAGCUUUUACGAGCUUUGGUUUCCAUUACUGAAGCCGUCUCUGAUUGUCCUAAAACAAUAAGAGUUGUUUCUAAUGAUCUGAAUGGUUUUCCCCAAUCAGAAUUAGACCAGUUUCCUAAUAGUUUGAAACAAGCUUCGAAAAUCACCAGGUCCAAUGAGUUUUCACAGUCCACAGCAAUGUAAAGAACUGCAACCUGAAGGAGAUUUGAAGUCAAAUUCCACUCCGAGCUGGCUGAAUUGGGUGUGUGGUGAUGAGUUUAGGGAGCUGAUUGGUGAUUGUAUUCUAGUGUCUCUAGUAAAAUUUUUAAAGAAGAAUCAAUAUGUUGAAUUCUGAAUCUAAGGGGUUUAACUUUGGAUUUGAACUCCAUAAAUCUCACUGUUUUUAAUCUGAAUUAUAAAAGUGAGUACUUUUGGAUUGGGUUGUACUUAGCAGAGAACUUGUGUUCCUUAUACUUCAAUUCCUUGAUGAGGAGAAAUUUAAAGACACUGUUCAUAAUUAUGCUCUUAUCUCCGCAUUCUUUGUUUUUGCUCUUUUCUUUUAUUCUAUCUUUUUAUAAUUUAAAUCUUUUAAUCUGUUCAUGCAUUUUUUUUGUGUAUUUGUUGAUUAAUAUGUUUAAAUUGAAUAGAUUGGAGCAAGAGUCGGGUUUCUAAAUAUCUCACCUGGAGGAGGACUACAAGCAGCUCAGUUUCAUUCUGGUAUUCGUUCUCCUACAAAGCAUUUUUAACUAUUCAAAUUUUCAUAUACAGGUUAAUUCUCAUCGUAGACCCUGUACAAGGCAUAGUUUUGUGUUGAGGUUAAAUUUAAAAUAGGGUUAUGGUUGAUUAGAUUUAUGGGUGUCUUGGUAUAACUAGUCAAGGCAUAGUUUUUGUGUGGAGGAGUUGGUAUUGGGAAAUGAUGAACACUAGUGCUGGUCUUCUUAUGAAAUUUGUUUAAGAUCUGAUGGCCUUCUUUAUUAAGUAUUGCUUUUCUUUGGCGAGGGCAGCUUGGAAUAAAUUCUUCCAUUUUAUUGGCCUUCUUUAAAGUUAAAAGUCAAUAUUCCAUUAGUACAUAAAUCUCAUUUUAUUGGGAGACUAAUGCUUCCAUAUAAAGUGCUUCCAUAAAUUAUUCUUCUAUUUUCACAAAUUUUGAUAUUUGUUUCCGUGAUUGGAAAAAAUUAAAGGUUAAAUACUUUUUUUUUAAAUUAGUAUUUUUAUCAAAUUUUGCUUAAAAUUUGUUAAAUGUUUUGUUUGUCAAAAAAAAUUGCUUAAUAUAUACCAUAUGUUUAUUAAAUUUAUAAUAAUUUGUGUAAUACCCCCUACCCGUAUUAGUCGCCGAAAUAGAGUAUGAGGCAUUACUAGAUUUUACCGAAUAAAUUUUUUUUUAAAACUCAAUAUAACCCCUUUAUAAAUAUCUAAUCUUCCCUGUAAAUUUUAAACCGAGACCAAUCCAACACAACCAAUCCAUUUCAAUAUAUUUUCAAGAUAGAUUUAUUGUAUUCAUAAGAUAAUCUCAUCACAUACCAAAACCAAAAUUUGUUAGCCAUACCAAUGGCUAACCAUACAUUCAUUUCACAUUAACAUCUACUUUACUAGCUUAUACAUGCCAUUGAUUUCCAAAAUAAAGUUUCUUUAUAUACCGAUAUCUUAAGGUUGAUAGUGUGAUGCGUCUCCGACCAAAUCCGACCUCUGAGCUCUUAACACUACAAAACAGGGGAAAAGGAAACAGGGUAAGCACUUUGUGCUUAGUAAGCUCAUGUAAUAAGAAUUAUACUUACCUAAUAUUUUCAAUACAAUGCAAUAAACAUUCAUACAUCCAUUCAAUACAUUAUUCCCCUAUCAUGCACAAACUCAACAUUCAAAUUAGUCCAAUAAUUUCCAUAUGUAUCAAAUAUAUAUAUCAUGAUUGAUGAGCUCAUCAAUUCCAUGAUUUCCAUUCCCUUGUUAUUUUUCCAUUAUCCCAUUGAACUUCUAGGAAUUUCGAUGGAUUUUCAGGGGUACACCUAAUUGUACAAAUCCGGGUCCGUCAAUUCAUAUUCAUGUGCGCACAUUUCCAUUUCAGAGAGCACACUCCCGCGAACCUCAUCCUUAGAGCGGGAUUACCAGUCCAGGCUAAAUCCCCUGUAAUAUAAACUCAUAAAGUAUUGUCGGGAUUACCAGUCCAGGCUAAAUCCCCUGCAACGACAAUUACUCUAAUGAGCUUGAAUCUGAAUUACCAAUCCAGGCUAAAUUCAGACCCUAAUUCGGAUUACCCGUCCGGGCUAAAUCCAUUUUCCACAUAUUCUUCGGGAGGGCUAUAUCAAAAUAGGAUCACCCGUCCGGGCUAGAUCCUUUUUACCGUCAAUUCCUUUUUAGAGAUCCAUCGAAUUUUCCUUCCAUUCAACCGGGAUUUCUUCCCCUUUUUAUCAAAUAUAUCAAUGUUUCAUCAAUUUUAAUAUAAUGAACAUUCAAAUCAUAUUCACAUCAAUAACAAACAUUUCAAGCAUUUAAGAAUAUAAUUCAAGUUAAACGAACUUACCUCGAUACUUGUUCGUAAACAAAAAUCUACUAAUCCCGAACUUUUUCUUUUCCUCGAUCUAGCUUCGUAUUUGAAUUCUCUAGAUCUAAAUAAAUAAAUUUAAUCAUUAAUCUAAUACAUUUCAUGUUCAUAUGUAACAUUCUCUAUAAUUCCAUUAUUAUUUAUAGUGCAUUCAAAGCUGUCUCGCUGAGUCACAGUCACUAAAUUAUUUAUAUCUUGAGCUACGGAACUCCAAAUUUAAGAUCCGUUAAUUUUUCCUUAAACUAUACUCACAUAUCUUCUUACCUUGAAAUUUUCAGAAUUUUUGGUUUAGCCAAUAAGUAGAGUUUAUUCUUUAAAGUUUCCCUUGUUUCACUGUUUGACAGUUCUGACCCCUCUUCACUAAAAAUUAAUUAUCUCAUUGUACAAAAUUAAAAUAAUGUUUCCGUUUGUUUAUUCUGAAAAUAGACUCAUUAAUAAUUCUUACCAUAUAAAUUAUAACUCAUAAUUAUUUGUUUACAAUUUUUAAUGAUUUUUCAAAUUCAGAACAGGGGAACCCAAAUUCAUUCUGACCUUGUCUCACAAAAUCUAUUAUAUCUCAUAAUUUACAAUUCCAUUGCUUACAAAAUUUCUUCUAUAAGAAACUAAACUCAAUAACAUUUAAUUUCAUAUUUUAUUCAUCCUCUAAUUCAAUUUCUAAAAUUUUUGGUGAUUUUUCAAAGUUAACCUACUGCUGCUGUCCAAAACUGUUUUAGUGCAUGAUGUUAAUUACCAUUUUUCCCUAAACUUUCAAUAAAUGAUAAUUUCAUCCCUGCUCAAUUUCACUAAACUACUUUAAAAUACUUUAUAAGCUUUGGAAAUCAGAAUUUUAGUACUAGACUUUAAUUCCAAACUUUUUCACAAUUAGGUCCUACAAAUCAAUUUCUAUUGAAAUUACCUAAUAAAAUCAUCUCAUAAACAAAUUAAAGCUUCAAUUUCAUCCUAUUCCAUCAUAAACUUCCAGCACAUAUUCAUAUAAACUUUCAAAUUCAUUCAUAAAAUCAAAAACUAAUGAAUUUAGUAAUAGGACCUAGUUGUAAAAGCCUUAGAAACACAAUAAUUACAAGAAAAAGGCAAGGAUUAACUCACUUGGUGCAAAAAUUAUGAAAAACCAGAUUGAAGAAACCCUUAGGAAUUUUUUGACUGAUGAGAAUGCAGAAAAAUAAAGAGAAAUCUAGAUAAUUCCACUUUAGUCCUAACUUUUAAAGCAAAUUUUGCAAUAUUCCAAUUUUACCCUUAAUUCUUCAAUUCUCCUCGAUUUUUCUCAGCUUAUGCCGCCCAAAAUAUCUCCUUUUGAGGUUAUUUGCAAUUUAUGUCCCUCCUCAUUUAACAAUUGAGCUAUUUAAUCCUUCUAGUAACUUUAACACAUUUUUCAAUUUAGUCCUUUUCACUUAAUUGACUAUCCAAACAUUAAAAUUUUCUAACGAAAUUUUAAUACCAUAUUAAUAACACUUCAUAAAUAUUUAUAAAAAUAUUUUUGACUCGGUUUUAUGAGAUUGAGGUCUCGAUACCUUAUUUUUACCCAAUUUCUUCAAUAAUUUCUUUUUCUAACUAACCACUAAAUCAAUAAAAUUUUUCUAUCGAUAUUUUUAUACGAUUUUCCUAUCAUAUCAAUAUUCAUGCAAAAAUAUUAAAAUAAAUUUCUCUUUAAAUCGGAUUUGUGGUUACGAAACCACUAUUCUGAUAACCUUGAAUUUGGGCCAUUACAAUUUGCUUCUAAAAUAGAGAUGGUUAGGUUUUAAUUAGUAUUAACGAUGGAACAAAGUAUUAAUAUAAUAAGUAUAACCAUUUAUAUUUUUUAAGUAUGAAAAAUAAAAUCCCUAAAGUAUGAACUUUUAAUGCAUAUCUUUAAUUUAUUUAGGUAAAGAUAUAUUUGAUUUUAUUUAAGAAUGAAUAAAAAAAUCAAGGAAUACAUAAUCACAUUACAAUGGCAUUGUAUUCAAAGUGUUUCUCAAAAUAACCAUCUCAACUUUUAAUAUAAUAUCAGAUUUAGUUAUUAAUAUUUAUAUUCUCUUAUCAAUUUCACCUUUCUUUUUUUAAAACUAAAUUUAGCUAUUAAUUUUUAAGCUCCAUAUAUACUUCCUUUUAAUAUGACAAUAUUUGUCUUAUAUAUCACGUCAAUAAAUAAUUUAAAAUUUUAAAAAAUAACAUAAAAUACACGUAGAUAAAUACAAUAAUUUAUCUUAUCAUUUAUUUAUUAUUAUUUUAAAACAAUGAAUUAGAUCUGUACAAAAGAAGUAUUCGAUAAGCUCAUUUGAAUUGUUACUCAAAUAACUCCAUUUUAAGCUCUCCUUAAUUGCAUUUGUAAGUACCUCAUCUUAUUUGCAUGUUUUAAUUUAAUACAACAUUUUUUUGAGAUAAAAUCCAUGUUAGUGAUUUGAAUUAAGGCAUAAUAUCUUACAUACCUCAUUGUGAUAUUACUAUUUUAGGUUAAAUGUAUUCAUUUAAUUAUAUAAGUAACACGUUCCUUUUUUUUAAGAUAUAAAUAAAUAAACAUAAAUAGUAAUAAACAUAUUAUAAAUAAAUAAAAGAAACACAUUAACAAUAGUAGUAUUUAUUAUAUAAUUAAACAAUAGUUUAUUUUAAAUGAUUUACUAAACCAGUUUUAAACUAGCAUGAAGAUAAUUAGUUUGGAUAUGUUUCAAUUAUAUUAGGUUAAUUUAAUAAAUAACUUUUAAAUUUUUAUUAAUGUUAAUUUAUUUAACUUAACGAACGGAUAUAAAUAAACAAAGAUCCAACUCAUAAACUAUUUAUUUACAGCUUUAUACUUGACUUAUACAUAUUUAGAACACUUAAGUAACGGUAAUUUAUUGUCAACUUUAGACUUCAAGAACUACGAAAUGGAUAAGAGUUUAAUGGAUUUGUGAACGAAUAUCAAAAUGGAGUACUAAAUUUGUUUGCAUUUAAAUUUUUAUAUUUAAAUAAUUUAUUUAAAGUGAUUGAUCUACAAGUUAACUCACUCAUUAACUUAUAUUUAUACUUGAUCUGAGAAAAUUUUAAUUUUUAUAAUUAAUAAAAUUUAAUUUACAAUUAAUUUUUACAUUAACCAACUAAACUUUUAUAAAGAAAAUUAGAAACCCCAUCGGUUAAAACUACUUAUUUUUCCUUUUAAAAAAUCUAGUUAUUUUUUUAAAAAAAGUAAUGUUUUAUUAUUUUAUAUAUUUAAUAUAAAAUUAUAUAAAUAUUUUAUUUUAUUUUUCAUUAUUCUUUACAUCCAUUUUAUGUUCAUGUUCGGGUUUAUUAAACUAAUAUUAAAAUUAUGCAUUUUAAUAUUUAUAUUAAUAUAUUAAUUUAAAAUAAAAACAUAUAUUUUAAUUUUUUAUUUAUAUACAUUAAUAUAUCAUUAUUUUAUUAUUUUAUUAUUUUUAAAAAAUUAAUAAUAUUAAUAUAUAUUUUUUAAAAUAAUUUUAUUUUAUUUUUAAUAUUUUAUAAAAACUAAAUGUUAUAAUAUUUUUUUUAUUUUAUUAUAUUUAAUGUAAAUAUUUUGUAAAUAAUAAUAUUUUAUAUUUUAUUUUAAACUAUAUAAAAAAGAUGUUAAGGGUAAGAUGAUAAAUUAAUAAAUAACGCUUAUGUUUUAACUCAUAGAAAAUACAUGAUAAGAAGAUUAACUGUUUGGCACAAGUGUAAGCCGUGUUACCUUAUCCCCUGCCCCUAAUAUUGUAUCGAAAAACGCUUGGUAAGAAGAGUGAUAUAUAUCCAAUUUUCAACAACCAAACAAUUUGAUGUAGUAGCAUCUAUCUUUUAUCCAUCAUUUGAAAGUUGAGUGUUAUUUAACACAACACUCCUCUUUUACAUCAAGCCUACCAAAUGUGACCAGACUAUCAAUUUGGCUAUGAUUCUAUAUAAAACGAUAAAAAAAUUGAGUUUUUUAAAAUUAGAAAUCUUGAAAAUACAUAAAUUUGAAAAUUAAAUAAAAAUAGAUAAAAUUUAAAAAAUAUAUAGAUAAGUGAGAGAAAAUUAGGGAAAAUUAUUUUUCAUUAUGAGAAAAGAAUGAGAAAAAAAGAUUAGAUUUGUUUUUUUUUUUUUAGUUUGGAUUUUGAAUAAUGUUGAAAAUUUUGAAGUUGUCGCAGGGUGUUAUGGGAAUUGCCCACUACCCCAACCAUUAUGACAAAACAACUUGCCAUAUUUGGAAGAUUGGCAAUUUAUUGAUCUGUAUCUUUAGAUUGAGCUGAUAUUGUAGAGCGAAUCAAGCUCAUCAAUAAAGAUCAUAUCACUUGGAGAAACUUAUUUAGAAGAUUAGAUCGGGUUGGAUUGGAUUGCUUAUAUCAAAUUCUAUGGAUAAAGGAAGUUGAAUCGGAUCGAAAAAGUAAAGAUUUAGCCGCCAACCAUCAAUGUUUAUUGUGGUUGUUUAUAUUAUAUUGUAUUUAGCUAUUUUAGUUGUUGUUUAGUAAGGAUUGUGAUAGAUCUUCAUUAUGUUAGCAAGUCUCGAAAUCUCUAUAUAAUUAAGAGACUUGUAUAGGUUGAUGCACAAAUUAUUAAGAGCAUUUAUAUGUUCAAGUGAGGAACAUUAUUUUGCAAGAGUGCAUUUGUGAUUGUAAAAUUUUGUAUUGUGUUGUGCAUUUGUGAGGAACAUUAUUUGUGAUUGUAUUAUUUAGUGGUGAGUGAUCUAGUCUUCGAAGGUAUAAGAGUGAGGAAUCAUCAUUGAGAUGUGAUACAUUUAGGUUCACUAGUUGUAAUUGUUUAAAUAUAGUGAUUCUUCUCAUUGACCAAGGCUUCACAAAUGUAUGGAAACUGAACUGCAUAAACAAAUUUUAAUGUUUCCUAUUUUGUUUUUGCUUAUCAUGGUGCUUGUAGAAGUGCACACUUUUGCAGUCACUACUGCUCAUACAUUGCUUGUUACUUAGCAACUAUUUUAGAUCAACAAAAAAUCAUUUAAAUGAAUUAAAUUUUAUUAAUAGAGUUUGAAAAAGAAUAUUUUCUUGUAUAUUUUGCAUUUUUUUUUACUAAAAGAAAGGGAUCAAAUUCAAUUUCACAAGUCUUAGUGAGAUUAGUUUGAAAGAAGUUCUUCAAUAGCAUGGAACUUGACUGGAAGGUGUUACUAAAUUUGUCAUAUUUUGUUUUAAAUUUGUUAUUGGAUUCUAUUGAAUAAUCUUUUUCUUUCUUAUGUCUCAGUAUUGAACAAUCUUGAGCUUUAUUACAACACAAGAACAUUAGUUUCUAAUCACAAUUAAGCUUUGUGCAAAAUGAAUAUUAUAUUAAGAUAUUGAAAUUGAUCUAUUUCUUUUAUCCAUUUUCAUGAUUUAUGGCAAUGUUGAAUAUUUUGCUGUAGAAAUCAUAAUUUUUAUAUAGAAUUUUCUAUUUUUUAAAAAUAAUAUUGAGUUUUUAAAAUUAAUUUUAUAUAGAAUAGGGUUAAAUGGAGAGAAAGUAUAAAAGUUAAGGGUUAAAAUUGUCAUUAUACUAACUAAAAAAGUGUGGUUGUUAGCUAUUUAAUAGUUGGGUAAAAAAAUAAUUUCAAAAACGUUAGUGGCCAAAUUGUAACUCUUUUAAUUAAAAGACACAUAAUUGAGGGAUUAAUAGUGUAAUUUAACCUUAUCUUUUUUAAACAUAUGGAUUAAUUCACAUUUAUUUGGAAUGUGUUAUUAAUUCACAUAUGAAUUUAAGUAGUGGUGGAGCUAGAAAAUAUUUUGGGGCUAAAAUUAAAUUGUAUAUUUUUAUGAUAGCAAGAAUGCAAUUUCACUAUUUUAUGAUAUCUUUAUAAUUUUUAAAGGAUUAAAUCAAUUUUUUUAUCAUUUUUGAGAUUAAAGUGUAAUUUUACUAUUAUUAAUUUAAAAUUUUAUAAAUUAUAAAGGACAUAAGUGAAAAAUUUUCCAUUAAUCAACACCCUUGGCUCUACCACUUGAUCGAACACAUAUCACGAGUCCUUUCCCGCGUGUGUCAGAUUUUGUUUAUAUGGUUGAAAUAUCAUCACAUGUAUUUAUGUUUGAAUACACAUCACAAAACCUUGAGUUGCUUCGGCAUGACCUAGAUAAAAAAAAAAUGGAGAAACAUGAAGGUAGCUUAGAAGAAUCCAAAAGCAAUAAACGAAAGCUAGACAAAAGGUUGAAAUCAUCAUUAACCAAGCCUUUACUUUUUCUAACUCCAGGAAGAGUCCAUAUUCGUUGAGAAAAUCGGCAAAGACUUUGGUAUCUUUUGGAAGGACUUGUAAAGAAACAAUUUUUUAUAUUUACGUUCUGUAAUGUUUUUCAUAUUAACAUUAUUGAUGUUUCUAAAUUUACCUUCUGUAAUGUUAGAGUUAGUUGAAGAGUCGUCAGAUUCUGGAGAGGAAUCAAUUUUUAGUCAUCAGCAUAGGAUGGAAGAUGAGAAGUUGCUGUCGGCAGUGUUGGGAGAGCAAAGGAGAAGGUAAUAAGGCUGCAACUCAAGAGGAUGAAGGCAAAUCAGAAAUUGGUAGAUGACAGAAUUGUGAAUAGGACUCUCAGAUUCUGGGUCCAACUUAUGCAAUAAUUCUAUGAUCUGGGAAGCGUGUAGAGAUCGACAAAUGAGUUUGCCGUGAUUGCUGCGGUCCUCUCCAACAAGAAGCCAAUUGUUUUGCAGACACAGUGGCAAUGGAUGGGAUGGAAAGUUUAUGGUUAAACUGUUCCCCUUAAAUUCACGUAAGUAUAAAAUAAAAUGUAAAUUAAUUUAAAAUUUUAAAAUAAUUUUAUUUUAAUUUUUAAGUCAAGAAUUUUGAUGAGUUAAAAUUAUAGGCUAAGGGCUUAUUUAAUUACAAAUAUAAUUUAAAAACUUGUUUAAACAAAGUGUAAUAAUUUAACGGAAUUUUUAAUAUAUUAGCCAAAGAAAUUCAUCUAAGUAACAAUGAAGAAUGCUUUUAAUGUGCCCAACAUUAGACCAAUACAAUAAUUGUAAGUUUUUGUAAAAAAUCUUAAUUUCAUUUUUUAAUCUUUUUUCUAAUAGUUAGUCCAUUCUUUUUUUAACCUUUGAUUAAUGAGCAGAAUUCACAUACUUUGUUUUUGGUUAUAGCUCAGUAAAUCUAUCUUCAAUUUAACGGAUAAAUGGUACAUAAUAACGAAUAAAUGGCAUUCAAUUUAAACAUUGACAAUGCUUAAUUUUCAAAUAGAAAUUUCUUCAUUUACUGCUCCAUUCAUUUUAAAAUUCAAAAUGUCUUUCAUCUUCCUCUUCGGUCCAACAUAUAUCACUACCAAUUGGCCAUGCAGUUUCUUGAGCUGUAGCAGAUUCUUCCACUAUAAUUUCAUCAACUGAUUGGCUUGCCUGCAAAGCAAAUUAAACCUUCACUUAUUACUGUUUGCUUUUAAUCAUUGAUGCUGAAGAAAGCAAAUCCAGUUUUCCAAAAUUGGACAAAGGAUGUCAUAUUGAAAAUAAUAAUGCAACAAUGAUAUCUAGAAAGAAAUAUUUAUUAACAUUAAUGGGAGACAACAUUAAUGGCAAACAAUACAAAGUGGUGCAAGUUUAGCACCCUAAAGUUGACUUUGAAAAAGUGGCAUGGGAUAAUUUUUUUGGUCCUUGAGAUAAUGGGCUAUUUAUUGUUUGGUCCUUAAACCUCAACUAUAAAUAGGCCUUCUCAUUUCUCAUUUCAAUCAUCCCAACCAAUCUUUCUCUCUUAGUUUUCUCUCUUCUCCCAUUUGAGAAUUCUCAAGGAAUUCUAUUUGUUUGUAAUAUUGUGAAGAUAGUAAAGUUAUCAUCUGGUGUUAGUGCCCGAAAUAAAUUAAAUUGUAUAUUUUUAUGAUAGCAAGAAUACAAUUUCACCAUUUUAAUAGUCUAUAUAUUUAUAAUUUUUAAAGGAUCUGAUAAUUUUUUUAUCAUUUUUGGGAUUAAAAUGUAAUUUUCUUAUUAUUAAUUUUAAAUUUUAUAAAUUAUAAAGGACCGAAGUAAAAAAAUUCCCAUUAAUCAACACCCUUGGCUCUACCACUUGAUCGAACACAUAUCAUGAGUCCCUUCCCACGUGUAUGGCUGAAAUAACAUCACAUGUAUUUAUGUUUGAAUACACAUCACAAAACCUUGAGUUGUUUCGGCAUGACCUAGAGAAAAAAAAAUGGAGAAACAUGAAGGUAGCUUAGAAGAAUCCAAAAGCAAUAAACGAAAGCUAGACAAAAGGUUGAAAUCAUCACUAACCAAGCCUUUACUUGUUCUAACUCCAGGAAGAGUCCAUAUUCGUUGAGAAAAUCGGCAAAGACUUUGGUAUCUUUUGGAAGGACUUGUAAAGAAAAUAUACCAAAUUAUUAAAUUAUUAAAUAUAUCUGGAUUUGCCCAAGUAAAUGGAAAAUAUACCCACUUACCACUUCAAAUUGAAGUAAUGAUUCCAAGAAUUUGAGUGUGGAUAAGAAAAUUCCAAACAGUCUUUUCAGCUCUGUUUUAGUUCAAGAAAAACAGAAAAAGGUAAUAUUAGAUCAAGAAAUAUAUAGCAAAAUUAUAUAUAAAAAAUCACAAUUAAACUUGGCUGUGCAUUUGUUUUGCAAUUAAAGACUUGACAGGAUAAGAGACGGGACGACCUAGAAAAGUGUGAAAGUCUUUGGGUCAGUUUUCACUUUUUCACCAUUACACAUCUACAUUUUUCAUAUUUGUUUCAUUUGAAGCGUCUUUCAAGAAAAUAUGUUCUUUUUCUUCUUAUUUUUCAUUUGCUAUCAGAAAUGAAGAAGAGUUUUCUUUAUUCAAAGUGAUUUUUAUAUUAUUUUGCAAAUUCUAGACAUAAAUUUCCAAUGUUUAUGUUAUAUAACUAGUUUUCCUUUCUUCAAAAUUAAAAAUGAAUAAGAACAUGCUUUUUAAUUUGAAAUUUCAUACCAGAUCAUGAAUUUGGGUAUCUUCAACAAAAAGUUGAGCUUUACAUAACAUGUUCCAUUGUCAUUUUGGUAUUUUUUUUCCCGUAAUCAAAAUAAUGUAUGAAAGAUAAAAUAUAUAAUUAAUACAUCACUUUUUAGAAAAUUUUAAACAAUGAUCAUUAACAGUCUCAAUAGUUUUAUGGGUAAAUUACAAUCAAAUUAUUAAAUUAUUAAUAAUGUCGAAAUCUUUUUGAAAUCAACUUUUGAUUUUUAAAAUGACGAGAAUGAGAGUUCAUCAAUCCUUUUUUAUUAGGUGUAAUCAAAUCACUUCGUAAUUUAAUCAUAUUAAUAAAAAUUUAAAUUUACUAAAACGACGAUUUUUGGUCUAUAAAAUCUAAGAAAUAAGUUCAGGAGUCGGUUAUGCACGAGGAAUGGUUAGUAUCCUCGUAACGUCUAAAAUUGGUACCUAAGUGAUUAAUUGGUGUCUUAAGGUCGAAAGUUAAAAAUUUGAAAAGAGUUUAAAAUACGACCCCCUCUUUUUAUUAAUGUAUUUUUUAAGUAAAAUCCCUUGAAUAAAUCAAAAGUGUGUAAAAUGUCCUCUUAUCUAGAGGUAACAAAAAGGCCAUAUCCUGUAAGUUAGGACACGCCAUCUAGAAUCCUCGAAAAUAAGUUUUCUCUUUAUUUAAUUACUAUUCAAAUCUCAAGUGUUUUAAUUUCGAAAGAGAUGUUCAUGAUCAGCUAUCUAGGUUCAAAGAGAACGUCGAACCCCAUAAGUUAACGCACGACUUCUCGAAUCUCCAAAUGCGGAACAUUGCCAUAAUUUUAAAAUUUUCCUUUUUAUGCAUCGAGUAAAAAUUAGUGUAACACUUAAAAUAGUAUAUAUUUAAUUUAUUCGGGCAUCGUACGAAAAACGGAAAAUCUGUUCAAACAAGGUUCGUGACAUGAUUGCGGUCAUAAUAAAAUUAAAUGAAGUAUAUAUAAAAAAUAAUGGUAUAUGGAAAAUAAAAAUGUUGUGCUAGUAAGUGGCAGUGCGAUAUCAAUUUGUAGUAAUAAUAACAUGAUAAUGAUAAACAUAAUAAAAUAUGAAUGUAUAAUAAUAUUAAUAUGAACAAUAAAUGUGCAAGUAAAACGUAAAUAAUCUAAUUUAAAAAAUAUAUUUAAAAAAUAAAUAAAUAAUGACGACAAUAAAGGCAAAAGCAGAAGAGAUAAAAAAUAAAAAUAAAAAAAUGCACAAUAAAUAAAAAACAAAUAAAUUUUAAAUAAAAAGGAAAUAAUAAGUAAAUAAAUCAAAUCAAAUCAAAUAAUAAAUAAAUAAAAAUAAUAAUACAUAAAAAUGAAUAAUCAAGAAAGGGUCGAAACUAAAUAAAUAAGGAUUAAGUCGACAUUGAAAUGAAAAGAGUAUUUUAUAUACUCUAAUGACCUACACACGGAAAUAACUGUACGUUGAGUAUUUUAUACUUAAUGGUAUUAUUAUAAUUUAAACUAUUUAAUAUUAAUAAAUUACAACAUCAACCAUAAGCUUUUUUUUUAAAUCGUUUAAACUAAUUAUACAUAAUUAUAUAUCACUUCAUAAAUCUUAAAUUCAUAUAUAUUUUUUAUAUACUAAUUCAAUUCAUAUUUUAAUUCAUACAUUCUUUCUCGUACUUUUCAAUAGUGUCAAAUCAAUCAAUCUCAUUUUCAAAUUUUCAUUUCAAUUAUUUACUCUAUUAACAAGGCUCGGACUCUGACAGAUACGUGGAUUCCACCCAAACACACUAGAAUAUCCAACCUAAUACACCCGGAAUAAUAUAAAUCCUCCAUAACACACCAGUAUAUCAUAUCAUCCCAAACACACCAAUAAGGAAUUAGAUGCCUCUUCGGAUAAACCGAAACAUAUAAUAACAAAAUCAUCUUCUCGGCCAAACUACAAAUCUCCUCAUCACAUUACAAAUCCUAUGACAUGCCAUUUGUAUCCAAUCUAGUCCGAUAAGUUAAUAGGGCAUUAUUUUACUUUUCCAAUUUCGAAUUCAUUUCCACAACAAUUUCAAAUAUUCAAUCAAUUCAAAACAUCUAUUAUUUCAAUUCACUUAAAAUUCAAUAUUCACACAUAUCUUAAUUUCAAAUUUAUUACUUACCUUACCUUAAAUAUCCCAUGAUUACAAUUUCAAUAUAGCAUUUAGUAAAUAGAUUAAAUUAUAGUAAUACAAACCCGGAAUAAGCGUUUACUCCUCAACGAUAUUUUCUUUUCCUUUGGAUGUCGAUGCCUCGUUUUCCUUGUUAGCUACGAAAAUAAUAAUUAUUUUCACUAUUAAUUACAACAUUAAAUUAUAAAAAAUAAUAAUAAUUAAAUUUUAUUCAAUUCAUGCUUAUUCCCAAUUUAAUUCUAACUAAGCUUACUUACAUUUCUAGCUUAAUUCAUAUUUCUUUUCUAUAUAAUUUAUUGUCAUAUUUAACUCAACUAUUCAAUAUUCAUAAUUAAACCCUAAUUUAAGACUUCUUAUAACUUAAUCCCAACUAUGUAAAACUUAUAGCUUACUUUACAAUUUGAUCCUUUAAUCAAUUCUAACUAAAAUUUCUAUCAAUUAAACCCCUAAUUGAUCAAUUUGUUCAACAUGAACUAUAUUCAAAAACUUAGGAAUUUCCAAAAUUUCAACUUGAUUUCAACAAAACUUUGUUCCAAAACUUUUAAAACAUCAAAACUAAGUAAAAAGGACUUAUUUGACUUACCAAUUAAAGCUUUAAGCUUCAAAAUCCAAGUUUUCCCUUUUCUUUUUCUUUUCUUCUUUCCUUUCACUAUUUCGAAUUGCUCUUUUCUUUUCUUCUUUGUUUUUUUUUUCUUUUACUUUUUAUUUACUUACUUUACUUUACUUUAUUUUAUUUGCUUUAUUUUUUUUAAUUACUAAAUAAUUAAUAUAAUAUCAAUAUAAAAUAUCUUAUGCUUAAAUAUUAAGUAAACCAAUUGUUUAAUUACAUUUGUACAUAUUUAUUUUAUUACACUUGUAUAAAUUUUAUACCAUUUAUUUAUCAAUUAUCUUAUUUAUUUAAUAAAAAUCUAUUUAACAACAAAUAAUAAUAUUACAAAUGUACAUAUAUAUUUUAUUUAUAAAUGUACAUUAUCAUCUAUACCAUACAUUUGUCAUCAUUUAUUUUAUUUAUCACACAAAAAAAUCUUAUAAUUUAAUUUUUUUAUCGAAUAAAUAUCUAUCUAAUAAUUUAAUAUAAUUAUUACAAAUGUAUAUACUUCUAUCAAUACAUUUGUAUUAAAUCACUACCAUACAUUUGUCUUUGUUUAACUUAUUUCAUAAUAUAAUAAUAAUAACAAUUAAUAUAAUUUAUUAUUUAAUAUUAAACCUUAAUGAUUAUCAAUGAAAUUUUAAUGAAAAAUAUCACAUAAAAAUCUUCAAUCUUACCCAGCUUACGCCGCCUCAUACUUAUGAAUUGGCUUAAUUAUCAUUUUGAUCCUUUAUACUUUCUUUUAAUCUAUAAUUAAACUUUUACCCUUUACUCUAUUUAGUCACUUUUCCUAAUUAUUCUUAAUUAGACUAAAUUCACCUAAUUAAUACCUAAUUAAGCACUCAACUAAACUCAUAAUUACUUCUAAUAAUUAUUUAUGACUCAGUUUACUAAGACGGUGGCCUGAUAAUGUACUUUUCAGAUGCUUGUGAAUUUUGGGUCAUUAUAACCAUCCUUCCAAAAACACGCAGAUCUUAGGGGCAUUCGGGUCGGGUCAUCAGGUCAGCCCCAAAACGACGUUGUUUUGGGGCGUUUUGGAACACCUCGAAACGGUGUCGUUUUGGCACCCUAUUUAGCUAAAAACAAAAGCUUCAAAAAAUUAUUUUUAAAACAGUUUAAAAAAAACACUUUGUUCUUUUUUUUUUCUCUCCAUCCCUCCCAAUCCGGCCUAGGGAGCCGCCAAGCUUCGCCGUGAUGGCCACCAAUCGCCGGUGACAGCUCCAUCUUCCACGGUGGCCAAAAAAUGAAAAAGGUACAUUUUUUCAGCCUUUUGACUUCCAAAGCCCAGAUCUGAGGACUAAGAGCCUAAAAAGGUAAAAAAAAAGAAAAAGAAAGUUUCGAUUUUUUUCUAUUCGCCUUUUUAAAAAAUAUAUAUAUGUUUUUUUUUCUUUUGAAAAAAGAAAUAAACAAAAAAAUGAAAUCACUUGAUCUGUUUUGAUUUCUUUUUUCGAUUAAUCUCAUUUUUUAAUAUUUUUUCCCCAAAAAUACUUUUUAAUCCGACCUUUAUAGCUGAUUUUUACAUAUUAUUUUUAUAUUUUUCUACUGUUUCAUACUGUUCAUUGCGUGUGUUGCUUCUUCUUGGCAGGGGUUGUUGGCAGUAGCAGAGGUAGGGUGCAGCGCUGACAUGGGAUGAGCAGCGGCGCCAGGGGCUAGGGGCUAAGGUUUCUUUUUUCUAAAAAGAUGUUUUGGGGAUAGAGUAAUUUUUUCCUGGUAUUGUCGAAUCUCGACUUCUUUGGUGUUUCUCUUCUUCAAGUAGCCUCAUUCUAACCCACUGCAACUUUAGGGAUAUGAGAAUUGUAAUUUCAAUCUACUCCGUUGCAACCUCAGAGAGAUGAGAUUUGUAGCUUUAAUCUGCUUCACUGCAACUUCAAGGAGAUAAGAUUUGCUAUCUUCAAUCUGCUCUACUACCACUUCAGGGAAAUAAGAUUUGUAGUUGUAAUCUGCUCCACUGCAACUUCAGGGAGAUAAGAUUUGCUAUCUUCAAUCUGCUCCACAGCCACUUCAGGGAAAUAAGAUUUGUAGUUCUAAUCUGCUCCAUUACAACUUCAGGGAGAUAAGAUUUAUAGCUUUAAUCUACUCCACUGCAACUUCAGAGAGAUAAGAUUUAUGGUUUUAAUCUGCUCUACUACAACUUCAGAGAGAUAAGAUUUGCUAUCUUCAAUAUGCUCCACUGCAACUUUAGGGAGAUAAGAUUUGUGGCUUUAAUCUACUUUAUUGCAACUUCAGAGAGAUAAGAUUUGAUAUCUUUAAUCUGCUCUACUGCAACUUCAAGGAUAUAAGAUUUGCUAUCUUCAAUCUGCUCCACUGUGACUUCAGGAAGAUAAGAUUUGCUAUCUUCAAUCUACUCUACUACGACUUCAGGGAGAAAAGAUUUGCUAUAUUCAAUCUGCUCCACUGUGACUUCAGGGAGAUAAGAUUUGUGGUUUUAAUCUGCUCCACUACAACUUCAGAGAGAUAGGAUUUGUGGCUUUAAUCUGCUCCACCGCAACUUUAGGGAGAUAAUAUUUGCCACAAUAACUUUAAUCCAUCCCAAUGCAACUUCAGGGGUAUAGAAUUUGUGGUUCCACUAAUCUAUUACACCGUUCUCUAGGGAAUAUGACCUUUAAAACCCAUUUCAUGGGCCUAUAUUUAUGCAAAGCGAUUAGGAUACUAUGAUCAAAAUGAAUCAAAUGCUCCUAACUAGAUGUGUAUGAAUGAUAUUUGCAUGAAUGCAUAAUGUCAUUUUUUGAGAAUGAUCCCCUUUUAAUGCUUAGGUUGACAUUGCUCGUUGUUCAUCAAGGUUCUAUUACUAGCAUAUUACCUUGCUUCUUGUUUAGUUGGUAUCUUUGACAGAAAACUCGAAAAAAUAAUCACAAUUUAGGGUCCGUUUAAUUGCCAGUAAAAUGUUUUCCGUAAAAUGAUUUUUGGAAAAUGUUUUACUUUUCUGUAAAAUGAUUUACUAGAAAAUAUUUUCUGGUGUUUGAUUGAAUCUGUGUAAAAUAUUUUUUGCUGUUUGAUAGAUUUCCUGAAAAUAUUUUCGGAAAAGUUGUUUUUACAUAUAUUAAUAUAUAUUAAUAAAUUUUUAUAUUUUAAAUUGUUUUUACAUAUAUUGGAAUGAUUUAUUUAUAAUAAUACUCAAUUAUUAAGCUACAAUAUUAAUCGUUAUAAAUUGAAAAAAAACUAAUAUCAAAUAAAUUAUUUAUAAUUGUGUUAAAAAAACAAGUAUUGAAUAAUUAUAAAUUGCUUCGAAACCACAACGAAUACUAGAAAUAAUAUUAUCCAAAUACAUAAUUAGUAGUACACCACAUAGUAACAACAUUGUCCAAGUGCAUAAUAUUACACCACAUAAAAGUAUCAAUAUCUUCAACCAUGAGAAAAUUUUUGAAGCCAAAUUUUUCUAUGCUUCUUACUUUUAACUAAAAAAGCUUUGGUUAAUACAAUACUUCAAUAUAUUUGAUAAGCAUAUGAAAAUGAAAGCAUGACAAAUUAGUUUUCUUGUAGGAAAUUGCAAUUACUGCAAGAUUUUGUUAUAUAUUAUUAGGAUUUCAAUAUCAUGUAUAAUUAAUUAAUUAAUCCCUCAUUAUAUAUUUAAUCAAGAAUUUGAAUGGAAAAUUUGAAUGAAAUUCAUUUAAAAAUCAAUAUAUUAUUAGGUGUAAUACUUUAAUAUUUAACAUAUUAUUUAUAAAAAAUAUACAUUAACAGUAAAUAUUAUUUUUUAUUGCAAAAACAUUAUUAAAAAUGGUGAUGCCUCUUUUUUAAAAUAUAAAAAAUUAAAUUAUAAAUUGCUAUCAAGUGUGUUUUCUUUUUUUAUUUCGAAAUUUUAAACAAAAAAAAAGGAAAAAUGUUAUAAAAAUUUUUUAUUUCUAUUUUUUAUAAUUUUUUAAAUUAAAAAUUGAUUAAUUUUUAUAAAAAAAAUAAUGUUUAAGUGCACUGCUAUAAUUGCCAUAAUCUCAAAUGUCCAACAUAAGUUUGUUUGCUCUAUUUUCAGCAUGAAAAAAGCAUUCAAAUGUUUAUAACAAUAUCAACGAAAACAACAAUCCAAGACCUUUUUAAUGUGCGUAAAACAUCUGAUUAACUGAAACCAAACUUUAGCAUUCAAAUGUUUAAUGAAUAUUCUCAAAAAACUGAAACAGAUUGAACAAAGGAAGUUGGCAAAAGCCAUGUGGGGAUGGCAAACUCAAAUUCCAGAUAUCGAAUGAACAUUCUGAUGAAACACAAGCGAAAGAGCUCAUUCUGAUGAAAUAGAGGCAUUGAUGUUACUUAAGGACCUUCCUUUGUAGUCAAACAUGCUAGAUAUCAAAUGAACAUUCAUCACCCCUUUUCUCUAGCAUCAAAUACUAACAGAUCAUUAAGUGCUAACAAAUACUAACAGAUCAGUAAAUGCUAACCAGAGAAAGGCACAUAUGCCAAUUCAUACAUUAAUCAUACAUUGCUCACUUUACAAUCAGUUCACAUUCGGAUGCUAAAUCAUGCCAAAAUUACCAAAAUUCAUGACAUAGGCACAUAUGUAUUUACCUACCAUCAACCAAAUAUAACAGUUCAUCACUGCCAUUUUGCAAAUAAUUCAACAAAGAUCUUAUCACUGUUUCGUUUUUCCUUACAAUUUCAAGGAUUUGAAGGAUCAUAAUCUCGUAUGAUGAAACUCAAUUUGAAUGAAUAAAUGAAUCGAUCAACAGCUUAUGUUUAGGAAUUUUCAAUUUCGAAGCAGUUUACUAUGGAUAAGAACAGAAGUCACAUUGGACCAAAAGUAAAAUCCUACGUUCGAAAUUCAAAGUUCAAACCGUCAAACAAUGACUAGACCUAAAUUAACAAUUAGGCAUCAAAGCAAAACUUCAAACGUUGAAUUGAAGGUCACACAAUACUGUAAAGGUAGGGGGUUGCUAUGCUAAAAUUCAAAUCGAAACUCUAAAUAUUGUCGACUUUAUAGUCAAAUUACAAAGAUAAAAGAUGGGUUUCGUACAAAAUUAACCAUGAAAAUGGCUUGAAGCAUUCAUGAAUCAUGAGACCAUUACCAGGAAGUAAAGCACCAAAAUUAAGCAUUCAGCAAAAGACAGCUUACUAUAAAUGGCUAAAGCAUCCGUUAAGAGACCUUACUCUAAGUCUGAAAACCAACACAAAACAAGGGUUCUUUUACUUUUAUUCAGAAACUUCCUAGUUCACAUACAGAGUUUGCUCCUAGGCCAUUGCAUCUCCAUUCAAUGUAUUAUUCCGCUAAUAAAGAAAAACCACAAAAACAUUCUUUCCACAACCAACUGGGAAAAGAAAAGUAAAAUAGGUUCAAUUAUAUAUUCCCAUUCAACAGGAUACAACAUAUAUACUCAUUCUCUACACAGAACAUUAUGUAUAAAGAGGGCAGAAUAUAAAUCAACAACAAAGAUGAAAACAUUAUAUUUACAAAAGAUUACUAGAGAUAAUACAACCAUAAAGAUCAAUCCUUUUUCCAGAAAACAUUAUAUCGAACAUUAUAUCGAACACACAAACGGCCACAGAAAUAUUACUUUGAUUACAAAGCCCAUUAAUCAAAGUUGAAAAAAUUACAACAUCAGGCUCAACACCUAACUUCAGCAUUUUCCCCAAAACAGAAAACCCAAAAUCAAUUCGACCUAAUUGACAAAAGCAAUUAAUCAAGAUGCUCACAGAAUAAACAUCAUGGGAAACACCUAAUAAUUCCAUCUGGCUACACAUAGAAACAACAAUGGCAUAAUGUUUAAUUCUAACAAUGGCUGCAAACAAUUUAGUAAAUUCCACAAUUGAAGGCUUUGGGUACUUUUCAAUCAUCUUAUUGAACAAACUCAAAGCAUGAUCAACAUUAUCGAAGCGGUGGUCUGUUUUUCCCUUUCCUCUAACAGGCAUGGACAUGGGUUUCUUACUUAGGCAGUCGAAAAGAGUAGAAAUUAGAAAGAUGGCUUCCAACAUUAACAACCAAACGAAGAAUAAAAGAAUAAGGAAGCCUACCUAUCAUUUAAAAGCAGAAAUGGCAGCGGCAGUAGCAGCCAAAAAGAAAUGAAAAAUAAACGGAGCAUAAAAGCCAAAAAGAAAUGAAAAAUAAACGAAGUAACAGUCGAAAAAUAGAAUUGCAACGUACCAACAGCGGUUUCCAGUUCUGAACCAAAAUGAAGCUUUCAAGAACGAAAAUUUGAAGGAAUGAAGGAAGGGAGAAUAAUGGAUGAAGGGAGAAGAAUGCCUGUGAGCUUUAGGAAAAUGUCUUACGGAGAUUGAAUCGGUAAGAUAAUUUCCCAAAAAUUGUAAGGCAUUUUCCCAUGUUUUGGAGUUGAUUUUCCAAAAGGAAAAUAUUUUCCUUCAAUCAAACACUGGAAAAUGGGGAAAACCAAUUCUGGAAAAUAUUUUCCCCUAUCAAAUAGACCCUUAAACUAUUUGUUUCCAAACAUUUCCAACUUUCAGAUUUGGUCGGUUCUGACUAGUGGUCCUGUUUCAAGUCAUUGUAUUAUUUAGAAAAUCUUUCAGAGCAAUAUGCAGAAAUCCUUUUACUUGAAUAUUAUUAGUCCAUUAAUCAUUAUUUCAAUGAAAAAUGCUUGAAAAUGAUCGUAACAAUGGACAAGAUUGAAAUUUAUUGGGAGUAGAGCUUGAAAUGAAUAGUUAAUCAAAAAUACCAAACAUUACUAAGAUACAAAAUGAGUAAGAGUAAAAUAGAUGCCCUACAUAUCGUAGCAUGAGCUUUUCCGCACUAGCUUUACGAUGACCUUUUUUAAGUCUGAUAUGUGUUUAGGAGAUCCAUAGUACAGUGUUGAUGCCCUAAUAUAUAACGUUUUUCCUUCUGAAAAAACUCGACCAUCACAUGUUCAAUCUUCAAUCCAAAUUUGAGUUGCCUCUUUUCUUGGGUUUUCAACUCAAAAACCCCUUUGGUUUCAAUGUGCCAUUUGCUGGUUUUCGCCUUGGCCUCUCCCCAUUUUUUUAGGUGAAGUAUUUCUUGACUGAAUCAAAAUUUACAAGAUUAGGAAGGCUUUUGCCAUCCAUCUCAGUCAAAAUUAAUGCUCCUCUAGAAAAUGCCUUCUUUACCACAUAAGGUUAUUCCCAAUUUGGCAUCCACUUUUCUAUGAAAUCCUUUUAUAUGGGAAGGAUCUUUUUUAAUACCAGGUCCCCCUCAUAGAAUUCUCUAGGGUGAACCUUUUUGUCAUAAGCUCGCAUCUUUCAUUUUUGGUACAUCUAACUAUGAAGGAUUACUUUUAACCUCUUUUUUUUCAAUCAAAUUCAGUUGAUUAUAUCGAGAUUGGAUCUAUUUUGGUUCAUAUAACUUCAACUCUAACAAAACUUGGAGAGAAGGAAUCUUGACUUCAAUGGGCAAAAUCACAUUUAUUCCAUAAACUAAUGAGAAAGGCGUUGCCCCAGUGAAGGUCCUGCCAAGCGUUCGAUAAGCUUAGAGGGCAAAAGGUAACUUCUCAGGCCAAUAUUUAUAAGUCUCAGUCAUUUUCCCUACGAUUUUUUUAAUGUUCUUUUUGGCUGCCUUCACCGCACUAUUCAUUUUUGGGCGAUAUGUAAUGAGUUGUGGUGUUUGAUCUUGAAUUAACUAUAGACAUUUGUUAUUGUGCUGUUGUUCAAGUUCAAUGAAUUGUCAGAUAUAAUUAUUUCUAGCAUAUUAUAUUGACAUAUGAUCUCUUUCUUCAAGAAUUUGCUGACUGCUGACUUCGCGACAUUGGCGUAAAAAGUGGCUUCUACCCACUUGGUGAAGUAAUCAAUGACCACAAAGAUGAAUUAAUGUCCGCUGAAAGCUUUUGGAAAGGUCGACCCAAUGACAUCCAUGCCCCACAUAGAGAAAGGCCAUGGAGAAGUCAUAACAUGAAGAGGUGAAGGAGGCACAUAAAUUUUGUCUCCAUAAAUUUGGCACUUAUAACAUCUCUUGACAUAACUGAUACAAUAUCCUUUUAUGGUGGACCAAUAAUACCUGAAUCACAUUAUUUGCCUGGAUAUUGUAAAACCAUUAGCAUGUGUUCCGUAGACACCCUCAUGGACUUCUUCUAAGAUUUUCUUAUCAUCAACAGUGUCCACACAUCUUAGUAGCACCUGAUCUUUUCUUCUUUUAUAUAAGAUCUCCUCAUCUAAGACAUAGUCAUUGGCCAGUCUUCUCAACGUCUUUUUAUCAUUUUCAAUUGUUUGAUUGGGGUAUUCAUGGUUCUUUAUAUAUCGCAGUAUAUCGUGGUACCAAGGGUAAUCAUCCUUUUCUUCUUCUUCUAUGUUGUAACAAUGAGCCAGAGCCUCAUAAAUACUCAUAUGGAUAGGUUUUACAUCCUCUUGUUUGUUCACUUUGAUCAUAGAAACUAAAGUAGCUAGGGCAUCAGCCAUCUGAUUUUCAUCUCGCGGGAGGUAGCAAAAAGUGAUGCCAUCAAACUCCUCAAUUAACUCAAGAAUCAAUCUGCGAUAACUGAUCAAUUUGGGCUCUCUCCUCUCCUAUUCACCUUUGAGUUGAUAGAUCACGAGUGCAGGAUCCCCAUAUACAUUUAGUAUUUUGAUAUUGCGUUCUAUGGCUGCAUGGAUACCCAUGAUGCAUACUUCGUAUUAUGCCAUAUUGUUUGUGCAAUCAAAAUCCAAUUUACUAGUAAACGGAUAAUGAUCUCCGUUUGGGGAUACCAAGACUACCCCGAUUUUGUUACCUAUAACAUUUGAAGCUCUGUCAAAAUUUAGCUUCCAAGGAUGUUUGUCUUGAGAAUCUUCUUCGGUGGUUACAACAUACAUAAGAUUUUCAUUUGGGAAAUCAAAGUUCAAAGGCUCGUAAUCUUAUAAGGCUCUACUGGCUCGAAAAUCUCUUAUUGCACUCCCUUUCAUUACCUUCUAGUUCACAUAAGUUGUAUCAAAUUUAGAAAGCAGAAUUUGCCAUUGGGUCGUUCUGCCAUUUAAAGCAGUUGACUCCAUCAUGUACUUUAGAGGGUCCAUUUUUGAGAUGAGCCAAGUUGUGUGGUACAACAUGUACUGUCUCAGUCUUCGGGUUGUCUAGAUUAAGGUGCAACACAACUUCUCAAUUGGCGAGUAUCGUGUCUCACAUUCAGUGAACUUCUUACUAAGGUAGUAUAUCGCUUUUCUUUCCUUAUUGACUCUUCAUGUUGGCCAAUCACACAUCCCAUAAAAUUCUCAAAUAUGACCAAAUACAGUAUCAGUAGCUUAUUUAGACUAGGUGGCAUCAGUAUUGGAGCAUUGGACAAGUAAUGUUUGACAUUGUCGAAAGUCUUUUGGCAUUUUUUAUCCCAUACACCUGGACUAAGUUUCUUAAGGAGACGAAAUAUAGAGUCACAUUUCUCAGUUAAUUGUUAAAUGAACCGGGCGAUGUAAUUUAAUCUCCCUAAGAAACCUCAGACUUCCUUUUGAGUGCGCGACAGAGGCAACUCCUAUAUAGCCUUGGCUUUAUCUGGGUCAAUUUUAAUCCCCUUUUCGCAGACUAUAAAACCUAACAAUUUUCCCGAUCUAGCCCUGAAGGUACAUUUUGUUGAUUGAAUUUUAGCUGAAAUUUUCUCAACCUCAAGAAUAAUUUCCUCAAGACUUGUAAGUGCUCCUUUUCUGUUUAGGAUUUUACAAUCAUAUCGUCAACGUAAACGUCGAUUUCUUUGUGCAUCAUAUCAUGAAAUAGGGUUACCAUGGCUCUUUAAUAUGUCGCUAUUGCAUUUUUUUGUCUGAAUGGCAUCACUUUAUAGCAAAAGGUUCCCUACAUAGUUACGAAUGUGGUAUUUUCCAUAUCUUCAGAGUGCAUCUUUAUAUGGUUGUAACUGGAGAAGCCAUCCAUAAAGGAGAAUAGUGAAUAACCUGCCGUGUUGUCCACUAAGGUAUGAUAUGAGGCAACAAAAAAUUAUCUUUUGGGUUAGCCUUGUUUAAAUCCUUGUAGUCUACACAGAUUCGUAAUUUCCUAUCUUUCUUAGGGAUGAGGACUAUAUUGGCUACCCACUCCGAGUAUUUAACCACUUGUAGGAAACCAACGUCAAAUUGGUUCUUGACCUAUUCUUUUAUUUUUAACAAGAUGUCAAGCGUCAUCCUUCGAAGUUUCUAUUGAACCGACUUGCAUUCUACUUUUAAAAGAAACCGGUGUACCACGAUAUCAGUACUUAGACCAGGCAUGUCUUGAUACGACUAUGCGAAGACAUCUUUGAAUUCUUGGAGUAACUCAAUGAGGUAUUGCUUUGUCUCUGCAGUGAUGCAAGCUCCGAUCUUUACUUCUUUCAUUUCUUGUCCGUCUCCUAAGUUCACAAUUUUUAUUGACUCUUUGUGAGGUAGAAUUUGUUUCUCCUCUUGUUCUACCAUCCUUAACAAAUCAGGGGAUAGGUUACAAUCUCGAUCAUCUUCAAAGUCUUGAGGUUCCUCUAAACACAUAUCUUGCUCAAAAGGAGAUUCUGAGUCAGUAGCAGUGUCAUUCAUAUCAUUGAUAUCUGGAAACCUGUUAUAGGAAUGAAUGAAGACCUGAAGAAUAAAUGAAUCUAAGAGUAAUUAUUUGUGUGGUAUAAGUAUGAAUGAAAUGGAAAGAAUAAAAGAUUGUUUGCAAGAAUGAGACACAAAGAUGCAUUUUAUUAAAAUAAAAAUAAUAGACAUAUGUCUUUUUCACAAAAGGAUUCUUAUUGCUCCCUAGCUUAGAACAAUAAAUGUGUUUUGAAUAUUACUCUGAAUUAGUUCUAAAAAUUACAGGGAUCUUAGUAUGAAUAAUUUUCUAUUGAUUUAUAAAAAUAUAAAAGACAAAAACAUACUCAAAUAAUCAUAUAACUUACUUUGAAAAUAAAAUGGAUUUUUGGCGAUUCCCUAAGUGAGUUGGAAUCCAAUUAAUGAGUGACACCAACUCAAUAAAAAGCUUAAUAAAUAGUGUCGAUAAAUUACAUCAUCUAUCUCUCAACUUUGAGUAAACUUUUGUUUUGAUCGCUUAACUAAAAAAUAUUACAAUUUAAUUAUAGACUUUUUUUUUUUGCUUUCUUCUACUUUUCUUGAGCUAAAAGACUAAUGGUGAAACUUUUUAAAUUGGUAUAAUAAUAAUUUUAAGCUGAAUUUUAACCCUCUUCUUUUAUUCUUUCUAAACACAAUUGAUUUGCUUGGAAGUGACAUGAUAGUUUAUUUAUUACAUAAUUAUCCCAUGGCUAUUGCACAAAAGAUAACCCAAGAAAGUUUUUAUAUUAAAAUAGGCUCAUUUGACCUAUAAGAAUUCGCUCAAUUUGAAGAACAAGUGACGAAGUCUACAAAAUAUUUUGAUUUUAAUUUAUAAUUUAGUAUUCCAUUUUUUUCCAAUUAAGUAGUUAUAUUUUAUUUCCAUUACACAUCAACAUUUGAAAAUUAAAAAAUAAAUAUAAAAUUUCCAUAAAACAGUAUAGAGUAAACUACACUCAACUCAACUAAUUAUGGGUGAUUGUUUUUGGUCAACCAAUUAUGAAUUUGUUUAAUUUUUGAUCAUCCAAUUAUAAUUUUUUUAAUCUGGUCACUCAAUUAAUUGAGACAGUAUUUUUUUUGUCCAUUUCCAUUAAUUGCACUAAUAGGAGGGUGUGAAAAAUAAAUAUAAUAAUAAAUUUAGCCCUCAACUUUUACAUUAUAUCGAUUUAAUCACAAUUUUUGAAAAAUAGCCUUCAAAAUUUACAAAUAGUCUUGAUUUGAUUCUAAUUUUUUUAAAAAAAAAUUAAAGGAAUAUAUAGAAAUACAUAAAUAUUUUCAAAAAGUAUAAUAAUAAAUUUAAAUUUGUAUAAUAAUAUUGAUAUUAAAUAAAAAUAACUAUAUUAAUAUUAAAUAAAAAUACAUAAAUAUUUUCAACUUAUUUAAUAUAGAAUUUUUUAUUUUUAAAAAAUAAUUUUAUAAAGAAUUAGGGUUAAAUUGACAUAAAAUUUAAAAGUUGAGGACUGAAAUUGUUAACUACAAAAGUGUCACUUUUAGCCAUUGAAUGGUUGGGUGAAAAAAAAACAAUUUGAAAAUGUCAGUGGCCAAAUUGUAACUUUUUAAAUUAAAUGAGACAUAAUUGAGGGACUAAUAGUGUAAUUUAUCCUUUGCUUUAAAGAUAUGGAUUAGUUCACAUUUUUUUGGGUUAAUGUGUUAUUAAAAGAUUAAAAUCCAAAUAUCAUUUUUCUUCUUUUCUUUCCCGUGACUGGUUCCGCUUUUAUCGUCAGGCAUCUUUGGUUUUUUUCCUUUUUGCUUUUCUAGUGCUUUUCUUCUGAUCGGCGAUCACCGCCGCCGCCAGCACCACCACCACUUCUUCUUUUUUUUUUGGUGAAAUCUUCUUUUUCUUUUUCUUUCAAAAGCCAAUAGCAGUGUCAGAAGGAUCGGACACAUAUCAUGUGUCCUUACCCGCGUUGCGACAGAAUUUUUUUCAUAUGUUUGAAAGAUCAGCACAGGUAUUUAUGUUUAAUACGCAUCACAAAACCUUGAGUUAUUUCUGCAAGACCUAGAGAACAAAAAUGGUGAAACUUGAAGGUAGCUUAGAAGAACCCAAAAGCAAUAAACGAAAGCUAGACAAAAGGUAGCUUAGAAAUGCCUUCAUUUCUUCUAAUGCUGGGGAGAGUGCAUAUUUGCUGGGAAAAUCACCAAAGAGUUUAGUGGAGUAUUAAGCUUGUUGCUUAACGGUACUUCCAACAUUGGGUUGAGGGAGACCAAUUGUUUUGCAAACACAAUGGCUAUGGAUGGGAUGGAAAGGAGGGGUGCUCGUCCGGUUAACCGAUCCCGAAAUAGCUAUAAACUUUUCAAAAUUUUUAACUGUUAAUCGAAUCGAAAUUUUUUUUGGUUAAUUCAGUCGAUUAAUUGAAUUAACCAAAAAUUAUAUUUUUUUAUUUUUGGUUAAAAAAAUAUUCGAAUUAUCUAAAUUACCUGAAUUAACCGAACACAAAUUCAUGUACUACUUUCAGAAAACCUCAAUGUGCCUUGCACUUGCAUUACCCCAAAAAAGAAAUGGUAAAAUUAUAAUAGAGAAGAAGCCAAGAGGGGUUUAUUAUAUUUCUCAAAGAAGAAAAGAAUGAAAAAACAAAUAUUUAGAGUUUUCCAUUGGAGAAAGAUUGACCAAAACUGAAGGGGAAACAUGAUGCAGCUCCAAUCAGAAAGAUACGUUAAGGCAGGAAUGUACACUUAAAGACAUUGGCAGCAUUGAAAAAGAACAGUUUAGGCACCAGUCUUGGAGACUAAUGGAGUUCCUCUGUGCAAUUCCCAUUCGUGUGUUAACUAAGAAAAACAUAAAUAGCUUAGGCUAUCUUAUUCUAUGUUUGUAUCACACAAAUUCUCUUCUUUAUAUUAUUUGUUUCAGAGGGUACUUGUCUUCUUCCAUACCACCAGUGAUUUGAGGAACUCCAUAACCUUCAAAACCCUUAAUUGAAGAAUACAUAAAAUAUCUUCACAUACUUUGCUUUGUAGAAUACAUCUCAGAUUUCCCAUAAUUGAAGACAUGCAAGGUUUCAAGGAAAUAUCUCACUUAAUAUGUAUUCACACACACAUAAAUAUAUAUAAUGUUUUCUUAGAGAAAACUAAAAACUGGGUAGGCAUUGUUCACCCUUGUGUAAUCUAAGCUGAGAUGGAAAAAAGCUGUUCAAAUGAAAAGCAAGUUAUAAAAGAGAAGUAAGCUUAAAACACAGAGUUGAAAACAGUGUUCCAAGUUAAGUCCCAAGUACAUGAGCAGCUAAAAAUUUUGCACACCUCCAUUGGAAAGCUCAUGUACGCUUAAAGGUAGGUGAUUGUAAUAUACCGUUGGUGUCUUUAUUUUUUAUGUUUUAGAGUUGCGCUAAAAUGAUAAGAUAGAAACUUAAUUAAGGGUUAUUUAAACAGAGUGUAAUACUUUAAUAACUUUUUUUAAUAUAUUAACCAUUGGUAUUCAUCUAAUAAGAAAGAAAUGACAUUCAGUUGAAGCUCACAAUGAAAAAUGGUUGUGUCAGUCUAUAUGGCUACCACUUUUCUACUACUUUUAAUAAAGUUCAUAUUUAUUUCUAGACAAGCAUAUCUUAUACAUGUGCGGAGGAUAAGUUAUUGCUACCAAUUACUUCAUUUACUGCUCCAUUAAUUUUCCUAUUCAGAAAGCUCUACUAGAGCAGUGACUUGAUCAUUCCACCAUCUUCAAAUAUGUUUCCGCCACUCUAUAUCACUACCAAUUGGCCAUGCAGUUUCUUGAGCUGUAGCAGAUUCUUCCACUAUAAUUUCAUCAACUGAUUGGCUUGCCUGCAAAGCAAAUUAAACCUUCACUUAUUACUGUUUGCUUUUGAUGAUUGGUGAUGAGGAAAACAAAGCCAGUUUUCCAAAAUUGGACAAAGGAUGACAUAUUAAGAACAAGAAGUGUGAAUUGAAAAUAAUAAUGCGACAAUGAUAUCUAGAAAGAAAUAUUGACAGCCAACAGAAACCGAUUACAGUUGAUGCAAUUUCAUUUAGUCAUUUAAAGCAUUUAAAAAAAAAAUCUCUCAGGCAACCAAAAUAAAAAUAUUGCAUUAAUGCAUAGAAAUUAAAGCUUAGUAUUGGGCGAAUACAUAGAGAAAAUAAUUGAAUGGAUGAAUUUCUGUUUUAAAGCUUAUUGUUGAGUUUGGAAGAGUAGUGUACCUGUGUUUUGGCAUGCACUGAUUUCUCUGAAUCAACACUAAAUCUUGUGGUUAUGUUGGGACAACCUUCUACUCGUAAAUCCGUCAAAGAUGGGAAAACAAAAUGAUAACUCAUAGGGCCGAAGCUCACGAGGUUUGAUAGGUCAUCAAGCUGUAAGUAGGUUAAUCGAUAUAGGUGCAUCACUUUCUCUUCGUCCUUACUCACAUUUGACUCAUCUCCUUCAAACACCUGCUCUAAUUUGGAGACCCUUAUAAGGUAUAAUCGAUCUAGGUUUGGAAGGCCACCAUGAGCAAGAGUAAUGGGGAAGAGACAUUUCAAGUUUUCACAGUUCAUGAUUGUAAUCGAACUCAAAUUAAGGAAGCAAAUAGGUUGGAGAUGAUGUUGUGAUGGAGUUUGAUCCUUCUCAAUUAUUUGCUCCAAUUCCUCACAGGUAGAUAUAUACAGCCUCCACAAUUGUGGCAAAUUUCGAGCGAUGGUAGGUGAGAAGAUGCAUCUUAACCUUCUGCAAUCAUCGACUGUCAAUUGAGUGAGAUUUUGAAAGUGUUCAACUUGGAUGGGACCACUCCAUAUCACCCGCAAUUCAAUUAGUUCGGACAACGUUAGCCUCUCCAGACUUGAAAGAUUAUAUCUAGGAUAUUCAAAUAACUCUUCAAAAUUGGAAAUUGAUGUUCCUCCUCUCCUUUCAGGGACUGUCACGUUGCUUGUUUGCUUCUUUUCUGUCAUCUCCGAGAAGGACAAUUCCUAUAAACAUAUCAUCAAUUUAAAAAUAAGCACAAGAUUUCUUUUUCAAUCUUUUAUAGUCAAAGAAUUCAAUUUUUUAAAAAAGUUUACUGUUCAACUCAAAUAAUCAUAAAUUACAAAAAAAAUCUCCAAAAAUAUGGUGCAAAAACACAACAUAAAUAAUAAUAAUACGUAGUAGUAGAUAGUGUUUGCAAUAUAUAUAUAUAAGAACAAUUUAUUCUUUGCAAAUUAUAUAUAUUUCUCAUAUGGAUUAUAAAAGUAUUCAGUUGAAAUGUUGUUUAUGUUACUAAUUGGUAUUGUAAUUAACUAAACUACUUAAAAGGUUUAUUUAGAUUAGUUUUUAGACCAAAAUUCUAAAAUGAAAACUAUUUUUUAAUGAGUUAUACAAGCAUUCAUUUAUUUUAUAAAAGAAAAUCAACAGGUGAAAAUUUUAAUAAAUAAUAUAUAUAAGGUGGUCUUACUUGUAUAUUAGUUGGAACGAUAAAAGGUGUCAAUUGAGGACAAUCUCUCACUCUUAACACGUUUAAAGAUGAUGAUGUCAGCACGAUGUCGUUUCUAUCCCUUCCUUUCAAUUGAGGCAAAUUAAUUAACUCAACUUCAUUCAAUCGUUCAAGACCUUGAGACAUUGAGAUUAACAUGUCUGGUCUUUGGAUUAUUUCUUGCAAUUGGAAACAGCUCUCUAUCCUCAGAGUUUGCAAUUGCCCAAGACUAUUAGCAACACACAUUGGGAAGAGAAGCUUCAACUUAUUGCAUUCUGUGACUUGUACUUCCCUUAGGCAUUGGAAGCUUAUGGUUGGUACUUGUGAGUCUUGGAUUAUUUCUUCCAUUCCAAAGCAUCUCCUUAUCCACAAAGUUCGCAAAUUGGGCACAUUUAGGCUUUUAGAGCUACCUUGAGCAACAAUAAUUGGAAAGAGAGACUUCAAGCUUUCACAUUCCAAGAUAUCAAGUAGAAUCAGAUUUGGAAAGCAAACAGGUAGGGGAUGAUGUUGUGAUGCCGUUUGAUCUUGCUCCAAUUCCUCAUAUUUACAUGAAUGCAAAUUGCUCAAUUGUUCAUUUGUCAUCUUCCCAAUCACCAAUUCCUAUAAACAUAUCAUCAAUUUUCAAUUUCAAAAUGUUCAAACAUGUCAACAACUAACUUAACAUUUCAUCAAUUAAUUUCCUUAGAAAAAAUUUAUUUUACCUUAAAUCAAUAUUAUACUCCAAAAAUGUGGUACAAAAACAGUCAUAAAUAAUAUCACAUAAUCUGUACAUAUAAAUUAUUGGACAGGUGUAACAACGCAAUUGGGCAUUACUUAAACUCAUUUUCAUAUAUUAAUACAAAAAUAAAAAACCACCUGUGUAAAAGGCUAUGUUUAAAAAAAAUUUAAAUAUAUAUUUUUUCUAGUUUAUUUUUUAAUACAAAUUCUAAAAUCAUCCAUAAUCCCUUCCCACAUUUAAAUAGAAAGAUACACGUGCUUGAGUGCACUCGAACUCACAUCCUUCUAUUCAGACAACAAUAUCGAUACCAACCAAACUAAGACUUGUAUAUAAUUCUAUAUAGCUUAUUUUUGUUUACCAUAAUAUAAUUUAGUAUUAGAUAAAUAGUUUGCAACAUAUCUAAAACAUAAAGUUUGGAUAAUAUUUUUUUUUUGAAAAUUUUAUUAAUCUUAUUAUAUGGUAUUAUAAUCAACUAAUUUGUUUAAAAGGUUAUUUAGAUUAGUUUUAGACCAAAAUUAUAAAAUAAAAUAUAUCUUUUGAACAACUAUUCAAACAACGAAUUAUUAAAGAAAAAAAAGAAACAAAUAAAUAAAUAAUAUAAAACAAAAAGAAAUAUCUUACCUGAAUCGUAGUCGAAAUAAUAAAAUGUGUCAAUUGAGGACAAUUGUGCACUUUUAACUUCUGCAAAGACGAUUGUGUGAGCAAAAUGCCGUUCACAUCCAUUUUUUUCAAUUGAGGCAAGUCAAUUAACGAAACCUGAAAUGAAAAGCAUAAUCAAAUUUCCUAAUCUUUGACCAUGGGACAAUAAGGAAAAGAAAUGUCAAGUUAUUGCAGUGAGAUACACAUACUUCCCUUAGACUUUGGAGUAGACAUUUGUAUGCUACUUGUCGGUCUUGGAUUAUAUCUUCCAACUGCGAGCAGCUCUUUAUCUUCAAAGUAUGCAAUUGCCCAAGGCUAUUAGCAACUGACAUUGGGAAGAUAUAUUUCAAAUUAUUGCAUCUCUCUAUUUCAACAAUCUUCAGACUUUGGAGUAGACAUUUGUAUGCCACUUGUCGGUCUUGGAUUAUAUCUUCCAAUUGCGAGCAACUAUUUAUCUUCAAAGUAUGCAAUUGCCCAAGCCUAUUAGCUACUGACAUAGGGAAGAUAUAUUUCAAAUUAUUGCAUCUCUCUAUUUCAACAAUCUUCAGACUUUGGAGGCUUAAAUAACGACUGGGCCAUUCUUGUUCUAUGCUCCUCCAUUCAGCAAUUGGGAAUAACACUUGCAUCUCACCACAAUCUGAAACUAUAACCUCUUCAAGCUUUUGUAAUAAACCUUGCGGUUGGGGAGCAUUGCACAUCUCUUCCAAAUGAAACAUAUGACUUAAUGAUAACUUCCUCAAAUUAGAGAGUGCAGUGAUUGGCACUUGCUGCUUUGAUGCAUCAAUUAGGCAUUGCAUAGAGCGGCACCGUCGAAGAUCUAAAGAAGUCAACUUUCUAAAUCCCAAGUCCAAGCUCGGAAUAAGGUUUGGGUGACCCUCCACCUUAUUCAAUUGAAGAGAUUCAACAUCUUCAAGUAGUUGCUUGCAUGCAUCUACAGACUUAUUGAUUCUCAAAGAUCUUGAGAUUGGACAAGUUUCGCUCUUUUGGUAUCUUCCUAUGCCAAUGCAAAAAUCAAAGCUCCAUAAUCUACGAAACAUAAAUCCAUCUGGAAGAUGUUCAGAAGAAAUAUCCAAUGAUAUUACAACCAACUUUGGCAAUGAAUUCAACUCUGAUAGGCUGGAAUAGCUUUCCCUUUUAGUUGAAUUCUCAGUCGCCCAUUUUAAUGAGCUACAACCAUGCAAGUAUAGUUCUUCUAAAUUGGACAAUCUUCGUAUUAAAUUAGGAGUGAUUCUUCGUAGUUCAUAACAAUACGAUAAAUCCAACAGUCUUAGAUUUUCCAAAUCACCAGCUUCAGUCGGCAAUUCAGUGAUAUCAGAUCGACUUAAAGAAAGAAUAUGAAGUGUCUUCAGCUUCCCAAGCAUUGAGAUGUCAGAGAGUUUACAAUCAAUCAAAUACAAAGUCUGAAGGUUCAUAUGAAACUGAAAUGUAGACAGAGAUAUCAACAGAUGAUUCAAAGCACAAACUUGUAAUGCCUUCAUACCCUCAAAGAAUUCGCUUGAAGUUUCCAUUAAACGAUUGCCACCAUGUAAAAGAAGUUUGAGGUAUGGAAAACCCACUCCUUUAGGAAGUUCAUCCGUUUGAUCAGUUUCGAAGGAGAUUGCUGUGUAAUGCUUGAAACUUUCAUCCAUCGGGAGUGUUUCAACAGUCCCAAAAGAAAUCUCCUUUCUUGAAGAUGCUAUCCACAAAGCAAAUUGGCGAACCACGUCAUGCAUUUUGACAUGCCUUUCUCCGCAAUCUAGCAACAAACCGGAGUUCUUGAGGGUCUCAAUUGAUGCAAGCACUUCACUUCUAACAUCUUUAAUUGAGUCCAUGCCUUUAUACAACUCCAGUCCCCAUGCAUAUCCUACCAAGUUCUCCACAUAAAUCUCAUCGUCUUCAGGAAAUAAAGAGCACAACAAGAAACAUGUCUUGGUCACCAUAUUCUUCAAGUAGUCGAAGCUCGCCUCAAGACAUACAUAGGCAUUUUCUUCAUUAACAUCCUCAAUUUCAGUCAAUCUACGUUCUUUGAGUCUCCGGUAUGCAGCUUGCCACUCAUGAUGGGUUUUACCUUUCAAGGCACUGCCCAGCGGAGCUAUAGCUAUAGGCAAACCCUCGCAUUUUUUGACAAUUUGAUUUGCUAGGAUUUUAAUAGAAUCAUCAGAAAAGUCAUCUAGACCUGCUUUCUUUUCAAACAGAGUCCAAGCUUCAUCAUCAUUCAAACAGCCAAGUUGUACCACGUUUUGACAAUCCAUAGCUUGACAUACUUGUUGACGGCGUGUUGUUAAAAGAACUUUGCAGCCUUUAUGAUCAUCCCCAAUUGGAAUUCCUAUCUUCUCCUUUAAGUUGAUAGAUUCCCAAAUAUCAUCAAGGAUGAUAAGAAUCCUCGGUUCAUUCUUCAGCCGUAACCAUAAUUCUUGCUCGGAUCUUCUUCCUUGUUCAUUCUUCAUACCAAAGCCUAUGUAUUGUGCAAUUUGAUCUUGAAUUCUCUCAAGAUUUGGCUUUUGAGACACAGUCGUAAUCACAACUUUGUCGAACAAAUUCAGUUUUUGAGCCUGACUUCCAACUUCACGAGCCAGGGUGGUCUUGCCCACCCCUCCCAUCCCCCACAACCCAAUCAUGUUGAUAUUCUUAUCUUUUAAGGCUUCAAUGAUUUGAUAGAAUGCAGUCUCUGAAGAUUUCGAAAACACAAAUUCUUUAGAACAUAGGAAAUCUAUAGUGGGAAGGGCAGUAGGAGCAGGGUAACCGACUGGUCCAAGUUGACCAAAUUUGUCCAAAAGCUCAGAGAUAUCCUGGAUUUUCUUCAUUGCUUUCUUGCUUAAUUGAUAUCUCCAACUCCAAUUAGGGCACCAAUUGAGACACCUCUUAUUCAGUUGGAUUUCCUCAUCCAGAGGUCCCAUAUCAGACAGUGUUUCGUCUGCCCUUGAUUGCAAGUUCUGUACAUCAUCUUCAAUUAGUAGAAGCCGGUUUUUAGCUUCGUCAAUCUUAAGUAGUAGACGCUUUCGUGCAUCUGCAAGUUCACGCUUUUUCUCUCGGAGCUUUUCAACAUUGUCAUGAAAGCGACAGAUAUAAUCAAGUUGACGUCCUACCGGCUUCACCACAUAGUUCACAACCAGUGUUCCAACUGUGUUAGAAAGGGCAGCCUCGCAAAAUCCGCAACCCAUGCUUGACAAGCUCAAAUUGAAGAAUAUGAUGUUCCAAGUUCAAACACUGUAGUGAAUCAUAAGUAAUUACCUUUAAAAAAAAUUAAAGAAUCAAAAAGUGUUUUGAAGAUUAAGACACAACUUCAUAUCCAUACCAAGGAUGGUGAAAGACAACUCAACCUAUGAGAAUCAACGUGCUGUUCUUUCAACUCAGUCGAGCUGAAAACACAAGAGAAAUUUAAUAAACAAAUAAAAUCAAAUACGAGUGAAAUGUCAUAUAAUUAUAACUAAAAAAGACAGUUAAUUACUUAUAAAAAUAAGAAUUCAAAAUAUUGUUACCCUCACACUAAUAAUAUUAUAGAUAUAAUGGUGGAAAAAAUAAUAAACAUAUCCACUUACCAUUUCAAAAUCCAAACAGUCUUUUAGCUCUUACUUGCUUCAAGAAAAAUAUAGAACAACUUCAAUUUAUAUAUAAAAAACAGAAAUGAAGCAUAUAUAAAAGAUUUACCUCACUUGGGAACUUUUAAAAUCAAACUACACUUAGGGAUCAGAAGAUUCUCACUUCAAAACAAUCAAAAGGGAGGGAUUUGAAGGUUGGUUUUUUUUUUUAGCAGGAGUAAGUAAAACUGAGUUUAUCUGCCUGGAAAAUUCAACCGCUCGGAAAAUUUUACUAUUUCAGUAUGACCUCUGAAUCUCUACGAUGCUCCGCCACUAAAAACUAAAUUUUCUUGUAGACAAACAAAGACAUGACAGGAUAGGAGAAAACUUAACAAAAAGGUCGGACUCUUCGGGUCAUAUUUUUACCCUGGUUUGCUCUAUUAGAAAAGAGUUAAUUACAUCAACCAUCUCUAAAUUAUGACUACCAAUUUAAAUUGGUCCCCAAACUUCAAUUUAUUCUAAUUACAUCUCCAAAUUAUCAAUACUAUAUCAAUCAAGUCCUUUUGUUAUUACGAUCAUCAAAUGACACAUCAAAUCUUAUGCAGCUGAAUUUAAAAUGAAAAAUUUAAGGAAAUAGAAUCAUAUUACAUAAUUUUUAAAAUUAAAAACAAAAAUUAAGUAAAAUUGAAAUUAAAAAAAAUGAAUGAUAAAACUUUCAUAAAAACUUCCAAAACCUUAAAACUAGGGGUUUUUAAAACAUUUAUUUUUAAAAUAUUCAUUUUUUAAAAUUUUCAUUUUAAAUUAUUAUAUCACAUUAGAUGUAACAUGUCAUUUAAUAAUUAAACUGGGUAAAACGACAUCUGUAGUCUCUCUCUUAAUUUUGAUAUUAAGCAAAUUGGUCCCUUUAAAAAAUCAAAUCAAUUUCGUAAGCAAGCAACUAAUGCAUUCUAUUAAUUUGAUCAUGAUUUAACAAAUUUAACCCGCAAUAUUUUUGUAAAUCCAUAAAUGUUGAGACUAAAUUUGUUGAUUUUAUUUACAAGUAAGACCAAACUAAAAAAAAUGUAAAUACCAAUGGCUAAAUUUGUUAUUAUACCAAUCAAAACUAUGCAUAAUUGAUAAGGAUUUAGUUACUAAUUGUCUAAAUUGACAAGGAUUUAGUUACUAACAUUAAAUUGUUCCUUUUUUUUUAGGGAGACUUAUUUACUCAAAUUCAAAAUUGAAAGCGAUUGGAGAGAUUUUUUUACCAUCAAAUUAAUAAUCUUGGUAACAUUUUUUUUAAAAUGUUAAAAUUUCCAUUCCUCGAAAUUAACAAUAAAUAAGAAUAGGCUUUUCAAAAUUCAUAUUUUUUUUUAAAUACAGAAUUUUCAAUGUUGAAAUCAUGGAUUUGGCUAUGGAAACCCCUAUUAUUUCCUUAAUAAUAAUUUGUUAAAAUAUGUUUAUAAAUAUAAUUUUAAUAUAAAAUAUUUUCAUUCACCCGUGUGUGAUAAAAUCUAAUAGAUAUAGAAUUGAUUUCUCUAUUUUAUUUAAAUACAAGUAUUGCAUAGAAUUGACUAGAAAAGUAUAAAGGAAAGCAAGAGUUAGAUAUGAGAAGUUUCUAUUUCAAUUUAUCAAUUCAUAUUAGUUGAUAAAAUUAUAAAUUGGAAGGAUAUAUUUCAUUACACAAAUAAAUAUAAUUCUAAAGAUUAAAAUUAAUUUAUUUAAAUUUUAAAAAAAAAUUAAAACUAAAAACUACCCAAUAGUAAUUGUUGAGUUUUUAUCUCUACUAAAUUUGGUUAAUGGAGUUGAGAGUGACACCAUGACUCUAUGUCAUAUAUAGAUUAUAUAUAUAUAAUGUGUUUGACUAAGUUGGUGUCACGAGUCAGUUAGGCACUAACUCAACCGUAAAAUAAUUAAAAUAUCCUUACUCUAAAAAGUAAUUAAUAUUAUUUUAAUAUUAAUAUAAGGGUAUUUUCAACUUUUCAUACUUUUAUUUAAUAUUCAAAUAAAACAACUCAAAGAUAGUAUUUAAGAAUCAAACACAAAACUAACAAAUUCUAUGAAAAAUUCUUGCCACUUCCAUAAUAUAAUGUGUUGAAAUAUUUUUAUAAAUAUUUUUAAUAUAAAAUAUUUCCGUUUGUGAUAAAAUCUAAUAGAUAUAGAUAAUAUAGAAUUGGUUUUUCGAUUUUAUUUAAUAAAAUGAACUUUAUAGCUUUUAUUUCAUUUUGUUUGUUUUAUUUUUGUCAAAUCAUUUAAGUUAAUAAAAUUAUGAGCGAGAAAAACUAGAUUCAAUUAAAAAAAAAUUGAAAAAAAUUAAAUUUUAAGUUAAUUGAAUUGAUUUGAAUUUUACAAUUCAAUUUUGCUUUAAAAAAUUAAAUUUUAAGUUAAUUGAAUAGAUUGGUGUAAAUACCUCUUUAAUCCCUAUCAAUUUUCAAAAUGAGCAAAUUAGUUUCUUUCAACAAACAAAAAGAAUUAAAAUAAUUUUCAAAAAUUUAAAAUAUUUAUAAAAAUUCUAAUUUUUUAAUGAUUUUAAAAAAAUUCUAAAAUAAUAAUUUUGAGACCUAAAUAAGUUAUUAAUGAUUGAAGUUUAUUUAUUUUGCUUUUUUCAAAUUUAAGUGGUUUAACAUUUAAUUAGUUAUACGGUAACAAUAUUUUAAUUUGACAUGUUUAAUUUUUUAAUUUAACUCUAAUAAUUUUAUUCGAUUCUAAUUUUAUUUCAAUUAAUUCAAUUCGAAAAAAUUUCAAAUCGAAUUAGGAUGAUAAAAUAGGGGUGUCAACUCGAUUAAUUUAAAAUUUUUCGUCUCGAUUUGAUCCAACAUUCAUCCCUAAAUAAAAUCAUAUACAUGUGUGUAAUGUGAUAUAAUUAUAAAUAAAAAAAAGACAGAUACUUAGUUAUAAUAAUGAUGGAAACAUAUCCACUUACCACUUCAAUAAGAAGUUGUAACUCCAAGAAUUUGAUCGUCAAAAUAAAAAAUCCAAACACUCUUUUACCUCUGAUUUGCUUCAAGAAGAACAUAAAAAGAUGAGAUGAGAUGAGAUGAGAUCAAAUAUAAAACAAAUACAUAAACACAAAUAUAAAGAGAUUUACCUCACUUGGGUACUUCAAAAUCAAACUACACUCAGUGUUGAGAAGAUUCUUACUACUUCAGUACAAUCCAAAGGGAUUUGAAGGUUGGGGUUUUUUUUUUUUUUUGAGCAAAAGAGCUUGAAGAUUGAAGUAAAAUCAGGAGAAACCUUCACAAAGAAAUUGAAGUUGAUCUACCUUGAAAAUUCAACAAACCGGGUUUUCUUGAUUUAGUAGCCAAAGGAUUUGUGUCAUGAGAUUUCUGCGAUAUUGGGAUCUAAAUUAAUGACUGAUUGGUUUGCGAAAAAAACCAACAAGGCAUGUCAGUCGACUUAGGAAAAGGUGUGUCUUUGGGUUAUCUUUUUACUCGGCUUUCCACUUUUUUCACUUUGCCCUAAGGCAGACUUAAUAAUUAGCACCAUCUGAAAAGAGUUAAUUCCAUCAAGCAUCCCUCAACUAUUACCUUCAUUUUAAAUUGGUCCCUAAACUUCAGAUUAUUCUAAUUACAUCCUCAAUUUAUCAAUACUAUAUCAAUCGGGUCCUUUUGUUAUUACAAUAGUUAAAUGACACAUCAAAUCUUAUGCAGAUAAAUUUAAAAUGAAAAUUUUAAAGAAAUAAAAUCGUGUUGCAUAACUUUCAAAAUUAAAAACAAAAAUUAAGUAAAACUGAAAUUAAAAAAAACGAACGACAACUAUAAUAUUCAUUUUUAAAAUUUUUAUUUUAAAUUAUGUCACAUUAGACGAACACACCUCAGUUCAAAAAUUCCAACGUUGAAAUUAUAGAUUUGGACAUCUUCAAUAAAAUUGAGCUUUAAUAAAAGUUCAAAAUAUGUUAACUAUUAUUAUUUAGUUAUUAGUUAAUAUAUAUAAUAUAAAAUUAAUGCAUCACUUUUAAAAAUUCAAGUUACAGAAGAUUGAAAAUUGAGAAGCUUGCAGAGAUCGACAAGUGACUUUAUGACUGGUAAAGUCAAAAAAAAAUUUAGAAGAUUAAAAUUAAAUUAUAAUUUUUACAAUAAUAAAAAUAUGAUUUUAUCAUUUAAAUAAUUUAUAUUUUUAUAAAUUUUGAAAGAUUAAAUUGAAAUUUUUAUUAUUUUAAAAAUAAUAAAAUAUAUUUUUAUUUUUAUUAAUUUAAAAUUUUAAAAAUUUUAAAACAGCUAUAUUUAAAAUUUUUACUAUAUUUUUACUAGUUUAAGGAGAUUGCUGAGGUCCAAUCCAACAUUGGGUUAGUGGGGUGGGGGCAAUUGUUUUGCAAAGAUAAUGGCUAUCGGUGGGAUGGAAAGUUCACCUGUAUUUAAACUAUUCCCUCCGAAUUCACCUUUGCACAAAAUGUAAAUUAGCUUAAAAUUUAAAAUUAAUUUUAUUUUAAUAUUAAAAUUAAGGACUUUCAUAAGUUAAAAUUAUAAAAUAAGAGUUUAUUUAAUUACAAAAAUAAUUUAAAGACUUAUUUAAAUAAAGUAUAAUAAUAUAAGAGUAGUUGGAAUUGAUGUAGUAAGAAGGAAAUGACAUUCAAUUGAAUGCUUAUUCCAGAAUAUGUUGCUACCACUUUUGUACUGCUUUUAAUAAAGUUGAUAUUUAUUUCUAGACAAAGCAUAUAUUAUUCAUGUGCUGAAGGGUAAGACAUAUGCUGAAUAAAUUUCAGAUUAAUUACCUGAGUUCAUCUAUGCUUCACUUUGUUCUUUUCUUACAGCUCAAUAAAUUUGUCUUCUCUCACAAGAAAAAGAAAAAGUAGGUGGUAUGUUUUGAAUUAACUGCUUAAAUAGAACUGACUUUAUUUACUGCUCCAUUCAUUCUUCCUAUUCAGAAAUAUGUUUAAAUAUGUUUCAACCAAUGUAUGUCACUGCCAAUUGGCCAUGUAGUUUCUUGGGCUGUUGCAGAUUCCUCCACUAUAAUUUCAUCAACUAAUUGGCAUGGCUGCAAAACAAAUUAAACCUUGAUUUAUUACUGUUUGCUUCGGAUGAUUGAUGAUGAAGAAAGCAAAGAAACCUUCCCAAAACUGAAAAUAUUGUCAGCCAACAGAAAUCAAUUUUGUUUUAAAGCUUAUCAUUGAGUUUGGAAGAGUAGUGUACCUGUGUUUUGGCAUGCACUGAUGUAUUUGAAUCAAAACUAGAUCUUGUGGUUAUGUUGGGACAAUCUACUACUCGCAAAAUCAACAAUGAUUGGAAAACAAAAUGAUAACCUACAAGGCCGAAGCUCACGAGGUUUGGUAGCCCAUCAAGCUGUAAGUCGGUUAAUCGAGGUAGGUGUAUCACUUUCUCUUCCUCCUCACUCACAUUUGGCUCAUCUCCUUCAAACACCUGUUCUAAUUUGGAAACCUUUCCAAGGAUUAUAUUUUCUAGUUUUUGAAGGCCGCCAUGAGCAAGAGUAAUUGGGAAGAGACAUUUCAAAUUUUCACAGUUCCUGAUUGUAAUCCAAAUCACAUUAGGAAAGCAAACAGCUUGGAGAUGAUGUUGUGAUGAAUUUUGAUCCUUCUCGAUUAUUUGCUCCAAUUCCUUACAGUCAGAUAUAUCCAACCUCCACAAUUGUGGCAAAUUUCGAGCCAUGGUAAGUGGGAAGAUGUAUCUUAACAUUUUGCAAUCUUUGACAUCCAAUUCAGUGAGAUUUUGAUAGUUUCCAACUUGGAUGGGACCACUUCAUAUCACUCGCAAUUCAAUUAGUCUAGAUAAGUUUAAGAUCUUCAGACUUGAAAGAUUAUAUCCAAAAUAUUCAAACAGCUCUUCAAAAUUGGAAAUUGUUAAAUAUUCCAUACUAGUUGAUGUUCCUCCUCUCAUUUCAGGGACUAUCACGUUGCUUAUUUGCUUCUUUUCUGUCAUCUCCGAGAACUCCAAUACCUAUCAACAUAUCAUCAAUCAUCAAUUUCAAAGUGUUUAUAUAUUUUUUAAACCAAUAUUCUAAAAUGAAAACUAUCUUUUUAAGAGUUUUACAAGCAUUUACUUAUUUUAGACUACAAAUUAUGAAAAAGGUGAAAAAUUCAAUAAAUAAUAUAUAUAUAUAUAUAUAUAUAUAUAAGAAGGUCUUACUUGUAUAUUAGUUGAAAUAAUAAAAGGUGUCAAUUAAGUACAACCCAUCACUUUUAACUUGUGCAAAGAUGGGGAUGCGAGCACAAUAUCAUUUCUAUUCUCUCCUUUCAAUUGAGGAAAAUUAACCAACUCAACUUCAUUCGAUAGUGACAGACCUUGAGCCAUUAAGAUUGACACUUCUGGUCCUUGGAUUAUUUCUUGCAAUUGGGAACACCUCUCUGUCUUUAGAGUUUGCAAUUGUCCAAGACUAUUUCAAAUUAUUGCAGCCUGUAACUUCUACUUCCCUUAGGCAUUGAAAGCUUAUAUGUUUGAAACUUGUGGGUCUUGGAUUAUUUCUUUCAAUCCAAAGCACCUCUCCAUCUUCAGAGUUUGUAAUUGCCCAAGGUUGUUAGAAGCAGCUAUUGGAAAGAGAUAUUUCAAAUUAUUGCAUUCUGUGACUUGUACUUCCCUUAAGCAUUGAAAGCUUAUGAUUGAUAUUUGACUGUCUUGGAUUAUUUCUUCCAAUCCAGAGCACCUCUCUAUCUUUAGCGUUUGUAAAUUGGGCGCAUUUAGAAUUCUAGGGUCGCCAUGAGCAACAGUAAUUGGAAAGAGAGAUUUCAAGCUUUCACAUUCCAAGAUAACAAUUACAGUGAGAUUUGGGAAGCAAACAGGUUGGGGAUGAUGUGAUGACGUUUGAUUCUGCUCCAGUUCCUCAUAUUUACAUGUAUUGCUCAAUUGCUUAUAAGUCAUCCUCCCAAGCACCAAUUCCUGUAAACAUAUCAUCAAUUUUCAAUUUCAAAUGUUCAAAGAUGUUAACAACUUAUCAUUUUAUUAAUUAAUUUCUUUAUAUAAAUUUUAUUUUAACAAAAUUUUGCCUUAAAUCAAGAUAUAUAUACUCCAAAAAUAUGGUAAAAAUAAGACAUAAAGAAUAUCACAUAAUCUAAACAUAUAUAAAUUAUUUGACAGGUUUAACAACUCAAUUGGGAAUUUAUUUAAAAUUAUUUUUUUAUAAAUCAAUUAAUAAUAUUAUCACCUUAUUUAUGUCUUUAAUUUUUAAUAUAUAUUUAGAAAAAACCACCUAUGUAAAAAGCUACCUUUUUUAAAAAAAUUAAAUUAAAUAAAACUACCCAUAAUUAUUUUUCACUCUUAAAUAAGAAAAACUUAAAUAUAAUUUUUUAUAGUUUAUUUAAUAUUUGAUAAAGAAUUUGCAACAUAUCUAAGACAUAAAGUUUGCUUAAUAUUUUUUUAUUGAAAUUUUUUUUAUCUCAUUAAAUAGUACUAUACUAAACUAAGUUGCUUAAAAGAUUAUGUAGAUUAGUUUCAGAACAAAAUUAUAAAAUAAAAUUUAUCAUUUAAACAACUAUACAAUGGUUUGUUGAUUUCAGACAACGAAUUAUUAAAGGAAAAAAAAGAAAUAAUUUAAUAAAUAAAUGAUAUAUAACAAAAAUAAAUCUUACUUAUAUCUCAGUAAUAAUAAAAAGUGUCAAUUGAAGACAAUUGUUCACUUCUAACUUCCGCAAAGACAAUUAUGUUAACAUACUGUAGUUCACACCCCUUCCUCAAUUGAGGCAAAUCAAUCAAUAAAACUUGAAAUGAAAAGCACAAUCAAAUUUCUCAAUCUUUCACAUAGGACAAUAAGGAAAAGAGAUGUUAAGUUAUCGCAAUGAGAUACACAUACCUCCCCUAGACUUUGGAGUAGACAUAUGUAUGGCACUUGUAGGUCUUGGAUUACAUCUUCCAAUUGCGAACAACUCUUUAUUUUCAAAGUUUGCAAUUGCCCAAGGGUAUUAGUAGCAGAUAGUGGGAAGAGAUAUUUUAAAUUAUCACAUUUUUCAACCUUUACUUCCCUUAAACUUUGGAGGGUUAUGUAUGGCACUUGCGGGUCUUGGAUUAUGUUUUCCAAUUGAGAGCAACUCUUUAUCUUCAAAGUAUGCAAUUGUCCAAGACAAUUAGCAACAGAUAGUAGAAAGAGAUACUUUAAAUUAUCGCAUUUUUUAACAUUUACUUCCCAUAAACUUCGGAGGCUUACGUAUGGCACUUGUAGACCUAGGAUUAUGUCUUCCAAUUGCGAGCAACUCUUUAUCUCCAAGUAUGCUGUCUAAGACCAUUAUCAAUAGACAGACGAAAAAGAUACUUUAAAUUAUCACAUUUUUCAACUUUUACUUCCUUUAAACUUUGGAGUCUCAUGUUCGGCAUUUAAACAUGUAAAUAUUAAGACUAUUUUUUAUUUUAUUUUUUAGAAUCAAGACCAAACUAACAAAAUUACAAUUUAAUCAUAGAUAUUUUCAAAAUUUUUUGUUGAAGAUAUAUUUUACUAAUUCAUAGAUAUACAAACUAAAAAUAUAGUCCCGCCUGAAAAUCAGUAAAUCUUGAUUAAUAUAUUUUAUUAAUUCAUAUAUCUUCAAAAAUCAUGGAUUUCAAUUUAAUCAUAGAUAUCUUCAUCUAUUCUUUGGUUGUGGCCCAAGUAAAUGGAAAGUAUACCCACUUACCCCUUCAAAAUGAAGUAAUGAUUCCAAGAAUUUGAGUGUAGAUAAGAAAAUUAUAUAUAAAAAUCACAAUUAAACUUGGCGGUUGGUUUGCCAAUGGCCCCAUGCAUUUGUUUUGCAAUUAAAGACUUGACACGACAAGAGACGAGACGACCGAGCAAAGAGUGAAAGUCUUUGGGUCAGCUUUCACUUUUUCACCGUUACAAAAUAAUACAUCUAUGUUUUUCAUAUUUGUUUCAUUUGAAGUGUCUUUCAAGAAAAUAUGUUUCUUUUGUUCUCAUUUUUCAUUUGCUAUCAGAAAUGAAGAUGAGUUUUCUUUAUUCAAAGUGAAUUUUCUAUUAUUUUACAAAUUCUAGAGAUAAAUUUCCAAUGUUUAUGUUAUAUAACAAGUUUUUCUCCUUCAAAAUUAAAAAUGAAUAAGAAUAUGCUUUUAUGAAAUUUCAUACCAAAUCACGGAUUUGAGGUUCAAAGGAAAUAUGAAGAACUUCAGCAGCAACUUAAAGCAGAGGCGGCAGUGAGGGAAGCAGAUGCCGCAGCGAGAGAAGCAGCGAUAGAAGCAGAGGUUCAAAAGAAAUAUGAAGAACUACAGCUACGACUUCAAAAAGAUGCGGCAUCGAGAGAAGCAGAGCAGAGCAAAAAGUACGACGAACUUCAACAGCAGCUUCAGAUUAUGAUGAAGAUGUUUCAGCAGUCGCAACUUCCGCCGUCAUAGUGUAUGUUGCAUAAAUACUUUUAACGCUUUUGUAAAGAAAAGUAUGAAUUCACUUUUAUUUAUCAAUUAAUAUUAUUUUAGUCAUUUAAUUUGAAAUAUUAUAUAAAUUUAUUGUUUUUGGUUAGUUUAGAUCUGGUUGCUUUUGAUUUGUUGUUGCAGGAGGGCUGAAAAAAAAUUAUUUUAAAAAAUCCCAAAAUUAGUGGCAUUUUUUAAAAAAGUGCCGCUAAAAGUCAUAUCAAAAUAGUGGCGUUUGUGAAAUAAGCGCUGCUAAAGAACACUACUUUUAGCGGCGUUUUUAAACAAGCGCCGCUAUAGAACAUUACUUUUAGAGGCGUUUUCUUCCAAAGCGCCGCUAAAGAAUGUGAUCUUUAGCGGCGUUUUCUUCCAAAGCGCCUCUAAAGAACAUGAUCUUUAGCGGCGUUUUUUUUCUAAGCGCCGCUAAAGAACAUGAUCUUUAGCGGCGCUUUUUUCUAAGCGACGCUAAAGAGCAUGAUCUUUAGCGGUAUUUUUUUAUGUAAGCGCCGCAAAAGUUAGCGACGUUGUCGUUAGCGGCAUUUUUUGUGGCGCUUCUUCAAGCACCGGAAAUGGAGUUAGUGGCGUUAAAAAGCGCCGCUAAAGACCUAAAAAAUGCCGCUAAAAACCUAUUCUGCUGUAGUGUAGGAGGAAUCCAGCUCAUCAAUAAAGAUCAUAUAAAUUGAAGAAACUUAUUUAGAAGAUUGGAUCGGGUUGGAUUGGAUCGCUUAUAUCAAAUCCUAUGGAUAAAGGAAGUUGGAUCGGAUCGAAAAAGUGAAGAGUUAGCUGCCAACCGUCAAUGUUUAUUGUGGUUGUUAAUAUUAUAUUGUAUUUAGCUAUUUUAAUUGUUGUUUAGUAAGGAUUGUGAUAGAUUUUCAUUAUGUUAGCAAGUCUUGAAAUCUCUAUGUAAUUAAGAGAGUUGUAUAGGUUGAUGCACAAAUUAUUAAGAGCAUUUAUAUGUUCAAGUAAGGAACGUUAUUUUGCAAGAGUGCAUUUGUGAUUGUAAAAUUCUGUAUUGUGGUUUUGCAAACUAAGUUAUCUGAGGGAGAAUUUAGUGGUGAGUGAUCUAGUCUUCGAAGGUAUAAGAGUGAGAAAUCAUCAUUGAGGUGUGAUACAUUUAGGUUCACUGGUUGUAAUUGUUUAAAUAUAGUGAUUCUUCUCACUGAGCAAGACUUCACAAAUGUAUGGAAACUGAACUACAUAAAUAAACAUUAAGGUUUCCUAUUUUGUUUUUGCUUAUCAUAGUGCUUGCAGAAGUACACACUUUUGUAGGCACUAAUGCUCAUACUUUGCUUGUUGCUUAGCAACUGUUUUAGAUUAACAAAAAAUCAUUUAAAUGAAUUAAAUUUUAUUAAUGGAGUUUGAAAAAGAAUAUUUUUUGGUAUAUUUUGUAUUUUUUUUUUACUAAAAGAAUGGGAUCAAAGUCAAUUUCACAAGUCUUAGUGAGAUUAGUUUGAAAGAAGUUCUUCAACAGCAUGGAACUAGUCUUGAAGGUAUUACUAAUUUGGUCCUAUUUUGUUUUAAAUUUGUUAUUGGAUUCUAUUGAAUAAUCUUUUUCUUUUUUAUGUCUCAAUAUCGAACAAUUUUGAGCUUUACUGCCAUAUAAUAUUAAGUUUUCUUGUAUGAACUUUAGUUUCUAAUCACAUUUAAACUUUGUGCAAAAUGAAUAUUAUAUUAAGAGAUUGAAAUUGAUGUAUUUUUUUAUCCAUUUUCAUGAUUUAUGGCAAUGUUGAAUAUUUUGUUGUUGCAGAAAUCAUAAUUUUUAUAUAGAAUUUUCUAUUUUUUAAAAUAAUAUUGAGUUUUUAAAAUUAAUUUUAUAUAGAAUUAGGGUUAAAUGGAGAGAAAGUAUAAAAGCUAAGGGUUAAAAUUGUCAUUAUACUAACUAAAAAAGUGUGGUUGUUAGCUAUUUAAUAGUUGGGUGAAAAAAACAACUUCAAAAACAUUAGUGGCUAAAUUGUAACUCUUUUAAUUAAAUGACACAUAAUUGAGGGAUUAAUAGUGUAUUUUACCCUUAUCUUUUUUAAACAUAUGGAUUAAUUCACAUUUAUUUGGAAUGUGUUAUUAAUUCACAUAUGGAUUUAACUAGUGGUAGAGCUAGAAAAUAUUUUGGGGGCCAAAAUUAAAUUGUAUAUUUUUAUGAUAGCAAGAAUGUAAUUUCACCAUUUUAAUAGUCCAUAUCUUUAUAAUUUUUAAAGGAUUAAAUCAAAUUUUUUUAUCAUUUUUGGGAUUAAAGUGUAAUUUUACUAUUAUUAAUUUUAAAUUUAAUAAAUUAUAAAGGACCUAAGUGAAAAUUUUCCCAUUAAUCAACACCCUUGGCGUGUCGGAUUUUUUUUAUAUGGUUGAAAUAUCAUCACAUGUAUUUAUGUUUGAAUACACAUCACAAAACCUUUAGUUGUUUCGGCAUGACCAACUGGAAAAAAAAUGGAGAAACAUGAAGGUAGCUUAGAAGAAUCCAAAAGCAAUAAACGAAAGCUAGACAAAAGGUUGAAAUCAUCAUUAACCAAGCCUUUACUUUUUCUAACGCCGGGAAGAGUUUAUAUUCGUUGAGAAAAUCGGCAAAGACUUUGUUAUCUUUUGGAAGGACUUGUAAAGAAACAAUAUUUUAUAUUUACGUCUGUAAUGUUUUUCAUAUUAACAUUAUUGAUGUUUCUAAAUUUACCUUCUGUAAUGUUAGAACCAGUUGAGAGUCGUCAGAUUCUGAAGAGGAAUCAAAUUUUAGUCAUCAGCAUAGGAUGGAUGUUGCGGAAAGGAUCGAUUCGAGAACUCCGAUAUGACUACAAGUAAAUUGACCGAAACGAAAAAUAAAGUGAACACAAGGAUUUACGUGGUUCGGCUUUAAUGCCUACGUCCACGGGCAGAGGCGAAAAGAAAUUUCACUAUAACAAGAUGAAGAUUACAAGUGUUUUACACUCAAGACACAACCCGAGAACCUCACAACUCUCAACCCCUAUAGAAAACCCGAAAGCUAAAAUCCUAGCUUUCAAAGAACAAGCUUUGCUCUCUCUUGGUUUGGGAUGAUCAAUAUGGCUAAUGAACCUCUCUAUUUAUAAGAGAGUUCAAGGACAUAAUUGUCCAAAACUUUGGCAAAGAUUUGUGGUUGAAAAUGGACACCAACAACCAUCCACUAAUCCACUACCACCAACAACCCACUACCAACAACAACAAUCCACUACCAAUUUUAAGCCAUUUCUUAACAAAUCUCCACCUUGGCUUGAAAUUUACCAAGCUGAACAUCAUAGUGAAUUCCUCGAACUGGAUCACCUCUUCCAAACGCCUCUCUGGCGCUAAUCAAUCCCGAAUACCUAUCAAGUCCAAGCAAUGCUUGAACUUAUAUGCAGGGAUCACCUUAGUUAACAUAUCUGCAGGAUUCUUCUCGGUAGCAACCUUGCUGAUAACAAUGUCACCUUGCGUAACAUGUUCCCGAACAAAAUGAUAUCUGACAUCAAUGUGUUUGGUCCGUUCAUGAAACAUCUGAUUUUUAGUCAGAUGUAUGGCACUCUGGCUAUCGCAAAAUACAACAGUGAAAUCCUGUUGUAAACCCAAACUGCUUACUAGACCUUUCAUCCACAAUGCUUCUUUCACUGCUUCUGCUAACGCCAUAUAUUCCGCCUCAGUCGUAGAUAAGGCUACGGUAGACUGUAACACAGCUUUCCAACUAAUGGCUCCUCCAGAAUAAGUGAAAACAUAACCCGUCAGAGAUCUUCUUUUGUCCAGAUCUCCAGCAUAAUCAGAGUCCACAUAGCCCGUGACACUGCUAGUGCAGUCACUCUGAUCAUAUACCAAGCAUAAAUCUGCAGAACCUCUCAAGUACCUGAGAAUCCAUUUCACGGCCUGCCAGUGUUCCUUGCCAGGACAACUCAUGUAUCUGCUGACCACACUAACUGCAUGUGAAAUGUCUGGACGAGUGCAAACCAUUGCAUACAUCACGCUUCCAACUGCACUCGAGUAUGGAAUGUGAGACAUUUGCUGCUUUUCUUCAUCAGAUUGUGGUGACAACUCUGCAGAGAGUUUGAAAUGUGGUGCCAACGGAGUACUCACAGUUUUCGCUUUAUCCAUGCCGAAGCGUUGAAGAACCUUUUCAAUGUAGUUCUUCUGCGACACACGAAGCUUGCCCGCCUUGCGAUCUCUGUGAAUAUCCAUGCCCAAAAUUUUCUUGGCAGCACCCAGAUCCUUCAUCUCGAACUCACCACUCAACUGCGACUUUAACUUGUUGAUUUCCGACAUGUUUUUGGAAGCAAUUAACAUGUCAUCAACAUACAGCAACAAAUAAAUGUGCGAACCAUCUGAGAGCUUCCGAUGAUAGACACAAGCAUCAUAGUCACAUCUUGUGUAACCAUGCUGAAUCAUGAAGCUAUCAAACCGCUUGUACCACUGCCUUGGGGAUUGUUUCAAUCCAUAUAAAGACUUCUUUAAUAGACAGACAUGGUCUUCUUUACCAGGAACUGUAAAACCCUCUGGUUGGCGCAUGUAGAUUGUUUCCUCGAGCUCACCAUGCAAGAACGCUGUUUUUACGUCAAGCUGCUCAAGUUCUAGAUCAGACUUGGCCACCAUGGCAAGUAAUACACGAAUGGAAGAAUGCUUUACGACUGGGGAGAAAACUUCAUUGUAGUCAAUCCCCUCUUUCUGAGUGAAGCCUUUAGCAACCAAUCGUGCCUUGAAUCUAGUUGCUUCAACCCCUAGGAUGCCUUCCUUUUUCUUGAAGACCCAUUUGCAACCAACUAUCUUCUGGUUACUUGGCGGCUUAACCAACUCCCAAGUAUGGUUCUUGUGAAGAGAUUCUAUCUCCUCACUCAUAGCAAUUGCCCACUGUGCCGACUCAUCACACGUGACAGCCUCAUUAUAACUGGAAGGUUCUAUACCAAUGGACUCCGCCACACUGAGCGCGAAAGACACCAGAUUAGCGUAACGCGGAUUUGGUUUGAUUUGUCUCUUCGUUCUUCCAGUGGCAAUGCUAUAUGGUUUUUCUUGAGGUGACUCAUCUUCAUCGGAAUCUUGCACCUCAACUUGAUCAUCCUGGACUGAAGUACCUUCCGUAGGAAUUGGAGCGUCCACCUGACACUCCACCUGCUUCUCAACACCGUGAUCUCCCAUUCUAUCUGACUCCUCCUUUUCCCGGGAAUUUGUGGUGGAUCGAAGCAUGGAUGACUCAUCAAAAGUCACAUCUCUGCUGAUGAUGAACUUGGACGAAACCGGAUCAGGACACCACAACCUGUAUCCUUUCACCCCUUGGCCGUAUCCAAGAAAUAUGCAUUUCUUCGCCCUCGGUUUGAGUUUUCCCUCAUUUACAUGAGCAUACGCAGGGCAGCCAAACACUCUUAAACCAGAGUAAUCAGCAGGAGAACCAGACCAUACUUCCUCAGGAGUCUUCAGCUCAAUAGCUGUUGACGGAGAUCUGUUAACCAAAUAACAAGCAGUAUUAACAGCUUCAGCCCAAAAUUCUUCACCGAGCCCAGCAUUUGAUCGCAUGCAACGAGCUCGCUCCAAGAGAGUUCUAUUCAUGCGUUCUGCAACUCCAUUUUGUUGUGGUGUUCGACGAACAGUGCGGUGUCUCACUAUUCCUUCAUUUUUGCAGAACUCAUUGAAUUCACCUGAGCAAAACUCCAAGCCAUUAUCCGUCCGGAAUCGCUUGAUCUUCUUUCCUGUUUGAUUUUCGAUCAAAGCUUUAAAUUGCUUGAAGUUGAUGAGAACCUCAUACUUGCUCUUCAGAAAAUACACCCAAACCUUUCUCGAGUAAUCAUCGAUAAAGGUAAGCAGAUAUCUGUAACCACCUUUAGAAAUUGUCGGAGAAGGCCCCCAAAGGUCAGAAUGGAAGUAAUCCACUGUGCCUUUUGUCUUGUGAAUCCCAGUGCUGAACUUUACCCGAGUCUGCUUACCGAAGACGCAGUGCUCACAGAAAUUCAACUUUCCUGUACACUGCCCAGACAAUAAUCCUCGUUUGCUUAGCACCGAUAAGCCUCUCUCGCUCAUAUGCCCGAGCCGCAUAUGCCAUAACUUCGUGGUGUCAGAAUCUAGAUCAUCUGAUGAUGACACUCCCGCAACACCUGUAACCGAGGAACCAUCGAGGAAGUAAAGGCCCCGCUCCAAAUUACCACGUAUCACAGUCAAAGCACCCGAGAAUACCUUGAGAACUCCACCUUCAGCAGAGUACCGAAAGCCUUUCUUGUCCAACGUACUCAAAGAGAUCAAAUUUUUCUUCAUUUCUGGAAUGUGCCGAACAUCAGUUAGAGUUCUAACAAUACCGUCAAACAUCUUUAUACGAACUGUGCCAAUCCCCAUGACUUGACAUGCGUGGUCAUUUCCCAUUAGUACUGAACCAGAAUGCUUCUCGUAUGUUGAGAAUGCAUCUUUCGAAGUACUUAUAUGAAAUGUAGCUCCCGUAUCAAGAAUCCAUCUCCCACCAGCGUAAGAGUCGGAUACUGCAAGAACGAUCUCGGCAUCACUUGAAGAAUCUGCAUCAGCUACAUUCGCACGAUCAUUUUGUUGCUCCUGUGAUUCUGAUUUCUCCUUCCUUUUCGGACAAUCUACCUUCAUGUGCCCGUACUUCUUACAGUAGUAGCACUGUAUUCUCUUCUUGGACUGCGAUCUAGGAUGGCUUUUACUUGAACUUCCACCCUUUGCCUUGGAUCUUCCUCGAGCAACCAAGCCUUCGCCUUCAUUGUUUUCGACCACCUUACCAGUGAUUUUCUUCCUCAACUCACUGGAACUUAAGGCAUUUUUCACCUCCUCUAGAGUCAGGUCAUCACGACCGUACAUCAUUGUAUCAACAAAAUUCUCAUACGAGGGAGGCAAAGAACACAAAACAAUUAUUGCUUGGUCCUCAUCAUCGAUUUUGUUAUCGAUAUUAUUCAAAUCCAUGAUAAUGGAAUUGAAUUUAUCCAGGUGCUGGGAAACAGGUGUACCUUCCUCCAUCUUCAGGGCAUAGAGUCUUUGCUUGAGGUAGAGCCGGUUCGUCAAUGACUUCGUCAUGUACUUGCUCUCUAACCGGAGCCACAAACCGGACGCGGUUUUCUCAUCCGCUACUUCUCGUAGCACUUCAUCUCCUAGACAUAGCAGAAUAGCACUAUGUGCUCUUUCUAGCAUGUCAUCCUUUUGCUCUUCCGAAAGCGUGCUUGGUAAUUUAUCUUUACCAGACAAUGCUUUUAGCAAUCCUUGUUGAACCAGCACUGCCCGCAUCUUGAUGCGCCAUAAACUGAAACUAUUUUUCCCGGUAAAUUUCUCGACAUCAUACUUAGUCGAUGAAACACUUGUAGCCAUAAUUUGGAACCUUUGAAUGAAUGAUAAUAUUUUCUUCCUGAUGUGAAAGAUCAGACAAAGCUGCAGUCACAGGGCAAUUCAGAAAAUAUUAUCACUCCUUCAACUACGCUCUGAUACCAAUUUGUUGCGGAAAGGAUCGAUUCGAGAACUCCGAUAUGACUACAAGUAAAUUGACCGAAACGAAAAAUAAAGUGAACACAAGGAUUUACGUGGUUCGGCUUUAAUGCCUACGUCCACGGGCAGAGGCGAAAAGAAAUUUCACUAUAACAAGAUGAAGAUUACAAGUGUUUUACACUCAAGACACAACCCGAGAACCUCACAACUCUCAACCCCUAUAGAAAACCCGAAAGCUAAAAUCCUAGCUUUCAAAGAACAAGCUUUGCUCUCUCUUGGUUUGGGAUGAUCAAUAUGGCUAAUGAACCUCUCUAUUUAUAAGAGAGUUCAAGGACAUAAUUGUCCAAAACUUUGGCAAAGAUUUGUGGUUGAAAAUGGACACCAACAACCAUCCACUAAUCCACUACCACCAACAACCCACUACCAACAACAACAAUCCACUACCAAUUUUAAGCCAUUUCUUAACAAUGGAAGAUGAGAAGUUGCUGUCGGCGGUGUUGGGAGAGCAAAGGAGAAGGUAAGAAGGCUGCAACUCAAGAGGAUGAAGGGAAAUCAGAAAUUGGUAGAUGACAGAAUUGUGAAUAAGACUCUCAGAUUCUGGGUCCAACUUAUGCAAUAAUUCUAUGAUCUGGGAAGCGUGUAGAGAUCGACAAAUGUGUUUGCGGUGAUUGCUGCCGUCCUCUCCAACAAGGAGCCAGUUGUUUUGCAGACACAAUGGCUAUGGAUGGGAUGGAAAGUCUAUGGUUAAAUCCCCUUAAAUUCACGUCAGUAUAAAAUAACAUGUAAAUUAAUUGCAAAAAAAAAUUUAAAAACUUGUUUAAACAAAGUGUAAUAAUUUGACGGAAUUUUUAAUAUAUUAGCCAAAGAAAUUCAUCUAAGAAAUGAGAUUCAAUUGAAGUUAACAAUGAAGAAUGCUUAAGAAAUGAGAUUCAAUUGAAGUUAAGAAUGAAGAAUGCUUUCAAUGUGCCCAACAUUAGACCAAGACAAAUAAUUGUAAGUUUUGUCAAAAAUCUUAGUUUUCUUUUUUAAUCUUUGAUUAAUGAGCAGAAUUCACAUUCUUUGUUUUUUCUUAUAGCUCAAUAAAUCUUUCUUCGCUCACAAGAAAAACAAAAAGUAAGUGGUACAUAAUAACGAAUAAAUGGCAUUCAAUUUAAACAUUCACAAUGAUUAAUCUUCAAUUGAAAAAUCACUAUCUUUAAUUCAACAUGUCUUUCAUCUUCCACCAUUUUAUAUCACUACCAAUUGGCCAUGCAGUUUCUUGAGCUGUAGCAGGUUCUUCCACUAUAAUUUCAUCAACUGAUUGGCUUGCCUGCAAAGCAAAUUAAACCUUCACUUGUUACUGUUUGCUUUUGAUGAUUGAUGAUGAAGAAAGCAAAGCCAGUUUUCCAAAAUUGGACAAAGGAUGACAUAUUAAGAACAAGAACUGUGAAUUGAAAAUAAUAAUGCAACAAUGAUAUCUAGAAAGAAAUAUUGACAGCCACUUGAUGCAAACCGAUUACAGUUGAUGCAAUUUCAUUUAGUCAUUUAAAGCAUAUAAAAAAAAAAGAAGAAUGAAUUUCUCUCAGGCAGCCAAAAUAAAAAUAUUGCAUUAAUGCAUAGAAAUUAAAGCUUAGUAUUGGGAGAAUACAUAGAGAAAAUAAUUGAAUGGAUGAAUUUCUGUUUUAAAGCUUAUUGUUGAGUUUGGAAGAGUAGUGUACCUGUGUUUUGGCAUGCACUGAUUCCUCUGAAUCAACACUAAAUCUUGUGGUUAUGUUGGGACAACCUUUUACUUUUAAAUCCGUCGAAGAUGGGAAAACAAAAUGAUAACCCACAGGGCCGAAGCUUACGAGGUUUGGUAGGUAUAAUAUUAUGUAUUGUGCAAUUUUAGCCUUGAAAAGCAAACGCACAGCAUGCAUCCUUUGGAGGGGCAAUGAGUUUAUCUUGGUGAGAUUAAAAUCAAUAGUGAGAUAUUUAUUUAAAUAUAAAUGUUGUGGUGAGAAGAGAUUAAAAUAAAAAAUAAUCAUUAUAGAUAUUAAUUUAUAAUGUAUUUAUAAUACAAUAAAUAAUUAAAGUUAUAUUUAUUUUUGACCAAUCAAAACACUCAUUCUUUUGCCUUCUCCUUCUUUAAAACAGCUCUAGUGAAAAAUCACAAUUUUAGUGCAAUAGAAUGCCUCAACUGAAUCAAAUCACAGACGAGAAAUCUAACCUCAUCGGAGCUAAAUGGGAUCUAAAGGGAUCCUUAAUUAAAAGCAUAUUGCAGUCAAACCACGAGGUGUGGCAUGUUGAUUACACACCUCGUCCCUUAAUCAUGUGGUUGAGGAGUUUAAUCUCCACUCAUGGAAAAAGAACACAUUUCAUGGUUAACCGUUUCAUCUUUUCGGAGAACACCCGCUGCAGGGGGAUUAAUCACUUUUAUUGAUGUUGGAAUACCUCGGUUUAAAAAAAAAAACAUAAUGAUUUAUUUAACUUGCAUUAUUUGUCAAAUUAUCCCAAAAUGAAUGGAAAAAUUAACUUUUGUUAAAUUUACUGACGUGGCAUCAUGUGUAUGUUAUGUUAGCAAUUUAAUUUUUAAAAAUUAAAAAAUAUUUUUAUAAUUUUUUAUAUAAUUAUUAAUACUUUUAGUAGCUUUUUAUUUUAAAAAUAAAAUUUAUAAUUUUUAUUAAUUUUUAAAAAUUUUAAAAAUUAUUUAUUUAUUUAUGUGGCAUACACGUAGCAAUCAUCAUUUUAAAAUUUUUAAAUAUUUAAUAAUAUUUUAAAUGAUGGUUUUUUAAAGGAAAUGAUAGUUUUCAAAAUUGUCAUUUUAAUUUAUAAUUUAUAAAUAUAUUUUUAAAAUAUAACCAUGAAUAUGUUCUUAAAGUAAUGCAUCUUGAAAAGUGGACAAAAAUAGGAGUUUUGAUUAAUUUCCUUAUUUUUGCAUGAAUAAAAAGUCCUACGGUAUAUUUAUGAAAAAAGAGUGAGUGGUUGAGAUUAUAUCUAAUUAUGGGUUAGUUCGAUAUAAAAUUUUAGAUUUAUUUUUUUAUUCAGUUUUAAAAUUCUUUUUAAGUCCCUCUCAGACUAAAAAUAUUUAACUCGAGUCCAAUCCACCAGUAUUAAUUUUUUUAGAUUAAUUUUUAUAUAAAAAGUUUUAAAAAUAUAGUACAUCAAAUCCAUUAAAAACAUUAAAAUAAAUAUUUCCUAACAAAUUAAAAAUACAUUUAAAAAAGGCUUUAUACUUAAAUAACGAAAUGUUAUCUGUAAAUUAAUUUUUCAUACCAAAUAUUUCAACUAAUUUAAAUUCUUAAAAAAUUAUUGAUUGAUUCUUCGUUCAAUUGACAUGGGUAUUGUUAUGAGGACAUGGUUUCAAGUGUGUUGAAGCGCAUUAUCCUCCUGUUUAUAAAUUGGAAAAAGGCUAUAAAUAAUUUUAGACAUUACGUAAAAAAAAAAGAACAAAUAUAAAUUAAAAUUGUUAAAAGAAGUUCUUAAAAAAUUGAAACUUUCCACCAUAUCAAUCCACUCCAAAACUUGUAUCUUAACAUCUAUAGUCUGAUCUCUUAUUAUAAAAUUACAGCCUCGUUCUUAUCAAAAAUAAAAUCUUCAAAAAGAAUGUACCUGUGGAAGAAAAAAUUAAAAUGUUUAAAACAUUGUUGUACUGCAAUUGGUGGGUCAAACUGAGGCUCUGCGGCUGUUCAUACCAUGCCAAACUUCAUAUUUCCACCACUUAUUUUAAAAAGAAGGUUUAAUUUUGUCUUCAGUCCCUCUACUCUUCAAACUCUUAAAAUUUAGUACAUUUACUUUUAUUUUUAGAAAUUCAUUUUUUUCACUUGUUUAAUUUGAAAUUUUAAAUUGAAUUGAUAAAUUUUUAUUAAAUUUAAAUAUGUUUCAUUUGAAUAUUUAAAAGUGGAAAUUCAAUUGAUGACACAUAUUUAAAUUUAAUAAUAUAUAGUUAACAUCGUUAUCAAUUAAUUUUUAACUUUUAAAUCAAAUAAAUUUCUAAAAUAAAGUCGCGAAAAUGAGGAAAAAGAUUUGAAACCACAAUAUAUAUAUAUAUAAACCUAUAUAUUAAGGUGGAAUCUGGGAUGUAUUAGAUUGAAGUGGAAGUACACACAAAUUGCAUGUGCAAAAGCAUGGUCGGUUUAUAGUGUUCUAAGUAACCGACACUAGUGGUAGUCGUCGGCGAUCUCUCUCAACAUGCAUUGAAUUUAACAAAAGCUACGUGUAUGCCACAUAAAUAAAUAAAUAAUUUUUAAAAUUUUUAAAAAUUAAUAAAAAUUAUAAAUUUUAUUUUUAAAAUAAAAAGCUACUAAAAGUAUUAAUAAUUAUAUAAAAAAUUAUAAAAAUAUUUUUUAAUUUUUAAAAAUUAAAUUGCUAACAUAACAUACACAUGAUGCCACGUCAGUAAAUUUAACAAAAGUUAAUUUUUCCAUUCAUUUUGGGAUAAUUUGACAAAUAAUGCAAGUUAAAUAAAUCAUUAUGUUUUUUUUUUUAAACCGAGGUAUUCCAACAUCAAUAAAAGUGAUUAAUCCCCCUGCAGCGGGUGUUCUCCGAAAAGAUGAAACGGUUAACCAUGAAAUGUGUUCUUUUUCCAUGAGUGGAGAUUAAACUCCUCAACCACAUGAUUAAGGGACGAGGUGUGUAAUCAACAUGCCACACCUCGUGGUUUGACUGCAAUAUGCUUUUAAUUAAGGAUCCCUUUAGAUCCCAUUUAGCUCCGAUGAGGUUAGAUUUCUCGUCUGUGAUUUGAUUCAGUUGAGGCAUUCUAUUGCACUAAAAUUGUGAUUUUUCACUAGAGCUGUUUUAAAGAAGGAGAAGGCAAAAGAAUGAGUGUUUUGAUUGGUCAAAAAUAAAUAUAACUUUAAUUAUUUAUUGUAUUAUAAAUACAUUAUAAAUUAAUAUCUAUAAUGAUUAUUUUUUAUUUUAAUCUCUUCUCACCACAACAUUUAUAUUUAAAUAAAUAUCUCACUAUUGAUUUUAAUCUCACCAAGAUAAACUCAUUGCCCCUCCAAAGGAUGCAUGCUGUGCGUUUGCUUUUCAAGAUAAAUAUCAUUCUUCAUAUCAAAGCCUAUGUAUUGUGCAAUUUGAUCUUGAAUUCUUUCAAAAUUAGGCUUUUGAGACACAGUCGUAAUCACAACUUUGUCAAACAAAUUCAGUUUUGUAGCUUGACUUCCUACUUCACGAGCCAGGGUGGUCUUGCCCACCCCUCCCAUCCCCCACAACCCAAUCAUGUUGAUAUUCUCAUCUUUUAAGGCUUCAAUGAUUUGAUUGAAAGCAACCUUCGAAGAUUCCGAAACCACAAAUUCCUUAGAACAUAGGAAGUCUAUAGUGGGAAGGGCAGUAGGAUCACGGUAACCGACUGGUCCAAGUCGACCAAAUUUUUCCAAAAGCUCAGACAUAUCCUGAGUUUUCUUCAUUGCUUUCUUACUUAAUUGAUAUCUCCAAAUCCAAUUAGGACACCAAUUGAGACACCUCUUAUUCAAUUGAAUUUCUCCUUCCAGAGUUCCCAUAUCCGAUACUGUUUCGCCUGCCUUUGAUUGCAGGUUCUGUACAUCCUUUUGAAUUAGUAGAAGCUGCCUUUCAGCAUCCUCAAUCUCAUGUUGUAGACGAUCUCGUGCACCUUCAAGAUCACACUUUUUCUCUCGGAGCUUUUCAACAUUGCCAUGAAAGCGACGGACAUAAUCAAGUUGACGUCCUACCGGCUUCACCACACAGUCCACAAUUAGUGUUCCAACGGAGUUCGAAACAGCAGCCUCACAAAAUCCGCAACCCAUGCUUGACAAGCUCAAACUGAAGAAGGAUUCAAAGUCUGAGAAUCAAUGGGCUCUUUUUCCAACUUAGUCCAGCUGAAAACAUAAUACAAAAUGCGAAUAUCAUUAGAAACUUAAUAAAAAAACAUGACUUGAAAACUAGAGAAAAACAAAUUUAUACAUUAGAAAUUUAAAUACAAGUAUCGUAUAGAAUUGGGUAGAAAAGUAUAAGGAAAGCAAGAGUUAGACGAGAAGUUUCUAUUUCAUUUUAUCAAUUCAUAUUAGUUGAUAAAAUUAUAAAUUGGAAGGAUAUAUUUCAUUACACAGAUAAAUAUAAUUCUAAAGAUUAAAAUUAAUUUAUUUAAAUUUAAAAAAAUUAAAACUAAAAACUAUCCAAUAGUAAUUGUCGAGUUUUUAUCUCUACUAAAUUUGGUUAAUGGAGUUGACAGUGACACUAUGACUCUCUGUCAUAUAUAUAGAUUAUAUAUAUGUAAUGUGUUUGACUAAGUUGGUGUCACGAGUCAGUUAGGCAUUAACUCGAUCGUAAAAUAAUUAAAAUAUCCUUACUCUAAAAAGUAAUUAAUAUUAUUUUAAUAUUAAUAUAAGGGUAUUUUCAAAUUUUUAUACUUUUAUUUAAUAUUCAAAUAAAACAACUCAAAAAUAGUAUUUAAGAAUCAAACACAAAACCAACAAAUUCUACGAAAAAUUCUUGCCACUUCCAUAGUAUAAUGUGUUGAAAUAUUUUUAUAAAUAUUUUUAAUAUAAAAUAUUUCCGUUUGUGAUAAAAUCUAACAGAUAUAGAUAAUAUAGAAUUGGUUUUUCUAUUUUAUUUAAUAAAAUGAACUUUAUAGCUUUUAUUUCAUUUUGUUUGUUUUAUUUUUGUCAAAUCAUUUAAGUUAACAAAAUUAUGGGCGAGAAAAACUAGAUUCAAUUUGAAAAAUUAAAAAAAAAUUUAAAUUAAUUGAAUCGAUUUGAAUUUUACCAUUCAAAUAAUAAAUUGGUAUAAAUACCUCUUUAAUCCCUAUCAAUUUUUAAAAUGAACAAAUUGAUUUCUUUCAACAAACAAAAAGAAUUAAAAUAAUUUUCAAAAAUUUAAAAUAUUUAUAAAAAUUCUAAUUUUUUUAAUAAUUUAAAAAAAAUUCUAAAAUAAUAAUUUUGGACCUAAAUAAGUUAAUAAUGAUUGAAGUUUAUUUAUUUUGCUUUAAAAAAUUUUAAAAUAUAAUUAGUUAUACGGUAACAAUAUUUUAAUUUGACAUGUUUAAUUUUUUAAUUUAACUCUAAUAAUUUUAUUCGAUUUGAAUUUUAUUCUACUUAAUUCAAUUCGAAGAAAUUUCAAAUCGAAUUAGAAUAAUAAAAUAGGAGUCCUCAACUCAAUUAAUUUAAAAUUUUUUGAUUUGAUCAAUAUUCAUCCCUAAAUAAAAUCAUAUACAUGUGUGUAAUGUGAUAUAAUUAUAAAUAAAAAAAGACAGAUAAUUAGUUAUAACAAUGAUGGAAACAUAUCCACUUACCACUUCAAUAAGAAGUUGUAACUCCAAGAAUUUGAUCGUCAAAAUAAAAAAUCCAAACACUCUUUUACCUCUGAUUUGCUUCAAGAAGAACAUAAAAAGAUGAGAUGAGAUAAGAUCAAAUAUAUAACAAAUAUAUAAACACAAAUAUAAAGAGAUUUACCUCACUUGGGAACUUCAAAAUCAAACUACACUUUGUGUUGAGAAGAUUCUUACUACUUCAGUACAAUCCAAAGGGAUUCGAAGGUUGGGUUUUUUUUUUUUUUUUUGAGCAAAAGAACUUGAAGAUAUUUUUUAUCUUUAAGGAAAGGGAAAUAAAAAAAAAACAAGAACAAAAUAGAAAUAGAAAUCCAGGUUGAGCUAAAAUAAGGAGAAACCUUCACAAAGAAAUUGAAGUUGAUCUGCCUGGAAAUUUCAACAAACUGGGUUUUCUUGAUUUAGUAGCCAAAUGAUUUGUGCUAUGAGAUUUUUGCAAUAUUGGGAUCUAAAUUAAUGACUGAUUGGUUUGCAAAAAAAACCAACAAGGCAUGUCAGUCGACUUAAAAAAAGGUGUGUCUUUGGGUUAUCUUUUUACUCGGCUUUCCACUUUUUCACUUUGCCCUAAGGCAGACUUAAUAAUUAGCACCAUCUGAAAAGAGUUAAUUCCAUCAAGCAUCCCUCAACUAUUACCUCCAUUUUGAAUUCGUCCCUAAACUUCAAAUUAUUCUAAUUACAUCCUCAUUUUAUCAAUACUAUAUCAAUCGGGUCCUUUUGUUAUUACAAUAGUUAAAUGAUACAUCAAAUCUUAUGCAGAUAAAUUUAAAAUGAAAAUUUUAAAGAAAUAGAAUCAUGCUGCGUAACUUUCAAAAUUAAAAACAAAGUAUAAUAAUAUAAGAGUAGUUGGAAUUGAUGUAGUAAGAAGGAAAUGACAUUCAAUUGAAUGCUUAUUCCAGAAUAUGUUGCUACCACUUUUGUACUGCUUUUAAUAAAGUUGAUAUUUAUUUCUAGACAAAGCAUAUAUUAUUCAUGUGCUGAAGGGUAAGACAUAUGCUGAAUAAAUUUCAGAUUAAUUACCUGAAUUCACAUAUGCUUCACUUUGUUCUUUUCUUACAUGAGCUCAAUAAAUUUGUCUUCUCUCACAAGAAAAAGAAAAAGUAGGUGGUAUGUUUUCCUAUUCAAAAAUAUGUUUAAAUAUGUUUCAACCAAUGUAUAUCCCUACCAAUGGGCCAUGUAGUUUCUUGGGCUGUAGCAGAUUCCUCCACUAUAAUUUCAUCAACUAAUUGGCAUGCCUGCAAAACGAAUUAAACCUUGAUUUAUUACUGUUUGCUUCUGAUGAUUGACGAUGAAGAAAGCAAAGAAACUUUCCCAAAACUGAAAAUAUUGUCAGCCAACAGAAAUCAAUUUUGUUUUAAAGCUUAUUAUUGAGUUUGGAAGAGUAGUGUACCUGUGUUUUGGCAUGCACUGAUUUAUCUGAAUCAAAACUAAAUCUUGUGGUUAUGUUGGGACAAUCUACUACUCGCAAAAUCAACAAUGAUUGGAAAACAAAAUGAUAACCCACAGGGCCGAAGCUUGCGAGGUUUGGUAGCCCAUCAAGCUGUAAGUCGGUUAAUCGAGGUAGGUGUAUCACUUUCUCUUCCUCCUCACUCACAUUUGGCUCAUCUCCUUCAAACACCUGUUCUAAUUUGGAAACCCUUCCAAGGAUUAUAAUUUCUAGUUUUUGAAGGCCGCCAUGAGCAAGAGUAAUUGGGAAGAGACAUUUCAAAUUUUCACAGUUCCUGAUUGUAAUCCAAAUCAGAUUAGGAAAGCAAACAGCUUGGAGAUGAUGUUGUGAUGAAGUUUGAUCCUUCUCGAUUAUUUGCUCCAAUUCCUCACAGUCAGAUAUAUCCAACCUCCACAAUUGUGGCAAAUUUCGAGCCAUGGUAAGUGGGAAGAUGUAUCUUAACCUUUUGCAAUCUUUGACAUCCAAUUCAGUGAGAUUUUGAUAGUUUCCAACUUGGAUGGGACCACUCCAUAUCACUCGCAAUUCAGUUAGUCUAGACAAGUUUAAGAUCUUCAGACUUGAAAGCUUAUAUCCAAAAUAUUCAAAUAACUCUUCAAAAUUGGAAAUUGUUAAAUAUUCGGUACAUGUUGAUGUUCCUCCUCUCCUUUCAGGGACUGCCACGUUGCUUAUUUGCUUCUUUUCUGUCAUCUCCGAGAAGGACAAUUCCUAUAAACAUAUCAUCAGUUUUUAUAGUCAAAGAAUUCAAAUUUUUAAAAAGUUUACUGUUCAACUCAAAUAAUCAUAAAUUACAAAAAAAAAAUCAACAAAAAUAUGGUGCAAAAACACAACAUAAAUAAUAUUACGUAGUACUAGAUAGUGUUUGCAAUAUAUAUAUAUUUCUCAUAUAGAUUAUAAAAGUAUUGUAAUUAACUAAACUACUUAUAGCUUUAUUUAGAUUAGUUUUUAGACCAAAAUUCUACAAUGAAAACUAUUUCUUAAAGAGUUUUACAAGCAUUUAUUUUAUACAAAAAAAAAUCAAAAGGUGAAAAUUUUAAUAAAUAAUAUAUAUAAGAAGAUCUUACUUGUAUAUUAGUUGGAACGAUAAAAGGUGUCAAUUGAGGACAAUCUCUCACAAAUAACAGGUGUAAAGAUGGCGAUGUCAGCACGAUGUUGUUUCUAUCUCUUCCUUUCAAAUGAGGUAAAUUAAUCAACUGAACUUUAUUCAACUGUGCAAGACCUUGAGACAUUGAGAUUAACACUUCUACUACUUGGAUUAUUUCUUGUAAUUGGGAACAACUCUCUAUCCUCGGAGUUUGCAAUUGCCCAAGACUAUUAGCAACACACAUUGGAAAGAGAAAUUUCAACUUAUUGCAUUUUGUGACUUGUACUUCCCUUAGGCAUUGGAAGCUUAUGGUUGAUACUUGUGAGUAUUGGAUUAUUUCUUCCAUUCUAAAGCACCUCUCUAUCUUCAGAGUUUGCAAUUGCCCAAGAUUAUUAGCAACACCCAUUGGGAAGAGAAAUUUCAACUUAUUGCAUUUUGUGACUUGUACUUCCCUUAGGCAUUGGAAGCUUAUGGUUGAUACUUGUGAGGCUUGGAUUAUUUCUUCCAUUCUAAAGCACCUCUCUAUCUUCAGAGUUUGCAAUUGCCCAAGACUAUUAGCAACACACAUUGGGAAGAGAAAUUUCAACUUAUUGCAUUUUGUGACCUGUACUUCCCUUAGGCAUUGGAAGCUUAUGGUUGAUACUUGUGAGUCUUGGAUUAUUUCUUCCAUUCCAAAGCACCUCUCUAUCCUCAAAGUUUGCAAAUUGGGCGCAUUUAGUGUUUUAGAGCUACCUUGAGCAACAAUAAUUGGAAAGAGAGAUUUCAAGCUUUCACAUUCCAAGAUAUCAAUUCGAAUCAGAUUUGGAAAGCAAAGAGGUAGGGGAUGAUGUUGUGAUGACGUUUGAUCUUGCUCCAAUUCCUCAUAUUUACAUGAAUGCAAAUUGCUCAAUUGUUCAUUUGUCAUCUUCCCAAACACCAAUUCCUAUAAACAUAUCAUCAAUUUUCAAUUUCAAAACGUUCAAAGUUGUCAACAACCAACUUAACAUUUCACCAAUUAAUUUCCUUACAAAAAAAUUAUUUUACCUUAAAUCAAGGUUAUACUCCAAAAAUGUGGUACAAAAACAGUCAUAAAUAAUAUCACAUAAUUUGUACAUAUAAAUUAUUGGACAGGUGUAACAACGCAAUUGGGAAUUACUUAAACUCAUUUUCAUAUAUUAAUACAAAAAUAAAAAAAAACCACCUGUGUAAAAGGCUAUAUUUAAAAAAAAUUAAAUAUAUUUUUUUCUACUUUAUUUUUUAAUACAAAUUCUAAAAUCAUCCAUAAUUCCUUCCCACAUUUAAAUAGAAAGAUACACGUGCCUAAAUGCCCUCGAACCCACAACCUCCUAUUCAUACAACAAUAUCGGUACCAACCAAACUAAAAUUUAUAUAUAAUUUUAUAUAGCUUAUUUUUGUUUACCCACAAAAUAGUAUAAUAUAAUUUAGUAUUAGAUAAAUAGUUUGCAACAUAUCUAAAACAUAAAGUUUGGAUAAUAUUUUUUUUUGAAAAUUUUAUUAAUCUUAUUAUAUGGUAUUAUAAUCAACUAAUUUGUUUAAAAGGUUAUUUAGAUUAGUUUUAGACCAAAAUCAUAAAAUAAAAUCUAUCUUUUAACAACUAUUCAAACAACGAAUUAUUAAAGAAAAAAAGAAACAAAUAAAUAAAUAAUAUAAAACAAAAAUAAAAAUCUUACUUGUAUCGUAGUCGAAAUAAAAAAUGUGUCAAUUGAGGACAAUUGUGCACUUUUAACUUCUGCAAAGACGAUUGUGUGGGCAAAAUGUCGUUCACAUCCCAUCCUUUCAAUUGAGGCAAAUCAAUCAACGAAACCUAAAAUGAAAAGCAUAAUCAAAUUUCCCAAUAUUUGACCAUAGGACAAUAAGGAAAAAAAUGUCAAGUUAUUGCAGUGAGAUACACAUACUUUCCUUGGACUUUGGAGUAGACAUUUGUGUUCCACUUGUCGGUCUUCGAUUAUAUCUUCCAAUUGCGAGCAACUCUUUAUCUUCAAAGUAUGCAAUUGCCCAAGGCUAUUAGCUACUGACCUUGGGAAGAUAUAUUUCAAAUUAUUGCAUCUCUCUAUUUCAACAAUCUUCAGACUUUGGAGGCUUAAAUGACGGAUGGGCCCUUCUUAUUCUAUGCUCCUCAAUUCAGCAAUCGGGAAUAACACUUGCAUCUCACCAUAAUCUGAAACUAUAACCUCUUCAAGCUUUUGUAAAAAACCUUGCGGCUGGGGAGCAUUGCACAUCUCUUCCAAAUCAAACAUAUCACUUAAUGAUAACUUUCUCAAAUUAGAGAGUGCAGUGAUUGGCACUUGCUGCUUUGAUGCAUCAAUUAAGCAUUGCAUAGACUGGCACUGUCGAAGAUCUAGAGAAGUUAACUUUCUAAAUCCCAAGUCUAAGCUCGGAAUAAGGUUUGAAAUUGAACAUUCAGGACUUGUUGGAAGGAGAUGAAAAGUGAGGAUCAGACAAGAUUUUUGUUUGGGAUUUCCCUUUUAUGAGGAUCAGACAACUAGCUAUCUUCCUUUUGAGUUGAUUGUUUCUGAUCUGUGGGGACCUGGAUCCGUUGCGUGUGAUAAUAAGUGGUAUUACAUUUCUUUUAUUGAUAUGGGUACGAGGUUUACUUGGAUUUAUCUUUUACGACAGAAGUCUCAGGCUAUAGAAUGUUUUGUUCAGUUUCAACAGCUAGUCAAGACACAGUUUGACAAGACUAUUAAACAAUUUCAGAGUGAUUGGGGUGGCGAAUAUCAUAGUUUUACGUCUCUCUUAGCAUCUCAAAGAAUUGUUCAUCGGCUGACUUUCCCUUAUACCUCUGAACAAAAUGGUGUAGCUGAGCGUAAACAUCGUCACAUUGUUGAAACGAGACUUACGCUGUUGGCUCAAGCAAGUAUGCCUAUGGAAUACUGGGGAUAUGCGUUUUGUUCUGCAGUGCAUCUUAUAAAUCGACUUCCUACUACUGUUCUCUAGGGACGUUCUCCAUUCAAAGCUUUGUAUGGCACUACUCCUACGUAUGAUCAUCUUUGUGUGUUUGGUUGUUGUUGUUACCCAUACUUACGACUGUUUUUAGAUCAUAAGUUGGAAUUUCAGUCCCAACCGUCUACAUUUUUGGGAUAUAGUUCUAGUUACAAAGGGUAUCGGUACUUGUUUUCAGAUGGUAAGGUUAUUGUGUCACGUCAUGUAACGUUUGAUGAACACAGGUGUUCUCUGAAACUUGUUCUGGAAGAUGAGUGCCGCAACUGAGUUUGACUAGUAUGACGGUGUGUCCUAUUGUAUGGCCUAUGUCUCAUCAUUCUUCUUCAUUAUCACCGGUACAACAAAGUUCUUCAUUAUCACCGGUUCAACAAAGUUCUUCACCAGAUGGUGGAGUGAUGCAGUUUCAAACUAUUGCACGUCAAUUUUCUUCGAAUGGUGUCGUCGGUUCUUCACCUACUUUGGAACUUCAUAAUAGAAAUGCUCAGAUCAGAUUGUUGCAAGUACGUCUGAUGGUCAAGAUAGUAGGUUACCUGUGGUUAAUGCUCAUCCGAUGGUUACGAGGGCUAAGGCAGGAGUUUUCAAACCAAGAGUGUUAAAUGUUGAAAAUGUAGAACCUUCUACCAUUGAAGAAGCACUGGCUAUUGUUGAAUGGAGCAAUGCUGCCCAAGAAGAAUACAAUGCCCUUAUUCAGAAUUCUACGUGGGAGCUAGUUCCUGCUCCGACAUAUCAUAAAGUUAUCGGCUGCAAAUGGUUGUUUAAGAUCAAAGAAAUCCUGAUGGUUCAAUCGCCCAACGAAAGGCUAGGUUAGUUGCUAAAGGUUGUUCUCAAGUUUCGGGGUGUGAUUUUAAGGAAACCUUUAGUCCUGUUGUGAAACCAGCUACAAUCAGAGUUAUUUUGUCCAUUUUUGUUUCCAGGGGUUGGUCGCUUCGACAAGUAGAUGUUAAUAAUGCUUUUCUCAAUGGGAAUCUUGAUACUGAGGUUUUCAUGCAUCAACCUCUUGGUUAUGUUCAGUAUGAUUCAGACGACAAACCUCUCGUGUGUCGCUUGAAGAAAGCAUUAUAUGGUCUUCAUCAGGCUCCUCGCGCGUGGUUUGACAAGCUCAAGAGCUUUCUUAUAUCUAAAGGGUUUAUUGCCUCAAAGUCUGAUGCAUCCUUAUUCGUUAGGAUCACAUCAGACUCCACAUUAUAUGUUAUGGUCUAUGUUGAUGAUAUUACUGUUACUGGGAGUCCAUCUCCUAUAAUUGAAUGGUUUGUUCGAUUACUGAAUGAUGAGUUCUUGCUUAAGGACAUGGGUGAUCUUCAUUACUUCCUUGGGCUAGAGGUUACUCGUUCUUUAUCUGGAUGUCUUCAUUUGUGUCAGAGGAAGUACAUCUAAGAUAUACUUAUUCAGUGUUCGCUUGAAAAUGCUAAGAGUGUUCACACACCAAUGAUCAGUUCUUCUGUCAUGUCUAAAGAUGAUGGUGAUCGUUUAGAGGAUCCAACUUUGUAUCGGAGUCUUACUGGUAUGUUGCAGUAUGUUACUCUCACGAGGCCUGAUGUGACAUAUGCUGUUAAUCGAAUAUGUCAGUUCAUGCAUAGUCCUACCACCGUUCAUAUGACUGCUUUAAAACGUAUUUUGCAUUAUUUAGCUGGCACAAUUGAUUUUGGAAUUAUUUUUCGACCGGCUGCUAAUCUAUCUUUAGUAGGAUAUGCAGACGCCAAUUGGAGGUUGGAUUUUGAUGAUCGAAGGUCGACCUCCGGCUUUUGUGUCUAUUUUGGACACACUCCUGUGUCUUGGUGCACGAAGAAACAACAAGUAGUGGCUCGAUCUACUGCUGAGGCAAAAUAUAAGAGUCUUGCCGCAGUAACAAGUGAAGUUACCUGGUUGUUGUCAUUACUUCGAGAGUUACAAGUUUGUUCUGUAGAUACACCUAGCAUUUGGUAUGAUAGCUCUGGAGCUGUUGCGGUUGCCACUAAUCCUGUAUUACAUUUGAAAUUCAAGCAUGUUGAAUUAGAUUUAUUUUUUGUUCGUGAGAAGGUUGCUGAGGGAUCAGUUGUGGUUGGAGAGGUGCCCGCGUGUGAUCAAGUCGCUGAUGUCCUCACUAAGCCACUAUAAGUUUCAAGUUUUACUUGUUUUUGGAGUUGUCUGCGGGUCUUGUCAGUGGAGAGGAUGGAUGCAUGUUAGAAGUAUUAAACAGUAGUCAAUAUUAGAAUAGUCAAGAGCUGUAGAUAAAUUGUUAGUUAGUGAGCGGGUAUUGUACUGUUGCUAGGACUCUAUAAAUACAGUAAUCUCUAUAAUAUUGUAAAAUGGAUCUGAAAAUAUAAAUAAAUUAGUUUUUUCUUUACCUAUUUCUUCAAAUGGAAAGCCACGUUAUAUUCAAUAGAUGGUUAUUGUGAAGGUAUUAUUUACUUCGAAACCAAGACUGUUCAAACAUGGAUGAAGAGUGAAGAGAUCAAUCUAUUUUUUGUUUUCCUUGAUGAAAAUUUAUGGGUUUUUUUUUUCAAAAAAUUUAUCUAGUAAAAAUAACUUUCCAUCCUCAAUUUGCAGCUAUGUCAUUAGCAACAAUUAUAUUAAUAUGUUAUUGAUUAUUCUUGUUCUUUGAAGGUGGAAUUAUAUGUUCCAAACCUUGAAAUUCCUGGCAUUGUACUUGAUUUAUGAUCGGCUAUCACUUCUGUAUUUUGCAAAGAAAACUGACGCGAAACAGAGUUUUAAAGCUUUUACGAGCUUUGGUUUCCAUUGCUGAAGCCGUCUCUGAUUGUCCUAAAACAAUAAGAGUUGUUUCUAAUGAUCUGAAUGGUUUUCUCCAAUCAGAAUUAGACCAAAUUCCUAAUAGUUUGAAACAAGUUUCGAAAAUCACCAGGUCCAAUGUGUUUCACUGUCCAUAGCAAUGUAAAGAACUGCAACUUGAAGGAGAUUUGAAGUCAAAUUCGACCCCGAGCUGGCUGAAUUGGGUGUGUGGUAACGAGUUUGGGGAGCUGAUUGGUGAUUGUAUUCAAGUGUCUCUAGUAAAAUUUUUAAAGAAGAAUCAAUUUGUUGAAUUCUGAAUCUAAGGGUUUUAACUUUGGAUUUGAACUAAAAAAUCUUAUUAAACUCCAUAAGUCUCACUGUUGUUAAUCUCAAUUAUAAAAGUGAGUACUUUUGGAUUGGGUUGUACUUAGCAGAGAACUUGUGUUCCUUAUACUUCAAUUCCUUGAUCAGGAGAAAUUUAAAGACACCGUUCAUAAUUAUCUCCGCACUCUUUGUUUUUGUUCUUUUCUUUUAUUCUAUCUUUUUAUAAUUUAAAUCUUUUAAUCUGUUCAUGCAUUUUUUUGUGUAUUUAUUGAUUAAUAUAUUUAAAUUUAAUAGAUUGGAGUAAGAGUCAGGUUCUAAAUAUCUCACCUCGAGGAGGACUACAAGCAGCUCAAUUUCAUUCUGGUAUUCAUUCUCCCACAAAGCAUCUUUAACUAUUCAAAUUUUCAUAUACAGAUUAAUUCUCAUUGUAGACCCUGUACAAGGCAUAGUUUUGUGUUGAGGUUAAAUUUAAACUAGGGUCAUGGUUGAUUAGAUUUAUGGGUGUCUGAGUUGAUUUAAUGUAACUAGUCAAGGCAUAGUUUUUGUGUUGAGGAGUUGGUAUUGAGAAAUGAUGAACACUAGUGCUGGUCUUCUUAGCAAAUUUGUUUAAGAUCUGAUCGCCUUCCUUAUUAAGUAUUGUUUUUCUUUGGCGAGGGUCGCUUGGCAUGGUCUUUGUAUAAUAUCGUACCUAUCUCAUUGUGAUAUUAUUAUUUUAGAUUAAAUGUAUUCAUUUAAAUAUAUAAGUAACACGUUUCUUUUUUUUAAGAUAUAAAUAAAAAAAAUAAAUAGUAAUAAACAAAUUAUAAAUAAAUAAAAGAAACUCGUAAACAAUAAUAGUGUUAAUUAUAUAAUUAAACAAUAGUUGAUUUUAAAUGAUUUACUAAACCAAUUUUGAACUAGCAUGAAGAUAAUUAGUUUGGAUAUGUUUCAUUUAUAUUAGGUUAAUUUAAUAAAUAAAAGCAUUUAUGACCAUAAAAGCAUUUAUAUUGGUUAAUUCACUAUUAAUAACCAUUUUACCAAAUUAACCUUAAUGAAAUAAAAGCACAAUUCACAUAUUUUAAGGUCAUUUAUGACCAGCACCACUAUCAUUGGUCCAAUAACAUAAUAAGGACCUCUCAUUCAACUUAUCAGCAAAUAAAUACUCUUAACUUAUAGCCUGCUACUUUUACAUUUUACGCGAUUAAGUCCUUUUUAUCAAAUUAAGUAUUUAAACGGUAAAAUUUCUUAAUGAAAUUUUUAUACUAUAAUUCCAUCAUGCUGUAAAACUUAUUAAAAUAAUAUAAUAAAUAUUUUUACUCGGUUAAGUGGUCCCGAAACCACUGUUCCGAUCAGACUCAAAAACGGGUUAUUACACUUAAUCUUUUGUAAUCUUUUUGUUGUUGUUGAACAUUUGAAAGCUAGUAUUUAUAGUCCCAAAUUGAUUUCCAACCAUUGUGGUUGUUGUGGAAUUGAAUAGAAUCAGUGGGUUGUAAAAACCAAUGCAUUAAUGUCACCUACAACAACAAGUAUUGAUACCUUUGGAGGGGUAUCGAUACUUUGGGCAUUUAAUGUCUCAAUUUAGUGAUCAUUAAAGCCUAUAGUAUCGAUACAAUAGGGUAUGUAUUGAUACUUGGACAAUUUAUUGUUUAAUUUUCAAAACAUUGAACCUUAAAACAGUAUCAUUACCAGGAGAAAGUAUCAAUAUAUUUGGUAAGGUAUCGAUACUUUGUAUUUGUCCUCAAUUUUUUUUAGAAACAGAAGCUCAAUUCGGUAUCGAUACUAUGAAAGAGUUUCGAUACUUUGGUAAAGGUAUCGAUACUCUUUUAUUCGUGCUCCUUUUUUUGAAUUUCGAAACUCAAUUCGGUAUCAAUACUAGAAAGGGGUAUCGAUACUUGAGGCUAAGGUAUCAAUACCUUAUUUAGGGUAUCAAUACUUUGAUCCCUGUGAGCAUUUUAAGUUGUUUAAAAAUAUUAGAAAAAUUGUUUGUUGUUUUGAAGAACUUCCAAAAUAUUUUUCAAGUACUUGAAAGAUUAGAUUUAAAAUUUCUCUCUCAAAAUAUUUUGAACCAAAUUUUUACUUUCAAAUUUAUCAAGUUUUAUUUCAAAAACAAGUUUUACUCAAAAACAUUAUAUUUUUUUAUAUCAAAACUCUUAUCAAAUUAAGGCUUGACUUAACAAAAUAUAAUCUUUAAACAUUACAUCUAAAUAUUAAAUAUUAAAAAUAAAUUUAUAAACAUGUAAUAUACAAUUUAUUGUUAUAAACUAAUAAACAAUUCAUUAAAAGUAAUGUUUUAAUUAACAUCUCUAUGAGGAAAAUGAUAAUUUAAUUCUUUUUAAAAGUUUAAUAACCAAAUUUAGAUUAAAAAACAAGAGUCAAAUUUAAUAAAAAUAUAUAAAAAUUGAGGGCUAAAAUUAUCAUUAUACUUUUAAUUAAUUCUUUUUCUUUCAGCUAUGCAAUUCUAUAAUUACAUUACAAAGCUAUUCCAUCCAAAGCAAAAAGAAGUAAAUUUGUGGUUGAGCCGGAAGAUAGCAUAAAUAGAAAACUUGAUGCCUGUGAAGCUAAAACUUUCUCUACGUAUAGAUAAGGAACUUCGUACACAUCACUUCUCUAGUUGUUGCGGUUGCCACUAUAUUAAUUUUUUCACUCCUCAAUUACAGCACUAAAUACAAUUAUAAGUAAACAACAUUAUUGAAAAGUGAACUAUUAGUUAAUGAAGUCCUUGAGUGUUGGGGAGAAGCAAAAAAAUAAAAAUUAAAACUAGGGGAUAAAUUUAAAUUGUAAUUUUUACAAUAAUAAAAAUGCAAUUCCGCAAUUUUAAUACUUUAAUUUAUAAGGAUUAAAUCAAUUUUUUAUCAUUUUUAAGAGGGACCAAAAUGUAAUUUUACCUUUACUAUUUAAAAUAUAAAAAAAAUUAAAGAGCUUCAAUAAAAAAAAAUCAUUUUUGGGGUCGGACCUACAAGCCCCUAAUUAUGCUACUACUUGGGUGGAUGCAAUACAAAAAGUUUUUGAUAUUUGAAACUCCAAAAAAAAAAAAUUGACUAUAAAUAUCAUGCAGAGGAUUAAAUGAAUGUCUUUGUUACAUGGUAUGGUUGUAAAUGUAGUAUCGUUCACUUUUUUUCAAUAUUCUUAGAUAUUUUGAAGGGUGUUAGAGAGUUUUAUUUCUACAUUUAUAUUUGGAUAUUCUUCGUAAAUUAUGGGUGUAAUACUUGAAUUUGUAAGUUAUUCAAGUUUGAAAAAAGUUCGAUUUGAUAAUUAUCAAUCGAGCACAAAUUCAAACAAUUCGAAUUAUGAAUUAAGUUAAAAGUCAAACAUUUUAAUAUUUGAUUAAAGUAUCUUGCGAGCAAUCGACCUUCUUAUAUAUUCUUUAAUUAAUUUUCAUACUGUGAAAUGUAUAGAUUUAUUGUAUGUAUUUAUAUAAAAAAAAUGUUAAUAUAAAAUUUGUAUUUAAAUAUCAUGGAAAAAAAAAUUAAACUGCACGUAACUUCUAUACAAUAAAUUAAGUGCUAAAUUAGAGAUAUGAUUGAAUGACUGAAAACAUGAAUAUAACUUACAUUUGAUUUGUGCCAGUAGAGUAACGUGUUAGAAACAUAAAAAUUUUGGCACGUUACUAAGGUUACUAUAGUAAAUACGAAAAAUAAUCUUAAAAAAUUUAUAAUCUUAGUGGCUCAUAUAAAUUUUUUAAGAAUAUCAAAUUAUAGAUUGAUUUUGAUCUUGACUGCUGAUAUAAAUUAAAUUGUACUAUUGAAUCUGAAGGAGUUCAACUAUAAAUAGAGACCUUCUCAUUUGUAAUCAUCCCAUUGUAACUCAUUCUUGAUUAAGAUCAUACUUUUACGAGUAUUUACUCGAACACUUGGUAUGCUAUUGCUUUUUUGUAGCUUUUUUUGUUCUCUCGUUGCUUCUUUAUUUUUUCGGUGCCCACUUUCGAGAGUAAGAUUGACUUUAGGCGAAUUUGAAGCGAAAGAAUCACCUAAUACCAUGCGAUUUGCAAGACUAUAAAGUUUUAGGCGUGUGACAAUAUUUUGUGGUUGUAAUUUGCUCCAAUAUUACAUUUGCUUUACUAGUUUAAAGUGUAAAGAUUAAGGACACAGAUUUGAUUUACUUCUAUGAUUGUCAUCGUUUAUUUCAGGGAAAUGUAGGCUUAAUGGAAAGCCACUUUAUAUUCAAUAGAGAUGGUUAUUGUUAAGGUAUUAUUUACUUCGAAACCAAGACUGUUCAAACAUGGAUGAAGAGUGAAGAGAUCAAUCUAUUUUUUUUUUUCCUUGAUGAAAAUCUAUGGUUUUUUCUUUUCAAAAAAUUUAUCUAGUAAAAAGAACUUUCCAUCCUCAAUUUGCAGCUAUGUCAUUAGCAACAAUUAUAUUAAUAUGUUAUUGCUUAUACUUGUUCUUUGAAGGUGGAAUUAUGUGUUCCAAACCUUGAAAUUCCUGGCGUUGUACUUGAUUUAUGAUCGGCUAUCACUUCUGUAUUUUGCAAAGAAAACUGAAGCGAAACAGAGUUUUAAAGCUUUUACGAGCUUUUGGUUUCCAUUACUGAAGCCGUCUCUGAUUGUCCUAAAACAAUUAAGAGUUGUUUCUAAUGAUUUGAAUGGUUUUCUCCAAUCGGGUUUUAACUUUGGAUUUGAACUAAAAAAUCUUAUUAAACUCCAUAAGUCUCACUGCUUUUAAUCUCAAUUAUAAAAGUGAGUACUUUUGGAUUGGGUUGUACUUAGCACUGUUCAUAAUUAUCUCCGCACUCUUUAUUUUUGUUCUUUUCUUUUAUUCUAUCUUUUUAUAAUUUAAAUCAUUUAAUCUGUUCAUGCAUUUUUUUGUGUAUUUAUUGAUUAAUAUAUUUAAAUUUAAUAGAUUGGAGUAAGAGUCAGGUUCUAAAUAUCUCACCUGGAGGAGGACUACAAGCAGCUCAAUUUCAUUCUGGUAUUCAUUCUCCCACAAAGCAUCUUUAACUAUUCAAAUUUUCAUAUACAGAUUAAUUCUCAUUGUAGACCCUGUACAAGGCAUAGUUUUGUGUUGAGGUUAAAUUUAAACUAGGGUCAUGGUUGAUUAGAUUUAUGGGUGUCUGAGUUGAUUUAAUGUAACUAGUCAAGGCAUAGUUUUUGUGUUGAGGAGUUGGUAUUGGGAAAUGAUAAACACUAGUGCUGGUCUUCUUAGGAAAUUUGUUUAAAAUCUGAUCGCCUUCCUUAUUAAGUCUUGUUUUUCUUUGGCGAGGGUCGCUUGGCAUGGUCUUUGUAUAAUAUCGUACCUAUCUCAAUGUGAUAUUACUAUUUUAGGUUAAAUGUAUUCAUUUAAUUAUAUAAGUAACACGUUUCUUAUUUUUUUAAGAUAUAAAUAAAAAACAUAAAUAGUUAUAAAUAAAUAAAAGAAACACAUAAACAAUAAUAGUAUUAAUUAUAUAAUUAAACAAUAGUUGAUUUUAAAUGAUUUACUAAACCAAUUUUAAACUAGCAUGAAGAUAAUUAGUUUGGAUAUGUUUCAUUUAUAUUAGGUUAAUUUAAUAAAUAAAUUUUAAAUUUUUAUUAACGUUGAUUUAUUUAAUUUAAAGAACGAAUAUAAAUAAACAAAGAUCCAACUCAUAAACUAUUUAUUUACGGCCUUAAACUUGACUUAUAUCCAUUUAGAACACUUAAGUAACGGUAAUUUAUUGUCAACUUUAGACUUCAAGAACUACGAAAUGAAUAACAGUUGGAUGGAUUUGUCAACGAAUAUCAAAAUGGAGUAUAAAUUUUUCUAAAUUAGCUUGCAUUUAAAUUUUUAUAUUUAAAUAAUUUAUUUAAAGUGAUUGAUCUACUAGUUAACUCACGCAUUACCUUAUAUUUAUACUUUCUCAGAGAAAAUUUUAAUUUUUGUAAUUAAUAAAUUUAAUUUACAAUUAAUUUUUACAUUAACUAACUAAACUUUUAUAAAGAAAAUUAGAAACCCCAUCGGUUAAAACUAGUUAUUUUUCCUUUUAAAAAAUCUAGUUAUUUUUUUUUAAAAAAAGUAAUAUUUUAUUAUUUUAUAUAUUUAAUAUAUUUAAUAUAAAAUUAUAUAAAUAUUUUAUUUUAUUUUUCGUUAUUCUCUACAUCUAUUUUAUGUUCAUGUUCGGGUUUAUUAAACUAAUAUUAAAAUUAUGCAUUUUAAUAUUUAUAUUAAUAUAUUAAUUUAAUAUAAAAACAUAUAUUUUAAUUUUUUUUAUUUAUAUACAUUAAUUUAUAAAUAUUUUUAUUGUUUUAUUGUUUUUAAAAAAUUAAUAAUAUUAAUAUAUUAUUUUAAAAAUAAUAAUUUUAUUUUAUUUUUUAAUAUUUUAUAAAAAUUAAAUGUUAUAAUAUUUUUAUUUUGUUAUUUUAUUAUAUUUUAAUGUAAAUAUUUUGUAAAUACUAAUAUUUUAUAUUUUAUUUUAAACUAUAUAAAAAAAGGAUAUUAAGGGUAAGAUGAUUUAAUAAGACUUAUGUUUUAACUCAUAGAAAAUACAUGGUAAGAAGAUUAACUGUUUGACACAAGUGUAAACCGUGUUCCCCUAUCUCGUACCCCUAAUAUAGUAUCGAAAAACACAUGGUGAGAAGAGUGAUAUAUAUCCAAUUUUCAACAACCAAACAAUUUGAUGUAGUAGCAUCUAUCUUUUAUCCAUCAUUUGAGAGUUGAGUGUUAUUUAACCUAAAACUCCUUUUUUACAUCAAGCCUACCAAAUGUGACCAGACUAUCAAUUUGACUAUAAUUCUAUAUAAAACGAUAAAAAUUGAGUUUUUUUAAAUUAGAAAAUCUUAAAAAUAUAUAAAUUUGAAAAUUAAAUAAAAAUAGAUAAAAUUUUAAAAAAUAUAUAUAGAUAAGUGAGAGAAAAUUAAGGAAAAUUAUUUUUCAUUAUAAGAAAAUAAUGAGAGAAAAAAAGAUUGUAUUUGGAAGAUUGGCAAUUUAUUGAUUUGUAUCUUUGGGUUGAGUUGAUAUUGUAGGAUGAAUCAAGCUCGUUAAUAAAGAUCAUAUCACUUGGAGAAACUUAUUUAGAAGAGUGGAUAGGAUUGGAUUGGCUUAUAUCAAAUCCUAUGGAUAAAGGAAGUUGGAUCGGAUUGAAAAAGUGAAGAGUUAGCUGUCAACCGUCAAUGUUUAUUGUGGUUGUUAAUAAUAUUAUAUUGUAUUUAGCUAUUUUAGUUGUUGUUUAGUAAGGAUUGUGAUAGAUCUUCAUUAUGUUAGCAAGUCUCGAAAUCUCUAUAUGUAAUUAAGAGACUUGUAUACGUUGAUGCACAAAUUAUUAAGAUCAUUUAUAUGUUCAAGUGAGGAACAUUGUUUUGCAAGAGUGCAUUUGUGAUUGUAAAACUUUGUAUUGUGGUUUUGCAAACUAAGUUCUCUGAGGGCGAAUUUAGUGGCGAGUGAUCUAGUCUUUGAAAGUAUAAGAGUGAGGAAUCAUCAUUGGGGUGUGAUACAUUUAGGUUCACUGGUUGUAAUUGUUUAAAUAUAGUGAUUCUACUGAGCAAGGCUUCACAAGUGUAUGGAAACUAAACUGCAUAAAUAAACUUUAAUGUUUCCUAUUUUGUUUUUGCUUAUCACAGUGCUUGCAGAAGUACACACUUUUGUAGUCACUACUACUCAUACUUUGCUUGUUACCUAGCAACAGUUUUAGAUCAACAACAAAUCGUUUAAAUGAAUUAAAUUUUAUUAAUGGAGUUUGAAAAAGAAUAUUUUCUGGUAUAUUUUGUAUUUUUUUUUACUAAAAGAAUGGGAUCAAAGUCAAUUUCACAAGUCUUAGUGAGAUUAGUUUGAAAGAAGUUCUUCAACAGCAUGGAACUUGAUUUGAAGGCAUUACUAAUUUUGUCCUACUUUGUUUUAAAUUUGUUAUUGGAUUCUAUUAAAUAAUCUUUUUCUUUUUUAUGUCUCAAUAUUGAACAAUCUUAAGCUUUACUGCAAUAUAAUAUUAAGUUUUCUUGUAUGUUUCUAAUCACAUUUAAGCUUUGUGCAGAAUGAAUGUUUAUUAAGAUAUUGAAAUUGAUCUAUUUUUAAAAUCCAUUUUCAUGAUUUAAGGCAAUGUUGAAUAUUUUGUUGUUGCAGAAAUCAAAAUUUUUAUAUAGAAUUUUCUAUUUUUUUAAAUAAUAUUGAGUUUUUAAAAUUAAUUUUAUAUAGAAUUAGGGUUAAAUGGAGAGAAAGUAUAAAAGCUAAGGGUUAAAAUUCUCAUUAUCUAACUAAAAAAGUGUGGUUGUUAGCUAUUUAAUAGUUGGGUAAAAAAAUAAUUUCGAAAAUGUUAGUGGCCAAAUUGUAGCUCUUUCAAUUAAGUGACACAUAAUUGAGGGAUUAAUAGUGUAAUUCCAUUAUCUUUUUUAAACAUAUGGAUUAAUUCACAUUUAUUUGGAAUCUGUUAUUAAUUCACUUAUGUAUUUAACUAGUGGUGGAGCUAGAAAUUCCUCUUUGGUCCACCAUUCUAUAUCACUACCAAUUGGCCAUGCAGUUUCUUGAGCUGUAGCAGAUUCUUCCACUAUAAUUUCAUCAACUGAUUGGCUUGCCUGCAAAGCAAAUUAAACCUUCACUUAUUACUGUUUGCUUGUGAUGAUUGAUGAUGAGGAAAGCAAAGCCAAUUUUCCAAAAUUGGACAAAGGAUGACAUAUUAAGAACAAGAACUGUGAAUUGAAAAUAAUAAUGCAACAAUGAUAUCUAGAAAGAAAUAUUGACAGCCAACAGAAACCGAUUACAGUUGAUGCAAUUUCAUUUAGUCAUUUAAAGCAUAAAAACAAAAACAAAAAAGAAUUUCUCAGGCAGCCAUAAUAAAAAUAUUGCAUUAAUGCAUAGAAAUUAAAGCUUAGUAAAUAUAAAGUUUGGGAGAAUAGUGUACCUGUGUUUUGGCAUGCACUGAUUGCUUUGAAUCAACACUAAAUCUUGUGGUUACGUUGGGACAACCUUUUACUUUUAAAUACCUCAAAGAUUGGAAAACAAAAUGAUAGCCCACAGGGCUGAAGCUCACGAGGUUUGGUAGCUCAACAAGCUCUGAGGAGCAGAGCUGAGGUAGGCGUAUCACUUUCUCUUCUUCCUUAUUCAGAUUUGACUCAUCUCCUUCAAACACCUGCUCUAAUUUGGAGACCCAUUUAAGGCAUAAUCUCAAUAGGUUUGGAAGGCCGUCAUGAGCAAGAGUAAAGGGGAAGAGACAUUUCAAGUUUUCACAGUUAAUGAUUGUAAUCGAACUCAAAUGAGGGAAGCAAAUUGGUUGGAGAUGAUGUUGUGAUGAAGUUUGAUCCUUCUCAAUUAUUUGCUCCAAUUCCUCACAGUUAGAUAUAACCAAAGUCCACAAUUGUGGCAAAUUUCGAGCGAUGGUAGGUGAGAAGAUGUAUCUUAACCUUCUGCACUUGAAGACUGCCAAUUCAGUGAGAUUUUGGAAGUGUUCAACUUGGAUGGGACCAGUCCAUAUCACCCGCAAUUCAGUUAGUUCGGACAACUUUAGGGUCUUUAGACUUGAAAGAUUAUAUCCAGAAUAUUCAAAUAACUCUUCAAAAUUUGAAAUUGUUAAAUAUUUCGUACAUGUUGAUGUUCCUUCUCUCCUUUCAGGGUCUGUCACGUUGCUUAUUUGCUUCUUUUCUGUCAUCUUCGACAAAUCCAAUACCUAUAAACAUAUCAUCAAUUUAAGAAUAAGCACAAGAUUUCUUUUUCAAUCUUUCAUAGUCGAAGAAUUCAAAUUUUUAAAAAGUUUGCUGUUCAACUCAAAUAAUCAUAAAUUACAAAAAAAAAACUCCAAAAGCACAACAUAAAUAAUAUUACGUAGAACUAGAUAGCGUUUGCAAUUAACUAAACUACUUAAAUAAUAUAUAAUUCUACAAUGUUAUUUAUGUUACUAAUUGGUAUUGUAAUUAACUAAACUACUUAAAGGUUUAUUUAGAGUAGUUUUUAGACCAAAAUUCUACAAUGCAAACUAUUUUUUAAAGAGUUAUACAAGCAUUUAUUUAUUUUAUACAAGAAAAUCAACAGGUGAAAAUUUUAAUAAAUAAUAUAUAUAUAAGGUGGUCUUACUUGUAUAUUAGUUGGAACGAUAAAAGGUGUCAAUUGAGGACAAUCUCUCACUCUUAACACGUGUAAAGAUGGCGAUGUCAGCACGAUGUCGUUUCUACCCCUUCCUUUCAAUUGAGGCAAAUUAAUUAACUCAACUUCAUUCAAUCGUUCAAGACCUUGAGACAUUGAGAUUAACACGUCUGGUCUUUGGAUUAUUUCUUGCAAUUGGAAACAGCUCUCCAUCCUCAGAGUUUGCAAUUGCCCAAGACUAUUAGCAACACACAUUGGGAAGAGAAAUUUCAACUUAUUGCAUUCUGUGACUUGUACUUCCCUUAGGCAUUGGAAGCUUAUGGUUGGUACUUGUGAGUCUUGGAUUAUUUCUUCCAUUCCAAAGCAUCUCCUUAUCCACAGAGUUUGCAAAUUGGGCGCAUUUAGUUUUUUAGAGCUACCUUGAGCAACAAUAAUUGGAAAGAGAGAUUUCAAGCUUUCACAUUCCAAGAUAUCAAGUAGAAUCAGAUUUGGAAAGCAAACAGGUAGGGGAUGAUGUUGUGAUGACGUUUGAUAUUGCUCCAAUUCCUCGUAUUUACAUGACUGCAAAUUGCUCAAUUGUUCAUUUGUCAUCUUCCCAAUCACCAAUUCCUAUAAACAUAUCAUCAAUUCUCAAUUUCAAAAUGUUCAAAGAUGUCAACAACUAACUUAACAUUUCAUCAAUUAAUUUCCUUACAAAAAAAUUAUUUUACCUUAAAUCAAUAUUAUACUCCAAAAAUGUGGUACAAAAACAGUCAUAAAUAAUAUCACAUAAUCAAUAUCAAACAACAAUAUAAUUUUAUACAGCUUUUUGUUUACCCAUAUAAUAGGUAUAAUAUAAUUUAGCAUUAGGUACUAAAACAUAAAGUUUGGAUAAAUUUUUUUUUUUGAAAAUUUUAUUAAUCUUAUUAUAUGGUAUUAUAAUCAACUAAUUUGUUUAAAAGGUUAUUUAGAUUAGUUUUAGACCAAAAUCAUACAAUAAAAUCUAUCUUUUAAACAACUAUUCAAACAACGAAUUAUUAAAUAAAAACCAGAAACAAACAAAUAAAUAAUAUAAAACAAAAAGAAAAAUCUUACUUGAAUCGUAGUCGAAAUAAUAAAAUGUGUCAAUUGAGGACAAUUGUAUACUUUUAACUUCUGCAAAGACGAUUGUGUGAGCAAAAUGCCGUUCACAUCCGUUUUUUUCAAUUGAGGCAAGUCAAUCAACGAAACCUGAAAUGAAAAGCAUAAUCAAAUUUCCCAAUCUUUGACCAUAGGACAAUAAGGAAAAGAAAUAUCAAGUUAUUGCAGUGAGAUACACAUACUUCCCUUAGACUUUGGAGUAGACACUUGUAUGCCAUUUGUCGGUCUUGGAUUAUAUCUUCCAGUUGCGAGCAACUCUUUAUCUUCAAAGUAUGCAAUUGGCCAAGGCUAUUAGCAACUGAAAUUGGGAAGAUAUAUUUCAAAUUAUUGCAUCCCUCUAUUUCAACAAUCUUCAGACUUUGGAGGCUUAAAUGACGACUGGGCCCUUCUUGUUCUAUGCUCCUCAAUUCAGCAAUUGGGAAUAACAGUUGCAUCUCACCACAAUCUGAAACUACAACCUCUUCAAGCUUUUGUAAAAAACCUUGCGGCUGGGGAGCAUUGCACAUCCCUCCCAAAUGAAACAUAUGACUUAAUGAUAACUUUAUCAAAUUAGAGAGUGCAGUGAUUGGCACUUGCUGCUUUGAUACAUCAAUUAGGCAUUGCAUAGAGUGGCACUGUCGAAGAUCUAGAGAAGUCAACUUUCUAAAUCCCAAGUCCAAGCUCGGAAUAAGGUUUGGGUGACCCUCCACCUUAUUCAAUUGAAGAGAUUCUACAUCUUCAAGUAGUUGCUUGCAUGCAUCUACUGACCUAUCGAUUCUCAAAGAUCUUGAGAUUGGACAAGUUUCAAGGUCCCUCUUUCGGUACCACCGUUCUCUUUUUAUGCCAAUGCAAACAUCAAAGCUCCAUAAUCUACGAAACACAAAGCCAUCUAGAAAAUGUUCAGAAGAAAUAUCCAAUGAUAUUACAACCAACUUUGGCAAUAAAUUCAACUCUGAUAGGCUGGCAUAGCUUUCCCUUUUAGUUGAAUUCUCAGUCGCCCAUUUUAAUUAUCUACAGCCAUGCAAAUAUAGUUCUUCUAAAUUGGACAAUCUUCGUAUUAAAUUAGAAGUGAUUCUUCGUAGUUCAUAGCAAUACGAUAAAUCCAACAGUCUUAGAUUUUCCAAAUCACCAGCUUCAGUCGGCAAUUCAGUGAUAUCAGAUCGACUUAAAGAGAGAAUAUGAAGUGUCUUCAGCUUCCCAAGCAUUGAGAUGUCAGAGAGUUUACAAUUAAUCAAAUACAAAGUCUGAAGGUUCAUAUGAAACUGAAAUGUAGACAGAGAUAUCAACAGAUGAUUCAAAGCACAAACUUGUAAUGCCUUCAUACCCUCAAAGAAUUCGCUUGAAGUUUCCAUGAAACGAUUGUCACCAUGUAAAAGAAGUUUGAGGUAUGGAAAACCCACUCCUUUAGGAAGUUCAUCCGUUUGAUCAGUUUCGAAGGAGAUUGCUGUGUAAUGCUUGAAACUUUCAUCCAUCGGGAGUGUUUCAACAGUCCCAAAAGAAAUCUCCUUUCUUGAAGAUGCUAUCCACAAAGCAAAUUGGCGAACCACGUCAUGCAUUUUGACAUGCCUUUCUCCGCAAUCUAGCAACAGACCGGAGUUCUUGAGGGUCUCAAUUGAUGCAAGCACUUCACUUCUAACAUCUUUAAUUGAGUCCAUGCCUUUAUACAACUCCAGUCCCCAUGCAUAUCCUACCAAGUUCUCCACAUAAAUCUCAUCAUCUUCAGGAAAUAAAGAGCACAACAAGAAACAUGUCUUGGUCUCCAUAUUCUUCAAUUAGUCGAAGCUCGCCUCAAGACAUACAUAGGCAUUUUCUUCAUUAACAUCCUCAAUUUCAGUCAAUCUACUAUCUUUGAGCCUCCGGUAUGCAGCUUGCCACUCAUGAUGGGUUUUACCUUUCAAGGCACUUCCCAGCGGAACUAUAGCUAUAGGCAAACCCCUGCAUUUUUUGACAAUUUGAUUUGCUAGAAUUUUAAUAGAAUCAUCAGAAAAGUCAUCUAGACCUGCUUUCUUUUCAAACAGAGUCCAAGCUUCAUCAUCAUUCAAACAGCCAAGUUGAACCACGUGUUGACAAUCCAUAACUUGACAUACUUGUUGACGGCGUGUUGUUAAAAGAACUUUGCAGCCUUUAUGAUCAUCCCCAAUUGGAAUUCCUAUCUUCUCCUUUAAGUUGAUAGAUUCCCAAAUAUCAUCAAGGAUGAUAAGAAUCCUCGGUUCAUUCUUCAGCCGUAACCAUAAUUCUUGCUCGGAUCUUCUUCCUUGUUCAUUCUUCAUAUCAAAGCCUAUGUAUUGUGCAAUUUGAUCUUGAAUUCUCACAAAUUUUGGCUUUUGAGACACAACCGUAAUCACAACUUUGUCAAACAAAUUCAGUUUUUGAGCUUGACUUCCAACUUCACGAGCCAGGGUGGUCUUGCCCACCCCUCCCAUCCCCCACAACCCAAUCAUGUUGAUAUUCUCAUCUUUUAAGGCUUCAAUGAUUUGAUUGAAAGCAGCCUUCGAAGAUUCCGAAACCACAAAUUCCUUAGAACAUAGGAAGUCUAUAGUGGGAAGGGCAGUAGGAUCACGGUAACCGACUGGUCCAAGUCGACCAAAUUUUUCCAAAAGCUCAGAGAUAUACUGAGUUUUCUUCAUUGCUUUCUUACUUAAUUGAUAUCUCCAAAUCCAAUUAGGACACCAAUUGAGACACCUCUUAUUCAGUUGGAUUUCCUCCGACAGUGCUUUGUCUGCCUUUGAUUGCAAGUUCUGUACAUCCUUUUGAAUUAGUAGAACCCUCCUUUCAGCAUCCUCAAUCUCAUGUUGUAGACGAUCUCGUGCAUCUGCAAGUUCAAGCUUUUUCUCUCGGAGCUUUUCAUCAUUGUCAUGAAAGCGACGGACAUAAUCAAGUUGAUGUCCUACCGGCUUCACCACACAGUCCACAAUCAGUGUUCCAACUGUGUUAGAAAGAGCAGCCUCACAAAAUCCGCAACCCAUGCUUGACAAGCUCAAAUUGAAGAAUAUGAUGUUCCAAGUUCAAACACUGUAGUGAAUCAUAAGUAAUUACCAUUAAAAAAAAAUUAAAGAAUCAAAAAGUGUUUUGAAGAUUAAGACACUACUUCUCAUACAUACCAAGGAUGGUGAAAGACAACUCAACCUAUGAGAAUCAAUGUGCUGUUCUUUCAACUCAGUCCAGCUGAAAACACAAUGAGAAAUUUAAUAAACAAAUAUGUCAUAUAAUUAUAACUAAAAAAGACAGUUAAUUACUUAUAAAAAUAAAAAUUCAAAAUAUUUUGACCCUCACACUAAUAAUAUUAUAGAUAUAAUGCUGGAAAAUAUAAUAAACAUAUCCACUUACCAUUUCAAAAUCCAAACAGUCUUUUAGCUCUUACUUGCUUCAAGAAAAACAUAAAAGAUCAAAAAAAAUAUAGAACAACUUCAAUUUAUAUAUAAAAAAACAGAAAUGAAGCAUAUAUAAAUAGGUUUACCUCACUUGGGAACUUCUAAAAUCAAACUAUGCUUAGUGCUCAGAAGAUUGUUACUUCAAAACAAUCAAAAGGGAGGGAUUUGAAGGUUGGUUUUUUUUUUUCUUUAGCAAAAGUAAGUAAAACUGAAUACAAAAAGAAAGGAACUUGAAGAAAGGGAGGGAAAAAAGAAGAACAUAAAAAGAUCAGAUGAGAUCAAAAAUAUAUAACACAAAUAUAAAUAGACUUUUCUCACUUGGGAACUUCAAAAUCAAACUACACUUAGUGUUGAGAAGAUUCUUACUACUUCAAUACAAUCAAAAGGGAUUUGAAGGUUGGGUUUUUUUUGAGCAAAAGUAAGAAAAACUGAAUACAAAAAGAAAGAACUUGAAAGAAGGGACAACAAAGUAGAAAUCAAGGUUGAACUAAAAAAAAGGAGAAACUUUCAGAAAGAAAUUGAAAUUGAUCUGCCAGGAAAAGUCAACCACUCGGAAAGCAUAAACUCUAACACAACUGGGUUUUCUUGGUUUAGUAGCCAAAGGAUCUGUGUUAUGAGAUUAGUGCAGUAUUGGAUCUAAAUUAUGAGGAUUUGUUUUUCUGAUUGGUACUGAUUGCUUUGCCACAUGACGUGAAAUGGUAGAGGACGACUUUCAGUACAUUUAAAAUAUCUACUUUUCUUCAGUUUCUUUUUCUUAAUUUUCAUUUGUUAUUAGAAAUGAAAAUGGUUUUUCUUUAUUCAUUUUUAUACAUUUAAGGAGUAUUUUCUAUUAUUUAUUUGUUUGCAAAUUUUAGAGACACACGUAAGUAUACUUGUUAAAUUUUAUUUAUUUUUAUUAGAGUAAACUACUAAAAUAGUUACUUUUGUUUGGCACAGGUUACAUUUUAGUCACUUAUGUUUAAAAUGUUACGUUUUAAUCACUUAUGUUAUCACGUUGUAACAUUUUAGUCACUGAGCCGUUAGUUUUUAUUAACGGUGUAACAGUAAACUGAUGUGGCACGUUAAAUCAUCAUUUCAAACAAAAAUUCUAGGUUAAUUUAUACAAUCGGUCCCCAUAUUUUUUCGUUUGGAGCAAUUUAAUUUUUUCUUUUAUGUUUUUUUAACUUUCUUUCUUUUCCAUUCUCUUAUGUUUCUCCCUUUGUUUUCCUCCCUUCUCCAUUUCUUUCAACGUAGUUAUUCUAUGUUUUAUUUUUUUGAACAAUUUAAUUUUUUCGAGUGAGGCGAGCUUGUGGACUAGUUACAAAUGGAAAUCAUAGAAAAAUUAUGUUAAAAGAAAUGAAGAAGGGAGGAAAAUAGAGGGAGAAACAUAAGAGAAUGGAAAAAAAAAGUUAGAAGAACAUAAAAGAAAAUUUUUAAAUUGUUGAAAAUGAAAAAAUAUAGGGACCAAUUGUAGAAUUUAACCUAAAAAUUUCGUUUAAAAUGAUGAUUUAACGUGCCACAUCAACUUAUAAUUACACCAUUGUCUACAAUUAACGACUCAGUGACUAAAAUGUUACAACACGAUAACGUAAGUGACUAAAACGUAACAUUUCAAACAUAAGUGACUAAAAUGUAACCUAAGGCAAACAAAAGUGACUAUUUUAGUCGUUUACCCUUUUUAUUAUAUAGAAAGCUCUUUUCCUCAAAAUUAAUUAUAAAUAACAAUUUAAAUUUGGAUUAAAUUAUCCAACAAUGCUGAAAAACAAAAUUACCAGAAUAGGCAGUCUUUUGUAAAAAAUUGUGGGAGUAGGCCAAUUUUACAAAAACACUCCUAGUUAUAAGCGUUUUUAGCUAAUUUGCAGAAAAACACUUCUAGUUGGAAGCGUUUUCAAUGUGUUGCCAGAAAAACGCUUUCAGUUGAAAGCGCUUUCUACCAAAUCAACUAAAAACGCUUCUAGCUAGAAGCAUUUUCCCCCAACGAUAACGAAUAACUACUUUCUCCAACGACGAUUUAAUUACCCAUUGGACCCCCCACCUACCCUCUACGGUCCCAUUUUAUUUCCUAUAUAACCCUUCCCAAUCUCAUUUUUCUUCCAAUUCAAUCUCAAAUCUCUCUCAGAUUUCUCUAAAUUCCCUCUUCAAUCCCACUCAAAAUUUAUUUCUCUCUCAACUUUAUUUUUUUAUUAAAAUUAUCUCAACAUUUUCAUAAAUUAUUUUUUCUAUUACAAAUUAUUCGGUGUUUUUCAAAAUUAGCAAUGACAAAAUCUCUAACUUGUUUUGAUGACAACCACAUUUCCGUUGACCAAUUGCAAAUGGUAGGAAUAUUUUUUAUUAUAUUUCAAUGUUGUUUAAUUUUACUAUUUUCUUGUAAUAUUUGAAUUUAAUAUUUUGUAUUUUUUUACCUAAAUGGGAAGAAUAUCAAAUUUUGGAGGCAUAUAUUCGUAAUCUAUCUGCUCCUCCAUCACCCUUGAUCGAACCCUACUUGAGAGAUGUCGGUUUUCAUGUGUGGCCCUUGUAGGUAAGGGGUGUAAGUUGGACCCGACACUCGUAAACGCAUUAGUGGAAAAGUGGAGACCCGAGACACACACAUUUCAUCUUCUAUGCGGCGUGUGUACUAUCACUUUGGAAGAUAUGCAACUAUAGCUUAGGUUACCAGUGGAUGGACUAGAAGUGACUGGGUCAGUUCAAGCAGCCGAUUGGAAAGACGUAUGCGAAGAACUUUUAAAGAGGGUUCUAGUGGAGCCCAGAUAGAUAUGAGUUGGUUAAGAAGAAAUUUUGGUGGGCUUGAUGAGGAUUCAACUGAAGUCUAAAAAGAACAACACGUUUGGGUUGUAACACCCCAAAACUCGGCCUAGAAGUUAUGACUAGAUAUUGAGUGAUUAAAUCAACUCGUUCAAAGCUUCGGUUCAAAUAAAACUCAAUGCAUGCUUCGAAAAAAUAAAAUUUUAGCAAAACACCCAUUGAUGGUUAGAAAAGCCGAGUUCGAAAACAGUUACUUAAAACCAAUAAUUCACAUUCAAAAUCGCGUGUUUUGAAAGUACUAACGUGAGCAGAUCAUUUCUAGUAUUAAAACAGUCAUUCGUUACAAACCAUAUAUUUUAUUUUCAAAAAAUACUUAAAUGAUUACUUAACCUUGUAGCGGAAAAUUUUCAAAGUUUGUUUUAGUUUGAAAACCGAAAUCUAACUUAUUAGCUCGUGUGAUUUGCAGUUUAAUGCUCAAAAAUAUUUAAUGUUGACAAAUAUAACAAAAACCAAAACUAGGACCAAAAAACAUAUUACAGUCCAAAAAUAAUUAAAUUGUAAACCCAUAAAUAUUUUAUCUGGUAACCAAUCCGAGCUCUCGCACGUCGUCCGGUCUUAAGUUAGAAGUUAACCUAAAACAUAUUAAACAAACAAAUGAGCUAGGAGCCCAGUGUGUAUCUCAACCAACAAGCAUAAUUUUUAUUUAACAAGCACAUACGUAAAUGUGAUCAAAAAAUUUUACUUUAAUGUAUCAAUAACAUAUCAUAAUGUUAUAUUGCUAGAAACAUAUAUAUUUCAGAUGAUAAUAUCAUAUAGCCGAAACAUAUUUCGAUUUGGAAUAUCAUAAUUUCAUAUACAAAUAUAUCAUACCAGAAUGCCAUGUUUUCAGAAGUACAUAUGUCAUACCAGACCAGAACAAAUGAAUAUACAAAUCCUACAUUCAUCUGCUACACACCAACUCCGUCUAACGAAUCACACCAAUUAGGACUUCAAGAGUCCAUCCAUCCAAAUCACAUUGGGUUGUGGUGGCAUGCCACUCAUAAUAGUGCUACUCAGUUGCCAAACAUAUAUCGUGGUUUAACCGUCGAAAAUGCAGUAAUGCUACUAGAAAACAUUUCCUUCAGCAAAUCAGAACCACCCCAAUGCAUAUGCUAAAUCACAUUAACAUACAUAUAUAUCACAUAAGUUGUAUGCAUGCAUACAUAAACAGAUAUUAUACGGAACGUAACUUACACAUAAUUUAUAUAUAUCAUAGCAUAUCAUAUUCAUGGUCGAAUCAAAUAGCUUAUCAGAACAUAUAACAAAAUAUGUAUAACACACAUGGUUUACAAAAUAGUCAUGCUUAACUCACGUACCUACUUAUAGCUGAUAAUAUUACAUUAUUAUAUUUAUCAUAAUUUAUUUAACAUACUUCCUACACUUACCCAUGUUUGUUUUACUGAAAUUUAUGCUUUCUAGGCCUACAUAAUGCCCCCGGACCUAAAUUCUGAGUCCUUUAAUCGACUUUUAAUUGGCCCAAAAGACCUACUCGGCCCAAAAAGCUAGUCGUGUGGUCCAUAUAGUCUAUCCACACGAUCAGCACACGAUUAGCAUGAUCUCACACGGCAUGGGUUAUAAAAACACAUAUGGUCGUGUGCCCCACAUGGGCUACAAAAUCAUUCACGGUCCUGUGUCCCUCAUGGCCUAUCACACGAUUAUGUGUCACUGGGAAGUUUUAGAAAACAACUUUGUUUUACAUAUUUUCUGAAUUUUCGAUGAGUUUUUUGAGUUAAAUCACACGCUUGAUUGCUGAUUUUGAUGUAGAUUCGCGAAAGAACACACAAGAACCUAAAAUCAAUAUUCCAAAUGUAUUAGUAACAAAAUGCAAAACUAAAUCAAGAUUGACACACUAACAUAACAUUAAAGGACCUAGCACAAAAAAAAUAACAACAAUAUCUAAGUCGUCGAAGGAAUGCCCAACACCUAUUGUUCUUUUCCUAAAAACGAUUUGAACUCGUUAAGUACAAAAAAUACACAUUAAUACCAUACUACUAAAGUUUUGAAACCCUAAACGCCCAAUGAAGUAAUUUUAAUACAUGGCUGAAAAAAUGAAGGAUGAAGCAACCUUACCCUUAAUGACAAACUUAUAGCACAAAGGACGAAUGAUAAACAAAUUAACAAAAGAAUAAAAAAGAAGAAGAGAGAGAAAAAGCAUGAAAAAUUGGAAAACCAACCAUAAAGAAAAAAACUAACGAGAAAAUAAAGGGGGAGGGAAAGAGUGAGGGGAUGGUAUAUAAUAAAAAGAAAAUUUAGAAGAAAAUCUCUCUUCACUACUUUUAAAACUACCCAACUAACUCCUAGUGUCACGGGGCUAGACCUUUCGUCUUGCAAUCCAUGUGGCCUUAGGCUAUCCAUUCGUCUAAACUCUCCUAAGUCAGCCUCAACUCAAGUGAGGAUUUUUUUAGAACUCCUUCAAGGCACCAAAUUGAAUAGUAGAAGCGAUUUAUGCCAAGAGAAGAACAACAAAGAACAACAGAAAGAAUGCUCGCAAAGUGUUUGUGUAAAUGCUCUCUAUUCUCUUAUUCACAAAGAAUAAUGAAACAAUGAAUGGAGUGAGUACAACUAAGGGGGGCUCUCUAUUUAUAGUUGAGCUCCCCCAAAAUCGACGGUUAAGAUAUAUUUACAUCGACGGACGAGAUUAACCAUAUCCCUUUAUUUUAGGGAUUUACAAGAUAAGCCUUAUCAAAUCUAAUCUAAUCUUUACAAGAUAUGAUUCCCUCUAUCUUCUAAGAUUGGUUACCAUAUUAGCCUAAGUUGCCAUGUCUUUGUUAUUGGGCCAACCAAGCUUCAAUCUGACAGGCUUCUCCAAUAUCUCUUUGAAUCGGGCCAGUUCUUGUAGGACAAAUGAUCCCCAUUUCAACAAUAGACCCCCAUCGGAUGCAUUUGGUGCAAUGGUCACGGGCUUUGAACUGCGGCUUGUGACGUUCUCCCCCUCCUAUUUUCGCAAUAUCCUUGUUAUGACUUCUGAAUGGUACUAACUUGAUUCACCUCGGUCUCGUCUCGACGCCUUAGCUUUUCCCUUCCUUUGAGACUUUUGCUUUGGCUUACGUCGCUUCUUCACUCGAACCAUCCUACUCGUUUGCACAUCUCGAUGACAAGAAGUUAUGUCACUCUUUUGCCCAAAUUCUAACUUAACUCGAUCAGAAUCCUCUUGAUUCACCACACUUGGCUUUGCUUUGCCCACAGUCUCUCGACCUCUUUGCUCAAGAACUUUGAAAGGGCCACUACGUUCUUGCCAAGUCAAUAAGUUAGAAUGAAACACACUUUCAGAGUGUUCGGAAUGUACCUUUGCAUUUACUCUGGUCAACUGUCCCUCAUGCAUCACUUAUUUUUCCUUGAAGUCUGGUGUACUACCCACCUCUCCCAUAGGUGGAAGCCUUGUUGAUGACUUGGCCAACUCUGACGCUUCACUCAACUUGAGCCUCAUUGGUCCCAGCUUCAUUGUUUUCAUCGUAACUUUUUCCUCUAAGUCCAAUGACAAACUCACCUUUUCCUUGGGUGGAAGCCCCUCCGAUGACUCAACAAGCUCAAACGUUGCAUUUCCCUUGACUCUGGCUUACUUUAGACAAUUCUACAACUCAUGCGGACCACGACAUAAGAAGCACUUCACUUGCUUCUUUUUGCUCCUCUUUGCCCUAUUGGCUUCGACUUUUCCCUUGCUCAAACCAAGCUUUUUGGGCUCCUUGUCUGCUCCAUCGUUCCCCUCGAUGAUAGACUUUCUCGGACACUUACGCAACCUAUGCGGACCAUGGCACAAGAAGCACUCCACUGGCUUCUUCUCGCUUUCGGCCUCCUUGGCUUCGACAUCCCUUGCGCUCGAACCAAGUACCAAGGCCUUACCCACUGGCUUCUCUUUAAACGCGAAUUUCUUUGGACAUUUCUUUAACAAGUGUAGACCAUCGCAGAGAAAGCAUUUCAGCUUGUCCCUUUUCUUCUUGGGUUUCUUCUUUCCAACUCGUGGUUUCCCAUUACCACCAUUGUCGCCGUUGCCAUUACUAUCAACAAUAUCUUCCUUGUGAUCCAUUUCACAUACGCCCCUUUCCUCGGACUUGGAAGACCCAAGCUUGUCUUUCCCUAGACCAAGCUUGACCACGGAUUCAACUAUCGUCAUGUCUUCCGACAGCUUUUGGACCCUCUUUGUUCCACCUCCUGUCUGACCCACGACUUCAAUCCAUUUUGAAAAGCAAGCAAUGCUUCUCUUUCAGUCACCUCUGAAACUUGGAGCAUGAGUUCCUUGAACUCUCGAACAUACUCCCCUACUGUGCCCCGUUACGUUAUCCCCUACAACUUUGCCUGAGCUUCUUCCUCGGUACAUUCUGGGUAAAACUGUCCCUUCAAUUCGCAUUGGAACUCUUGCCACGUCCCAAUCUCACAUUGCCUUUUAUCUGUGAUCCUGCCUCGCCACCAUAAAAGCGCAAUGUCAGUAAGAAACAUUGAAGUAGUGUUUACCUUAACCGCAUCAUCUACAAUGCCUUUGGCACGGAAGUAGUUUUCUAUUCUCUACAAGAAAUUGUCCAUAUCGCAUGUAGACCUUGUCCCCACAAACUCUUUCGGCUUCGGGACAUCUUCGUUACUAAGUGCUGUACUUGACACUCCUUUCCCCACGGCUGCUCGGCACAAGGCCAGCUCUCCCUCGAGCUCCUCUAUUCUUAUGCUCAAAGCUCUCGUUGUGGCCAUUUUUUCCUCUUUCAAAGCCAUCAUCAUGGCCUCGAGAGCAUCGUUCCUUUCCUUCAGCUUCUUCUUUUGGGAAUCUAGCAACUCUUGCACGCUAUCCCUUUGAGAAGUGAGACACAUGGUCACAAAGUCCCUGGACUGCUCCCUCAAGUCAUCAAUGCUUUCCCCAAGCGCAUUGUUUGACUCUCUUGCAUCCUCCAUGGACUCCUCAAGUUUACCCACGCGUUCCUCAACAGUCGAAAACAUCUCCCUCAAAGACUUUCUCGCCCACCUUUCUUCAAACUCUUCUCUCGACAUCCCAACGGUGCCUUCGAACCAAAACUCAUAUAUCACUUGGUUCAAACCAACAGCUCGAAUACUACUUGGUUUGAACUUGGCUUGGAUACUUACUUGGUUCUAACCUUGCUUGGAUACCACUUGUCACGGAGCUAGACCUUUCGUCUCGCAAUCCGUGCGGCCUUAGGCAAUCCGUUCGUCCAAACUCGCCUAAGUCAGGCUUAACUCAAGUGGGGAUUCUUUUAAAACUCCUCUAAGGCACCAAAUUGAAGAGCGGAAGCGAUUUAUGCUAAGAGAAGAACAACAAAGAACAACAGAAAGAACACUCACAAAGUGUUUGAGUAAAUGCUCUCUAUUCUCUUAUUCACAAAGAAUAAUGAAACAAUGAAUGGAGUGAGUACAACUGAGGGAGAGGCUUUCAAUUUAUAGUUGAGCUCCCCCAAAAUUGACGGUUAAGAUACAUUUACAUCGACGGACGAGAUUAACUAUAUCCCUUUAUUUUAUGGAUUUACAAGAUAAGCCUUAUCAAAUCUAAUCUAAUCUUUACAAGAUAUGAUUCCCUCUAUCUUCUAAGAUUAGUUACCAUAUUAGCCUAAGUUGCCAUGUCUUCGUUAUUGGGCCAACCAGGCUUCAAUCUGACAGGCUUCUCCAAUAUCUCUUUGAAUUGAACCAGUUCUCGUGGGCCAAAUGAUCCCCAUCUCAGCAAUAGACCCCCAUCGGAUGCAUUUGGUGCGAUGGUCACGGGCUUUGAACUGCGGCCUGUGACACUAGUCGUAUCCACAUAAGAUUUUUCCCAAAGUUAAUAAUUUUUUUCCACUUUGCAUAUGUAAGGAUUUGAACAUAAGACCAAAGGGUAAGCUGAUACCUUACCAUCAAACCAACAGGCUCAUUCUUGUCAAUAGAUGCACUCAAAUAUUUCUUAAACCAAAUACCAAAAACUAGGGAUUUAGACAAAAUUUGCAAAAAUAGAAGCGAAAAGAUUCGAACCUAAAACCUUUCUCACACAAGCACAACCCUUAACCACUUAACUAGAACAAAUUACUUAACAUAAUUUCAAAAUCUUAACUCAAAAAUCACAAUAUGACCUCUCUAGGUUUCACUAACCCACUUUUUGCAUUUUUCCUUUUUAUUUUUCAACAAUUAAGGAUGAAAACUAAGUUAGUAUAAUAAAUAAGUGUGGUAGGAAAUAAUUAAGAAAUGUGUAAUAGACCAAUCGCCAAGCAUCACCCCAUUCUCCUUAUAGUCUUAAGUUCUAUCUAUACCAAUUCCCUUCCUUUUGUUUUAAAUCUCAACAAGAAGGUUUAUUUGCCAAAACAACCCCAAAAUUUGCACAACUUGGCCUUUUAACUCAUUUUCUAGUUAUAUUAGGAUUUUGGUUAUUUUUUCAAACCUAAUUAGAAUUUAUUUCUCCCUCAUUUUUAAAUACAUUUUUUAUUACUUCUCUUUUUCAUAAAAAUGUUCAUCAUCUUUUGUUGAAAAUGUUAAAUUCAAAUCUCGUACCCAACAUCAACCUCGUUCAAUCUAUUCUUCAUAAUGUUUUAGUGUAAUGUCGUCAAAAUCUGUUUCUAAUGUGCCAAGAUCGGUAAGAAUUCCUUUUUUAAUUUUGUAGAACUCUAAAAAUCUAGUAUAAUACAUCUUGAUAAAUUUUCUAAAAUUAAUUCUAAAUAUUUAAUGGGUUUUCUUGAAAUCUAGUUAAAACUCGAUAAAUCUUAAACAUCAAUAGUAAUUAUUACAUUUUCAUCGAUUAAAAGACCUAUUGUAAGUAUCCCAGAUCAAUUUUGGACAUAAGGAUCAUCAUACGAGACCCCAUAAGUUAUAUGUGUGUUCUUUUGCUAGAAAAUUGAGACAAAAUCGAACCCAACCCAGACCACACGACCAUGUGACCCACAUGGCCUAGACCCUCCCACACGAUUGUGUGUCCCCUGUAACACAGCUUUACAAUUUUAACCUAAAAAUUUUAGAUACUACACAAAUUAGUCCCUAAUUGGUUCCCAAAUUCUAGUGUUUGGAUGAAUCUAUGUAAAAUAUUUUUGUUGUUUGACAGAUUUCCUGAAAAUAUUUUCCAGAAAAAUUGUUUUUACAUAUAUUAAUAUAUUUAUAUAUAUAUUAAAUUGUUUUUACAUAUAUUGUAAUGAUUUAUUUAUAAAUAAAUAAAUCUAAUUAAAUAUAUAAUAAUACUUAAUUAUUAAGUUAGAAUAUUAACCAUCAUAAAUUGAAAACAACCAAAGUCAAAUAAAUUAUUUGUAAUUGUACUAAAAUAUUUAGACAAAUAAUUUUGGCAAGAGUGAAAAAUAUCUGAAAAUAUAUAUAAAAUUACACAAAUUAAACUAAGUUUAACAAUCAAAACUCCGAUGUUUUGAGUUUAAAAUUCAUUAUUUUAGAUUUAAAUUACUUUAUUAAAAAGAUUUAUCAUGUUGCAAUUGAAACCCAUCUACCUCUGGCUGCAAUUUUUUAAGGAUUAAAGACUUAACUAUUUGAUUAGUAGGGUGGUUAGGAAUUUGAUAUAUGACAGAUAGAAUAGAAGACAAUGACACAUUCAGUAAUCUUAAAGCAUGGUGUUGAUGAAUACAAAGGAGUUUUAAUGAAUAUGAAAUGCGUGUAGCCUACGACUAUGGAACAAUUUCAUCAUUUACUGUGUUCAAAUCAAAAUGCAAGGGAUCAUUAUUUCCAAUUUCAACUCAAUAAACCUGAUUUUUCAUUCCUAAAACCAGCUUUGAACCUAAACUUUACCAUCCCUUGCCUAUGAGCCAUAACCAGUCAAGUGUGACCCUUGCAAAGAUACCUCCUAGGAGAAACAAAACAAGCAAAUUCCCUAGGAGAAACAAUUGUCGAGUUAAUAAUGGAGGGGUGAUUUGAGGGCUUUGGAAUGUUUGGAUGAAAUUGGUGGAUUUUUAAGGGGUAAUUAAGAAAUGGCCCUAAUUUGUCAUUUUGGUACAACCGCAAGGGACCCUUUGCAGUUGUAGCCGCAGUUUUUCUUUCACCACAUGCAAGAAUUUGCUGAAUGUUAUAUUUUUAAUAAACUGUACGAACUAGAUAAAUGAAUCAUUGAAUCGUAAAUUGACAGCAAACUUUAUUCAAAAACAUUGAAAUUCAAUUUUAUUGUUCAAGAUUUUGAUGUUUGUAUAUAAUACUGUCAAUGUACACUUCUUAAUUUGAACAUCUAUAGAACUGUCAGGAUCUGCCUGCUGAACUUUUUGUGUAUGAAGAAAGGGUUGGAACUUGGAAGUUGCGAGUCGCUACAAAGACGGAAGGAGCCAAAGAUUGAAGAGAGUUGAAGCAAAGGAUAGAAACCACGACAUGAAAGCCAUAGCUGCAAACAACUGAUAUCUACUGCAUAUCUUUGACGAGUAAUAUGUCGAGCUGACAUUGACCAAGAGACUUCUCACACUAGCAGUUGAGCAAGCCAUGGCUAGUGAGAGAAAUGACAAGGCCUGCAAUCAGGUAAAACACAUGUUUUUACAUCAUAUUAUGAUAAGGGAUAACACCAUGGUGAUGAUAUGCAUAAUAAGCCUUGUAACAUACCCAGUCUCCAACAAUGACAACCAACAGUACCCUUGGUUGUUGUGGUAAGCCUUUAACGAACACGAAAUAUGUAUCAACCAAUGCUAAUGACACACUCCAUGGAGUCACUAAACCCAUGACUGUCACCAAGUAGCUACGAAAAAAUUUAAAGGAAAAUUGGAGAUUGAUUUAUCACCCAACAAUUGGUGAGCAACAAUGAAAACACGAACAUUAUCUUCUAUAUCAUUAUAUCUAAUGAGCAAUUGAAAAUUAUAGUUUGUACCUGAUACAGAAGCUUUAGUAGUCCGAGGUCGUUCAUACACUCGGAAGAAAACUCAAAAGGGGGGAUCAAAGUCAAAGUCCAGACUCGGGAAAGAUGAAUGUGCUUUUUGUCAUGAGAAAGGCCACUGGAAGAAAAAUUGUCCAAAGCUGAAGAAUAAGGGAAAAGCUGCUGUAGAUGCUUGUGUUGCAAAGCAUGAUACUAGUGACUCUGAACUAUCACUGGUUGCAUCAUCAUCGUCGUUCCAUUCAGAUGAGUGGAUAUUGGAUUCGGGUUGUACCUAUCAUAUGUCCCCUAACCGGGAGUGGUUCUCUGAUUUAGUAGAACUAAAUGGAGGAGUUGUUUAUAUGGGCAAUGACAAUGCCUGUAAAACUGUUGGGAUAGGUUCAAUCCAAUUAAAGAAUCAAGAUGGAUCAACCAGAGUUCUGACUGAUGUUCGGUACGUGCCCAGUUUGAAGAAAAAUCUCAUCUCAUUGGGAGCCUUGGAAUCCAAUGGUUCAGUUGUUACUAUGAGAGAUGGGAUUUUGAAAGUGACAUCUGGCGCACUUGUGAUAUUGAAGGGCAUCAGGAAAAAUAACUUGUAUUACUACCAAGGUAGUACAGUUAUUGGAGCAGUCGCUGCAGCUUCCGGUAACAAAGACUUGGACUCAAUGCAGUUGUGCCAUAUGAAGUUGGGACAUGCCAGCGAAAAAUCCUUGCAAAUUCUGGCAAAGCAAGGAUUGUUGAAAGGUGCAAAGGCUUGCAAAUUAAAAUUUUGUGAGCACUGUGUUCUGGGAAAGCAAAAGAGAGUGAAAUUCGGCACUGCUAUCCAUAAUACAAAAGGUAUUUUGGAAUAUAUUCACUCAGAUGUGUGGGGGCCUUCCAAAACACCUUCGUUGGGAGGAAAACACUACUUUGUUACUUUUGUUGAUGACUUUUCCAGAAGAGUUUAGGUGUAUACCAUGAAAACUAAAGAUGAAGUGCUUGGAGUUUUUCUUAAAUGGAAAACUAUGAUCGAAAACCAGACUGGCAAGAAAAUCAAGCGGCUUAGGACGGACAAUGGAGGGGAAUAUAAAAGUGAUCCGUUCUUCGAUGUGUGCCAAGAGUAUGGUAUUGUUCGACACUUCACAGUUAGGGAUACACCACAACAGAAUGGAGUGGCAGAGCGUAUGAAUCGAACAUUGCUGGAGAAAGUUCGAUGUAUGUUGUCCAAUGCUGGGUUGGGCAAGCAAUUUUGGGCUGAGGCUGUGACAUACGCUGGCCAUCUUGUUAAUCGUUUGCCAUCGUCUGCAUUAGAAAGAAAAACUCCUAUGGAGGUAUGGUCUGGAAAACCGGCUACAGAUUAUGAUUCCUUACAUGUGUUUGGAUCCACUGCAUAUUACCAUGUGAAGGAGUCAAAGUUAGAUCCGAGGGCAAAGAAAGCUCUCUUUAUGGGAAUCACUUCUAGAGUGAAGGGAUUUCGUCUUUGGUGCUUAAGCACAAAGAAAAUGAUCUGUAGCAGAGAUGUUACCUUUGAUGAAUCUGCCACAUUGAAAAAGGUAGCAGAUAAAGAUAUUCAGACGAGCAAUACUCCACAGCAGGUGGAGUGUACUCCAAAACAGGUGGAGUUUGAGCAGAUGGGGAUUUGCCCAGUUAAUAAGUCUAAUUCUCCAGCCACAAUGGAGGAAUUAGAGGUUGAAGAGGUUCUGACCCAAGAACCACUAAGUACACCAGAACCAGUUGCAGUUGCAAGGCCACGGAGAGAAAUUCGUAAACCUGCUCGAUUUACUGAUAUGGUGGCCUACGCCCUUCCCGUUGUUGAUGAUAUUCCUAUCACUUAUCAAGAAGCAAUGCAAAGCUUAGAAAGUGAUAAAUGGAAAAGCGCCAUGGAUGAAGAAAUGCAGUCUCUCCGGAAGAACAAUACUUGGGAGUUGGCGCAAUUACCGAAAGGUAAAAGGGCAAUCGGAUGCAAGUGGGUAUUCGCAAAGAAAGAUGGAUCUCCUAGCAAGAAGGAUAUUCGCUACAAGGCAAGAUUGGUAGCUAAAGGCUACGCUCAGAAGGAGGGAAUUGACUACAAUGAUGUAUUUUCCCCUGUUGUGAAGCAUUCCUCCAUUAGAAUUUUGUUGGCCUUGGUAGCACAGUUGAAUUUGGAGCUAGCUCAACUUGAUGUUAAGACGGCUUUCUUGCAUGGUGAGUUAGAAGAGGAGAUCUAUAUGACUCAGCCCGAAGGAUACACAGAUGCUGGUGGUAGAAAUUGGGUUUGUAAGCUGAACAAAUCGCUAUAUGGAUUGAAGCAAUCCCCGAGGCAGUGGUACAAGCGAUUUGAUAGCUUUAUGAGAAGGCAGAAGUACACAAGAAGCAAAUAUGACAAUUGUGUAUAUUUGCAGAAGCUGCAUGACGGAUCUUUCAUUUAUCUACUCUUGUAUGUUGAUGAUAUGUUAAUCGCUUCGAAGAGCCAAAAUGAGAUAGAUAAGCUGAAGGCUCAGUUGAAUCAAGAGUUCGAGAUGAAAGAUCUAGGUGAGGCCAAGAAGAUUCUCGGCAUGGAGAUAAGUAGAGAUAGACAGAGAGGCAAGCUUUGUUUGAAUCAGAAGCAAUAUCUGAAAAAGGUAUUACAAUGUUUUGGUGUAAAUGAAAACACAAAACAUGUAAGUACCCCACUUGCUUCUCAUUUGAAACUUAGUGCUCAAUUAUCUCCGAAAACUGAAGAAGAAAGAGAAUAUAUGGCAAAAGUCCCAUAUGCUAAUGCAGUUGGGAGUUUGAUGUAUGCGAUGGUGUGUACGAGGCCUGACAUUUCACAAGCUGUUGGAGUUGUGAGCAGGUAUAUGCAUGAUCCUGGAAAAGGACAUUGGCAAGCUGUGAAAUGGAUUCUACGGUAUCUUCGAAAAACCGUAGAUGUUGGUUUAAUUUUUGAACAGGAUGAAGCACUUGGUCAGUUUGUAGUUGGAUAUGUUGAUUCCGACUUUGCUGGUGAUUUAGAUAAACGUCGUUCAACUACGGGGUAUCUGUUUACUCUUGCGAAAGCCCCAGUGAGUUGGAAGUCUACCUUACAGUCUACAGUAGCUGUGUCUACUACAGAGGCAGAAUAUAUGGCAGUUACAGAAGCUGUUAAGGAGGCUAUUUGGCUUAAUGGAUUAUUGAAAGACUUGGGAGUUGUUCAAAGUCACAUUAGUCUAUAUUGUGACAGUCAGAGUGCUAUUCAUUUAGCGAAAAAUCAAGUCUAUCAUUCAAGAACCAAGCAUAUCGACGUAAGAUAUCACUUUGUGCGGGAAGUCUUUGAAAAAGGAAAAAUUCUACUUCAGAAGAUUCCGACAGCAAAUAAUCCCGCAGAUAUGAUGACCAAGGUGGUAACAACAAUCAAGUUUAAUCAUUGUUUGAACUUGAUUAACAUCCUGAGAAUUUGAGCACCUUUAGGUGUAUGGCGCUCGAGAGCGCAUUUGGAGGCACUACAAAAGAUAGCUUUAUCGAAUUUGGGGAGUUGAAGGAAGUAUGUGAAGAUGUGAUUAUCCUAAUCAAAUCUUCAAGGUGGAGAUUGUUGAAAAGUCAACAAAGGUAGGAAGCAACUUGUUAAAAAGGUUGAGCAAGUUGCACCGAAUGUUGAAAAGUUGAAUGGGAUAAUUGCAAUUUUGGUCCCUAAUUUUUUAGGCCAUUUGCAAGUUAGUCCCUGAACCUCAACUAUAAAUAGGCCUUUUCAUUUUUCAUUUCAACGAUCCCAACCAAUCUUUCUCUCUUAGUUUUCUCUCUUCUCCCAUUUGAGAAUUCUUAAGGAAUUCUAUUUAUUUGUAAUACUUUGAAGAUAGUAAAGUUAUCAUCUGGUGUUAGUGCCCGAGGACGUAGGUAUAAUUUACCGAACCUCGUUAAAACUCUUGUGUUCUUUCUUGUCCUAUUUUUCUUUCAAUAUUUGAGGGUAUAAUAGUAGUAUUUAAUUGUGCUAUUAAAUUACUAUAGAAGGGAUAUUCUGUCUAAGGAAAGACUUGGUAUUUAAGAGAUCCAUGUGAUCCACCUCUCUUUCCUGGGAAUUGAACUUUGUGUGAUUUUUUAGUACAAUAAUUUACACGCUUCCGACCCUAUUGGAACAACACACAUAGCAUCUCCAUCGAAGAAAAUUGGAGAUAAGAAGUUUCAAAUAACAAUUUUUCUGAAGUACAGAAUAAAGUGGUUAUAUUCAUUGUCUUAAGAUUGAUCCAGAUGGUUUGUGCUAAUCUAUAGAAGUUAGAUAGCAGAUACAGACAGUGCCUCAUUAUCUAGUUUCAUCUUUCCAGAAACAUGCAAAACAGGAGGACCCAAGUCAAGGAAUAAAGUUUAAAUGCAAAAGCCAUACAAGACCACUAUCCACUUUUACAAUUUCACCUUGUUAACUAUCUUGAUUCCCUUGACAUCAAGCUUAAUCACCCUUGAUAUUAGCACUUGAUGAGCUACUUGACUCCGGCCAUUUUGUUAAUUGCUUAAAUUAAGGCCUUUUUCUUGGACAAAUGCUCCCAACAUUGUGCAUUUUAUACACAAAAACAGACACAUUUUUUCCAUUUCCAUUCACCUAGUGAAAACUUUUAACAGAGGAAGAAGAAUAACAAAUAAUUUUAAUCUGAACAGAGUUGAAAAUAAGAAGUCUGGAAAUCCAGCCUUGGAUAACAAAUAAUAUCAGCAAAUAAGUUAUAUUCUAUGGUCUAGUUCAACAACUAGCCAAGUAACAGGUCAUGUACAUUGAGAAUAGUUUUGAUAACUCUAAUUGUUGAAAGUCCAAAUUCAGUCAUCCAUAAAAAAAAAGCAAUUGAUCUUUGCAUAUCCCUGAAUCAAAAUAGACUCUCAGAUAACUUUACCCUUUCAAUCAUUAAAUGGCACCUUUCCCUGCAGUCAUCCAUAAGCAAGAAGCAAGAUUUCCUAAAAAUCGCUUUUUUUUAAACCUUAAAUCCUUUUGUUUUCAUAAAAAAAAUUCACCUAAUUCAUUUUCUGCCCAAGCCCAAAGGCCCAUCCCUUCAAACAAUUUCCAUGAAGAUACCAGUAGGAACCAGAAUUACUUUUGCUCUCUCCAACAUGGUAAAGCUGCUAUUUUACAUGGCAAAAAGACACACAAAGCAUCCAAUUCCUUAAAAACCAAUCGCUAAAAUGAUCACGAUUGUGAUAGUUUUUCCCUGGAGGUUCCCAAAGUAACAUCAGAACCAGCUUUUAAAAGUUGACAACGAAUUGAAUUCCGAGCAAAUAUCAGAAACAAAGAGGCAUGAGUAUUGAAGAUUAAAAGCCAAAGAGAGGAAGAAAGAUAAAAUAUGACCAAAUAAAUGGAAGAAUCUUAAAACGUUGACAGUUACCUGAAAGAAGUAUAGCUAUAGAAUUCAACAUCCAAACACAUAAAGAGAAGUGAAGCAGCGGAGAAAACAGUUUGUCCCAAACGAAGAGCCAAGCUGGCGCUUGUUCCCAACGCCCCUGGCACUGGUUCCAUCGUCCCUCAUGUCAACUUAUCUCUCUGUUUCUUCAUCUUUAGUGUAUUCCCCUAAAACCCAAUAAAAAAGCAGAGGCCAAACGCUAGGAGAAGGGAUUGAAACAAUAGAAUUCAUGGUAGAUUUGCCUGAGAAAGAGAGGAAACGAAACAGAAUAUGCUGAGAAGAGAAGAUAUACGACGGACUUUUACCUGGAAGAGAAGAUGAAGAACGGAAGAAGGAAAAUGAAUGAAGAACGGAAAAAGGAGAAGGAGCCUUACCUGGAUGAAGGAGGAACCGGAAAAUGGCUUACAGAAAUGAAAUCCAUAAAACAUUUUCCCCUAAAAUCCAUUUAUUUUACUCGUGUCUUGGAAAAUCAGGAAAACAUUUUCCUGCAAACAAACAGACCCUCAAUUUAAACACUGGCAAUGAUGAAUUUUGAAAUUAACUCUUUAAAUAGAAAUGACUUCAUUUAUUGCUCUAUUCAUUUUCUGUUGGGGAUCAACUCAAUUAAAGGCUUAUUUAGUAUUACUUAAGAAAAGUAUUUUUGAUUCUAAAAGUAUUUUUGAAAAAAAACUGUGCUAAACAAGUUAUUUUUGGUUGAAAUUUGUGUUGCAUAGUCAUCGACAAUCCUUUGCUGCAUCGUUUUUCAUUCUGUUUCUCUUCGCUUCGCUUUCUCCAGUAAAACCACCUGCCAUUUAGUUUCUCAUCAUUCCUCUCUUUCUUCUUCUUCCUUCUUUUUUUUUUUUUGCAUACAUAAAUUUAUCCCUGCGCCAGACUGCUCUAUUAUGCUGCAACUGCUUUGACGUCUUUGCCUUGUACAAUAUAGUUUAAGUUUGAUCUUGUUUCUAUUUUUAUCUCUUCCUUUUCAUGUUCUUUGUACUUGUAAUAACCAUUUACCGUAGAUUCAAAAAAAAAAAACUUUGCUUAUUUUCUUUUAUAUAUGUGGGCUAGAAGACUUCAUUAAUUGAAGGAAGAGGGAGACUCCAUUUGAGAUUGAGGUGAGUUUUCUUGGCUUUUUUCGAAGAGUUCUGUCUUAGAAACUAAUGGAGCUGCAGUUGGCUUUAAAGGGUUUGGAAUUUGCCCAGAAGAAGAAGAAAUGGGUUGCUUUAAUGGCGGCUUUUGGUUUAAGCAGUUAUGGUUUCUAUAGAUUUUAUCACUUUCCUAUUAUUGCUCAAAAGCGAAACAGAGGGUGAGGAUGGGCGGUGCGUUUACCUGCGGUUAGUGUAAAAACAGCGGUGGCGGUGAGAUUAAAUAUUGUAGCGUGAGACAAAAAGUAAGCUAAACGCACCGCACCGCACCCAAUCGCCCAUCCAAACCCACCCAGAGUUUUAAAGCUUUUACGAGCUUUGGUUUCCAUUACUGAAGCCGUCUCUGAUUGUCCUAAAGCAAUAAGAGUUGUUUCUAGUGAUUUGAAUGGUUUUUUCCAAUCAGAAUUAGACCAAAUUCCUAAUAGUCUGCCCUAUUGACGAGUCAUUACUACAUUUUUUUAUUUAUUAAUAUUACAUAAUCUCAUUACAAUUUAUAACCUUCAUUUAAGAAUGAAUAAAAGAAAUCAAGGAAUACAAAUUAACGAUUACAUAAUCACAUUACAAUGGCAUUGUAUUCAAAGUGUUUCUCAAAAUAACCAUCUCAACUUUUAAUAUAAUAUCAAAUUUAGUUAUUAAUAUUUAUACUCUCUUAUCAAUUUCACCUUUCUUUUUUAAAAACUAAAUUUAGCUAUUAAUUUUUUUUAAAAAAAGACUUAAAUUAUUUUUAAGCUCCAUAUAUAUUUCAUGUUAAUAUGACAAUAUUUGUCUUAUAUAUCACGUCAAUAAAUAAUUUAAAAUUUUAAAAAAUAACAUAAAAUACACGUAGAUAAAUACAAUAAUUUAUCUUAUCAUUUAUUUAUUAUAUAUUUUUUUAUUGAAACAGUGAAUUGGAUUCCUACAAAAGAAGUAUUUGAUAGGCUCAUUUGAAUUGUUACUCAAACAACUCCAUUUUAAGCUCUCCUUAAUUGCACUUGUAAGUACCUCGUCUUACUUACAUGUUUUAAUUUAAUACAACAUUUUUUUGAGAUAAAAUCCAUGUUAGUGAUUUGAAUUAAGGCAUAAUAUCUGACAUAUCUCAUUGUGAUAUUACUAUUUUAGGUUAAACGUAUUCAUUUAAUUAUGUAAGUAACACGUUUCUUAUUUUUUUAAGAUAUAAAUAAACAAACAUAAAUAGUAAUAAACAUAUUAUAAAUAAAUAAAAGAAACACACAAACAAUAAUAGUACUAAUUAUAUAAUUAAACAAUAGUUGAUUUUAAAUAAUUUACUAAACCAGUUUUAAACUAGCAUGAAGAUAACCAGUUUGGAUAUGUUUUAUUUAUAUUAGGUUAAUUUAAUAAAUAAAUUUUAAAUUUUUAUUAAUGUUGAUUUAUUUAACUUAACGAACGAAUAUAAAUAAACAAAGAUCCAACUCAUAAACUAUUUAGUUACAGCUUUAAACUUAACUUAUAUAUAUUUAGAAUGCUUAAGUAACAGUAAUUUAUUGUCAACUUUAGACUUCAAGAACUACGAAAUGGAUAAGAGUUGGAUGAAUUUGUCAACGGUAAGCAACGAAUAUUAAAAUAGAGUACUAACUUUUGUAAAUUAGUUUGCAUUUAAAUUCUUAUAUUUAAAUAAUUUAUUUGAAGUGAUUGAUCUACAAGUUAACUCAUGCAUUAACUUAUAUUUAUACUUUAUAUGAGAAUAUUUUAAUUUUUUAUAAUUAAUAAAUUUUAAUUUACAAUUAAUUUUUACAUUAACUAACUAAACUUUUAUAAAGAAAAUUAGAAACCCAUCGGUUAAAAACUAGUUAUUUUUCCUUUUAAAAAAUCUAGUUAUUUUUUUUUUAAAAAAAGUAAUGUUUUAUUAUUUUAUAUAUUUAAUAUAAAAUUAUAUAAAUAUUUUAUUUUAUUUUCCAUGAUUCUCUACGUCCGUUUUAUGUUCAUGUUCGGGUUUAUUAAACUAAUAUUAAAAUUAUGCAUUUUAAUAUUUAUAUUAAUAUAUUAAUUUAAAAUAAAAACAUAUAUUUUAAUUUUUUUAUUUAUAUACAUUAAUAUAUAAAUAUUUUAUAUUUUAUUUUAAACUAUAUAAAAAAAAGAUGUUAAGGGUAAGAUUAGACCUGUCCAUGGGCCGGACGGCCCGCCCAAAAUAUGGGAGGGUUCGGGUAAAAAUAGGCCCGAAAAAUGGGUUUGGGUAAAAAAUUAGGCCCAUUUAGAAAAUGGGCCGGGCCUCGGGCACAACUUUUUUGGCCCGGGCCCGGCCCGAAUAUAAUAAAUAUUUUUUUAUUUUUUAAUUUUAAAUUAUUUUUAAAAUACUUUUAUUUUUAUUUUUUAUUUUUAAAAUACUUUUUUGGUGUUUAUUAAAAAAUGGGCCGGGUCGGGCCUGGACAAAAUUUUAGGCCCAUAUUUCGGGCCGGGCCGAAAUUUUUUUCUGGGCCCAGCCCAUGGACAGGUCUAGGUAAGAUGAUAAAUUAAUAAAUAACACUUAUGUUUUAACUCAUAGAAAAUACAUGGUAAGAAGAUUAACUGUUAGGGACAAGUGUAAGCCGUGUUACCUUAUCCCCUGCCCCUAAUAUUGUAUCGAAAAACGCUUGGUAAGAAGAGUGAUAUAUAUCCAAUUUUCAACAACCAAACAAUUUGAUGUAGUAGCAUCUAUCUUUUAUCCAUCAUUUGAAAGUUGAGUGUUAUUUAACACAACACUCCUCUUUUACAUCAAGCCUACCAAAUGUGACCAGACUAUCAAUUUGGCUAUGAUUCUAUAUAAAACGAUAAAAAAAUUGAGUUUUUUAAAAUUAGAAAUCUUGAAAAUACAUAAAUUUGAAAAUUAAAUAAAAAUAGAUAAAAUUUAAAAAAUAUAUAGAUAAGUGAGAGAAAAUUAGGGAAAAUUAUUUUUCAUUAUGAGAAAAGAAUGAGAAAAAAAGAUUAGAUUUGGUUUUUUUUUUUAGUUUGGAUUUUGAAUAAUGUUGAAAAUUUUGAAGUUGUCGCAGGGUGUUAUGGGAAUUGCCCACUACCCCAACCAUUAUGACAAAACAACUUGCCAUAUUUGGAAGAUUGGCAAUUUAUUGAUCUGUAUCUUUAGAUUGAGCUGAUAUUGUAGAGCGAAUCAAGCUCAUCAAUAAAGAUCAUAUCACUUGGAGAAACUUAUUUAGAAGAUUAGAUCGGGUUGGAUUGGAUUGCUUAUAUCAAAUUCUAUGGAUAAAGGAAGUUGAAUCGGAUCGAAAAAGUAAAGAUUUAGCCGCCAACCAUCAAUGUUUAUUGUGGUUGUUUAUAUUAUAUUGUAUUUAGCUAUUUUAGUUGUUGUUUAGUAAGGAUUGUGAUAGAUCUUCAUUAUGUUAGCAAGUCUCGAAAUCUCUAUAUAAUUAAGAGACUUGUAUAGGUUGAUGCACAAAUUAUUAAGAGCAUUUAUAUGUUCAAGUGAGGAACAUUAUUUUGCAAGAGUGCAUUUGUGAUUGUAAAAUUUUGUAUUGUGUUGUGCAUUUGUGAGGAACAUUAUUUGUGAUUGUAUUAUUUAGUGGUGAGUGAUCUAGUCUUCGAAGGUAUAAGAGUGAGGAAUCAUCAUUGAGAUGUGAUACAUUUAGGUUCACUAGUUGUAAUUGUUUAAAUGUAGUGAUUCUUCUCAUUGACCAAGGCUUCACAAAUGUAUGGAAACUGAACUGCAUAAACAAAUUUUAAUGUUUCCUAUUUUGUUUUUGCUUAUCAUGGUGCUUGUAGAAGUGCACACUUUUGCAGUCACUACUGCUCAUACAUUGCUUGUUACUUAGCAACUAUUUUAGAUCAACAAAAAAUCAUUUAAAUGAAUUAAAUUUUAUUAAUAGAGUUUGAAAAAGAAUAUUUUCUUGUAUAUUUUGCAUUUUUUUUUACUAAAAGAAAGGGAUCAAAUUCAAUUUCACAAGUCUUAGUGAGAUUAGUUUGAAAGAAGUUCUUCAAUAGCAUGGAACUUGACUGGAAGGUGUUACUAAAUUUGUCAUAUUUUGUUUUAAAUUUGUUAUUGGAUUCUAUUGAAUAAUCUUUUUCUUUCUUAUGUCUCAGUAUUGAACAAUCUUGAGCUUUAUUACAACACAAGAACAUUAGUUUCUAAUCACAAUUAAGCUUUGUGCAAAAUGAAUAUUAUAUUAAGAUAUUGAAAUUGAUCUAUUUCUUUUAUCCAUUUUCAUGAUUUAUGGCAAUGUUGAAUAUUUUGCUGUAGAAAUCAUAAUUUUUAUAUAGAAUUUUCUAUUUUUUAAAAAUAAUAUUGAGUUUUUAAAAUUAAUUUUAUAUAGAAUAGGGUUAAAUGGAGAGAAAGUAUAAAAGUUAAGGGUUAAAAUUGUCAUUAUACUAACUAAAAAAGUGUGGUUGUUAGCUAUUUAAUAGUUGGGUAAAAAAAUAAUUUCAAAAACGUUAGUGGCCAAAUUGUAACUCUUUUAAUUAAAAGACACAUAAUUGAGGGAUUAAUAGUGUAAUUUAACCUUAUCUUUUUUAAACAUAUGGAUUAAUUCACAUUUAUUUGGAAUGUGUUAUUAAUUCACAUAUGAAUUUAAGUAGUGGUGGAGCUAGAAAAUAUUUUGGGGCUAAAAUUAAAUUGUAUAUUUUUAUGAUAGCAAGAAUGCAAUUUCACUAUUUUAUGAUAUCUUUAUAAUUUUUAAAGGAUUAAAUCAAUUUUUUUUAUCAUUUUUGAGAUUAAAGUGUAAUUUUACUAUUAUUAAUUUAAAAUUUUAUAAAUUAUAAAGGACAUAAGUGAAAAAUUUUCCAUUAAUCAACACCCUUGGCUCUACCACUUGAUCGAACACAUAUCACGAGUCCUUUCCCGCGUGUGUCAGAUUUUGUUUAUAUGGUUGAAAUAUCAUCACAUGUAUUUAUGUUUGAAUACACAUCACAAAACCUUGAGUUGCUUCGGCAUGACCUAGAUAAAAAAAAAUGGAGAAACAUGAAGGUAGCUUAGAAGAAUCCAAAAGCAAUAAACGAAAGCUAGACAAAAGGUUGAAAUCAUCAUUAACCAAGCCUUUACUUUUUCUAACUCCAGGAAGAGUCCAUAUUCGUUGAGAAAAUCGGCAAAGACUUUGGUAUCUUUUGGAAGGACUUGUAAAGAAACAAUUUUUUAUAUUUACGUUCUGUAAUGUUUUUCAUAUUAACAUUAUUGAUGUUUCUAAAUUUACCUUCUGUAAUGUUAGAGUUAGUUGAAGAGUCGUCAGAUUCUGGAGAGGAAUCAAUUUUUAGUCAUCAGCAUAGGAUGGAAGAUGAGAAGUUGCUGUCGGCAGUGUUGGGAGAGCAAAGGAGAAGGUAAGAAGACUGCAACUCAAGAGGAUGAAGGCAAAUCAGAAAUGGGUAGAUGACAGAAUUGUGAAUAGGACUCUCAGAUUCUGGGAAGCGUGUAGAGAUCGACGAAUCAGUUUGCGGUGAUUGCUGCGGUCCUCUCCAACAAGGAGCCAAUUGUUUUGCAGACACAAAGGCUGUGGAUGGGAUGGAAAGUUUAUGGUUAAACUAUUCCCCUUAAAUUCACGUCAGUAUAAAAUAAAAUGUAAAUUAAUUUAAAAUUUUAAAAUAAUUUUAUUUUAAUUUUUAAGUCUAAGAAUUUUGAUGAGUUAAAAUUAUAAGAUAAAAGGCUUAUUUAAUUACAAAAAUAAUUUAAAAACUUGUUUAAACAAAAUGUAAUAAUUUAACCAAAUUUUUAAUAUAUUAGCCAAAGAAAUUCAUCUAAGUAAGAAAUGAGAUUCAAUUGAAGUUAACAAUGAAAAUUGCUUUUAAUUUGCCCAACAUUAGACCAAUACAAAUAAUUGUAAGUUUUGUCAAAAUUCUUAGUUUUCUUUUUUAAUCUUUGAUUAAUGAGCAGUAUUCACAUACUUUGUUUUUGCUUAUAGUUCAAUACAUCUGUCUUCAAUUUAACGAAUAAAUGCUACUGUCGAAACCAUUUUUUAAAAUAAAAAUAGUGUCGACUUUUAUUUUGUAAACGAAAACAAAAAAAAAAAACUAGAGUCGCCACUAGAGGUGCUCAUAACGAUCGGCCCGCCCGAAAUAUGAGAGGGUUUGGGCAAAAAUUUAGGCCCGAAAUAUGGGCUUGGGCAAAAAAAUUAGACCCGUUUAGAAAACGGGCCGAGCCUCGGGCAUCGCUUUUUUGGCCCUGGCCCGGCCCGGCCCAGCCUGAAUAUAAUAAAUAUAUUUUUUUUUAUUUUUUUAUUUUUAAAAAUAUUUUUAAAAUACUUUUUUUAAAAUUUUUUUUAAAAUACUUUUUUUAAAUUUUUUAAAUUUUUUUGGUGUUUAUUUAAAAAAAUAGGUCGGGCCCGGGCUUAGGACACGGGCCGAAAUUUUUUUACGGGCCCAGCCUGAACCCGACCCGGUCCAGCCCAUGAGCACCUCUAGUCGCCACUGAUAUUUUUUUUAGGUGUGAUCAGAUCACCUUAAAACAAUUUUGGUCUACGAAUAAAAAUGGGUUCGGGAGCCAGUUACGCACGAGGAAGGAUUAGCACUCUUGUAACACCCAAAAUUGGUACCGAAUUGAUUAAUUAAUAUCUUAAAGUCGAAUGUCGAAAAUUUGAAAAGGUUAAAAAUGAUCCCCCUCUUAUUAAUAACAUAUUUUUUAAACAAUAUUUGUAUAAAUUUGAACAUAUGUAGAAAGACCCUCUCAUCUCGAGGCAAUAAAAUGUCGUAUCCCGUAAGUUAUAGGAUGCAACAUUUGAAUACUCAAGCAUAAGCUAACCUUUAAAAACCUUUAUUGAAACUUUGUGUAUUUGAAAACUAAAAAUAUUUGACCAUCUUGGUUCAAUGAGGAAAUCGAAACCCUGUAAGUUAGGGCACAGUUCCUUGAAGUUCCAAAGACGACAUAUAAGUUUGCCUUUAUUAAGAAAAACCUCAUCUCGAGAUAUUGAAAUGUCAUAUCCAAUGAGUUAGGACACAACGUAUCGAAUUCCCGAGAUAAGCUUUGAUUUGAAAUUUUUACAUUUGAAUUGAAAAAGGGAUACUCGGUUACUUAAAUUCAACGAGGAAAAUUGAAGCCCAGUAAGUUAGGGCACAAUCUUCUCGAAAAUCUUGGAUACCGAGUAUUGCUUUAUUUUGAAAACUUUUGAAUAAAACGAUUUUAAUGCUUUAAUGAAUCGUAAUCUUUUUGACAAAUGAAAUGCAAUGGAUGACAAUGUAUAACGCGAAAUGAUAAUUCAUAAACUAAAAUGUACGCUAAUGAGCAGCAAAGAAUCAAUAAAUACGAAUAAACAAUACCAUACAUAUAAGAGCAAUAAUCUCACAUCACAUGUAAAUAUCAACAUUUAAAAGCUACUGAACUAAAAGCUAAUCUUAAAAGAAGUACCAAGCAAAUUAACACAAAUAAAAUGUAACAAGUUUUUAAAAUAACUAAAAAAACAAAUAACAUGAAAGAAGGGAAAUUAUAUAUUAAAGUAAAAUUUUAAAAUAACUAAAAAAACAAAUAACAUGAAAUAAGUAAUAGAUAUAGAAUGAAAAACUUCAUAUAAAUAAUAGUAUAUAGUAGUAUAUGUAAAAGGUUAGAAUGGGCAAAAUAUAAUAAAAUAAUAUUUUUAAAUGAAAAUAAAUCAUAGAUAUAGAGACAGAUAAAAAAAAAAGAUGUAUAGUAAUAUGAAAUCAACAAUAUAUUAUGUAUGUAUGUAUAAUAAAAAUAAUUUAAUAUAAAUUGUGUACAUAUAUAAAAAAUAGUAUUGUAUAAGAAUAUUAUUGUAUAAAUCUUUAAAGAUGAAAUAUAUAAAAGUGGAUUUUAAAAGUUAAUUAUAAAAUAAAAGUUAUUAAAAAUAUAUAUUAUAUUGGAUUAAUAGGAAGAAAAUAAAAUAAUUCAUUAUAAAAUUAAAUAAUAAUGAAUGAUAAUAAUAUAAAAAAAUUUAAAAUAAUAGUACAUAAUAGGAUAAUAUAUAUACAUAUAUAUAUAUAUAUAUAAAAUAAGUAAAGGAAAAUAUAACCAAAUAUAAUAAUAAUAUAAAUAAUAAAAAUAAAUUAAUAUUAAACUAAUUAAUUUAAUAGCAAAAAUAACAAAACAAAGGACUAAUUUGGAAUUAAACAUAAAUUUAGGGGCAAAUCUGAAAUAAAAAAGAAAGGACCAUAAUGAACGCGCGAAUAACAGGGAAGGGCCAAAAGGGAAAUUAAUCCCUGCCUUCCAAAACGACGUCGUUCGAUUUUGGAGCUAAUUGAAAUAAAAAUAAAUAAUGUGGUACAAAAUAAAGAUAAGAAAGACUUGAUUGCAAACCCACGAAAAAGAGGGAGGCCUAAAGGUGUAACUAGCCCCUACAUUAGAAUACGCGCGGAUCGUAGGUCCGGAUCGGGUCGCGGGGCCCCCCAAAACGACGCCGUUUUGGGCGUCUGGGGGUCCUAAUGAAACGGCGCCGUAUUGUAUUAUUAAUUAAAAAAUAUUUCUGUAGAAAAAAAACAUUUUGUAGCCCAUUUUUUUUAAAAAAAACUACUGUUUUCUUCCUCCUCUAGGGUUUCGCCCACAGUCCCUAUGAUGCCACCAUAUCCGCCGCUCCUUCGCCAUGGCUCCGCCAAGGACGGCGAUCUAUGCCGGCGAGGAGAUCACGGACCCUUGGUAAGUCCCCUUUCUUCCCCUCUCUAUUAUUCUUUUUUUUUGUAUUUAAAAAAAAAAAACAAAUCGAAACCAAAAGGAAAAAACAAAAAGAAAAAAAAAACAGAAUACUACCUUCUCUCUAUUUUCGUAUUCGAAAUUUUCUACUUGUGAUAAAUAUUCUUCUGCUUUUUUUUUUUAUUCCUUCGUGAAUCCCUUUACAGAUGCAAAAAUCGGCUUUGUAUAGCCGAAUGAAAAUACAAAAAUUAUUUAUUUUUUCUUUUAUAUUUUCUCUACUAUUUGCUGUCACUGUUUGUUGUGAUUUGCGUUUGUUGCAGGUUCGACCAGCCUGGAGUGGAGGCCGUUGUGCUGACGUGGUGGCGCACGUGGCUGCUGUGCGAGGGAGGAGCGGCGCGCGAACAGCUUGCUGGGGCCUGCGGCGGCUGAGUCAUUAGCUGGCUAAGGUUUUCUAAUUUUUUAAUUUUGUUUUGGGCUGAUUCAGGGGUUGGGUUUAGUAUUUUGGAUUGGGCCUUUAGAUUUUAUUUUUUUGGUUUUGUAAUCUGGACUGUUUAAUUGGACAUUUUAUUGUUUAUUGGUUUUUUUAUUUAUACACGGGGCCCAGGCAAAUAUUGAGCUAUUACAGGUACAUAAUAACCAAUAAAUGGCAUUCAAUUUAUACAUUCACAAUGAUUAAUCUUCAAUUGAAAAAUCACUAUCUUCAAUUCAAAAAUCACUAUCUUCAAUUGUCCGCCUAUAUAUAUCACUACCAAUUGGCCAUGCAGUUUCUUGAGCUGUAGCAGAUUCUUCCACUAUAAUUUCAUCAACUGAUUGGCUUGCCUGCAAAGCAAAUUAAACCUUCACUUAUUACUGUUUGCUGUUGAUGAUUGAUGAUGAGGAAAGCAAAGCCAGUUUUCCAAAAUUGGACAAAGGAUGACAUAUUAAGAACAAGAACUGUGAAUUGAAAAUAAUAAUGCAACAAUGAUAUCUAGAAAGAAAUAUUGACAGCCAGCAGAAACCAUAUACAGUUGAUGCAAUUUCAUUUAGUCAUUUAAAGCAUUAAAAAAAAAAAGAAUUUCUCUCAGGCAGCCAAAAUAAAAAUAGGGAGAAUGCAUAGAGAAAAUAAUUGAAUGGAUGAAUGUCUGUUUUAAAGCUUAUUGUUGAGUUUGGAAGAGUGGCGUACCUGUGUUUUGGCAUUCACUGAUUUCUCUGAAUCAACACUAAAUCUUGUGGUUAUGUUGGGACAACCUUCUACUCGUAAAUCCGUCAAAGAUGGGAAAAUAAAAUGAUAACCCACAGGGCUGAAGCUUACGAGGUUUUGUAGCUCAUCAAGCUCUAAGGAGCAAAGCUGAGGUAGGCGUAUCACUUUCUCUUCUUCCUUAUUCAGAUUUGACUCAUCUCCUUCAAACACCUGCUCUAAUUUGGAGACCCAUUUAAGGCAUAAUCUCAAUAGCUUUGGAAGGCCGCCAUGAGCAAGAGUAAUGGGGAAGAGACAUUUCAAGUUUUCACAAUUCGUUAUUGAAAUAUAACUCAAAUUAGGGAAGCAAAUGGGUUGGAGAUGAUGUUGUGAUGAAGUUUGAUCCUUCUCAAUCAUUUGCUCCAAUUCGUCGCAGUUAGAUAUAACCAAAGUCCACAAUUGUGGCAAAUUUCGAGCGAUGGUAGGUGAGAGGAUGUAUCUUAACCUUCUGCAAUCUUGGACUGCCAAAUGAGUGAGAUUUUGAAAGUGUUCAACUUGGAUGGGACCACUCAUAUCACCCGCAAUUCAGUUAGUUUGUACAACCGUAGGAAGUUUAGAGUUGAAAGAUUAUAUCCAGAACAUUCAAAUAACUCUUCAAAAUUGGAAAUUGUUAAAUAUUCCGUACAUGUUGAUGUUCUUCCUCUCCUUUCAGGGACUGUCACGUUGCUUAUUUGCUUCUUUUCUGUCAUCUCCGAUAACUCCAAUUUCUAUAAACAUAUCAUCAAUUUAAGAAUAAGCACAAGAUUUCCUUUUCAAUCUUUUAUAGUCAAAGAAUUCAAAUUUUUAAAAAGUUUACUGUUCAACUCAUAUAAUCAUAAAUUACCCAAAAAAAAAAUCUCCAAAAAUAUGGUGCAAAGACACAACAGAAAUAAUAUUACGUAGUACUAGUUAGGGUUUGCAAUAUAUAUAUAAGAAACUAAAAUGUUUUAACAAUUUAUUCUUUGUAAAUUAUAUAGAUUAUAAAAGUAUUCAGUUGAAAUGUUAUUUAUGUUACUAAUUGGUAUUUUAAUUAACUAAACUACUUAAAGGUUUAUUUAGAUUAGUUUUUAGACUAAAAUGAAAACUAUUUUUUAAAGAUUUAUACAUGCAUUUACUUAUUUUAGACCACAAAAAAAAAUUUCAAAAGGUGAAAAUUUUAAUAAAUAAUAUAUAAGAAGGUCUUACUUGUAUAUUAGUUGGAACGAUAAAAGGUGUCAAUUGAGGACAAUCUCUCACUUUUAACACGCGUAAAGAUGGCGAUGUCAGCACGAUGUCAUUUCUAUCCCUUCCUUUCAAUUGAGGCAAAUUAAUCAACUCAACUUCAUUCAAUCUUGCAAGACCUUGAGACAUUAAGAUUAACACUUUUGGUCCUUGGAUUAUUUCUUGCAAUUGGAAACAGCUCUUUAUCCUCAGAGUUUGCAAUUGCCCAAGACUAUUAGCAACACACAUUGGGAAGAGAAAUUUCAACUUAUUGCAUUCUGUGACUUGUACUUCCCUUAGGCAUUGGAAGCUUAUGGUUGAUGAUACUUGUGAGUCUUGGAUUAUUUCUUUCAUUCCAAAGCAUCUCUCUAUCAUCAGAGUUUGCAAUUGCCCAAGACUAUUAGCAACACACACUGGGAAGAGAAAUUUCAACUUAUUGCAUUCUGUGACUUUUACUUCCCUUAGGAAUUGGAAGCUUAUGGUUGAUACUUGUGAGUCUUGAAUUAUUUCUUCCAUUCCAAAGCACCUCUCUAUUCUCAGAGUUUGCAAAUUGGGCGCAUUUAGUUGUUUAGAGCUACCUUGAGCAACAAUAAUUGGAAAGAGAGAUUUCAAGCUUUCACAUUCCAAGAUAUCAAGUAGAAUCAGAUUUGGAAAGCAAACAGGUAGGGGAUGAUGUUGUGAUGACGUUUGAUCUUGCUCCAAUUCCUCAUAUUUACAUAAAUGCAAAUUGCUCAAUUGUUCAUUUGUCAUCUUCCCAAACACCAAUUCCUAUAAACAUAUCAUCAAUUUUCAAUUUCAAAAACACCAAUUCCUAUAAACAUAUCAUCAAUUUUCAAUUUCAAACUGUUCAAAGAUGUCAACAAUUAACUUAACAUUUCAUCAAUUAAUUUCCUUACAAAAAAUUUAUUUUACCUUAAAUCAAUAUUAUACUCUAAAACUGUGGUACAAAAACAGUCAUAAAUAAUAUCACAUAAUCUGUACAUAUAAAUUAUUGGGCGGGUGUAACAAUGCAAUUGGGAAUUACUCAAACUCAUUUUCAUAUAUUAAUACAAAAAUAAAAAACCACCUGCGUAAAAGGCUACAUUUAAAAAAAAUUUAAAAAUAUUUUUUUCUAGUUUAUUUUUAAUACAAAUUCUAAAAUCAUCCAAUAAUUCCUUCUCACAUUUAAAAAAAAAAAAGAUAAACGUGAUUGAGGGCAAUUGAACCCACAUUCUCUUAUCCAGACAACAAUAUCGAUAUCAACCAAACUAAAACUUAUAUAUAAUUUUAUAUAGCUUAUUUUUGUUUACCCACAUAAUAGGUAUAAUAUAAUUUAGUAUUAGAUAAAUAGUUUGCAACAUAUCUAAUACAUAAAGUUUGAAUAAUAUAUUUUUUUGAAUAUUUUAUUAAUAUUAUUAUAGGGUAUUAUAAUCAACUAAUUUGUUUAAAAGGUUAUUUAGAUUAAUUUUAGACCAAAAUUAUAAAAUAAAAAUUAUCUUUUAAACAACAAUUCAAACAACGAAUUAUUAAAGAAAAAAAAGAAACAAAUAAAUAAAUAAUAUAAAAAAAAAAGAAAAUUCUUACUUGUAUCGUAGUCGAAAUAAUAAAAUGAGUCAAUUGAGGACAAUUGUGCACUUUUAACUUCUGCAAAGACGAUUGUGUGAGCAUAAUGUCGUUCACAUCCCUUCCUUUCAAUUGAGGCAAAUCAAUCAACGAAACCUAAAAUGAAAAGCAUAAUCAAAUUUCUCAAUCUUUGACCAUAGGACAAUAAGGAAAAGAAAUGUCAAGUUAUUGCAGUGAGAUACACAUACUUCCCUUAGACUUUGGAGUAGACAUUUGUAUGCCAGUUGUGGGUCUUGGAUUAUAUCUUCCAAUUGCGAGCAACUCUGUAUCUUCAAAGUAUGCAAUUGGCCAAGGCUAUUAGCUACUGACAUUGGGAAGAUAUAUUUCAAAUUAUUGCAUCCCUCUAUUUCAACAAUCUUCAGACUUUGGAGGCUUAAAUGACGACUGGGCCCUUCUUGUUCUAUGCUCCUCAAUUCAGCAAUCGGGAAUAACACUUGCAUCUCACCGCAAUCUGAAACUAUAACCUCUUCAAGCUUUUGUAAAAAACCUUGCGGCUGGGGAGCAUUGCAUAUCUCUUCCAAAUGAAACAUACAACUUAAUGAUAACUUUCUCAAAUUAGAGAGUGCAGUGAUUGGCACUUGCUGCUUUGAUGCAUCAAUUAGGCAUUGCAUAGAGUGGCACCAUCGAAGAUCUAGAGAAGUCUUCAUAUCAAAGCCUAUGUAUUGUGCAAUUUGAUCUUGAAUUCUCUCAAGAUUUGGCUUUUGGGACACAGUCGUAAUCACAACUUUGUCGAACAAAUUCAGUUUUUGAGCCUGACUUCCAACUUCACGAGCCAGGGUGGUCUUGCCCACCCCUCCCAUCCCCCACAACCCAAUCAUGUUGAUAUUCUCAUCUUUUAAGGCUUCAAUGAUUUGAUUAAAAGCAGCCUUCGAAGAUUCCGAAACCACAAAUUCCUUAGAACAUAGGAAGUCUAUAGUGGGAAGGGCAGUAGGAUCACGGUAACCGACUGGUCCAAGUCGAUCAAAUUUUUCCAAAAGCUCAGAGAUAUCCAGAGUUUUCUUCAUUGCUUUCUUACUUAAUUGAUAUCUCCAAAGCCAAUUGGGACACCAAUUGAGACACCUCUUAUUCAGUUGGAUUUCCUCCGACAGUGUUUUGUCUGCCUUUGAUUGCAAGUUCUGUACAUCCUCUUGAAUUUGUAGAAGCCAGUUUUUAGCUUCCUUAAUCUUAUGUUGUAGACGAUCUCGUGCAUCUGCAAGUUCAAGCUUUUUCUCUCGGAGAUUUUCAUCAUUGUCAUGAAAGCGACGGACAUAAUCAAGUUGACGUCCUACCGGCUUCACCACACAGUCCACAAUCAGUGUUCCAACUGUGUUGGAAAGAGCAGCCUCACAAAAUCCGCAACCCAUGCUUGACAAGCUCAAAUUGAAGAAUAUGAUGUUCCAAGUUCAAACACUGUAGUGAAUCAUAAGUAAUUACCAUUAAAAAAAAUUAAAGAAUCAAAAAGUGUAUUGAAGAUUAAGACACUACUUCUUAUACAUACCAAGGAUGGUGAAAGACAACUCAACCUAUGAGAAUCAAUGUGCUGUUCUUUCAACUCAGUCCAGCUGAAAACACAAUGAGAAAUCUAAUAAACAAAUAAAAUCAUAUACGAGUGUAAUGUCAUAUAAUUAUAACUAAAAAAGGCAGUUAAUUACUGAUAAAAAUAAAAAUUCAAAAUAUUUUGACCCUCAGACUAAUAAUAUUAUAGAUAUAAUGCUGGAAAAUAUAAUAAACAUAUCCACUUACCAUUUCAAAAUCCAAACAGUCUUUUAGCUCUUACUUGCUUCAAGAAAAACAUAAAAGAUCAAAAAAAAUAUAGAACAACUUCAAUUUAUAUAUAAAAAAACAGAAAUGAAGCAUAUAUAAAUAGAUUUACCUCACUUGGGAACAUUUAAAAUCAAACUACACUUAGUGCUCAAAAGAUUAUUACUUCAAAACAAUCAAAAGGGAGGGAUUUGAAGGUUGGUUUUUUUUUUUAGCAAAAGUAAGUAAAACUGAAUACAAAAAGAAAGGAACUUGAAGAGGGUGGGGGGUGGGGAAGAACAUAAAAAGAUCAGAUGAGAUCAGAAAUAUAUAUAACAAAUUUAAUUUAUAUAUAACACAAAUAUAAAUAGAUUUUCCUCACUUGGGAACUUCAAAAUCAAACUACACUUAGUGUUGAGAAGAUUCUUAAUUACUACUUCAAAUCAGUCAAAAGGGAUUUAUUAGAUGGAAAUAUGGAUAGGUGGCAGACAGAAACAUGAUGAAAAUCUGGUCACCAUAGUUAACCUCCCAAUGUAUAUAAAAUGCUAGAUUCAAGUGUGCAACGGUCAUUACGGAAUAUUAAGAGCUAAAAUGUUCAACAGUUUGAGAUUUCUAUCUAUGAUAGAUUAUGUUUGCCGGUCAUCCUAUCCUGUCUUAAAAUCUAAAACUGUUGAUAAUGAUCAGUAGAGGAAAUCAUUGCCUUAUUACCUGACUUAGUUGCUGAAAUGUGUUGAGAGAUUGAUCUGAAAAUGAAGCAGUGAAGUUCACUUCCUUGACUACCUUACAAAGCUAGCAGAUAAUAAAAAACAAUCAUUGCAUAGUCACGAAUGAAGCAAAGAAAAGCAUGUCAUGAAUGAAGCAAAUGAAAGAAAAUUACCUUUGACGGGAUGCUUGAAAUUUUGUGAUAGACCUUGGAGAUCAAAACAAAUUAAAAACAGUGAAGAAGAAACAAUGUUGUGGGCAGAAAGGCAGAACUAUUAAGCAAAGAAAAUCAUGUAAUGAAACAAGCAAAUGAAAGAAAAGUAGGCAGAGUGGAUGGUUGAAAUUUUGUGAUAGAAGAAAGAAUGUUGUGGGUACAAAGGCAAAAGUAUUAAAGAAUGUUGUGGGUACAAAGGCAAAAGUACUAAGUAAGGAAUCCCAUCUUUUUUUACUUUUCCUUUGCUUCUGCCAUUAUAGUUGGCAUUUUCGGUAUUUGAUUCUCUGCAGUUGUAUCUGUCAGCUGAUUUACAAUUUGAUUCUUCUUUAAAUCUGUAAUAAUUCACUACUUGAUAAUAAAACCUCUAAUCUGCCAUGUCCUCUCCAUUCAUUCUGGACAUUACUAACAAGUUUUGCAGUCAUCUUGGUGCUCAAUUGUAACAACAACAUCAGCAGCAGCAGCAGCAUAAUAAUGGGAAAGUAUGGUAUAAGAAUGCCUAAUUAUAUGUUACAACUUGAAAUAAAUAUUUAGUUACAUAUAAAUUCCUUCAUAAGUUACACUUUUAAAUCCAAAUUGGGGUUUAUUGAUUGGGUGUUCACCGUUUUUAGAAAUAGCCGAAAUUCAAAUUAUCAUUGUACCCAAAUUUGAAAUUGUUUUAAAAUUUUAGAAUAUUAUAAAAUUAAAAAUUAAACAACAGUAGAUAAACAUUUCAAAAAUAAAUAAAAUGAGGGAUAAUUAUUUUUAAACCUUCUAAAAUAUCUCUUCAUUAUCUAUAUCAAAAUAACAGUAGAUAAACAUUUCAAAAACAAAUAAAAUGACGGAUAAUUAUUUUUAAACCUUCUAAAAUUUCUCUUUAUUAUCUAUAUCAAAAUAUCCAAUAUUCAAUCUUUAACAGAAAUAUAGAAAAAAAAAAAAAAACAUUAAGCAAAAUCAUUUGUUUUCUGUUUUUUACCUCUUCUAUUUCUUGACAUAGCUUUUACAUUAUAAGAAAAGAUAAAAUUUUAUAUAAAAUUUAUUGUUACAAUUUGGUUUUUGAAAAAUAAUUUAAAUGUAAUGAAAUUUUGAAUUGAGUUUGAAAAAGAUAAUUUGUUGGUAUAUUUUGUAUUCUUUUUACUAAAAAAUGGCAUUUGGGUAAAUUUUAUAAGCCUUUGUAAUAUGAGUUCUAGAUGUUCUUCAAGGGCAUGAUACUCAACUUGAUAAUAUUACUAUUUUAGUUUCGAGAAACAUUGAGAAAGCAUGUAAUGAUUUAACUUGUUUUGGUUUUGUUUUGUUUUUUAAUUUGUUAGUGGAUUAUAUUGAACAAUAAUUUUCUUUAUUUUUUAUACAAUUUAGUUAUUCAACAACAUAUUCAAGAUUUGUAUCUAUAGUAGACUAUGUCUGCUGAUCAUCCUAUCUUAAAAUUGAUAAUCAGUAGAGGAAAUCAUUGCUUAAGAUCUUAUUACCUUGACUAUCUUACAAAGCAUAGCUCUUUUCGUAUUAAUUUGUAUCUAUAGUAGAUUUUGUCUGCUGAUCAUCCUGUCUUAAAAUCUAAAACUGUUGAUAAUCGCUAGAGGAAACCAUUGCUUCAAAUCUUAUUACCUUGACUAUCUUACAAAGCUAGCUGCUAUAACAGUAGCUGAUAAUAAAAAACAAUCAUUGUAUAGUCAUGAAUUAAGCAAAUGACAGAAAAUUACCUUUGAUGGGAUGCUUGAAAUUUGGUGAUAGACCUUGGAGAUGAAAACGAAUUAAAAACAGUAAAGAAGAAAGAAUGUUGUGGGUAGAAACGCAGAAUUAUUAAGCAAAGAAAAGCAUGUAAUGAAAGAAGCAAAUGAAAAAAAAGUAGGUAGAGUGGAUGGUUGAAAUUUGGUGAUAGAAGAAAGAUUGUUGUGGGUACAAAGGCAGAGAUAUUAAGGAAUCCCAUCUUUUUUUACUUUUCCUUUGCUUCUGCCAUUAUAGUUGGCAUUUUCGGUAUUUGAUUCUCAGCAGUUGUAUCUAUCAGCUGAUUUACAAUUUGAUUCUUCUUUAAAUCUGUAAUAAUUCACUACUUGAUAACAAAACCUUUAAUCUGCCAUGUCCUUUCCAUUCAUUCUGGAUAUUACUAACAAGUUUUGUAGUCAUCUUGGUGCUCAAUUGUAACAACAACAUCAGCAGCAGCAUCAUAAUAAUGGGAAAGUAUGGUAUAAGAAUGCCUAAUUAUAUGUUACAACUUGGAAUUAAAUAUACUAAUCGGCAUCCUAUAAAAAAAUAUAGUUGUUCUUACAUAUGAUGUUUGUAAGACGUGAAUAAUGUGAAUAUGUUGAAGUUGGCCUCCAUGUAGCUCAUGUAGCAAGGAGCUGCACAUGCAGUCGAGCCAAGCAAGCAGGAGCUAAAGAACGAUACUGCUAUUGAGUUUCAUUUUCAUUUUGUUACUCUAAUAUCAUUUUGCACUCAAGUUAGAUUUGAACUUAGUUGGUAAUUCCUUCUUGAUGUAAUUAGGUGUUGAUUGACUGAAAAUUCAGCAAAGUAACAUGUACAAGUUAAUUUAGCAAGUCUCAAUGUAACUUAGUGGUGUUAGGUAGUUGUUUAGGUGAGAACUUGUUUGUAUUCACCAGCUUGUCUGGUAUAUGUAAUGGCUUAAUACCUUUGUUUUGCUGUUAAUGAAAAACCAAUUGGAUUUCAUCCAUAUACUCUCCAUUUUUCUGCUUCCAAAUUCGAUUCCAUUCUUAAGCAAAUUUCUGCUUUGUUUCUUCUUCAAGUCACAAGUCUUGCUGCUCAAGUCAUAGCUGAACUAGCUUACUUGUUGCUUAAAACCCCAACAAUUGGUAUCUAGAGCUGUUGUCUUAGUGGACCUGUCACAUUUUAACUUUAAAUCGAUGGCUUUAUCAGGCUUCUCACCAGCUGCACCACCAGCCUUCAAUGGAGAGGGCUUUCACAUAUGGGUGGUAAAAAUAAAGACUUACCUACAAGCAUUUGAUCUCUGGGAGGUUGUCAACUCAGAUGUUGAACUAGCUCCACCUAGAGCCAAUCCAACUGUGGCUCAGAUCAGGCAACAUGCUGAUGAAAGGACAAAGAGGCAUAAAGUCAUGUCUUGCAUUCAAAAUUGUGUGCCAGAUGUUAUCUUCAUUAGGACUAUGGCCUGUGAGACACCAAAGUAGGCUUGGGGCAGAUUAAAAAAGGAGUUUCAAGCGACAAAGAGGACAAGGCAGCAACAGUUAUUGAAUCUGAGAAGGGAUUUUGAGAAUUUGAAAAUAAAGGAGGAAGAAACAGUCAAGCAGUACUCAAAUAGGAUCAUAGCUGUGGUAAACAACAUAAGGUUGCUAGGAGAGCAGUUUAGUGAAGCAAGGAUAGUGGAGAAGGUGAUUUCUACCUUACCUGAGAGGUAUGAGGCAAAAAUUUCUUCCCUCGAAGACUUAAAGGACUUGACCAGCAUCUCUUUAACUGAGUUAAUUAAUGCUCUGUAUGCACAAGAGUAGAGAAGGGCCACCAGACUGGAGGAGCACCAAGAAAGUGCCUUCUAAGCUAAAACCAAGCCAGCCUCGAACACCUCUGCCUACAAAGGCAAAAAGACUUGGAGGGACAAGUCUAAGUCAAAAAAUACAAGAAGAAAGGACCAACCUUGCAGGUGCAAAAGGCUUGGUCAUCCUGAGACAAGUUGCUAGUUCAGUCCAGAUGUGUAGUGUCAAUACUGUAAAAAGAUGGGGCAUGUUGAAAGGUUUUGCAAAAACAAGAGCAAACCAAGACAUAACAACCCCAGUAGCCAAAGGUUGAGGCUCGAGUAGCAAAAGAAGACAGUGACCAUGAGGAGCAAGUUUUUGUUGUGUCAUGCUCAGCUGCUCAGGAGAAAAUCACAAAUGGAUGGCUUUUAGACAGUGGUUGCACCAACCACAUGACACUAGAUGUAACACCCCAAACCUGGCAUAGGAGUUAUGGCCAAAUCUGGCGGUGUCACAUCGAAGUGUCUUUCAAAAAUCAGACUCGUUGGUAAAAAUUUGUUUCUAAGUUUAAAAUAAACCCCUUUAUUAUUAAUUAACAAUCAACUAGUCAAAACGUUUGCCUUGUUAACUUCCAUUGAUAUAUUAAGUUGAUUUAAAACGCGGAAGCAUUUGAAAACUUUAACAUUUAAAGUUCGUGUCUUUGAAAACAAUAAUUAUUUUAAAAAUUCAUUUUCACCUAACUAGCAAUAUAAAAUAUAUAAACAAAAGCCCAAUUAAAAAUUUAAAACCAAAUUAAAGGCCUUAUUACAAAACAAAACCCAAGUUAUAAUUUAAAGUAAAAUAAAAACAAAUGUGAACAGCAGCAAUUGUGUGGCCACCUCCGAGUCCCUCGCAGCACCGAAUAUCCUAAGGUUGAGGAUUACCUGCACAGUUAAAGGAGAUGGUAAGUUUACGAAACUCAGUGUGUAAUCCCCUAACAGUCAAUCAGUAUACAAUAUGUAAUAUCAGUCUGGGCCUGAGCCUUAAGUAGUAACAGUGGAAUGUGGGCCUUAGGCCAUUUCAGUAACAGUGUGAGCCUUAGCUCAUUACAGUAACAAUGUGGGCCUUAGCCCAAUACAGUAACAGUGUGGGCCUUAGCCCAAUACAGUAACAGUGUGGGCUUUAGCCCAAUACAGUAUUAGUGUGAGCCUUAGCCCAAUAUAGUAACAAUGCAGUGUAAUAAUGCAACCUAUCCCAAUCCAUCCAACACACUACUCCGUACCACCAACACACCAUGUGGGGAUAAAAUUGACUCACCCAACCAAUACACCAAUAUCGCAGCAAAGCUGUCAGUAAUAGUAUCAUAGCAAAGCUUCCAGUAAUAGUAUAUGUGCUAAAGCCACUAGUAGGUCCACAGUUGUCUUGGGCGACCUGUGCGACCUUAACAAUACAAUACACUUCCUCUAAAUAUAACAACCCAACCCCAUGCAACAUGUCGUGACAUAAUAUCAUACGUGUAUGCAAAAUUUCAUGCUCAAUCAUGGUCAUACAUAUCAUAGAGCAAAUCAGUCAUACAUAACAUAAGACCAUAACAAUCAUUUCAUCUCCUAGGGGUAUAACAGUCAUUUUACCCAAUGGGGGUAUUCUAGUCAUUUUACCCUAUAAGGGUAUUUCGAUCAUUCUACCCUAUGGGGGUAUUUCAGUUAUUUUACCCUAUCGGGGUAUUUUGGUCAUUUUACCCUGUUGGGGGUAAUUCAAUCAUUUUACCCUGUGCGGGUAAUUCGAUCAUUUUGCCAUUCGAGGGUAUUUCGGUCUUGAUAUCGACCUCUUGAAAGGUCCGCAGUCACCUCGAGCGACUCAAGUAACCUAAUUGGUCAUAACAGUGUAAAUGGGCCCAAGGUCUAUUACUCUGCCUAAAUGGGCCCACACGCUCAUGUGGCUGUUCGGCCCAAAUUUUGCCACGGAUAUGAGAUCUACAUAGCCUAGUCCAGUAUUUUCCACCAAUAGUGGAUUUCAUCCAUAUAGGGCCCACAAGCCUAUUGAGCCCACACGGUUAAUUUCGGCCCAAUGUGGCCCAUUACGGCCUAAGCCCAUAAAAAUGCUCAUGGAGGCCUCCACAAUUUAUCGCCUAUUAUUCACAGGUUCAGCUUUCCACACGAGCGAUCGCAUGCUCGUGUGGUCUCAAACGUCGUAUUUUGACUUUUUGGCUUUUUUCGUUCUACAGUUACAUUGGGGAGUUACACACUUGAUGCAAUUUGCAGGUUCCCUUCGUUCCAAACACUCUUAUUCCGAAAAUCAAUGAUCAUCGCACCCUUGGUUCCCAGGCAAUGUGCCAAUCAACCUCGACCACCACUAGUUAGAAAUGGAAGCAAUGUAAGUUGGAGAAAGCGACGAAAUACUUGAAAACCCCGCCGAUCUCCCCUCGAGAAUAAGGAACAAAUGAGAUGCGAUAUAUAGCUCUCCACAACAACAACCUCCCCAAAUCCCAAUAUUCUCUCCUCAAAUCGCUCCAAAUAUUCCUCCUUGAAUCACUCCACCAAUUUCUUCUCAACUUACUCUAUUACCAGUUCAAACUCCUUUUAGCAGUAUUCUAGUCCAAGUCCACCACCUGUCCAGCUCAAGCAGCAAAAUAAAUACUCCAUUGUGUAACCCAAGACUUGAACCUCAGACCUCACAGUUACACAACACACCACCUUGCCACCUGACCACAAGCUCUUUUUGUGUCAUAAAACAAACACUAUUACUUAUAAGGCCAAUAUGUUAGUAUACUAAACUAAAAAUUCUGCAAAAGCCAAAACUUAAACCCAGGCUCCUCAAACACUCCCAUACACACCCAAAUCACUUAGCCAUUAAAGCAAACAAGCAAUUUUUGUCACUUCCUUGCACAACUAAAUAUUUAUGUGCAGUCUCUUAACUGUUCCCUUGCUCAAAAUCUAUUUCUUCUAGAUGUUACACCAGAUGCUUCCAUUUUCAAGUCAUUAGACAGAAGCUGCAAAAAAAAGGUAAUGGUUGGUAAUGGACACUUGAUUAAGGUAGAAGGUAAAGGAGAUGUGUUAAUAUGCACUCUUACAGGUAACAAGCUCAUUUCAAAUGUGUUGCUAGUGCCUGAGAUUGACAGAAAUCUUUUUAGCAUAGCUCAACUGCUAGAAAAAAGUUACUCUAUAGUGUUCAAAGGCAAUGAGUGCCAAAUCAAUGAUCCAAGUGGAUCCAGACUAGUUACUACGCCUGACAAAAGUUUUAUUGUUGACUAGAAAAAUGAUUCACACUCAGCAUAUACAGCUCUAUCAGAUGAAUCUAAGUUGUGGCACCAAAAGCUUGGCCAUGCCAAUUACAGAUCAAUAGACCAGCUAACCAAAGAAGAUUUGGUUGAAAAUUUCAUUGGUUCAAUUGAAAGGCACGAAGUUUAUGAAGUAUGCCAGCUAAGAAAGUAGGCCAGGCUUCCAUUUCCCUUAAGUCAGGCUUGGAGAGCCUCAGAAAGGCUACAGCUCAUGCACACUAAUGUGUGUGGCCCUAUGAAGACUGAGUCACUGAAUGGAAGUAGGUACUUUAUUCUGUUUAUUGAUGAUUUCUCAAGGUUUGGUUGGAUUUAUUUUUUGAAGCAAAAAUCAGAAGUGGCCUUAGUGUUUUCCAAGUUUAAUAUUACUGUAGAGAUUGAAACAGGCUGCAAACUCAAGACCCUAAGCUCUGAUAAUGGAACUGAGUGUACCUCAGCUCAGUUUCAAGCCUUUUGUGCUGAAGCAGGUGUCAAACACCAGCUUACUAACACUUACACACCUCAACAGAAUGGUGUAAGUGAAAGAAAGAACAGAAGUUUGAUGGAUAUGGCCAGAUGCCUAUUGUUUUAGAAGAAUCUACCCAAAAUCAUGUGGGCUGAGGUAGUUAACACUGUUGUGUACAUUCAAAAGAGGCUUCCAACCAAGGCUUUGGCCUAUAAAACUCUAUUUGAAGCCUGGUUCGGGUUCAAGCCUUCACUGGCUCACCUGAGGAUCUAUGGCAGCAUAUGCUAUGCUCAUGCUCCAACAGUAAAGAGGGACAAGUUGCCUAAGAAGGCUCAACCUGGCAUUCUGAUAGGCUAUAGCACAGUUAAUAAAGGCUAUAGGAUUCUGAAUCCUUCAACAAAUAAGGUGCUUGUGAGUAGAGAUGUGGUGUUUGAUGAGAAAACAUGCUGGAAUUGGGAGAAGAAUAAAGUGGAGACAACUCUUGAAGAACUGAUAACAGAUCAGACUGAGCUAGAUCAAAAUGCUUUUGAGAUGGAUAUAGAUGAUGAACCAGUCAGAGGCACAAGACCAUUGGCAGAAAUUUAUGAGAGAGCUUAAGUGGCUGAGGUUGAACCAAGCUGUUUUGAAUAGGUUGAAGCUCAACAAGGGUGGGAACAAGCAAUGGCUGAUGAAAUCAGCAUGAUUAAGAAAAAUCAAACUUGGGAACUAGUUGAAAGACUAGCAAACAAAAAGAUCAUUGGGAUGAAAUGGGUCUAUCGAACCAAGCACAAUGCUGAUGGGAACUUAAACAAGCUGAAAACAAGGCUAGUUGUCAAGGGGUUUAUCAAGAAGUAUGGAUUGGAUUACUUGGAAACAUUUGCACCAGAGGCUAGACACCAUGAGGCUGCUGUUGCCUUAGCAGCACAAAUACAGUGGAAAAUUCACCAGCUUGAUGUAAAAUCAGCCUUCCUAAAUGGAUUUCUUGAAGAGGAUAUCUAUAUUGAACAACCACAAGGUUUCACAGUUCCUGGUAAUGAAGAUAUGAUUUACAGAUUAAAGAAAGCCUUGUAUGGCUUGAAAUAGGCACCAAGGGCCUGGUAUAGCAGGAUCGAUGCUUACCUUGCUAGCCUUGGAUUUGAAAGAAGCAACAGUGAACCUACUUUGUAUAUUAAGAAGAAAGGUGCUGAAACAUAGUUGAUAGUGUCUCUAUAUGUUGAUGACCUGCUAGUGAUAGGUGAAGACCAAGCAAUGUUAGUCGAUUUCAAAGCCAGAACGUAAGAUGUCUAAUUUGGGACAAAUGUCCUACUUCCUUGGUAUGGAAGUGUCUCAAACUCAAAGUGGAAUCUUUUUGAGUUAGAGAGCAUUUACAAUUAAGAUUAUGAUGAAGGUUUCUAUGCUGAAUUGCAAUGGGACAAACACACCAAUUGCCAUUGGAGAAAAGCUAUCCAGCCAAGGUGUUUUUCAAUAGGCUAGUGAAUUUGUUUAUAAAAGCCUAGUUGGUUGCUUGCUAUAUUUAACUACCACCAGACCAAAUAUCAUGUUUGCUGUGAGUUUACUCUCAAGAUUUGUGCAUUGCUAAAAUGAAAAACUCUUCAAGGCAGUAAAAAGGGUGCUCAGGUACAUUAAAGGUAGCCUGAAUCAUGGAAUGUUGUACAAGAAGGUUGAAAAUUUUAAGCUAAUUGGCUAUGCCGAUAGUGAUUGGGCUGGCUUGAUGGAUGAUAUAAAGAGUACCUCAGGGUAUGUUUUUACCUUUGGCUCAGCCAUUUUUUACUGGAGUUCAAAGAAGCAAUCAAUUAUUGCUCAGUCCAUAGCAGAAGCAGAAUAUGUGGCAGCUGAAGGAGCUGUGAACCAAGCCAUAUGGCUAAGGAAGAUCUUAGUUGACUUGAAUCUGCACCAAAGGGAAGCAACAGAGAUUUAUUGUGACAACCAAUCUGCUGUUGCAAUUGCAAAGAAUCCUGUUUUCCAUGGGAGGACAAAACAUUUUAAAAUUAAGUUGCUUUUUGUUAGGGAGAUGGAGCAAGCUCGAGAAGUAGAGCUGAUCCAUUGCAAUUCUGAAGAACAAUUGGUAGACAUCUUGACAAGCCCCUUAGUGUGUCAAGGUUCAACAAAUUAAGAAAGCAAAUGGGAAUUUGUAGCAUGGAGUCCAAGGAGGAGUGUUGAAGUCAGCCUUCAUGCAACAAAGAGCAGCACAUGCAGUCGAGCUAAGCAAGUAGGAGCUGAAGAACGAUGCUGCUAUUGAGUUUCAUUUUCAUUUUGUUACUCUAAUGAUCAUUUUACAAUCAAUUUAGAUUUGAACUUAGUUGGUAAUUCCUUUUUGAUGUAAUUAGGUGUUGAUUGACUGAAAAUUCAGCAAAGUAACAUGUACAAGUUAAUUUAGCAAGUUUCAAUGUAACUUAGUGGUGUUAGGUAGUUGUUUAGGUGAGAACUUGUUUGUAUUGACCAGCUUGUCUGUUAUAUAUAAUGGCUUAAUGCCUUUGUUUUGCUGUUAAUGAAAAACCAAUUGGAUUUCACCCAUAUACUCUCCAUUUUUCUGCUUCCAAAUUCGGUUUUGUUCUUAAGCAAAUUUCUGCUUUGUUCCUUCUUCAAGUCACAAGUCUUGCCGCUCAAGUCAUAGCUGAACUAGCUUACUUGUUGCUUAAAACCCCAACAGAAUAAGUCUAUUCAAGUUAAAAUAAAUAUUUAGCUACAUAUAAAUUCCUUCAUAAGUUGCACUUUUAAAUCCAAAUUGUAGUUUAUUGAUUGGGUGUUUUUAGAAAACAAAUUAUCACUGUACCCAAAUUUGAAAUUGUUUUAAAAUUUUAGAAUAUUAUAAAAGUAAAAAUUAAAUAGCAGUAGAUAAACAUUUCAAAAAUAAAUAAAAUGAGAGAAAAUGAGGGAUAAUUAUUUUUAAACCCUCUAAAAUUUCUCUUUGUUAUCUGUAUCGAAAUAUCUAAUAUCCAGUCUUCAAAAGAAAUAUAGAAAAAAAAAACAUUAAGCAGUUUUCUGUUUUUUACCUCUUAUGUUUCUUAACAUAACUUUUACAUUAUAAGAAAAGAUAAAAUUCUAAAUAUAAUUUAUUUUUACAAUUUGAAUUUUGAAAAAUAAUUUAAAUGUAAUGAAAUCAAGGUUGAACUAAAAUAAGGAGAAACUUUCAGAAAGAAAUGGAAGUUUAUCUGUCUGGAAGAUUCAACUACUCCGAAAUCAUAUGAUUUCCGAGUACAUGCAAAUAUAAAAUUAUUUAUUUUUAAGAAAUUAUUUAGAAAUUAACCAACAUUAAGAAAACAAAAUUUAUUUUUAAAAUAUUAAAUACUUUAAAAAUAUAUUCAUGUUCCAUUUAUAUAAAUUAUGCAUUUCAUGUUUAAAGUAAAUUAUUUAUUUUAGUUAACAAAAUUCAAUAGUUAAAUAUAUUGUAAUAUAAGCAGUAUUUUAUAUUGAUAUAAUAGAGAUUUUUGAUCGACUCAAAAAUUAAGUAUAAUUAUAUUAAUAAAAUUAAUGAUUUAUUAAUUAAAAUAUUAAUUAUAUAAAAUUAUAUAUUUGAAUUUAAUCUUUUGCAUAUUUUUUACCUCAAUAGGAAGAAUAUCAAAUUUUGGAGACGUAUAUUCGUAAUAAAAAAAAAGAAACUUGAAGAACUAAUAAUAAUAAUAAUAAAGAACAAAAAGUAAUAAUAAAAAAAGUAAUAAGAGCAAAAGUAAGUAAAAUUUAAUACAGAAAGAAAGGAACUUGAAGAAAGGGAAAUAAUAAUAAUAAUAAUAAAGAACAAAAUAGAAAUCAAGGUAGAACUAAAAUAAGGAGAAACUUUCAGAAAGAAAUAGAAGAUUCAACCACUCGAAAAUCAUACAUGCAAAUAUAAAAUUAUUUAUUGCCAACACGAAAUGCAAUUUGGUAAAUCAGUUGAUAUGAAAAAACAUGCAAAAAAGAAGAUAAAAUAGAUUAAAAGAAGAAAAUAGUAUAAAUUUGUUGAAGAAUCAACCUGGUAAGCAAUGAAUCAAUGAGCAUCGAAGAUAUGAGUUUGCUUAAAGAAUUGGAUUGGAAUUUCCUUGAUAUCAAAACAUCCAAAAGACAACUUAAAAAAACAAAAGGUUUUUGACAGCUUAUAAUAAGCACAUGGACACGCUGUCUUGUGUUUAGCAUUUUUUUAAAAAUUAAUAUCUACACAAAGAAUAAUUAUAAAAUAUAUGAUUAAAUAUUUAAAAUAGGGUUUAUAUCAUAAAUGGGCCUUUCAAUUUUAUCAAAUGUUGUCAAUGUAAUAUUCUUGAAAACACCAGAUUUAUUUAGAAAUUAACCAACAUUAAGAAAACCAAAUUUAUUUUUAAAAUAUUAAAUACUAUAACAAAAAACAUAUUCAUGGUCCAUUUUUAUAAAUUAUGCAUUUCAUGUAUAAAGUAAAUUAUUUAUUUUAGUUAACAAAUUUCAAUAGUUAAAUAUAUAGUAAUAUAAGCAGUAUUUUAUAUCGAUAUAAUAGAGAUAUUUGAUCGACUCAAAAAUUAAGCAUAAUUAUUAAUAAAAUUAAUGAUUUAAUAAUUAAAAUAUUAAUUAUAUAAAAUUAUAUAUUUGAAUUUAAUCUUUUGUAUUUUUUACCUCAAUAGGAAGAAUAUCAAAUUUUGGAGACGUACAUUUGUAAUCUAUCCACCCUUGAUCGAACCCUAUUUGAGAGAUGUCGAUUUUCGCAUGUGGCCCUUGUAGGUAAGAGGUGUAAGUUGGACCCGACACUCGUAAACCCGUUAGUGAAAAAGUGGAGACCCGAGACACACAUUUCACAUUUCAUUUUUCAUGCGGCGUGUGUACUAUCACUUUGGAGGACAUGCAACUAUAGCUUAGGUUACUGGUGGAUGGACUGAAAGUGACUGGAUCAGUUCAAGCAGCCAAUUGGAGAGACGUAUGCGAGGAACUUUUAAAGAGGGUUCCAGAGACGAUUUUUAGAGCCCAAAUUGAUAUGAGUUGGUUAAGAAGAAAUUUUGGUGGGCUUGAUGAGGAUUCAACUGAAGUUUAAAAAGAACAACACCUUGGGUUGUAACACCGAAAACCCGGCCUAGAAGUUAUGACUAGAUAUUGAGGGAUUAAAUCAACUCGUUCAAAGCUUCGGUUCAAAUAAAACUCAAUGCAUGCUUUGAAAACAUAAUAUCUUACAUAUCUCAUUGUGAUAUUACUAUUUUAGGUUAAAUGUAUUCAUUUAAUUAUAUAAGUAACACGUUUCUUAUUUUUUUUAAGAUAUAAAUAAACAAACAUAAAUAAUAAUAAACAGUUUAUAAAUAAAUAAACGAAACACAUAAAAAAUAAUAGUAUUAAUUAUAUAAUUAAACAAUAGUUGAUUUUAAAUGAUUUACUAAACCAGUUUUAAACUAGCAUGAAGGUAAUUAUUUUUGAUAUGUUUAAUUUAUAUUAGGUUAAUUUAAUAAAUAAAUUUUAAAUUUUUAUUAACGUUGAUUUAUUUAACUUAACGAACGAAUAUAAAUAAACAAAGAUCCAACUCAUAAACUAUUUAUUUACAGCCUUAAACUUGACUUAUAUCUAUUUAGAACACUUAAGUAACGGUAAUUUAUUAUCAACUUUAGACUUCAAGAACUACGAAAUGGAUAAGAGUUGGAUGGAUUUGUCAACGGUAAGCAACGAAUAUCAAAAUGGAGUACAAACUUUUCUAAAUUAGUUUGCAUUUAAAUUCUUAUAUUUAAAUAAUUUAUUUAAAGUGAUUGAUCUACAAGUUAACUCACGCAUUAACUUAUAUUUAUACUUUAUUUGAGAAAAUUUUAAUUUUUAUAAUUAAUCAAUUUUAAUUUACAAUUAAUUUUUACAUUAACUAACUAAACUUUUAUAAAGAAAAUUAGAAACCCCAUCGGUUAAAACUAGUUAUUUUUCCUUUUAAAAAAUCUAGUUAUUUUUUUUUAAAAAAGUAAUGUUUUAUUAUUUUAUAUAUUUAAUAUAAAAUUAUAUAAAUAUUUUAUUUUAUUUUUUGUUAUUCUCUACAUCCGUUUUAUGUUCAUGUUCAAGUUUAUUAAACUAAUAUUAAAAUUAUGCAUUUUAAUAUUUAUAUUAAUAUAAUAAUAUUAAUAUAAAAACAUAUUUUUUAAUAUUUUUUAUUUAUAUACAUUAAUAUAUAAAUGUUUUUAUUAUUUUAUUAUUUUUAAAAAAGUAAUAAUAUUAAUAUAUUAUUUUUAAAAAAAAUAAUUUUAUUUUAUUGUUUUAAUAUUUUAUAAAAAUAAAUGGUAUAAAUUUUUUGUUAUUUUAUUAUAUUUUAAUGUAAAUAGUUUGUAAAUCUAAUAUUUAUAUUUUAUUUUAAAAAGAUAUAUAUAUAUAUAAGAUGUAAGGGUAAGAUGAUAAAUUUAAUAAAUAACACUUACGUUUUAACUCAGAAAUACAUGGUAAGAAGAUACACUGUUUGGCACAAGUGCAAACCGUUGUACCCUAUCCCCUAUCCCUAAUAUUGUAUCGAAAAAAAGAUGGUAAGAGAGUAAUAAUAUAUCCAAUUUUCAACAACCAGACAAUUUGAUGUAAUAGCAUCUAUCUUUUUAUCCAUCAUUUGAGAGUUGAGUGUUAUUUAACCUAACACUUCCUUUUCUACAUGAAGCCUACCAAAUGUGACCAGACUAUCAAUUUGGCUAUGAUUCUAUAUGAAACGAUAAAAAAAUGAGUUUUUUUAAAUUAGAAAAUCUUAAAAAUACAUAAAUUUGAAAAUUAAAUAAAAAUAGAUAAAAUUUAAAAAUAUAUAUAUAGAUAAGUGAGAGAAAAUUAGUGAAAAUUAUUUUUCAUUAUAAGAAAAUAAUGAGAAAAAAAAAGAUUGGAUUUGUUUUUUCAGUUUGGAUUUUGAAUAAUGUUGAAAAAUUUGAAGUUGAGGCAGUGUGCUAUGGGAAUUGCCCACUACCCGAACCACUAUGACAAAACAACUUGCCAUAUUUGGAAGAUUGGCAAUUUACUGAUUUGAUCUUUGGGUUGAGCUGAUAUUGUAGGACGAAUCAAGCUCAUUAAUAAAGAUCAUAUCACUUGGAGAAACUUAUUUAGAAGAUUGGAUAGGAUUGGAUUGGCUUAUAUCAAAUAUUAUGGAUAAAGGAAGUUGGAUCGGAUCGAAAAAGUGAAGAGUUAGCUGCCAACCGUCAAUGUUUAUUGUGGUUGUUAAUAAUAUUAUAUUGUAUUUAGCUAUUUUAUUUUUUGUUUAGCAAGGAUUGUGAUAGAUCUUCAUUAUGUUAGCAAGUCUCGAAAUCUCCAUAUGUAAUUAAAAGACUUGUAUAGGUUGAUGCACAAAUUAUUAAGAUCAUUUAUAUGUUCAAGUGAGGAACAUUAUUUUGCAAGAGUGUAUUUGUGAUUGUAAAACUCUGUAUUGUGGUUUUGCAAACUAAGUUCUCUGAGGGAGAAUUUAGUGGCGAGUGAUCUAGUCUUUGAAGGUAUAAGAGUGAGGAAUCAUCAUUGGGGUGUGAUACAUUUAGGUUCACUGGUUGUAAUUGUUUAAAUAUGGUGAUUCUAGUGAGCAAAGCUUCACAAAUGUAUGGAAACUGAACUGCAUAAAUAAACUUUAAUGUUUCCUAUUUUGUUUUUGCUUAUCACAGUGCUUGCAGAAGUACACACUUUUGUAGUCACUACUGCUCAUACUUUGCUUGUUACUUAGCAACAGUUUUAGAUCAACAACAAAUCGUUUAAAUGAAUUAAAUUUUAUUAAUGGAGUUUGAAAAAGAAUAUUUUCUGGUAUAUUUUGUAUUUUGUAUUUUUUUUUUACUAAAAGAAUGGGAUCAAAGUCAAUUUCACAAGUCUUAGUGAGAUUAGUUUGAAAGAAGUUCUUCAACAGCAUGGAACUUGACUUGAAGGCAUUACUAAUUUUGUCCUAUUUUGUUUUAAAUUUGUUAUUGGAUUUUAUUAAAUAAUCUUUUUCUUUUUUAUGUCUCAAUAUUGAACAAUCUUAAGCUUUACUGCAAUAUAAUAUUAAGUUUUCUUGUAUGUUUCUAAUCACAUUUAAGCUUUGUGCAGAAUGAAUAUUAUAUUAAGAUACUGAAAUUGAUCUAUUUUUAAAAUCCAUUUUCAUGAUUUAUGGCAAUGUUGAAUAUUUUGUUGUUGCAGAAAUCAAAAUUUUUAUAUAGAAUUUUCUAUUUUUUUAAAAUAAUAUUGAGUUUUUAAAAUUAAUUUUAUAUAGAAUACUAUAACAAAAAACAUAUUCAUGGUCCAUUUUUAUAAAUUAUGCAUUUCAUGUAUAAAGUAAAUUAUUUAUUUUAGUUAACAAAUUUCAAUAGUUAAAUAUAUAGUAAUAUAAGCAGUAUUUUAUAUCGAUAUAAUAGAGAUAUUUGAUCGACUCAAAAAUUAAGCAUAAUUAUUAAUAAAAUUAAUGAUUUAAUAAUUAAAAUAUUAAUUAUAUAAAAUUAUAUAUUUGAAUUUAAUCUUUUGUAUUUUUUUACCUCAAUAGGAAGAAUAUCAAAUUUUGGAGACGUACAUUUGUAAUCUAUCCACCCUUGAUCGAACCCUAUUUGAGAGAUGUCGAUUUUCGCAUGUGGCCCUUGUAGGUAAGAGGUGUAAGUUGGACCCAACACUCGUAAACGCGUUAGUGAAAAAGUGGAGACCCGAGACACACACAUUUCACAUUUCAUUUUUCAUGCGGCGUGUGUACUAUCACUUUGGAGGACAUGCAACUAUAGCUUAGGUUACUGGUGGAUGGACUGAAAAUGACUGGAUCAGUUCAAGCAGCCAAUUGGAGAGACGUAUGCGAGGACCUUUUAAAGAGGGUUCCAGAGACAAAUUUUAGAGCCCAAAUAGAUAUGAGUUGGUUAAGAAUAAAUUUUGGUGGGCUUGAUGAGAAUUCAACUGAAGUUUAAAAAGAACAACACCUUGGGUUGUAACACCCAAAAACCCGACCUAGAAAUUAUGACUAGAUAUUGAGGGAUUAAAUCAACUCGUUCAAAGCUUCGGUUCAAAUAAAACUCAAUGCAUGCUUUGAAAACAUAAAAUUUUGGCAAAACACCCAUUGAUGGUUAGAAAAGCCGAGUUCGAAAACACUUAUUUAAAACCCAUAAUUCACAUUCAAAAUCAUGCGUUUUGAAAGUACUAACGUGAGCAGAUCAUUUCCAGUAUUAAAACAAUCAUUCGUUAUAAACCAUAUAUUUUAUUUUUAAAAAAAUACUUAAAUGAUUACUUGACCUUGUAGCGGAAAAUUUUCAAAGUUUGUUUUAGUUUGAAAACUGAAAUCUAACUUAUUAGCUCGUAUAAUUUGCAGUUUAAUGCUCAAAAUAUUAAAUGCCAACGAAUAAAACAAAAACCAAAACUAGGACCAAAAAAAUAUUAUAGUCCAAAAAUAAUUAAAUCGUAAACCCACAAAUAUUUUAUCUGGUAAACAAUUCGAUCUCCCGCACGUCGUCCGGUCCUAAGUCAGAAGUUAACCUAAAAAGUAUUAAACAAACAAAUGAGCUAGGAGCCCAAUGUGUGUCUCAACCCAUAAGCAUAAUUUUUAUUUAACAAGCACAUACGUAAAUUUGAUCACAAAAUUUUACUUUAAUGUAUCAAUAACGUAUUAGAAUGUUGUAUUACCAAAAACAUAUAUAUUUCAGAUAAUAAUAUCAUAUAACCAGAACAUAUUUCAGUUUGGAAUAUCAUAAUUUCAUAUACAAAUAUAUCAUACUAGAAUGUCAUGUUUUCAGAAUUACAAAUGUCAUACCAGACCAGAACAAAUGCAGACACAAAUCCUACCUUCAUCUGCUACACACCAACUCCAUCCAACGAAUCACACCAAUUAGGAGUUCAAGAGUUCAUCCAUCCAAAUCACACUGGAUUGUGGUGGUAUGCCACUCAUAAUAGUGCAGCUCAGUUGCCAAACAUAUAUCGUGGUUUAACCAUCGAAAAUGUAGUAAUGCUACUAAAAAACACUUUCUGCAACAAAUCAGAACCACCGUAAUGCAUAUGCUAAAUCACGUUGACAUACAUACAUAUCACAUAGGUUGUAUGCACGCAUACAUAAAUAGCUAUUAUACAGAACGUAACUUACAGAUAAUUUAUAUAGAUCAUAGCAUAUCAUAUUCAUGGUCGAAUCAGAUAGCUUAUCAGAACAGAUAACACAAUAUGUAUAACAAACAUGGUUUACAAAAUAGUCAUGCUUAACUCACGUACCUACUUAUAACAGAUAAUAUCGCAUUAUUAUAUUUAUCAUAAUUUAUUUAUCAUACCUCCUACACUUACCCAUGUUUGUUUUAUUGAAAUUUACGCUUUCUAGGCCUACAUAAUGCCCCCGGACCCAAAUUCUGAGUCCUUUAGUCGACCCCUAAUUGGCCCAAAAGAUCUACUAGGCCCAAAAAGCUAGCCCGUGUGGUCCACAUGAUCUAUCCACACGAUCUGCAUGAUCUCACGCGGCAGCGUGGGAACAUGGCCUGCAUGACAAGCCACAUGGGUUGUAAAAACACAGAUGGUCAUGUGCCUCACACAGGCUACAAAAUCACACACAGUCGUGUGUCCCUCACGGCCUACCACAUGGUUACGUGUCACUGGUCAGUUUCAGAAAACAACUUUGUUUUGCAUAUUUUCUAAAUUUUGGAUGAGUUUUUCGAGUUAGAUCACACACCUGAUUGUUGAUUUUGAUGUAGAUUCACGAAAGAACACACCAGAACCUAAAAUCAAUAUUCCAAAUGUAUAAAAUUAGUAACAAAAUGCAACACUAAAUCAAGAUUGACUCACUAACAUAACAUUAAAGCACCUACCACAAAGAAAACAACAACAACAAUAUCUAAGUCAUCGAAGGAACGCCCAACACCCCUUGUUCUUCUCCUAAAAACGCAUCGAACUCAUUAAGUACUCAAAAUACACAUUAAUACCACACUACUAAAGCUCCGAAACCCUAAGUGCCCAAUAUCAUUUAUAUGGAUUAAUUCACAUUUAUUUGGGUUAAUGUGUUAUUAUAAGAUUAAAGUCCAAAUAUCAUUUUAUCUUCUUUUUUCUUUUUUUUUUGGUUUUUUCUUUUUUGAUUUCCCAGUGCUUUUCAUUUGAUCGAUGACCAUCGUCAGCCUCACUACCACCACUUCUUCUUCAAAAGCCGGAAGAAUCGGACACAUAUCAUUCACGUGUCCUUACCCAAGUAGUGUCGAAAUUUUUUUAUAUGUUGGAAAGAUCAUCACAUGUAUUUAUGUUACAUACGCAUCACAAAACCUUGAGUUGUUUCGGCAAGACUUGGAGAACAAAAAUGAAGAAACUUGAAGGUAGCUUAGAAGAACCCAAGAGCAAUAAACGAAAACUAGACAAAAGGUUGAAAUUAUCAUUAACCAAGCCUUCUUUUCUUCUAACGCUGGGGAGAGUCCAUAUUGGCUGGGAAAAUCGGCAAAGACUUUGUUAUCUUUUGGAAGGACUUGUAAAGAGACAUAAUUGGGGAGAGGCUAGUGGAGUAUUAAGCUUGUUGCUUAAUGGUACUUCCAACAUUGGGUUGAGGGAGACCAAUUGUUUUGCAAACACAACGCUGAUGGAUGGGAUGGAAAGCUCAUGUAUGCUUAAAGGUAGGUGAUUGUAAUAUAUAUACCGUUGGUGUCUUUAUUUUUUAUGUUUUAGAGUUGCGCUAAAAUUAUAAGAUUGAGACUAACUUAACUACAAAAUUAAAUUAAGGGACAAAAUUUAAUAUUUUAACAUACUUUUUUAAUAUAUGAACCAUUGGAAUUCAUCUAAUAAACAAUAAAUGGCAUUCAAUUGAAGUUCACAAUGAGGAAUGGUUCUGUCUGUCAUAUGGCUACCACUUUUCUUUUCUACUACUUUUAAUAAAGUUUAUAUUUAUUUCUAUACGAGUAUAUUUUAUUGGAGGAUAAGUUAUUAAACUAAAAAUCAUUCUUUCUUUUUUUAACUCAAAUUAAUCAACUGAAUUUACAUAAGUUCAACAUAUGGCUUAUUUAGUAUUACUUAAAAAAAGCACUUUUGAUUCCAAAAGUAUUUUUGAAAGAAAAGUUGUGCUAAAUAAAUUACUUUUAGUUGAAAUAUCUGUUAUAAAGUCGUCGACAAUCCUUUGCUGCAUCGCCAUGUAAGUUUUAAUGUUUUUCAUUUUGUUUUUGUUCAUAAUUAUGCUCUUAUCUCCGCACUCUUUGUUUUUUGUUCUUUUCUUUUAUUCUAUCUUUUUAUAAUUUAAAUCUUUUAAUAUGUUCAUGUAUUUUUUGUGUAUUUGUUGAUUGAUAUAUUUAAAUUUAAUAUAUUGGAGCAAGAGUCGGGGUUCUAAAUACCUAACCUGGAGGAGGACUACAAGCAACUCAGUUUCAUUCUCCUACAAAACAUCUUUAACUAUUCAAAUUUUCAUAUACAGAUUAAUUCUCAUUGUAGACCCCGUACAAGGCAUAGUUUUGUGUUGAGGUUAAAUUUAAAAUAGGGUCUUGGUUGAUUAGAUUUAUGGUGUCUGAGUUAAUUUAAUGUAACUAGUCAAGACAUAGUUUUUGUCUUGAGGAGUUGGUAUUGGGAAAUGAUGAACACUAGUACUCCUGGUCUUUUUAGGAAAUUUGUUUAAGAUCUGAUGGCAUUCCUUAUUAAGUAUUGUUUUUUUUUUUUGGCAAGGGCCGCUUGGCAUGGUCUCUAUGAGGUAUAACAAUUGCCAACGAUUGCCAAUAAUUGGCCUUCUCUAAAAUUAAAACUCAAUAUUGUUCCCUUAGUACAUAAAUCUCGUUUUAUUGGGAGACUAAUGCUUCUAUAUAAAGUGCUUCCAUAAAUCAUUCUUCUAUUUUCACAAAUUUUGAGAUUUGUUUCCGUAAUUGGAAAAAAAAAUAAAGGUUAAAUACUUUUUUUUAAAAAUAGUAUUUUUAUCAAAUUUUGCUUAAAUUUUGUUAAAUAUUUUGGUUGUCAGAAAAAUUGCUUAAUAUAUAUCACAUGUUUAUUAAAUUUGUAAUAAUUUGCUUCUAAAAUAGAGAUGGUUGUGUUUUAAUUAGUAUUAACGAUGGAACAAAGUGUUAAUAUGAUAAGUAUAACCAUUUAUAUUUUUUAAGUAUAAAAAUUAAAAUCCCUAAAGUAUGAACUUUUAAUGCAUAUUUUUUUAUUUAUUUAGGUAAAGAUAUAUUUGAUUUUAUUUAAGAAUGAAUAAAAAAAAUCAAGGAAUACAAAUUAACUAUUACAUAAUCACAUUACAAUGGCAUUGUAUUCAUAGUGUUUCUCAAAAUAACCAUCUCAACUUUUAAUAUAAUAUUAGAUUUAGUUAUCAAUAUUUAUAUUCUCUUAUUAAUUUGACUUUUAUCUUUUAAAAACUAAAUUUAGCUAUUAAUUUUUUAAAAAUAAAACUUAAAUUAUUUUUAAGCUCCAUGUAUACUUCAUGUUAAUAUGACAAUAUUUGUCUUAUAUACCACGUCAAUAAAUAAUUUAAAAAUUAAAAAAUAUUAAAAAUAACAUAAAAUACACGUAGAUAGAUACAAUAAUUUAUCUUAUCAUUUAUUUAUUAUUUUUUUAUUGAAACAAUGAAUUAGAUCUCUACAAAAGAAGUAUUCGAUAGGCUCAUUUGAAUUGUUACUCAAAUAACUCCAUUUUAAGCUCUCCUUAAUUGCAUUUGUAAGUACCUCGUCUUACUUAAAUGUUUUAAUUUAAUACAACAUUUUUUUGAGAUAAAAUCCAUGUUAGUGAUUUGAAUUAAGACAUAAUAUCUUACAUAUCUCAUUGUGAUAUUACUAUUUUAGGUUAAAUGUAUUCAUUUAAUUAUAUAAGCAACACGUUUCUUAUUUCUUUAAGAUAUAAAUAAACAUACAUAAAUAGUAAUAAACAUAUAAAAGAAACACAUAAACAAUAAUAGUAUUAAUUAUAUAAUUAAACAAUAGUUGAUUUUAAAUGAUUUACUAAACCAAUUUUAAACUAGCAUGAAGAUAAUUAGUUUGGAUAUGUCUCAAUUAUAUUAGGUUAAUUUAAUAAAUAAAUUUUAAAUUUUUAUUAAUGUUGAUUUAUUUAACUUAACGAAUGAAUAUAAAUAAACAAAGAUCCAACUCAUAAACUAUUUAUUUACAACCUUAAACUUGACUUAUAUCUAUUUAGAACACUUAAGUAACGGUAAUUUAUUAUCAACUUUAGACUUCAAGAACUACGAAAUGGAUAAGAGUUGGAUGGAUUUGUCAACGGUAAGCAACGAAUAUCAAAAUGAAGUACAAAUUUUUCUAAAUUAGUUUGCAUUUAAAUUCUUAUAUUCAAAUAAUUUAUUUAAAGUGAUUGAUCUACAAGUUAACUCACGCAUUAACUUAUAUUUAUACUUUAUUUGAGAAAAUUUUAAUUUUUAUAAUUAAUCAAUUUUAAUUUACAAUUAAUUUUUACAUUAACUAACUAAACUUUUAUAAAGAAAAUUAGAAACCCCAUCGGUUAAAACUAGUUAUUUUUCCUUUUAAAAAUCUAGUUAUUUUUUUUAAAAAAAAGUAAUGUUUUAUUAUUUUAUAUAUUUAAUAUAAAAUCAUAUAAAUAUUUUAUUUUAUUUUUCACUAUUCUUUACAUCCAUUUUAUGUUCAUGUUCGGGUUUAUUAAACUAAUAUUAAAAUUAUGCAUUUUAAUAUUUAUAUUAAUAUAAUAAUAUUAAUAUAAAAACAUAUAUUUUAAUAUUUUUUAUUUAUAUACAUUAAUAUAUAAAUGUUUUUAUUAUUUUAUUAUUUUUAAAAAAGUAAUAAUAUUAAUAUAUUAUUUUUAAAAAAUAAUAAUUUUAUUUUAUUGUUUUAAUAUUUUAUAAAAAUCAAAUGUUAUAAUAUUUUUGUUUUGUUAUUUUAUUAUAUUUUAAUGUAAAUAUUUUGUAAAUACUAAUAUUUUAUAUUUUAUUUUAAACUAUAUAUAUAUAUAUAUAAGAUGUUAAGGGUAAGAUGAUAAAUUAAUAAAUAACACUUACGUUUUAACUCAUAGAAAAUACAUGGUAAGAAGAUUAACUGUUUGGCACAAGUGCAAACCGUGUUACCCCAUCCCCUAUUCCUAAUAUUGUAUCGAAAAACACAUGGUAAGAAGAGUAAUAUAUAUCCAAUUUUCAACAACCAAACAAUUUGAUGUAAUAGCAUCUAUCUUUUAUCCAUCAUUUGAGAGUUGAGUGUUAUUUAACCUAACACUCCUUUUUUACAUCAAGCCUACUAAAUGUGACUAGACUAUCAAUUUGGCUAUGAUUCUAUAUGAAACGAUAAAAAAAAUUGCGUUUUUUUAAAUUAGAAAAUCUUAAAAAUACAUAAAUUUGAAAAUUAAAUAAAAAUAGAUAAAAUUUAAAAAAUAUAUAGAUAAGUGAGAGAAAAUUAGUGAAAAUUAUUUUUCAUUAUAAGAAAAUAAUGAGAAAAAAAAGAUUGGAUUUGUUUUUUCAGUUUGGAUUUUGAAUAAUGUUGAAAAAUUUGAAGUUGCGGCAGUGUGCUAUGGGAAUUGCCCACUACCCGAACCACUAUGACACAACAACUUGCCAUAUUUGGAAGAUUGGCAAUUUACUGAUUUGUAUCUUUGGGUUGAGCUGAUAUUGUAGGACGAAUCAAGCUCAUUAAUAAAGAUUAUAUCAUUUGGAGAAACUUAUUUAGAAGAUUGGAUAGGAUUGGAUUGGCUUAUAUCAAAUCCUAUGGAUAAAGGAAGUUGGAUCGGAUCGAAAAAGUGAAGAGUUAGCUGCCAAUCAUCAAUGUUUAUUGUGGUUGUUAAUAAUAUUAUAUUGUAUUUAGCUAUUUUAGUUGUUGUUUAGUAAGGAUUGUGAUAGAUCUUCAUUAUGUUAGCAAGUCUCAAAAUCUCUAUAUGUAAUUAAGAGACUUGUAUAGGUUGAUGCACAAAUUAUUAAGAUCAUUUAUAUGUUCAAGUGAGGAACAUUAUUUUGCAAGAGUGCAUUUGUGAUUGUAAAACUCUGUAUUGUGGUUUUGCAAACUAAGUUCUCUGAGGGAGAAUUUAGUGGCGAGUGAUCUAGUCUUUGAAAGUAUAAGAGUGAGGAAUCAUCGUUGGGGUGUGAUACAUUUAGGUUCACUGAUUGUAAUUGUUUAAAUAUAGUGAUUCUACUGAGCAAGGCUUCACAAAUGUAUGGAAACUGAACUGCACAAAUAAACUUUAAUGUUUCCUAUUUUGUUUUUGCUUAUCAUAGUGCUUGCAGAAGUACACACUUUUGUAGUCACUACUGCUCAUACUUUGCUUGUUACUUAGCAACAGUUUUAGAUCAACAACAAAUCGUUUAAAUGAAUUAAAUUUUAUUAAUGGAGUUUGAAAAAGAAUAUUUUCUGGUAUAUUUUGUAUUUUUUUUAACUAAAAGAAUGGGAUCAAAGUCAAUUUCACAGGUCUUAGUGAGAUUAGUUUGAAAGAAGUUCUUCAACAGCAUGGAACUUGACUUGAAGGCAUUACUAAUUUUGUCCUAUUUUGUUUUAAAUUUGUUAUUGGAUUCUAUUAAAUAAUCUUUUGCUUUUUUAUGUCUCAAUAUUGAACAAUCUUAAGCUUUACUGCAAUAUAAUAUUAAGUUUUCUUGUAUGUUUCUAAUCACAUUUAAGCUUUGUGCAAAAUGAAUAUUAUAUUAAGAUAUUGAAAUUGAUAUAUAUUUUUUAUCCAUUUUCAUGAUUUAUGGCAAUGUUGAAUAUUUUGUUGUUGCAGAAAUCAAAAUUUUUAUAUAGAAUUUUCUAUUUUUUAAAAAUAAUAUUGAGUUUUUAAAAUUAAUUUUAUAUAGAAUUAGGGUUAAAUGGAGAGAAAGUAUAAAAGCUAAGGGUUAAAAUUGUCAUUAUACUAACUACAAAAGUGUGGUUGUUAGCUAUUUAAUAGUUGGGUAAAAAAAUAAUUUCAAAAAUGUUAGUGGCCAAAUUGUAGCUCUUUCAAUUAAGUGACACAUAAUUGAGGGAUUAAUAGUGUAAUUUACCAUUAUCUUUUUUAAACAUAUGGAUUAUUUCACAUUUAUUUGGAAUUUGUUAUUUUAUAUGGUUGAAAUAUCAUCACAUGUAUUUUUGUUUGAAUACACAUCACAAAACCUUGAGUUGUUUCGGCAUGACCUAGAGAAACAUGAAGGUAGCUUAGAAGAAUCCAAAAGCAAUAAACGAAAGCUAGAAUUACAACAAGGAGCCAAUUGCAAGAAUUUUGAUAAGUUAAAAUUACAAGAUAAGGGCUUAUUUAAUUACAAAAAUAAUUUAAAAUUUUGUUUAAACAAAGUGUAAUAAUUUAACAGAAUUUUUAAUAUAUUAGCCAAAGAAAUUCAUCUAAGUAAGAAAUGAGAUUCAAUUGAAGUUAACAAUGAAGAAUGCUUAAGAAAUGAGAUUCAGUUGAAGUUAAGAAUGAGGAAUGCUUUUAAUGUGCCCAACAUUAGACCAAGACAAAUAAUUGUAAGUUUUGUCAAAAAUCUUAGUUUUCUUUUUUAAUCUUUGAUUAAUGAGCAGAAUUCACAUACUUUGUUUUUUCUUAUACCUCAAUAAAUCUUUCUUCGCUCACAAGAAAAACAAAAAGUAAGUGGCAUAAUAACGAAUAAAUGGCAUUCAAUUUAAACAUUCACAAUGAUUAAUCUUCAAUUGAAAAAUCACUAUCUUCAAUUCAACAUGUCUUUCAUCUUCCUCUUUGGAUCCAUUGUAUAUCACUACCAAUUGGCCAUGCAGUUUCUUGAGCUGUAGCAGAUUCUUCUACUAUAAUUUCAUCAACUGAUUGGCUUGCCUGCAAAGCAAAUUAAACCUUCACUUAUUACUGUUUGCUUUUGAUGAUUGAUGAUGAAGAAAGCAUAGCCAGUUUUCCAAAAUUGGACAAAGGAUGUCAUAUUAAGAACAAUAACUGUGAAUUGAAAAUAAUAAUGCGACAAUGAUAUCUAGAAAGAAAUAUUGACAGCCAGCAGAAACCAUAUACAGUUGAUGCAAUUUCAUUUAGUCAUUUAAAGCAUUAAAAAAAAGAAUUUCUCUCAGGCAACCAAAAUAAAAAUAUUGCAUUAAUAAUGCAUAGAAAUUAAAGCUUAGUAUUGGGAGAAUACAUAGAGAAAAUAAUUCAAUGGAUGAAUUUCUGUUUUAAAGCUUACUGUUGAGUUUGGAAGAGUAGUGUACCUGUGUUUUGGCAUGCACUGAUUUCUCUGAAUCAACACUAAAUCUUGUGGUUAUGUUGGGACAACCUUCUACUGUUAAACGUAUCAAAAAUGGGAAAACAAAAUGAUAACCCACAGGGCUGAAGCUCACGAGAUUUGGUAGGUAACCAAGCUCUAAGUCGGUUAAUCGAGGUAGGCGUAUCACUUUCUCUCCGUCCUUACUCACAUUUGACUCAUCUCCUUCAAACACCUGCUCUAAUUUGGAGACCCUUUUAAGGUGUAAAUGACGUAGGUUUGGAAGGCCGCCAUGAGCAAGAGUAAUGGGGAAGAGACAUUUCAAGUUUUCACAGUUAAUGAUUGUAAUCCACUUCAAAUUAGGGAAGCAAAUAGGUUGGAGAUGAUGUUGUGAUGGAGUUUGAUCCUUCUCAAUUAUUCGCUCCAAUUCCUCACAUUGAGAUAUAUGCAAACUCGACAAUUGUGGCAAAUUUCGAGCGAUGGUAGGUGAGAAGAUGUAUCUUAACCUUCUGCAAUUGCCGACUGUCAGUUCAGUGAGAUUUUGAAAGUGUUCAACAUGGAUGGGACCACUCCAUAUCACCCGCAAUUCAGUUAGUUUGGACAACGUUAGGAAGUUUAGAGUUGAAAGAUUAUAUCCAGAAUAUUCAAAUAACUCUUCAAAAUUGGAAAUUGUUAAAUAUUCGGUACAUGUUGAUGUUCCUCCUCUCCUUUCAGGGACUGUCACGUUGCUUAUUUGCUUCUUUUCUGUCAUCUCCGGUAAGUACAAUACCUAUAAACAUAUCAUCAAUUUAAGAAUAAGCACAAGAUUUCUUUUUCAAUCUUUUAUAGUCAAAGAAUUCAAGUUUUUAUAGUCAAAGAACUCAAAUAAUCAUAAAUUACCCAAAAAAAAAUCUCCAAAAAUAUGCUGCAAAGACACAACAUAAAUAAUAUUACGCAAUACUAGAUAGUGUUUGCAAUAUAUAUAUAUAUAUAUAUAUAAGAAACUAAAUGUCUUAACAAUUUAUUCUUUGUAAAUUAUAAAAGUAUUCAGUUGAAAUGUUAUUUAUGUUACUAAUUAGUAUUGUAAUUAACUAAACUACUUAAAACGUUUAUUUAGAUUAGUUUUUAGACUAAAAUGAAAACUAUUUUUUAAAGAUUUAUACAUGCAUUUACUUAUUUUAGACAAAAAAAAAUCAAAAGGUGAAAAUUUUAAUAAAUAAUAUAUAUAAGAACGUCUUACUUUUAUACUAGUUGGAACAAUAAAAGGCGCCAACUGAGGACAAUUUCUCACGUCUAACGCGUGUAAAGAUGGCGAUGUUAGCACGAUGUCGUUUAUAUCCCUUCCUUUCAAUUGAGGCAAAUUAAUCAACACAACUUCAUUCAAUCGUGCAAGACCUUGAGACAUUGAGAUUGACACUUCUGGUCCUUGAAUUAUAUCUUGCAAUUGGGAACAUCUCUUUAUCUUCAGAGUUUGCAAUUGCCCAAGACUAUUAGCAACACAAGUUGGGAAGAGAAAUUUCAAUUUAUUGCAUUCUGUGACUUGUACUUCCCUUAGGCAUUGAAAGCUUAUGGUUGAUACUUGUGAGUCUUGGAUUAUUUCUUCCAUUCCAAAGCACCUCUUUAUCUUCAGAGUUUGCAAAUUGGGCGCAUUUAGUUGUUUAGAGCUACCUUGAGCAACAAUAAUUGGAAAGAGAGAUUUUAAGCUUUCGCAUCCCAAGAUCUCAAUUCGAAUCAGAUUUGGAAAGUAAAUAGGUAGGGGAUGAUGUUGUGAUGACGUUUGAUCUUGCUCCAAUUCCUCAUAUUUACAUGAAUGCAAAUUGCUCAAUAGUUCAUUUGUCAUCUUCCCAAUCACCAAUUCCUAUAAACAUAUCAUCAAUUUUCAAUUUCAAAAUGUUCAAACAUGUCAACAACUAACUUAACAUUUCAUCAAUUAAUUUCCUUACAAAAAAAUUAUUUUACCUUAAAUCAUUAUUAUACUCCAAAAAUGUGGUACAAAAACAGUCAUAAAUAAUAUCACAUAAUCUGUACAACGCAAUUGGGAAUUACUUAAACUCAUUUUCAUAUAUUAAUACAAAAUAAAAAACCAACUGUGUAAAAGGCUAUAUUUAAAAAAAUUUAAAUAUAUAUUUUUCUAGUUUAUUUUUUAAUACAAAUUCUAAAAUCAUUCAUAAUUCCUUCCAACAUUUAAAUAGAAAGAUAAACGUGAGAGCGCUCAAACCCACAUUCUCCUAUUCAGACAACAACAUCGAUACCAUCCAAACUAAAACUUAUAUAUAAUUUUAUACAGCUUAUUUUUGUUUAGCCAUAUAAUAGGUAUAAUAUUAUUUAGUAUUAGAAUUUGCAACAUCUAAAACAUAAAGUUUGGAUAAUUUUUUUUUUUGAAAAUUUUAUUAAUCUUAUUAUAUGGUAUUAUAAUCAACUAAUUUGUUUAAAAGGUUAUUUAGAUUAGUUUUAGACCAAAAUCAUAAAAUAAAAUAUAUCUUUUAAACAACUAUUCAAACAACGAAUUAUUAAAGAAAAAACAGAAACAAAUAAAUAAAUAAUAUCAAACAAAAAGAAAAAUCUUACUUGUAUCGUAGUCGAAAUAAUAAAAUGUGUCAAUUGAGGACAAUUGUGUACUUUUAACUUCUGCAAAGACGAUUGUGUGAGCAAAAUGCCGUUCACAUCUGUUUUUUUCAAUUGACGCUCCAUAAUCUACGAAACACAAAGCCAUCUAGAAAAUGUUCAGAAGAAAUAUCCAAUGAUAUUACAACCAACUUUGGCGAUAAAUUCAACUCUGAUAGGCUGGCAUAGCUUUCCCUUUUAGUUGAAUUCUCAGUCGCCCAUUUUAAUGAUCUACAGCCAUGCAAAUAUAGUUCUUCUAAAUUGGACAAUCUUCGUAUUAAAUUAGGAGUGAUUCUUCGUAGUUCAUAGCUAUACGAUAAAUCCAACAGUCUUAGAUUUUCCAAAUCACCAGCUUCAGUCGGCAAUUCAGUGAUAUCAGAUCGACUUAAAGAGAGAAUAUGAAGUGUCUUCAGCUUCCCAAGCAUUGAGAUGUCAGAGAGUUUACAAUUAAUCAAAUACAAAGUCUGAAGGUUCAUAUGAAACUGAAAUGUAGACAGAGAUAUCAACAGAUGAUUCAAAGCACAAAUUUUUAAUGCCUUCAUACCCUCAAAGAAUUCGCUUGAAGUUUCCAUGAAACGAUUGGCACCAUGUAAAAGAAGUUUGAGGUAUGGAAAACCCACUCCUUUAGGAAGUUCAUCCGUUUGAUCAGUUUCGAAGGAGAUUGCUGUGUAAUGCUUGAAACUUUCAUCCAUCGGGAGUGUUUCAACAGUCCCAAAAGAAAACUCCUUUCUUGAAGAUGCUAUCCACAAAGCAAAUUGGCGAACCACAUCAUGCAUUUUAACAUGCCUUUCUCUGCAAUCUAGCAACAAACCAGAGUUCUUGAUGAUCUCAAUCGAUGCAAACACUUCGCUUCUAACAUAUUUAAUUGGGUCGAUGCAUUUACACAACUUCAGUCCCCAUGCAUAUCCUACCAAGUUCUCCACAUAAAUCUCAUCAUCUUCAGGAAAUAAAGAGCACAACAAGAAACAUGUCUUUGUCUCCAUAUUCUUCAAGUAGUCGAAGCUCACCCGAAGACAUACAUAGGCAUUUUCUUCAAUAACAUCCUCAAUUUCAGUCAAUCUACGAUCUUUGAGCCUCCGGUAUGCAGCUUGCCACUCAUGAUGGGUUUUACCUUUCAAGGCACUUCCCAGAGGAACUAUAGCUAUAGGCAAACCCCCACAUUUUUGGACAAUUUGAUUUGCUAGGAUUUUAAUAGAAUCAUCAGAAAAGUCAUAUAGACCUGCUUUCUUUUCAAACAGAGUCCAAGCUUCAUCAUCAUUCAAACAGCCAAGUUGUACCACGUUUUGACAAUCCAUAGCUUGACAUACUUGUUGACGGCGUGUUGUUAAAAGAACUUUGCAGCCUUUAUGAUCCUCCCCAAUUGGAAUUCCUAUCUUCUCCUUUAAGUUGAUAGAUUCCCAAAUAUCAUCAAGGAUGAUAAGAAUCCUCCGUUCAUUCUUCAGCAGUAACCAUAAUUCUUGCUCGGAUCUUCUUCCUUGUUCAUUCUUCAUAUCAAAGCCUAUGUAUUGUGCAAUUUGAUCUUGAAUUCUCUCAAAAUUUGGCUUUUGAGACACAACCGUAAUCACAACUUUGUCAAACAAAUUCAGUUUUUGAGCUUGACUUCCAACUUCACGAGCCAGGGUGGUCUUGCCCACCCCUCCCAUCCCCCACAACCCAAUCAUGUUGAUAUUCUCAUCUUUUAAGGCUUCAAUGAUUUGAUAGAAUGCAGUCUCUGAAGAUUUCGAAAACACAAAUUCCUUAGAACAUAGGAAAUCUAUAGUGGGAAGGGCGGUAGGAGCAGGGUAACCGACUGGUCCAAGUAGACCAAAUUUGUCCAAAAGCUCAGAGAUAUCCUGGAUUUUCUUCAUUGCUUUCUUGCUUAAUUGAUAUCUCCAACUCCAAUUAGGACACCAAUUGAGACACCUCUUAUUCAGUUGGAUUUCCUCCUCCAGAGUUCCCAUAUCCGACAGUGUUUCGUCUGCCCUUGAUUGCAAGUUCUGUACAUCGUUUUCAAUUAGUAGAAGCCGAUUUUUAGCAUCCUCAAUCUUAUGUAGUAGACGAACUCGUGCAUCUGCAAGUUCACGCUUUUUCUCUCGGAGCUUUUCAACAUUGUCAUGAAAGCAACGGACAUAAUCAAGUUGACGUCCUACCGGCUUCACCACACAGUCCACAACCAGUGUUCCAACUGUGUUAGAAAGAGCAGCCUCACAAAAUCCGCAACCCAUGCUUGACAAGCUCAAAUUGAAGAAUAUGAUGUUCCAAGUUCAAACACUGUAGUGAAUCAUAAGUAAUUACCAUAAAAAAAAAUUAAAGAAUCAAAAAGUGUUUUGAAGAUUAAGACACUACUUCUUAUACAUACCAAGGAUGGUGAAAGACAACUCAACCUAUGAGAAUCAAUGGGCUGUUCUUUCAACUCAGUCCAGCUGAAAACACAAUGAGAAAUUUAAUAAACAAAUAAAAUCAUAUACGAGUGUAAUGUCAUAUAAUUAUAACUAAAAAAGAAGGUUAAUUACUGAUAAAAAUAAUAAAUCAAAAUAUUUUUACCCUUACACUAAUAAUAUUAUAGAUAUAAUGCUGGAAAAGAUAAUAAACAUAUCCCCCUACCAUUUCAAAAUCCAAACAGUCUUUUAGCUCUUACUUGCUUCAAGAAAAACAUUAAAAGAUGAGAUGAGAUCAAUUUAUUUAUAAAAAACAGAAAUGAAGCAUAUAUAAAUAGAUUUACCUCACUUGGGAACUUUUAAAAUCAAACUACACUUAGUGCUCAGAAGAUUCUUACUUCAAUACAAUCAAAGGGGAGGGAUUUGAAGGUUGGUUUUUUUUUUUUUUUUUUUUAGCAAAAGUAAGUAAAACUGAAUACAAAAAGAAAGGAACUUGAAGAAAGGGGUGGAAAAAAGAACAUAAAAAGAUCAGAUGAGAUCAGAAAUAUAUAUAACAAAUUUAAUUUAUAUAUAACACAAAUAUAAAUAGAUUUUCCUCGCUUGGGAACUUCAAAAUCAAACUACACUUAGUGUUGAGAAGAUUCUUACUUCAAAACAAUCAAAAGGGAGGGAUUUUAAGGUUGGUUUUUUUUUUUUUUAGCAAAAGUAAGUAAAACUGAAUGCAAAAAGAAAGGAACUUGAAGGAAGGGAAAUAAAAAGAAAAAACAACAAAGUAGAGAUCAAGGUUGAACUAAAAAAAGGAGAAACUUUCAGAAAGAAAUUGAAGUUGAUCUGCCUGGAAAAGUCAACCACUCGGAAAGCAUAAACUCUAACACAACUGGGUUUUCUUGGUUUAGUAGCCAAAGGAUUUGUGUUAUGAG